rnacentral:lncRNA from 1 species
AGUAAAUAGUGAUAAUGAUUAUUUCUUUCUUGUUCUAACAAACACAAACUUUAUCACAAGAAUGAAAAAAUACAGGACCUGCAAAUCAGUUCACUCUUAUGGUCUCACUAGAAUUAAUUAGAAGUAUAUUUUGGUGCUAGAGAAUUGUAAGAAUUUCUGAUUUUGGUGGCUCCCAUGGAGGAGCGAGCUUCAUUCAUCUAUAUAUGUUUACUGUCCAGUAGCCAUGACAACCGCCGGGGGAGGCAUGGCAUGACCUGCAAAUUUAUUCCGUUAUGGCAAGGUGGAGCGCCCUUUUCCGGGAUACAGCUGCAUGAACUGCUUCCAGAAGGAGGCACAGUACCUGAAUUCAGAGACUGUAAAGGGACAAGUCCUAUCUUGAUCCACUCUUCUUUCUCCCCAUCAAGAACCCUACCAGCACUGUGUGGCUGGACGCUCAGAACAAGAACGAAGUGCCGUGACAGCUAAAACAAUGUCCAGAAACCUCAUGAUCUUGGCGGGUUAAGCAAAGAGGAGAUGAUCAAAGAAAUAUUUUUAGCUGGACAAAUUAAUAUGCAUAUAUGAUAAAUGAAAAAGAAUCACUAUCUCGGUUAUUCGAUUAAAAGGGUUUUUGACAAAAAUACUCUUAUUAUUUUCUUGUAAAAAUAACUUUCUUUUAAAACAGGUUACUUUAAAUACUUGAAAUGGUAGAAGGCAUUAAUGUAAAAUAAUAAUAAUAAUAAUAAUAACAGGUUACUUUUUUUAAAAAAAAAACAACAUGGGAAUGGUUAAAUUCACGAUUUAAAAAUUAAUUCAAUGCUUAACUAAACAAGUGGCUCUAAAUGCCUAAGUGAAAAAGUGGCUCUAAACGCAUAAUUGAGAAUGUGCCUCUAAACACCUAAUUGAGAAAGUGGCUUUGAACACCUAAUUAAGAAAGUUACUCUAAAAGCUUAACUGAGAAAGUGGCUAUGAACACCUCAGUGAAAAAGUGACCUUGAAUGCCUAAUUGAGAAAGUCGCUUUGAAGGCCUAACUGAGAAAGCGACUCUAAACGCCUAAGUGAGAAAGUGGUGUUGAAGGCCAAAGUGAGACGGUUGCUUUGAACACCUAACUCAACAAGUGGAUCUAAACACCUAAGCGAGAAAGUGGCUAUGAACGCCUAAUUGAGAAUGUGCCUAUGAAUGCCUAACUGAGAAUAUGCCUCUAAACUCCUAACUGAGAAAGUUGUACUAAACGCCUAAUAGAGAAAGUGGGUGAGAACGACAAAGUGAGAAUGUUGUUCUAAACUUCUAAUUGAGAAAGUGGCUCAGAACACUUAACUAAGAAAGUCACUCUGAACGCCUAAGUGAGAAAGUGGUUGUGAAUGCCAAAGUGAGAAAAUGACUCUGAACACCUAACUGAGCAAGUGACCCUUAACUCCUAAGUGAGAAAGUGACUCUGAAUGCCUAGUUGAGAAAGUGGCCUUGAAUGCGUAAUUGAGAAAGUCACUCUAAACAUCUAACUAAGAAAGUCACUAUAAAGGCCUAAGUGAGAAAAUGGCUCUCAACGCCUAACUGAGAAAGUGGCUCUCAACGCCUAAGUGAGAAAGUGUCUUUGAUCACUAAGGUGAGAAAGUGGCUCUAAACGCCUAAGUGAGAAAGUGGCCUCGAACACCUAAGUUAGAAGGUGACUCUAAAUGCCUAAGUGUGCAAGUGGCCCUGAACACUUAACUGAGACAAUGGCUUUGAACGCCUAACUAAGAAAGUGGUGAUGAAUUCCUAAAUGAGAAAGUAGUUCUUAAGGCCAAAAUAAGUCACUGGCUUUGAACGCCUAAUUGAGCAAGUGGCUAUGAACGACUAAAUGAGAUAGUGGUUGUGAGCGCCUAAGUGAGAAAGUGUCUGAAUGCCUAAUUGAGAAAGUGGCUCUAAAUGCCUAUGUAAGAAAGUGGUUGUGAAGGCCAAAGUGGGAAAAUGGCUUUGAACGCCUAACUAGACUAGUGGCUUUGAACGCCUAAUUGAGCCAGUGGCUCUAAACAUCUAAGUGAGAAAAUGGGUAUAAAUGCCUAAGUGAGAAAGUGCCUCUGAACACCUAACCAAUAAUGUGCAUUUGAAUGCCUAAUUGAGAAAGUGACUUUAAACACCUAAUCGAGAAAGUGGUUCUGACCGCCUAACUGAGAAAGUCGCUCUAGACGCCUAACUAAGAAAGGGGUUGUGAACGCCUAAGUGAGAAAGUGGCUUUGAAGGCCUAACUAUGCAAGUGGCUUUGAAUGCCUAAGUGCGUGAGAAAGUGGCUCUAAAUGGCUAAGUGAGAAAGUGGCUCUAAACACUUAAUUGAGAAUGUGCCUCUAAACGCCUUACUAAGAAUGUGCCUUUGAACGCCUAACUGAGAAUGUGCCUCCAAAUGCCUAAAUGAGCAAGUGGCUCUGAAUGCCUAAGUGAGAAAGUGGCUCUAAAUGCCUAAAUGAGAAAGUGGCUCUAAAUGCCUAAAUGAGAAAGUGGCUCAGGAUGCCUAAUUGAGAAUGUGCUUCUAAACGCCUAAUUGAGAAAGUCGCUAUGAACUUCUAAGUAAGAAGUGGCUGUGAAGCCAAAGUGAGAAUAUGGCUCUAAAUGCCUCAUUGAGAAAGGGGCUCAGAACACCUAAUAGCGUUUUUUUUAUAAAUUAAUGGCAAAGUGAGAAGGGUUUCUUUGACUGUUGACGACUUACUAAUAGUGUUUUGCUUUGGGAGAUUGAAAAUUACUUCCUUUGUGGAUUACUUUUUAACAUGUACAUACAAAUGCCAAAGUGCAUUUGAAUAUAUUUAUAAAAAGGGUCUUAAAGAAGAAACUACGUCUGAAAUUACUAGAUUACUGUACACAUGGACAUGCAUCUUAUGACCUUUUUGAACAUAAAAAAUUAUAUAUAUAUAUAUAUAUAUAUAUAUAUAUAUAUAGAUAUAUAUUUAUUUAUGUGUGUUUCAGCAAGCUGGCUAAACCUAUUAGGAGUCACUCAUUGGUCGGCAUGUUUAAUUUUCUCCCUAUUGAAUUAGGUGCGCAUACUAGUUGGUAUAAGUCAUUUAAUAAAAAAAAUUAAGAAAUAUUUACAAACUAGGUUAGCAUUAAAUAUGAGUACACUGUCUGAUCUAGGCAUUUUGGAGAUUCUUUCUUAUAACUUGAACUUCCUUAAGGGGGCAUUAGUUUUGAAAAAUCAAUGAAGUUAUGGAUGAAGUGUUAAACACAAGCUCAAGGCUAUAUUUGAAGGAAAAUAUGAUGGGAAGAAAAAAGAAAUGAUAGAAAUAAAAUAAAUAAAUAAAUGAAGGAAAAUAAAAAAUAAAUUUAAAAUUUAUAAAUUAUUAUUAUACAUGCAUUAUUUAAAAUUUAUUUUACUUAUUUUAAUAUUAAAUAAUUUUAAAAUAUAUAAAUUUCUAACCAAUUUUAAUUACAGUUGGUUCUCUUUCAUAUUUUUCAUAUGGAAAAACCAAACAUGAUAAAAUUAUUUUCCUAAUCAUUUUCUUUCUUUCCUUGAUACUUAGACAAUUUUGAAUUUCUCAAAAUUCUAAGAUUUUUUUUGAAAGAUAUUAGACUCCUAAAUGCUUUUAAAAGAAUAUAUUCUUUAAAGAAUUAACCAUCUAAAAGUCUAUCUAUCCUUUGGACCAUAAUAUCCUAGUACAAAAAUUUCAAACAAAUUGAUUGAAAAUAGAGAUUAGCUUAGGUAUUUUUGAACCACAUGUGUUUCUUAAAGUUUUUUUAUGUCUUGGCUAGAUCUUGACCCCUUGUUAAUUUUACAUGUUAGUACACUGAAAAUAGAACCAAAUAGUAAAUUUCCACUUGAUUUUGAAUCUGUUUGCAUUAGGAAAGAAUUUGGUGAUAACACUCACCAUACUGCAACAACCUCAAGUCACAACAACUUACCUGCAAUAGAAAAAAUGGCUACACCAGAAGAAUCUUCAAGACUAUUGUAAAAUCACAUAACUGAUAUUCCAUUCAAGAAUCUAUUACAAUAGGUGUAUAAAUACUAUACACAAAAAAACACAAUAAUGCAAGAGAAUAAGAAAUUCCUUUAUUUGGAAAAUAUCAAUGGGUUUCAAUACUACGUGCUAAGAUAGUUUUAGAUUCCCAAAAUAUUAGUGUAUAUUAUUUGGGUCUAUUAUGGGUUUAUAAUUAUUUUUAAAUUUUAUAGACUUUAUCAUAGAAUAAAUCUUGAUUCUUGUACACUAAAGCAUGCAUGACCUUUAAAACAUAAGAAAUUAUAAAUAAAAAAAAUGAAAAUGAUUUUAAUGUUAAGUUGCAGGGUUGCCUUGCUUGUCCUUAAUCAUAAUUUUCUUGAGGAGGAUUUACCAUUAAUCUAACAUUAAUUUGUUCACAUGAAAUUAAACAAGGUGGCGAAAGCUAUUAUCUACUAGUAAGAGCUCCAAAUGUCAUCAAAUUAGGUGUAUAGAAUAUAUAGUUGGUAAAAGUCAUUUAAUAAAGAAAAAAAAAAUUGAAAAACCACUUCCAAAUUAGGUCAGCGUUAAAUAAGAUUAGACCCCCUAAUCGUGGAAUGAACUUUGGAGCGUCUUUCUUAUAACUUAGAACUUCCUUUUGGGGGUACGCAUUGGUUUUAAAAAAUGAAUGAAGUUCUAGAAGGAGUGUUAUUACAACCAUAGAAAGGGACAUAUAAGAAGAAAUUAUGAAGAAUUGAUCAAAACACCAAGUAGUAAGAAAAAAUCUUGAAUUCCAAUAUACUUCAAAUUUUACUAAUAUUGUUGAUAAAAAGUUUAAUAAGAAAGAUGAUUUCCUUUUGUUAUAGUCGAUAAAAUUUUUGUUGACUCUUAGAUUUUAAAUUUUAUUGUUUAAAUGGGCAAUGAUUCAAGUUCUAAAGUCAUUAAGAUUGAUACCAUAAAGGUGAGGAUGUUUGAUGGUAUUAUGAGAAUGUUGAGUAAUGUUUAGCAUAUUGCUAAUUAAGUUGAGAAAGAGUUUAAUUUCUUUAGAGGCUUUGGAUACUCUUCUCUAUGAUUUUUCUGGAAAAAAAAAAUAUAAAUGAUAUUAUGAAUAUCAAUUAAAGUGUUUUGAUAGCUAUGAUAGGGAAAAAGGUGAAAAAUUUUAUACAAUUUGAUUGAAAAUAUAAUUUUAGGUGGAGCUAUGAAGGAAGAGUCACAUCAUGAAAAGUCUUUUACUAGUAGUAAAGAAGUUCUCAAAGUAGAUGGAUGCCACAAGAUGAUUGAGAUUCCGUUUUUCACUAAGUGUACUCAUUAACACAAGGAUGAAAAUACUUUCAAAAUGAAUAAAGUUAUAAAGAAAACAAAGACAAUUUCUUAAAUCAAGUUCGAUGAUAGUUUGAAUUUGGCACAUAUUUAUUCUCGUUAAUUAUGCAAGAUUGAGAAAUUUUAAUCAAUGUGGAGAUUGUUGGUAUUUGGUUUAAAUUAUCUAUUUAUUAUAUUUAGGAAAGUCAAUAUUUAUAAUAGAGUUUGUGUUUUGGUAAAUUACCUUUUUCGAGUUUGACUAUGAUUAGGAAACUAUUGAUUUUGGGUUCAUCCAUUGGACUUUACAAAUAUAAGGUUUUAAAUAGGAUUUAGUAAGAGAAAUAAAAAUGCAUAAAGAGUGAAGAGAUAUAAGCAAAGGGUGUAUUGAAUUUUAAGUAAAAAUAGAUUGAAAAAGUUUGAAGUUGUUGGGCUAUGUUUGUCUGGCCCAUGAGCCCAUAUAUUAGGCUAUUUUAUAUUUAGGUUUUUCCUAAGCCCAAAUAUGGAUAUAAAAAUAGCAAUAGGGCUAUGGUAUUAAGAGAAAAGGGCAUUUGAUUGAGAAAAGGAAAGAAGAUCAAGAUUUGUUUUUCUGGGCAUUGUUUUAAGGCUCAAGGGUGAAGUUACAAGUUCCUUUCAUCAACCUUUUUGGGGAAUUCCUAUAGUACGUUUUCUCCCUAAUUUCUUUCGUUCAUGUUUCAUUGGGUGAUGGAUUCCUACCUUAAGCGAGGACUUAAUUAUUGUAUCCCUAUUUAUUGAAGUAGAAGAAAUUUUCUUUGUGGUUUUUUACCUCUAUUCAAAGGGUUUUUCCACGUUAUAUUUGGUAUCCUCUUUUGUGGUUGAAUGUUAUUGAUUGUUGUUCUUGAUUCUUCUUAAGUUGUUAUUAUUCUUGAGAGGUGGUUAUUAUUGUUGAGUGGUUGUUAUUCUUGUGGAAGAAUCUUUUAACUUUGACAGGUUAAUACUCUAGAUCUCUCCCUUUAUUUUCCCAACAAGUGGUAUCAGAGCUUGGUUGUGGAACUUUUAUUCUUGAAAGGGAUGGAGAUAAAAGGGAACUCAACCUCCAUGAUAAAACUUAACAAUUCAAAUUAGGCUAUGUGGAAGUCCAUGAUGGAAGAUUUUCUCACCAUCAAAGAUUUGUCAAAUACUUUUGAAGAUAAAGAAGUUAGGCCCAAAGAUAUUUUUGAUUUGGAAGCUUACUAAGGGCUCGUUGGUUGUUGCAAAAGGAGAAACGAUAUAUUUUAGGUUUUUUCCUCUUCUCUAGCAUAUAAGUGCCGUAAACUUGGAUGCAUGAGCAAAGUUUGACAAAACACAUGGAUGAAUGCCGAACAAAGAUGAUGAAAAUGGAAGUACUCCAACAACCAGCAAGCAUAUAUGAGCAUAUGCAUCAUUCAACUUGCUCUUUUUUAUUUCUAUAUAUAUCACAAAGUGUAGAAGUCCACCAGGGCACAAACUGUAAAUGGAGAAAAAGAAUACACGAAUGACAUACAAUCAAUUUGUGUUAUUAUUAUUUUUUCUAUGAGAAGGAAAAUAUAUAAAAUAAAAGAACAAAAACAACAAAUGCAAGGCCUACAUAUUCAGUUUAUUCCUUGUGGUCCCAUAAAAGUCCUAAAAUACGUAGUUAUGUGCUCAGGACUCGUAAGAUUUUCUGAUGUUGAGUGAUGACUAUGCAUGGUGGAGGCUAGAGCUUCAUUUAUGUUCAGUAGCCAUGACAACAGGAGUGCUGGCAUGCGAACUGGCUCUAUGGGGAGGAAGGCAUGACCCGCAAACUUCAUUCCAUUGGGACAAGGUGAGCCUUUUUCGGGGAUAUGGCCGCAUGAACUUGGUCCUGAAGGAGGGACAGGUCCUGAAAGCAUAGAUUUCAAAGGAACAAUCCUUAUCUUCAUCCACUCUUCUUUCUCUCCAUCAAGAACCCUACUAGCACUGUGGAGGAGAACGACUGCUGUGACAGCUUAAACAAUUUUGAGAAAUCUCAUGAUGAUCUUGGAUGGGUUAAGCAAACAGGAGAUAAUAAAAUAGAGCAAUAUUUUUAUGUGAGCAAUAUGAAGAUAUAUGGAGGAGAACGAUCACCGGUUAUUUAUAUGAAUACUGCCAUUGGCAUGACUAGAGUUUUUGGUAGUUUGGCUUAGUUGAAGGGUUUUUUUGACUCUUGACUAAUAGAAUUUUCCUGUAGGAGAUUAGAAAUUGAAUAGGUCAUAAAGGAAGAAAAUACCUAGAAUUUACCCAAAUGGCUAGUUUUCUUACGUAGUUAAUUUAAUUCCACAUAUGCGUGCAUCUUAAAUCAAUUACAAAGAAAAUAUAUGAUACUCUCUCCAAGCUUUUUUGAAAAUAGAUAUGAGAAAUUAAUCCAUGCCCAUUAACUUUAGUUAAUAGUAAAGUAUGUAAUUUGGCUUGAUUAAAUAUCCUUAGUUAUGAUUUUCACGAGAAAGAUAAUUAUCGUUUUGAAUACCAGGUUCUAUUAUAUAAUCACAUUUUUUUUCACCAAAUUAAGCAAUAUUCGUAAAGCUUAUUUACAUUAUUGAUUUGUAAUUAAUUUAUGUACUACCAGUACAAGUGAUAUUCCCUAUCAUGUUCAGGAUACAUGGCCUUUUCUGUGCCAUAUUAAUUGCAUAAGGGGCUGCUAAAUCAUAUCUCAUAAAAAUUAAUCAUUUCCAAAUUGUUAGCACUAAUCUAUAGCAAAGUUAAGUAUUAAUUCAAAAUUUUCUCACGGUUGUAAAGCACUUAAAUAAGAGUAGAGAGACCAAUCUAGGUAGGUAUGGUCUAUGAAGACUUUUGUCAUAUAUGAUACGUACCAUUUACUUCAUUAUUUUAGAGGCAUUGAUUUUGAACAAAGAUAAAUUAAGUUGUGGUAGGAACACGUUUACUUGAAUUGGGGCUUGAAUAUUUGGGGCUUUUAGACCACAUACUUCCAGCAGAUUUAAGUCAUUGAACAUUACUAACACGCAUCAGCUUUUCCACCCUCAGGAGCCAUGAGACAAAAUCCCUUUCUAUGUAUAUAUGCACAUUUACCAACCCUCUUUAUUAUGACUUUAUCCAUGUUGACAUAGUUUAACAUGAACUCACAUUAGUAACUUAGGAUGGCAUUUAAGGAUUAAGCUAAAUUACCUUGAUAAAUAUGGUUAAUAUGGUUAAUUUGAUAUGUUAUCCAACAACUUAAGUUUUUAAAUCAAAAGAGUAAUUUAACAAUUACACUAUCUUCAUACCAUUAAUUGGAAGGCUCUUGUGGACCUGUGUUUUUCACGUGCAUCCCCACUCGAAUGGUGAGACUCGUUUUUCAUUUAUUUGUGAAAAUUUAAUUUUUUAGAAAAAGAUUUGGAGUCGCCACUUAUUUUAAUUUUUUUUAAAAAGGGAAAACAAUAUAAGAAAGAAAACUAUGUUUGACUCUUAUUUGAAAAAGACAUGUUUGCAAAAACAGAAUCUGGAUUUGGGGGUCAGACUACCUAUUGAGAAGAUACGGUGGAGAACCGUAACACCCCUUUAAGUACGUAUACAUACGGUUUCUACUAAACUAAUUAAGGGAAUUGUGGUAAUUAUUUAAUUAAUAUCCAUAAAUACCAAGAUUAAAGGAAAAAAACAAUAUACACAAAGAUGAUGACAAGAUAAAAUUACAAGAAUGUACAAAAUAAAUGACAAUAGAAUUAUGCAAAUUGAUUUAUUGAACUAAUUAAAAAAAUAUUUGAAAAAAAUAGUUUUCUGAAAAUUUCAAAUGAUUUUAUUAAAAACAAUUUUGAAUGAGUGGUUUCAAUUUAUUUAUUUACAAAAAAGAGUCAAUUUAUUUUCGUAAUUUCAUUUGUAUUCAAUUUUCAAAAAUAUUAUUUACACUUAUUGUAUCAAAAAAAUUUAUUACAAAAUUUCAAUUUGGGCACAAAAAUUAUUUUUACUUGCUUUUACUAGAAAAUAAUGAUUUUUUACAAUUUUAUUUACAUAAUAUUCCAAUUUUUUUUCAUUUAAGAAAAAUGACUUAUACAAAUUAUUAAAAAAAUAACUUUAUUUGCAAAAGACUUUUUAAUUUAAAAUUAAUUUUUGAGAAACUUUUUUUACAAAGUAAUUUUUAGACAAUUUUUAUUAAACAAAGAAUUUUUUUCACAAUUAUUAUUAAAAACAAUUUUUCAAAUUCUAUUAAAAACAAUUUUUUUAGAUUUUUUAAAAGCAUUUUUUUGAGUUUUUAUUAAUAAAAAAACUUUUUGAAUAUUUUAAAAUUAUUAUUUUAUUAAAACAUAUUUAUUGAAUUAUUCCUCUUGUUUAAACAAAAUUUCUAGUUUGUUAGAUAUCUAAUUUUGUACACAACAAGUAAAUAUAUAUAUAUAUAUAUAUAUAUAUAUAUAUAUAUAUAUAAAUAUUUAUAUAAACUAAUAAAAAUAAAACCAAAUAAAAGUGGGAAAUAAAACGUGUAUCCAAACAAGCUUACAACAAGUUUAAUGUCUGCUUACAAUUUUUCGAGUUUCACUUUCUUUCAUGAAAUUUCGUGCUCCACAUGUCAUAAAUUCAUACUCAGCCAACAAGAUUGCAAAAUAGGCUCAUGCAAAAAUAAAAAUGGCCCAAAUUUAAUAUUAAUUCACCAAAGUUUAAAAUAUGACAAAUCAAAAUAAAUUUAAUUGAGCCUCAAUUUAAUAUUUCAUAUUCGAAACCUAAUUUAAUACACAAACAUAAAUCCAAAACUAAAACCAAACCAAAUUGAAUAUAUAGAGUUCACAUGUAAUAAAAAAAAAAAAAAUUUAAUUAAGUCCAACUAGAUAUCCAAUAUGCAUAUCUAAAUCUCAAAUCUCAAAUAAAAGGCCCACAAACCAACACACAAGCCCAAUUUCAACAAUAAUCACUAUUAAAAUCAAAGGGAAAAAAACUUACACAAUUUCAAUUUUUGGAAGGAUGAGAAAGUGAGAGAAAGUUGAGGCAAUGGAAGAAUGAGAGAGGAAAGAAGGGAGUUGCCGACGGGCAAAUGGCUAACCGACAGCGACUGGUCCUGCCGGUGGUGGGAGGGAUUGAUGGUUUUUUUUUUUUUUAUAAAAAAAAAAAAAGAAAAUAAGAUGAAAAAAUGGAAAAGGAAAAAAAGAAAUGGAAGGAAGGAAAUGAGGGGUGCGUGUGGCAGUGAAAAAAAUUGGGGUCGGCCACUGUCUUGUGUGGGAGUUGGAGGAGGAAAAAAAAGGGAAAUAAAAAAAUAAAAAAUAAAAACUCUAGAGAGGAGAUGGAGCCGGUGGUCUUAAGAGUGGGGAGGCAUGGGAGGAGAGAGAAUGGGAGAGUAGGUGGAGUCGUUGGGGAAGAAUAGGAAGAGAAAGGACAGAUGAGAGAGAAAAGAAAGAAAAUGAAGAAAAGAAAUAGAAAUAGAAAUAAAAUAAUGAUAAUAAUAGUAAAUAAUAAUAUAAUAAUAUAAUAAAAUAAUAUACAAAAUAAUAAAAACUAAUAAUUAGAUGGUGAGUUGGCAAAAAAAUAUAAGAUAUAAUCAAGAUUUAAAAACUAAGAAUAAAGUUGGGCUAAAAAUUAAUGUAAAGAUAAAAUUGGAACAAAUUUUGGGAUCUACAGCUCUUCAUAUCCUUUGCCCAAGAUAUCUAGGAUUUUUUUUGAAAUAAUAUAUAUAUAUAUAUAUAUAUUACAAAAAUAUAAUAUUUUUGAAAAUUGUCUUUUUAAAAAAUGAUUUCACAUUCACAAAUUGUCUUUAUAAAAAUUUAAAAAAAACAAGUUUUAAUUUGUUAAUAGUUAUCUUGUAUUUCAUCUUUUAUUUUCUUUCUUAUUUCAAGUAAGAUCAUUGUUUCAAAAUGGGAUUUUGACAUGAAUAUAUUCUUUUAUACCCUUAGAUCAUAUGAUCAAGAGAUGAGCUCUAUGGUAUUAUAAUCAAGGAUAGUGAGACCCUGAAGAGCAUGUUGAUAUGUGGUGGCCAUGAUGGUAAUAAGUUUGUGUAUAGCUAAUGGAUUGACUUUAAAUAUGUCCAAAUCUAUGAUUUUAUUAUUUACAUAUCAUACGUUUUUUAAAAUGUAAUUAUCAUUAUGUUAUGCUAGUUUUUGUACAUAAAAAUUGUUCCAUAUAUAAUAUAUUUUUAAAUUGUUUUUACCUUGUAUCAAUUAUCCUAACACUUGUGCAUCAUAAUUAUCCGCUAAACCAUUUGUUCACCUAAUAGAUUUUGAUGGUUUUUAGGUAAGGACUCCCAUGCAUAUGCCUAUUGAGGAGGCAGAAUUAGCUUCAAAGAACAAGUCACUAGGUACCUAGAUUUGUGUUUUUCCUUAUUAGACUUGUAGGACAUGUAGUUCAUUUUCUUUAUGUAUUUUAGAUGUUUUCUUUUGUAUGUCUCAUCUUCUCAAUCUUUGCUUCCACUAUUAAUUUAUUUUGUUGUUAUUGUUUUAUCAAAAUCAUUUAAUUGUAUGUAUUUUUUUCAUACUAAAUAUUUAUCUAUUGAGACAUUGAUUUCUUUUUAGAUUUUGAUGCAAAAUGGACUCACCUUCUCUUAGUGGGCCCUUUUUGGGUCUUUACAAAUCAAGUUUCUAGUAAUAUUAUUAUAUAGCAGUUUUCUGUUCGCGAAUUACACAGUAAUUUUCUCUUAAUGAUGUAGACAUGGUCUUCUGGUAUGCAAAUUUACAUCCAAAGCAAAUGGUAUUUAUACUAAAAAAUAAGUUGGUUUGCUUUAUUAUCAAACUAAUAAAAAGGCUACCAUGAAUAUAUCCAUAUUAUCACAAAUAUUAGCCUUGCCAAUAUAUUUUAGUUUUUUUCCUCUUUUCCAGCAUGUAAGUGCCAUAAACUUGGAUGCAUGAGCAAAGUUUGGUAAAACACACGGUUGAAUGCCAAGCAAAGAUGAUGAAGAUGGAAAUACAGCAACAACCAGCAAGCAUAUAUCCGUAUAUGCAUCAUUCAACUAGUUCCUUUUUAUUUCCAUGUAUAUCACAAAGUGUAAAAGUCCACCAGGGUACAAAAUGUGAACAGAGAAAAAGAAUACAUGAAUGAUGUACAAUUUUUUGUGUUAUUAUUUUUCCUUAAUGUAUUUAUCAUGAUGAAAAUAUAUAAAAACAAAAAUAACAAAUGCAGGGCCUACAUAUUAUGUGCUCAGGACUGGUAAGAUUUUCUGAUGUUGGGUGAUGACUAUGCAUAUUGGAGGCUGGAGCUUCAUUUAUGUUCAGUAGCCAUGACAACAGGAGCAGCGCAUGCGAACCUGUUCAGUAGCAAUAUUUUUAUGUGGGCAAUGUGAAGAUAUAUGGAGGAGAACGAUCACCGGUUAUUUAUAUGAAUGCAGCCAGUGGCAUGACUACAGUUUUUGGUAGUUUGGCUUAGUUGAAGGGUUUUUUUGACUCUUGACUAAUAGAAUUUUACUGUAGGAGAUUAGAAAUUGAAUAGGUCAUAAAGGAAGAAAAUACCUAGAAUUACCUAAUGACUAGUUUUCUUGUGUAGUUAAUUUAAUUCCACAUAUGCAUGCAUCUUAAAUCAAUUACAAAGAAAAUAUAUGAUACUCUCUACAAGCUUUUUCAAAACAGAUAUGAGAAAUUAAUCCAUUCCCAUUAGCUUUAGUCAAUAGUAAGGUAUGUAAUUUGGCUUGAUUAAAUAUCCUUAGUUAUGGUUUUCACGAGAAAGUUAGAUAAUUAUUGUUUUGGAGACCAGGUUCUACUAUAUAAUCACAUUUUAUUUCACCAAAUUAAGCAAAGUUCGUAAAGCUUAUUUACAUUAUUGAUUUGUAAUUAACCUGUAUUGGUCACCGAAGAAUCAAUUUAUAUGCUACAAGUACAAGUGAUAUUCACUAGCAUGUUCAGGAUACAUGGCCUUUUCUGAGUUAUAUUAAUUGCAUAAGGGGCUGCUAAAUCAUAUCUCAUAAAAAUUAAUCAUUUUCAAAUUGUUAGCAUUAAUCAUUUCCAAAUUUUUUUAUAUUAUAAGAAAAUAUAAUAUCACAAAGAUAAAUUCCCAACGCACCAACAAUUCAAAAAAUUGAUAAUAGAGUUCAAGUACUUUUUCUUUUUUGGUUUUAUCUUGAUUCAUAUAUAACUUGUAAUGAAAGCCCGACUUGCAAAAUUUCAUGCUUUCUUUACUACUCUUGUAGAUGUUGCCUUUAAUAGUCAUUCCAAUACUGUCCAAUGCCACAUCAAUAAUGUGUAAGUUUAACAUUUUUGUCUUGUAAGAUUGACCUUUUUCAAAUCUCUAGUUAUUAGCUUUGUGCCAAAAAUUCAAGACUACGUGACAUUUAGAUCAAGAAGAAGAAAAUUGACUUGUAUGAAUUUUGAUUUUCUAUAUAUAUAUAUAUAUAUAUAUAUAUAUAUAUAGAUAGAUAGAUAGAUAGAUAGAUAGAGAGAGAGAGAGAGAGAGAGAGAGAGAGAGAGAGAGAGAGAAAGGUAAUGUCACCUUUAGACUAGUCCUAAAACAAACUUUAGGUAUACUUAUUGGUUGUAAUCUAAAAACUCAAGUAGAUAUUAAUGUCCAUCUCUAUUGCAUUUCAUGUCAAACUUUGGUUGGUGGAGAAUAGUAAGGAUUUAUCAUAUAUAUUGCUUUAUAACUCACAAAUUAAUUAAUUUUAUUUCAUAUAUAUGACUUACAAUCUUAUGGGUGAAUAAUAUUGCAUUCAAGUGCAUGAGGACAAACAGCACAUAUGAGUUCAAAAUUUUUAAUAGAUUAUUAUUAAGCUAUAUAUCAAACCUUUUUAUGUAUUUGUAAUUUAAAAAAGGAAAAAUGAAAAAGGCCCUAAAGAUUAGUUAAUUUAUCUUAUUGUAAGGAUUUAGUUUUUCCAUAAAUUAUAAAAUUUUCAAAACUUCUUAUCAUCUUAACAAAUCAAGUGGUUUUUAAUUAGCAAAAAAAAAAGAGGUAAAAAGUUGAACAAGUAAUUUUAUUUUGGAGUGAAGAGCCCUUAUUAUUAAACAUCACAAAGUAUUUUUAAUUUUUUUUUUCACUAGAGCAUACAUUUCGCAAUAGUACUUUUUGUACCUAAACGUCUUCAAUAUGCAAUAUAUAUGCAUAUAAACCAUCAUAAAUUAUAUAGUCCACCAUGGUUUUUAUAUGAUUUCAAUUAAUAAGUAAUUGAUAAUUUAUAUAUGUCAUUAAAUAAGAUGAAUUUACAAGACCCCCAACUUUUGAGGAAAUAUCACCUAAAAUACACUCAAGAAUAUUUAGUAGUCAUUUAAAUGAGGUAAUAAAUAUAAUGAAUUUCUCAAAUAAUGAUAAUAUUAAAAAAACUUGAAUUUAUUUUUUAAAAUGUAGACUUUUCUUUUUCAAAUGUUAAUUUCCAUUAUUGAAUUUGUUUUUUCUCUUUCUCUAGUGUGUAUAUAUAUUUAAAAAAAAAAACUUAUUCAUAUAAAUAUACUACCUUUAGAACUAAAUAUCAAAAUUUUAGUGGACCCAAACCAUAUCAAGAUACAUUCUCCAUGUUAUAUGUGCCAACAUCAAGAGCAAGUUUGUGAUCAAUGCUUUCCAAUUUAGAUUUUAAAUUUUAAAAUAGAAUUUAAAAUAUCAAAGAAGUAAAAUCCUCUCUAAAUUUUCCUAUAAAUAGAUCAAAGAUCAAAGCAUUAUACCUCUCUAUUAAACUUUCUAUCUUGCAUUUGACCUUAAGAAUCCAUUGGCUUCUAAUUAUCUUAAGCCCAAGGGGAAGUUCAACCAACUAGGGAGUUGGUUGCAACUUUUCACAUUUCACAAGGGAGAGCUUCCUUGAAGCUUCUUGGCUUGUCAUCAUCAUCAUGCAAAGCAUACAUGAAAACUUUCCCCUUAAUACGAAACAACUUCACCUUUGGUUUUUACUCAAUACUCGUCUAAUGUAAUUUUUUUUAUUAAUAAAAUUAGAAAUGAGCAUUGAAAUCACAUUUCUUAGUGACUAAAAAGUUAUUAAAAUCACAUAUUCGCAAGAAAAAGAUAAUAGAAAUGUUUAAUUGAAAUAAAUUUUAACAAAUGUAUUUGGGUAGAAUAGCAUUUGUUUAAAUAGAACACUUUCCUUUUGACAUUGAUUUAAUUAGUUAGGAUUAUAUUAUCAAAUUUUGAUGAAUUUUAAUCGUUACUCACACUUAUCAAGGGGAUUAAUAUAAAGGAGGCAUUAGUAUGCACUACAUAUUUUAGCAAGUAGUAGUAACAACUGAGAUUAUAUUCACAAUCAUAGACAUCACAAUAUUUGAGGUUUUUAUUUAUUUAUUAUUAUUAUUAUCCUGUUUCAACUCAAUAGAAAUCAAUAGAAAAUUUUACAUAGGAAAUACAGCCUCUAUGCUUGCACCACCACCAUAUGUGAGUACAAAUUGGCCUUCUGGGAUUACAGGGUGGUAAGCGUACUGCCAAAUCUAUAACAUAUGUGUCAUGAUUAUCACUCUUAAUAUCAAUUAACAUAAAUAUGAAUCAAAUAGAAAAUGAAUUAAUUUGUGAAAUAUAGAAAUCCUCACAAAUUUUUGAAUUAAUUUUGUCUAGCCCUUGUAUUACAAAAAAAUUUACAAUCUUUUAUAAAUGAUUACUCAUUUUCAUGAAACCAAUUUCAAUACCUCCGUUCUGUAAUAAAUAAUUUAAGCCAUAGAAAUUAGAAACUUUCUAUGAUCCUUUAAUGAUUUCAUUAAUAUGAAAAUAAAAUAUUUACUUAGAUUUAUAAUUUGCAUUGAUAAAUUAUAAGUUCUAUGAUCAAGUCCUUUGAACAUUGAAUAUGGAUUUUCAAAUUUAUUUUUGUUUUAGGACCUUGGGUUAUUCUUGAUCAAGUUGAGUUCUAUAACUCAAAAUUAUAUCUAAAACAUUUUCUUAGUUUAGAUCCUUAAUUACCAUUUAAUGAAUCAAAUUGAAGUAUGUCACAAUGUUUAGGUUCUCACUUUUCUUGUAGAUUUGACUUUAGGAAAUGUAACGAUAGGAUACACUUAGUUAACUACUGAUUAAGGGAUGACAAGAAUCACUAGUGCUGCUAUAAAGUACUAUUGUACCUUCUUUAGUUUUAUUCUAAUUUUAGUACUCUAUUCUGAAAUUGGUUUUGGUAAACCNNNNNNNNNNNNNNNNNNNNNNNNNNNNNNNNNNNNNNNNNNNNNNNNNNNNNNNNNNNNNNNNNNNNNNNNNNNNNNNNNNNNNNNNNNNNNNNNNNNNNNNNNNNNNNNNNNNNNNNNNNNNNNNNNNNNNNNNNNNNNNNNNNNNNNNNNNNNNNNNNNNNNNNNNNNNNNNNNNNNNNNNNNNNNNNNNNNNNNNNNNNNNNNNNNNNNNNNNNNNNNNNNNNNNNNNNNNNNNNNNNNNNNNNNNNNNNNNNNNNNNNNNNNNNNNNNNNNNNNNNNNNNNNNNNNNNNNNNNNNNNNNNNNNNNNNNNNNNNNNNNNNNNNNNNNNNNNNNNNNNNNNNNNNNNNNNNNNNNNNNNNNNNNNNNNNNNNNNNNNNNNNNNNNNNNNNNNNNNNNNNNNNNNNNNNNNNNNNNNNNNNNNNNNNNNNNNNNNNNNNNNNNNNNNNNNNNNNNNNNNNNNNNNNNNNNNNNNNNNNNNNNNNNNNNNNNNNNNNNNNNNNNNNNNNNNNNNNNNNNNNNNNNNNNNNNNNNNNNNNNNNNNNNNNNNNNNNNNNNNNNNNNNNNNNNNNNNNNNNNNNNNNNNNNNNNNNNNNNNNNNNNNNNNNNNNNNNNNNNNNNNNNNNNNNNNNNNNNNNNNNNNNNNNNNNNNNNNNNNNNNNNNNNNNNNNNNNNNNNNNNNNNNNNNNNNNNNNNNNNNNNNNNNNNNNNNNNNNNNNNNNNNNNNNNNNNNNNNNNNNNNNNNNNNNNNNNNNNNNNNNNNNNNNNNNNNNNNNNNNNNNNNNNNNNNNNNNNNNNNNNNNNNNNNNNNNNNNNNNNNNNNNNNNNNNNNNNNNNNNNNNNNNNNNNNNNNNNNNNNNNNNNNNNNNNNNNNNNNNNNNNNNNNNNNNNNNNNNNNNNNNNNNNNNNNNNNNNNNNNNNNNNNNNNNNNNNNNNNNNNNNNNNNNNNNNNNNNNNNNNNNNNNNNNNNNNNNNNNNNNNNNNNNNNNNNNNNNNNNNNNNNNNNNNNNNNNNNNNNNNNNNNNNNNNNNNNNNNNNNNNNNNNNNNNNNNNNNNNNNNNNNNNNNNNNNNNNNNNNNNNNNNNNNNNNNNNNNNNNNNNNNNNNNNNNNNNNNNNNNNNNNNNNNNNNNNNNNNNNNNNNNNNNNNNNNNNNNNNNNNNNNNNNNNNNNNNNNNNNNNNNNNNNNNNNNNNNNNNNNNNNNNNNNNNNNNNNNNNNNNNNNNNNNNNNNNNNNNNNNNNNNNNNNNNNNNNNNNNNNNNNNNNNNNNNNNNNNNNNNNNNNNNNNNNNNNNNNNNNNNNNNNNNNNNNNNNNNNNNNNNNNNNNNNNNNNNNNNNNNNNNNNNNNNNNNNNNNNNNNNNNNNNNNNNNNNNNNNNNNNNNNNNNNNNNNNNNNNNNNNNNNNNNNNNNNNNNNNNNNNNNNNNNNNNNNNNNNNNNNNNNNNNNNNNNNNNNNNNNNNNNNNNNNNNNNNNNNNNNNNNNNNNNNNNNNNNNNNNNNNNNNNNNNNNNNNNNNNNNNNNNNNNNNNNNNNNNNNNNNNNNNNNNNNNNNNNNNNNNNNNNNNNNNNNNNNNNNNNNNNNNNNNNNNNNNNNNNNNNNNNNNNNNNNNNNNNNNNNNNNNNNNNNNNNNNNNNNNNNNNNNNNNNNNNNNNNNNNNNNNNNNNNNNNNNNNNNNNNNNNNNNNNNNNNNNNNNNNNNNNNNNNNNNNNNNNNNNNNNNNNNNNNNNNNNNNNNNNNNNNNNNNNNNNNNNNNNNNNNNNNNNNNNNNNNNNNNNNNNNNNNNNNNNNNNNNNNNNNNNNNNNNNNNNNNNNNNNNNNNNNNNNNNNNNNNNNNNNNNNNNNNNNNNNNNNNNNNNNNNNNNNNNNNNNNNNNNNNNNNNNNNNNNNNNNNNNNNNNNNNNNNNNNNNNNNNNNNNNNNNNNNNNNNNNNNNNNNNNNNNNNNNNNNNNNNNNNNNNNNNNNNNNNNNNNNNNNNNNNNNNNNNNNNNNNNNNNNNNNNNNNNNNNNNNNNNNNNNNNNNNNNNNNNNNNNNNNNNNNNNNNNNNNNNNNNNNNNNNNNNNNNNNNNNNNNNNNNNNNNNNNNNNNNNNNNNNNNNNNNNNNNNNNNNNNNNNNNNNNNNNNNNNNNNNNNNNNNNNNNNNNNNNNNNNNNNNNNNNNNNNNNNNNNNNNNNNNNNNNNNNNNNNNNNNNNNNNNNNNNNNNNNNNNNNNNNNNNNNNNNNNNNNNNNNNNNNNNNNNNNNNNNNNNNNNNNNNNNNNNNNNNNNNNNNNNNNNNNNNNNNNNNNNNNNNNNNNNNNNNNNNNNNNNNNNNNNNNNNNNNNNNNNNNNNNNNNNNNNNNNNNNNNNNNNNNNNNNNNNNNNNNNNNNNNNNNNNNNNNNNNNNNNNNNNNNNNNNNNNNNNNNNNNNNNNNNNNNNNNNNNNNNNNNNNNNNNNNNNNNNNNNNNNNNNNNNNNNNNNNNNNNNNNNNNNNNNNNNNNNNNNNNNNNNNNNNNNNNNNNNNNNNNNNNNNNNNNNNNNNNNNNNNNNNNNNNNNNNNNNNNNNNNNNNNNNNNNNNNNNNNNNNNNNNNNNNNNNNNNNNNNNNNNNNNNNNNNNNNNNNNNNNNNNNNNNNNNNNNNNNNNNNNNNNNNNNNNNNNNNNNNNNNNNNNNNNNNNNNNNNNNNNNNNNNNNNNNNNNNNNNNNNNNNNNNNNNNNNNNNNNNNNNNNNNNNNNNNNNNNNNNNNNNNNNNNNNNNNNNNNNNNNNNNNNNNNNNNNNNNNNNNNNNNNNNNNNNNNNNNNNNNNNNNNNNNNNNNNNNNNNNNNNNNNNNNNNNNNNNNNNNNNNNNNNNNNNNNNNNNNNNNNNNNNNNNNNNNNNNNNNNNNNNNNNNNNNNNNNNNNNNNNNNNNNNNNNNNNNNNNNNNNNNNNNNNNNNNNNNNNNNNNNNNNNNNNNNNNNNNNNNNNNNNNNNNNNNNNNNNNNNNNNNNNNNNNNNNNNNNNNNNNNNNNNNNNNNNNNNNNNNNNNNNNNNNNNNNNNNNNNNNNNNNNNNNNNNNNNNNNNNNNNNNNNNNNNNNNNNNNNNNNNNNNNNNNNNNNNNNNNNNNNNNNNNNNNNNNNNNNNNNNNNNNNNNNNNNNNNNNNNNNNNNNNNNNNNNNNNNNNNNNNNNNNNNNNNNNNNNNNNNNNNNNNNNNNNNNNNNNNNNNNNNNNNNNNNNNNNNNNNNNNNNNNNNNNNNNNNNNNNNNNNNNNNNNNNNNNNNNNNNNNNNNNNNNNNNNNNNNNNNNNNNNNNNNNNNNNNNNNNNNNNNNNNNNNNNNNNNNNNNNNNNNNNNNNNNNNNNNNNNNNNNNNNNNNNNNNNNNNNNNNNNNNNNNNNNNNNNNNNNNNNNNNNNNNNNNNNNNNNNNNNNNNNNNNNNNNNNNNNNNNNNNNNNNNNNNNNNNNNNNNNNNNNNNNNNNNNNNNNNNNNNNNNNNNNNNNNNNNNNNNNNNNNNNNNNNNNNNNNNNNNNNNNNNNNNNNNNNNNNNNNNNNNNNNNNNNNNNNNNNNNNNNNNNNNNNNNNNNNNNNNNNNNNNNNNNNNNNNNNNNNNNNNNNNNNNNNNNNNNNNNNNNNNNNNNNNNNNNNNNNNNNNNNNNNNNNNNNNNNNNNNNNNNNNNNNNNNNNNNNNNNNNNNNNNNNNNNNNNNNNNNNNNNNNNNNNNNNNNNNNNNNNNNNNNNNNNNNNNNNNNNNNNNNNNNNNNNNNNNNNNNNNNNNNNNNNNNNNNNNNNNNNNNNNNNNNNNNNNNNNNNNNNNNNNNNNNNNNNNNNNNNNNNNNNNNNNNNNNNNNNNNNNNNNNNNNNNNNNNNNNNNNNNNNNNNNNNNNNNNNNNNNNNNNNNNNNNNNNNNNNNNNNNNNNNNNNNNNNNNNNNNNNNNNNNNNNNNNNNNNNNNNNNNNNNNNNNNNNNNNNNNNNNNNNNNNNNNNNNNNNNNNNNNNNNNNNNNNNNNNNNNNNNNNNNNNNNNNNNNNNNNNNNNNNNNNNNNNNNNNNNNNNNNNNNNNNNNNNNNNNNNNNNNNNNNNNNNNNNNNNNNNNNNNNNNNNNNNNNNNNNNNNNNNNNNNNNNNNNNNNNNNNNNNNNNNNNNNNNNNNNNNNNNNNNNNNNNNNNNNNNNNNNNNNNNNNNNNNNNNNNNNNNNNNNNNNNNNNNNNNNNNNNNNNNNNNNNNNNNNNNNNNNNNNNNNNNNNNNNNNNNNNNNNNNNNNNNNNNNNNNNNNNNNNNNNNNNNNNNNNNNNNNNNNNNNNNNNNNNNNNNNNNNNNNNNNNNNNNNNNNNNNNNNNNNNNNNNNNNNNNNNNNNNNNNNNNNNNNNNNNNNNNNNNNNNNNNNNNNNNNNNNNNNNNNNNNNNNNNNNNNNNNNNNNNNNNNNNNNNNNNNNNNNNNNNNNNNNNNNNNNNNNNNNNNNNNNNNNNNNNNNNNNNNNNNNNNNNNNNNNNNNNNNNNNNNNNNNNNNNNNNNNNNNNNNNNNNNNNNNNNNNNNNNNNNNNNNNNNNNNNNNNNNNNNNNNNNNNNNNNNNNNNNNNNNNNNNNNNNNNNNNNNNNNNNNNNNNNNNNNNNNNNNNNNNNNNNNNNNNNNNNNNNNNNNNNNNNNNNNNNNNNNNNNNNNNNNNNNNNNNNNNNNNNNNNNNNNNNNNNNNNNNNNNNNNNNNNNNNNNNNNNNNNNNNNNNNNNNNNNNNNNNNNNNNNNNNNNNNNNNNNNNNNNNNNNNNNNNNNNNNNNNNNNNNNNNNNNNNNNNNNNNNNNNNNNNNNNNNNNNNNNNNNNNNNNNNNNNNNNNNNNNNNNNNNNNNNNNNNNNNNNNNNNNNNNNNNNNNNNNNNNNNNNNNNNNNNNNNNNNNNNNNNNNNNNNNNNNNNNNNNNNNNNNNNNNNNNNNNNNNNNNNNNNNNNNNNNNNNNNNNNNNNNNNNNNNNNNNNNNNNNNNNNNNNNNNNNNNNNNNNNNNNNNNNNNNNNNNNNNNNNNNNNNNNNNNNNNNNNNNNNNNNNNNNNNNNNNNNNNNNNNNNNNNNNNNNNNNNNNNNNNNNNNNNNNNNNNNNNNNNNNNNNNNNNNNNNNNNNNNNNNNNNNNNNNNNNNNNNNNNNNNUAUUCAUAAAAUCUUUUGCCCCAUUCCUUUCAAAAGUUAAUAGCUAAUCAUAAUAUUUAAAUAAUAGAUUAGUAAAAAUGUGCUUUGCCAUAAAUAAAUAUAUAAAUAACAUAAAAAUAAAAAACAAAUAAGGAACACUCCUUUUGGUAUAAUAGAGUGAUUGGAACCCUCAAAUAUUAUGCUAGAGAUUAUCCCAUUAAAAUACAACUUGAUUGUUUUGAGAUUGAAGUGCAAUAAAUAAAUAACAUUUGAAUAAAAGUUAAUUACCAUAUUAGUCCAAAAUGCAUACCUCAUAUAAUGUGUUAUGUUUCAAGAUUUGAGAUUUCAUGGCAUGUAUUAAUUCAAAUUAGAUCAUUGAAAUUUCUCAAAGGAUUAAUUCUUUGGUGCAAAUAUAUUAUAGAGGAUAGAAACUAUAUAUAAUUAUCAAGUCUCAACACUUCUUAUAUCUAUAUCCUGAAGUAUGAAGUAUGAUUAAUUCCCUCACUCCAAUGGAUGUUUCCAACUACUCGUCGUCACAUUUCAAUCCAUCACGUAUAGUCUUCAUAAGUUCAUCUCUAUCCUAUAACAUUUUCCCACCUGAAAUAUUUAUAGUGAUAGUUUUAACAUUUUUUUUUAUAUUAUAAGAAAAUAUAAUAUCAAAAUGAUCUAUUCUCAAUGCAUGAACAAUUCAAAAAAUUGAUAAUAGAGUUCAAGUACUUUUUCUUUUUUGGUCUUAUCUUAAUUUAGUAUAACUUGUAAUGAAAGCUUAGCUUACAAGAUUUCAUGCUUUCUCUGCUACUCUUAUGGAUAUUACCUCCAACAACCAUUCCAACACUGUCCAAUGCCACAUCAAUAAUGAGUACGUUUUACAUUUUUUUUCUUAUAAGAUUGACCUUUUUUCAAAUCUCUAGCUAUUGCCUUUGUGCCAAAAAUUCAAGACUAUGUGACAUUUAGAUUAAGAAGAAGAAAAUUGACUUGUACAAAUAUUUUAUUUCUAUAUAUGUAGAGGUAAACCUUUGGACUAGUCCUAGAACAAACCUUGGGUAUACUUAUUGAUGGUAAUCUACAAACUUGAAUGGAUAUUGUCCAUCUCUACUGCGUUUCAUGCCAAACUUUUGUUGGGUGGAGUGUCAUAUAUAUUCUUUUAUAUCUCACAAAUUAAUUAAUUUUAUUUCAUACAUAUGAGUUCUAAUCUUAUAGGUGAAUAAUAUUUCAUUCAAGUUUGCGAGCAAAGACAACACAUAUGAGUUCUAAUUUUUUAAUAUAUUAAUAAGCCAUAUAUUAAUGUAUCUGAAAUAAAAAAUAAAUAAAAAAAAAAAAAAGAAGAAAAAACCCUAAAUAUUAGUUAAGUUAUAUUAUUAUUAGGAUUUAGUUGUUCCAUAAAUUAUAAAAUUUUAAAAACUGCUUAUCAUCUUAAUAAAUCAAGUGGUUUUUAAUUCACAAAAAGGAAAAAUAAAAGUUGGACAAGUAUUUUGUUUUUUUUUUUACUAGAUUAUACAUUUAACAAUAUUGGUAUUUUUUGUACCUAAAUGUUUUCAGUCUUACACAUACAUACACACACACAUACAUACAUACAUACAUACAUACAUACAUAUAUAUAUAUAUAAUCCAAAGUGGGUUUGAUAUGAUUUCAAUUAAUAAGUAUUUGAUAAUUUAUAUUUACCAUCAAUAAAAUGAAUUUAUAAGACUCCCUACGUUUGAGGAAAUAUCACCUAAAAUAUACUCAAUGAAUAUUUUGUGGUUAUUUAGAUGAAGUAUUGGAUAUGAUGAAUUUCUCAAAUAAUUUAAUUUAUCUUUAACAAUAGGAUAAUAAUUUAACCCUUUUUUUAAAAAAAUGUUAAUUUCCAUUAUUUAAUUCUUUUUUCUCUUUCUCUAGUAUAUUAAAGCAAAAAAGAAAUUAUUCAUAUAAAUAGUAUACCUUUAGGACUAAAUUCAAAAUUUUAGUGGACCUAGAUCAUAUCAAAAUACAUCCUCCAUGUCAUAUGUGCCAACAUCAAGAGCAAGUUUGCAAUUAAAGCAUUCCAAUUUUAAAUUUUAAAUUUCAAAAAGAAUGUCAAAUAUCAAAUAAGUAAAAUCCUCUCUAAAUUUUCCUAUCAAUAAAGGAGCAUUCUUUUACUUCAAAAGGUGGGAAAGGAAUUGGGCAAAUUGAGGCAAACCUCAUUAUUGAUUAGAAGGUUUCCUUAUAGUCUACAUCCUCUCUUUGAAUGUAAUCUUUGGCCAUGAGUCAAGCAUUAUACCUCUCUAUUGAACCAUCUAUCUUUCAUUUGACCUUGAGAACCCACUUGCUCCUAAUUAUCUUAAGCUAAAAGUGGAAGUUCAACCAACUUCCAAAUAGAGUUGGUUGUAGCUUUUCACAUGUCACAAGUAAAGGAGAGCUUCCUUGAAGUUCCUUGGCAUAUCAUCAUCAUUAUGCAAAGCAUACAUGAAAACUUCCCCCUUCAUAGGGAACAACUCCACCUUUGGUUAUACCCGAUACUCGUCCAAUGCAAUUUUUUAGGUCAAUAAAAUUAGAAAUGAGCAUUGAAAUCACAUUCCUUAGUGACUAAAUUAUUAAAAUCAAAUGAAAUCCAAUGGUAAAAAUGUUUCACAUCUCCAAGUUAUGUAGAAAAUUAUUCAAACCUUAACCAUGUGAUUGGAGUAUAAGGUAAUAAUAAUUGAAGAAUUGAACGAUCAUAGUACCAUGACAUCAAAUGAAUUGAUAGGUUCCUUGCAAGCCCAUUAACAACACUUGGAUGAAAGGUCUUAGAUUGAGGUGAAAAAAGCACUAAAAAGCCAAGUAAGUCUUAGAAGAGAAAAAAUGAGUCUCAAAAUAAUUCUAAAUCAAGUAAGAGAGGUUGGAAUUGAAAAAAUAGAAAAGGAAAUUCCAAAUUAGGCUAAAAAUGAGGACGAGGUAAUAUUUCAACUAAAAGAAAUAAUAAAUCUCAUAUAUAAUAUUAUAAUUAAAAAGAAAUAUGGUCAUUGCAAGUUAAAACGUAGGGCUUGGAGAUCGAAUGAGCGAAUGAAAGGAAUUUUAAGGCUAAUGCUAUAAAAGGUAAAAGUGAAAAUUUAGAGACCUUGUUAUUAGCUUAUAGUGCUGGAAAGAAUGAAAACAAAAGUACAUGGUUUUUGGAUUCAAUCUAUAGUAGUCAUAUGUGUGGUAGGGAAGAGAUGAUUUCCAAGUUAGAUAAGACUUCUAAUUUAGAGGUAAAAUUUGGAAAUGAUAUAAUAGUACUAGUUAAGGAUAAAGGUAAGAUUUUCAUUCAAUUAAAUAAAGGAUCCUAAAAUUUUAUCUCUAAUUUGUUAUAUGUUAAUCCAUGUCUUCAUCAAAAUCUAUUAAAUAUAAGGCUACUUUUACAAAAAAAUGGUUUGAUAUGUGGAUCUAUAUGGGUGUUCGUACCAUUAACGAUGAUUAGAAAUGACUAAUACCAAAGCUAAAUAUGAUACAAAAUCAUCUAUUUUUGUUAAAUAUUAAUUGUGGAUAAUUGACUUUCUUUAGCUCUAUAGUUGAUGAUAAAAUUUAGUUAUUAUACUCAUGUUUUGGAUAUUUAAAAUUUGGAAGUCUAAAAUUACUUUCUCCUAAGAAGGUUUUUGGGUUGUCUUCUAUUAAUUCUCUAAAUGAGGUUUGUGAAACAUGCAUUGGAGCUAUUUCAAAGAUUGGCAAUCCACCUAAAGCCAAGAAGUUAGAGCUGAUUCACACAAAAGCGUGGAGGCCAUCAUUGGUUUCAUCCCUUAGAAGCUCAUUGUACUACAUCACCUUCAUUGAUGACUCUACUAAGAAGGUAUGGGUUUAUUUUUUGAAAAAGAAAUCAAAAGUUUGUGAUGUUUUCAAAAAAUGGAAAGCCAUGGUGGAGAACAAGAUGGGCUUGAAAGUGAAGCGAUUGAAAUCUGACAACGGAGGAGAGUACAAAGAUGAGAAGCUUAAAGAGUUUUGUGCAACUAAUGGAAUUAAAUUGGAAAAAAUUGUUCUCAAGACACCUCAGCAAAAUGGUGUAGUAGAAUGGUGUUUUUAAAAUAGUUUAGGCCUGAAUGGGCAGUGAUUUUUAAAAGUCUUUCUACCCUUAAAAACACUUUUAAGUGCUUUUGGGAUGAAAAUAAAGUGUUUGGAAAAUUUUUAAAAACACUUUUGAAAAUCUGGAAAAACACUUGAAGUGAUUUUUAGAGAAUCACUUGAUAGGUGUUUUUUUAAAAAAAACACUUCAAUUUUUUUGAAAUAUUCCAAAAAUGCCCCCAGUGAUUCCCGAUAUCUUUCUUCCCUUUCGUUCAUACCUCUAUCCUUUAUUCUCCUCCUCCAUCGCUCUCCAUCUGAGACAACACAGUAAACCUCUAUUUUCAUUCGAGAUCGUGGAUCGAAGGUAACCCUCUAUUCUUUUUUUGUUUUCCUUUUCCAUUUUUUUUUUAAUGUCUGAUUGCCUUGAAAUGUUAGUUAGGGUUUUGGGUUUUAGGAUUGUUUGGUUAGGAGGAAAGUAUGAGAAAAUGAAAUCUAUAAAUCCUCAAAUGUUUUUAUAAAUCCUCAAUCAGCAGUAGCUUCAGAAGGCCACUCUACUUCCACUACUCCUCAAUCUCUGUUUCUCCUCGGAUUCUCUCUUCUGUACGUUUAUUAUUUAUUUUUAUUUCUGUUUUGAUUAUUCAAUUCUUGUUUUUAUUGUUCAAUUUCUCUCUGUUUAAUUACAAUUUCUUUUUAUGUUUUUCUUUUUUAUGUGAAAGAUGUUAAAAAGAAAUAUCAAACUAUGCACGUUUUUCUCUGUUUUUCUUGAUGAGUGGUGGGGAAACUGUGCUGCAGAUUAUGUAUAUGCCCUUUUGCAUGUUUGGUUGUUGAGAAAAUGUGAUAGAGCAAUUUGAGAAUUGAAAUUGUGAGCGGGUUUUUUUUUUUAAAAAUAAAUUAAUUAGUUUUUUUAUUUUUUGAGAUCCCAAGAAAGUAAACCUCACUUGGAAGAGAUUCAACCAAUCAUUUGGGUUAGUUGAGUUGAUUCUUUGUUUUCAGUGUUUCCUUUCUUUUCUGUCAUUUUCUGGGCUACCAAGCAGAGGGGCUUGGGGUUUUUUAUCCCCUUAUAAAAGUUGCAAUUUCGAAGUAAGACACAAUGGUAUGUAAUUAGAGUACAUUUAACAUUCUCUCUCUCUCUUUUGUUACUCUUUUUGAUUGAGGAUUGUGUUGAUAGUGAUAGAAAGAAACUUGAUACUGAACUUGUUUCAUGAAUUCCCUUCUGUAAUUUUCUUUUAAUUUAAUUUGGAAUAUACCCUUGUUAAAAUAGAACAAAUUGAAUUGAAUUUGAUUACAUAUGGGCAAUGUUACCAAAAAAAAAAUUUCAAGGAAAAAAAGAAGCGUUUCCAGUUGAUCCCAAUCAGCCACACAACUCAUUCCAUCAUCUCAAAAACCUAAAUAGUUAAAAACAUUACUGAAAAUGAUACCCGGGAGAUAACCCAAACCCAAUCAAUCAAUUUUUGAUCGGGUUGUAUUCAGGGUUAUGAAAAACCCUUUUGUUUGGCUCAAUGCCAGGCUCAACCUAAGAAUUCUUGUAAGUGCAAUAGAGGGAUUAAUGAGACUACAGUUUUGAUACAAUUAGGUUGCCCCAGUUGGAUGGAAGAGGGAAAGGAUAAGCCAAGUCCAGUUCUCGAUAGGUCAGCUACUAGGAAACCUUUAGUCGAUUAUAAUUGGACCUUUUUCAAUCUUUACUAGUGUGUUUGAUGUCAUAGAAACUGUGGUUACACUGAUCUAGCGGAGCCACAGAAUGGCACCAUGUCAUUAGAGAUUCUAUGACAUCACUUUCAGUCUUUUCUCAAAAUUUUAUUUUAUAGUAAUAUAAUUAAAAUAUUUUUUUUUUAUGUACAGACCAGUGUUCCAUAUGUAAGUUAAUCGUCCCUUCAUCAUCUGCAUAGUAAUUGUGCAGGGUUAGCCAAUGAAGUAAUUGAUGUUUGGUUCGAUAUGAAGAGUGGGUUAUAUUCAGAACAUUAAUCCAUUCUGCAUUACCUAUUCUAGAUUAAAGCAUGGUCCACACUAGCAAAUUAUGGAAAUUCUAAACUUUGCACUGAUUGUUUAUCAAUUAAUGGACCACAUAUAUUCUUGAUGUUAUGUUCCUUAAUUCUUUCUUUAUUCUUCAUUUUAAUUGUGUGAUUCUUUUUUUGAAAAUUAUUAUUUCUCUAAAAUAUAUAUUUUUUUAAAUAGAGAAUGUCUAGCAAUAUUGUUCAACCAUUUCAACAACCAAGUGGUGGAGAAAGUGAAAAACAAAGCAAGGCUUAUUGGGAUGAUAUUACAAUGGAUGCUUUUAUCAAAGUUUGUGUGACUGAGACUUUGGCUGGAAAUAGACCAAAUAGUCACUUUAACAAGUUGGGAUGGAAAAAUGUGAUAAAAGCCUUCAACAAUUUGACUGGAAGAAACUAUCAAUAUAGGCAACUUAAGAAUAAAUGGAGUUCUCUUAAAAAGGAUUGGCAACUUUAGAAUACCUUGAUUGGGAAAGAGACUGGCCUUGGGUGGGAUCCUAUGAGACAAACCAUCAAUGCAAGCAAUGAAUGGUGGGAUAAGAAAUUGAAGGUAUGUUUUGUUUAUUCAUUAAAUUUAUUUGAUUAAUUUAUAUAUUGGUUAUGAAAUAUGAUAAAUUAAAUACUCUUGUAGGAGAAUCUUGAAGCAAUAAAGUUUAAAACAAAAGGCUUGAAAAAUGUUGAGCAAUUAGACAUACUUUUCAAAGAUAUUAUUGCUACUGGUGAAGGAGCCUGGGCACCAUCACAAGGCUUUGUAGGACAAGAGGUUGAUGAUUCAUCUAAUGUGGGGGAACACGAAGAUAAUAUAAUAGAAGACCAAGAUGACUCUAGUUGCAAUCCGCCACUUGAUACUAUCUUCAAUGGUUUUGAAGCUACUUCUCAACCUUCUAUGGCAAAAAAAAAAAAAAUGAAGGAAGAAGAAAGAGGAAAAGGAAUGAAACCAAAUCUAAGCUUGUGGCUAUCCAGUUAGAGCGCAUUUGUAGUGCUGUGGAGAAUAGGUCUUCUAUCUCAUCUAAAGGAGAUAAGCCAGGUUGUAGCAUUGCUGAAGUGAUGAAAAUCAUACGUGGGAUGCCUAAAGUGAAGAAUGACUUUGAGUUAUAUAUGAAAGCCACAGAUAUCAUGGUUGUCAAGGAAAAUAGAGAUAUGUUUGUUGCAUUAGAAGACCCAAUUGAUCAGAUUGCAUGGCUUAAACAUAAACAUGUUUGAGUUUUAGAGUUGUUUCUUGUUUUUAUAUGGAAACAUAUUUUUGUUACCUAAUAUUGUUUAGUUGUUAGGUUGAGGGGAGGAAAGAGAUGUUGGUUUGCUUUACGUUAGUUGUUAUUUUAUAUUUCAUCUUAGUCAUUUAACUUUUUUUUUUGAGGUUUAUUAUUUCUAUAAGAUAUUUUUUUUAAUACAAAAUGUCUAGUAAUGGUAGGAAUUCUAAACUUCAAUUGUGUACUUUCUAAUUUUUUAAAAUAACUAUAGUAAUUGAAAAUAUACAUUAUUGUUGUUUAUUAAUAUAUUUCCUUUUUUAUUUGUGUAGAUGCCUUCUAAUAAUAAUGAUAAAAAUUUUGAUGAUGAAAGCGAUGAUGAACAUGAUUUUUAUCAGUUGGUGCUUGCGGGUUGUGCUGCAGCUGCAACAUUUACUAGUUUCAAAGAAAAAAAACCUUCUAGAACUUCUUCCCACACAGGAUACAAGUUUGUAAUGGAUGUCUUAAAUGGCCAUGAAAUUAGGUGUUUUGAGCAAUUUAGAAUGGAAAAACAUGUGUUUAUGAAUUUAUUAGAAACACUUACUAAAAGGUAUGGCCUAAAAGAAGGUUUUGAUAUGCCCUUAAUAGAGGUUUUAGCAAUGUUUCUCACUACAAUAGGUCAUGGACUAAGCAAUAGGAUGAUUCAAGAAAGAUUUCAACACUCUGGUGAAUCUGUAUCUAGAUGGUUUGAGAUUGUAUUAGAUGUUGUUUGUCUUAUGGCUGUAGAUAUUAUAAAACCAAGUGAUCCACAGUUUAAGGAAGUCCCUGAUAAAAUAAGAAAUGAUGAUCGGUAUUGGCCAUAUUUUAAGAAUUGUAUUGGGGUAAUUGAUGGAACUCAUAUACCUGUUGUGGUUCCUAGAGAUAGAAAAAUACCAUAUAUUGGUAGAAAAGGUGUGACUACCCAAAAUGUUAUGGCAGUAUGUGAUUUCAAUAUGUGUUUCACAUUUGCAUGGGCCGGAUGGGAAGGUGUUGCUCAUGAUGCACGAGUCUUUUUAGAGGCAUUAAGAAGGCCAGAAUUGGGUUUUCCUCAUCCACCUAAAGGUUUGUGAAUGAUAAUAUCAAACUUGUUUUUGUGAUCAAAUUUUUAUUAUCUAAUAUAUAUUUUUUUUUUUGUUUUAUAGGUAAAUAUUAUUUGGUCGAUGCUGGUUAUCCUCAAAUGAGUGGAUAUUUAGGCCCUUAUAAAGGCGAGCGUUACCAUCUUCCAGAUUUUCGACGAGGUAGUUCACCUAAAGGUAAAAAGGAAAUAUUUAAUCAUAGGCAUUCAUCCUUGAGGUGCACAAUUGAGAGAACGUUUGCCGUUUUGAAGAAUAGAUGGAGAAUGCUAUGAGAAAUGCAUAGUUUUCCUCUUGAGAAACAAGUAAAGAUCGUUAUUGCUUUAAUGGCUCUUCACAACUUCAUAAGGAUUAAUGCUAGAAUGGAUAUGGAAUUUAAACCUUAUGAUGAUGAUCAAGGGUUGCUUCCACUUAAUGAAGAAGAGAGUAGAGUGGAUUCACUUGUUGAGGAAGAUGGUUCACAUCAUACAAGAGAGAUGGAAGAACAACGUGAUCGAAUUGCAAAUCUUCUCAUAUCUCAUUGAUGUUUGAUUAUGACUCUAAUAUGUAAGAAUAUAAUUCCCCCCAAUUUUUUUUGCUAUGAAAACACUUGUCUUCUUAUUUACUUUUAAUUAUAAUUUUUUUUUUUGGGAAACUAAUAGGUAAUCAUAUAUUGUUUUACUUUGAAAUUUAUCUUUUAUUCAAUGUUAUUUUUUAUUGAUUUAGAUAUUUUUUGUAAAUAUUUUUAAAAAUUUUAGUAUAUUGAUAAAAAAAAUUAUUAUUUUUAAUUAGAAAAAUCUUUUUUUUUUAGAAAUUAAUAGGUGGUCAUAUAUUGUUUUACUUUUAAAAUUAUCUUUUAUUCAAUAUUCUUUUUUUUUUUUAUUGAUUUAGAUGUUUUUUAUAAAUAUUUUUUAAAAUUUUAGUAUAGUGAUAAAAAAAUUAUUAUUUUUAAUUAGAAAAGUCUUUUUUUUUAGAAAUUAAUAGGUAAUCAUAUAUUGUUUUAAUUUUAAAAUUAUCUUUUAUUCAAUGUUAUUUUUUUAGUGAUUUAGAUGUUUUUUCAUUAAUAAAAAGUUUUUUUGUUUAUCAUACCAUUUUUUUUAAUUAAAAUUGUAUGUCCUUUUUGGUAAUUUAUUAAUAUUAAAAGUGUUUUUAUAUUUAUACAAUAUAUUAUCAAAAACACUUUAGAAUCAUUUUUUUUUAUUAUCAUAAAAGUGUUUUUCACAGAAACACUAUAGCAAAAAACACUUCAAAUAAAAACACUUUCACUAGAAUCCCUACCAAACGGGCUCUAAAUGAACGUGCUAGAAGCAUGAGAAUACACACGGUCUUACCCAAGAUGUGGUAUUUGGUGUGUUUUGUGCAUUUCAUGUCAUGAUUCAAAAUCAAUUCUUAGAUAAAGUUCAAAUUCUUCGAUCAGAUAAUGGAAGCAAGUAUGUCAACCAAUAAUUUCAAGCUAUUUCAAUUAAAUGACCUUCUUCAUGAAACUUCUUGUACUCACACUCCACAACAAAAUGACAUGGUUGAGCGAAAGGACAAACAUAUUUUUAAAAUGGCACAUGCUUUGUUAAUUGGAGCAAAACUACCUUGUCAACAUUAGGAUGAUGCUAUUGUUAGUGUUGUACAUUUAUUGAAUCGAAUGCCCUAAAACCUAUUGAAGUUUCAAACUCCAUUAUAAGCUUCAUCUAACCAUGUUACCUUACCAUCCAUACUGUUUAUUCCACCACAUAUUUGGAUGUGUUACGUUUGUUCAUCUGCAUAAAAAUCAAUGAACAAAACUCAAUCCUUGUGUCAAUCAUUGCAUUUUUUUCGGGGUAUGCUACAAAUAAAAAGGGCUACUGUUGCUACAAUUCUACCACCAAAUUUACCUAGCUCAUGACAGAUGUCACAUUUUUGGAAGCUGAUUUUUUUUUUUACUUUUCAUCGGAAUCCACUUAUGAUCUUCAAGGGGAGACAUAGGAUGAAGAACAAUAGCGGAAGGGUUUUAAGGAAGUUAAGGAAAUUGAUCAAGAACUUAGAUCUAGUAAGAUAAUAAGGGGAGGAAAUGAGGUUGUAGCAAUAAAAGAACAUAAGGAGAAUAGCAUAGAAAAUAAGGAUGAAAGAAAUGGAAAUGGUGGCAACAAUGGGGAGGAAGGUGAAUUUGGACCCUCUAGCAAAAAACCCCUCUCCCUCACGUACCUAACAAUUGUUCUCCAAAGAAUAUUCUUGAAGUAAGUUCCCUUGCAUCAUCUUCUAGUCAUGCUUUGGAUACUCCAACUAGUUAUCACUUACCUUUCAAGCAUAAUAGAGGUAAACCUCUAGUUCGAUACUCACCAAAUGUUGAAGAGAAAGAAUCAAAGUACCUGAUUGUUAACCACGUAACCACCUAGAUACUAUUUGAGCCUCUUAAAGCCUUUAUGCACAAGUUGUUCUCUUGUCAUGUUCCUUGUGGAGUACAUGAAGCCUUAGUAGAUUCACAAUGGGCCUAAAAAAUUUAAGAGGAAAUGAAGGUGCUACUUAAGAAUAAGAUAUGGGAUCUUGUUUCACUACUGAAGGGAAAGAAAAUAGUAGGGUGUAAAUCAGUGUUCUCCAUUAACCAUAAGGCAGAUAGGUCUAUUGAGCAAUCCAAAGAAAGGCUUGUAGCCAAGGGAUAUACACAAACAUAUGACAUAGACCAUCAAGAGACAUUAUCACCAGUUGAAAAACUAAACAUUGCUAGAGUUUUACUAUUUCUAGUAGCAAAUUUAGAUUAUCCUUUACACCAAUUCAACGUGAAGAAUGUCUUUCUUCAUGGAGACCUUGAGAAGGAGGUGUAUAUGGAUAUUCCACUUAAUUACAUUGCAUCAUCAAGCAUUGGAGUAGUAUGUAAGUUGCAACAAGCAUAUGGACUGAAAGUCAUCUCAAGCAUGGCUUAGUCGUUUUGGCCUGGCUAUGAGAAAAUAUGGUUUUCAACAAAGUAACUCAAAUCAUUUUUUUUUUCUUUUUGUUUUUUUAACAUGAACAAGGAAAGAUUACUACCUUGAUAAUCUAAGUGGAUGAUAUGAUUAUCACAGGAGAUGACAUAGAAGAAAUUUCCCAACUUCAUAAAUAGUUGGAACCAAAUUUGAGAUGAAGAAGCUAGGAGGACUAAAAUGCUUUUUUGGGAAUAGAAGUAGCCAAAUCAAGCCAAGGUAUAUUUCUUUCCCAAUGAAAUCAUGUAUUACACUUAUUAUCUGAAGUGGGAAUGGUUGAUUGCAAGCUAAUUAAUACACUAAUUGUUCAAAAUCACAAACUUGGGGAACAUUCAGAUCGAGUGCCAACCAAUAAAGAGAGAUACAAAAUAUUAGUGGGUAAACUAAUCUAUUUAUCUCAUACUUGUCUGGAUUUUGCAAUUACGUUGUCAGCCUAAUAAGCUAAUUCAUGCACAAUUCUAGUGAAGAUCAUAUGGGGGCGGUAAUUCGAAUACUCACCUACUUAAAAUUUACCCCUGGUAAAGGACUCAUGUUCUCUAAGAGUCACCAUCUCAAUGUUGAUGGUUACUCAAACAUAGAUUAGGCAAGAACUACUGAUAGAAAGUUGACAUUUGGGUAUUUAACCUUUGUUGGUGGUAAUUUGGUUAUAGGGAGAAGCAAAAAGUAGAAAGUGGUAGCAUUGUCUAUUGUCUAAGCAGAGUUCAAAGGAAUUCCAAGGGACUUUGUGAGCUUCUUUGGCUUAGGAAGUUUUUAACCGAGAUUGGGCUUGCACCAAUGAUAGAAAUGAAUUUGUUUGUGACAACAAGGCAACUACUGAAAUUUCUCAUAACCUGAUUCAACAUUGAGGUGGAUCAAAGUCUUAUCAAACAGAAUCUUGAAGAAAAGUUCAUUUUGUUUCCUUUUGUGAUGUCAAAAGAUAAACUCACAAAUAUGCUUACAAAGGUUAUUUCAAGUAAAAGCUUCCACAACUCACUAGACAAGUUGGGCAUUAGAGACAUCUAUGCAUCAACUUAAUGGGGAGGGUUAGUGUGAGUUGUAAUUCCUUUUCUAAUUUAGAGUGAUUAUAGGACUAAUUAGUUGUCAUAUUCAUUGUAAAUUCCUCGCAUUUUACUAGCCCAAUUUCUAGCCUAGAAUUUUCUUUUUUCCAUUACCGAUUCUUUAUUGCUCGGUGAACCACUUCUAUAUAAGGGGUGCACUCAUGCAAACAAAACAUAGAAAAAAAAUAUAAUUGCUCAGAUUUAUCAUAGUAAGGAUUUAUCAUAUAUAUUGUUUUAUAACUCAGAAAUUAAUUAAUUUGAUUUCAUACACAUGAGUUCCAAUCUUAUAGGUGAAUAAUAUUGCAUUCAGGUUCGCGAGCACAGAUAACGCAUAUGAGUUCUAACUGUUUAAUAUAUGAUAAGCUAUCGAACUUUUGUAUGUAUUUAUAACUUAAAAAUCAAAAAGGAAUAAACCUUAAAGAAUAGUUAAAUUAGCUUACUAUAAGGAUUUAGUUUUUCCAUUAAUUAUAAAUUUUAAAAAACUUCUUAUCCUCUUAAUAAAUUAACUAGUUUUUAAUUAAAAAAAAAUUGGACAAGUGAUUUUAUUUUGGAAUUAGGACCCUUUUUUUUUUUAUCAAACAUCGUUGAAUAAUUUUUUUUUAUCAUUUUUAAAUAAGCACAUGAGUUAAAAAUGGGUACGUCAAUUAUAAAUAGUUUACAACUCAAACUCAUAAUACAGAUCUUUUAUAUAUAUGUUAAUGAAUUAGCUCAUUAUAUUCAUUUAUUAAUCUUGAUUUAGGCUAACAGCGCCCUACCAAAAAAAAUGUAUCCUAUAUCACAUUAAAGAAUUCUAUUUAGAGAAUUUUUAAAUAAAACAAUUUAGUUAAUAACUAUUGUUUAUAAAAUCUUUUGCCCUAUUCCUUUCAAAAUUUAAUCUCUUUAAUCACUUUCUAAUAGAUCAAUAAAAAGUUGCUUUGUCAUAAGCAAAUAUAUAAAUAACAUUAAAAAAAAUAAUAAUAAUAAGAAAGGAACACUCCUUUAGCGUAAUAGAGUGACUGGAGUCCACAAAUAUUAUGUCAUGUGCAACAAUUUUAAUUUAUUUAUUUCAGAUAUUUUGGCUUAUUGAGUUAGUUCAAAUAAGUAGCAGUAGUGGGCUAGAGAGUGGGUAACGUGAGUUAUUCUUUAGCUAGCUAUUUUUAGUAAUUGUUGAGUUAUAAAUUUCCUUAUUCUUGAGCAAUAAAACCAUCAGAUGAAAAACUUCCAAAAACUUGUCUUUGUUUUCUACUUUCCAAAUUCUUUCAAUACUGCAAAUAUUUUUUCUUAGCAACAUAGCUCGAGGGCAAGGUAGGGGGCGAGGAAGGGGACGGGAUUGUGUCAUUAACUUAGAACAUGAUAGAGUGGUAUCAGAGCUAAGUGUUUAGGUGAGUGUUUGAGUGUUGACACAAGUUAUAAAGCCCUUAAUGAAUUGUGAAGUUAUCAAGUUGUAAAUUCAUAAAUAAAAUGUGAUGUUACAAUAGGUGUAAAGUCACCAAUAAAAUUUGUGAAGUUGAAGAAAGUUGAAAAAUGCCAUGAUUUAUUGUUGUGUCAAUAAAAGGAUGAAAGUGCAUUAUAGUUUCAGUACCUUUUUUUUUUUCUUUUCCAUUUGUUGGAAGAUAGUCUUCCUAUUUUCCUUUUGUAUCAAAAAUUCUAAUUUUCUAGUACAAGACUAGAAGGGCAUGUAUGUGAGCUUGUGGAGGGUUUUGUACUUGUGAAACUAAAUUAAGGUAAAAGAAUAUUUUACUUCUUGUUUCUAAAUUAAUGCAUCCACAUAUGAAGAUCCAUGGGUAAUUAUGUUUAAGGAUUUAUUUCAAGUUUUUUUCUAAUACUAACCCAAAACCACAUGCACAGUAAAGAAAAGGUGUUGUUGAAUAGACUUGCCUUUCUUUUCUCUCAUAGAGAGAGAACUAGAAAGUAUUUGACAUCAUCCUAAAAGAAAAAUUAAACAUAUAUUCAAAACGAUAUCUUAUAAUGAAAACUAUUUAAUAUAAGGUUUUGAUUGUCAAAACUACUAAAGUUGUUCAUCCAAAUUAUUCAAAAUACUUUAAUUUUCUUGUAAAAGUAAAAUAAAUGUCAAGAUAUUUUACAUAUUCUAAAGAUCAAUGAUAACCACAACCAAGGCAAAACGUGUUGGUGAUUCAAACUUAAUCGAUCUUUUUAUUUUUGUAGCAUGAAUUAUUCAAAAUCAAUUAUGUAUGUGAAUUGUAAAAAUAAAAUAAAAUAAAUUAAAAUAAAUCAAAUCAAAUAAAUAAAAAUAUCUACUUCCCACUUUAUGUCUGAAUUGUUGCUUCUUCAAAAUACAAUGAAUGAUAUUGAAAUAUUUAAAAGCAUGACUUCAAUAAUUUACCUUAUUAAUUUACUUUCUUUGUGGGACACUAAGUUUGAUCACAGAAUAGAUCUACGGUGGAAACAGAUUUUUUUGAAUCAAAUGUUUGAAUAUGACUGAUGACUCUACUCACAUGCAUCAGAUUUCCAAAUUGCCAAAUUGUGUAUUUGUGUGCAUGCUUGUUAUGAAGGUCCAGUGUUCUGCCAUGGCUUUUCCGUGUACAUGCUGGCAGAGGAUGCUGCCAUGGCUUCCAUUUCUAAGGAUGGCUAUGACAAAGAUCAAAGCUCUUAAUGAUGUAAUCAUAUUUGUACAUCUAUUGGGAGCUUACUGUGAUUAGAUUACACAGAUCAAAAUCUUCUGAUAGAUUAUAGAGUUUCUUGCUUUUACUUGUUUCUGCUUAUUAACAAUCAGAAUUGGUUGCUAUAAGUUGCGACAAUGGCUAAGGAUUUGUUCGUACUCCAGGCUUCUUCUGGGAAUCAGGAUUUUUGUUCUGAUGAUUUGACUUUGUGGAACCAGAUCAUUGCCCUCUUUGUCCUUUCUUUUUCAAUGGGCAUUCAAAAGAUUGGCCAUCAUGUAUCAGGGGUCAGUAGUGAUUGUAGACGGGUUUCUUAUUCUUCCAAUGUUGAUAACGUGGUAUUGGAGGAGAACCAAGCCUCAGGGACAAGCUUCGAGGAUGACUCUGAUGACUGUGAGUUUGAGGAAGUGAGGUGUGAGCUUGGCGUGGUAGAAGGUCAGCUUUGCAACAUUCCAUUUGAGCUUUACGAUCUACCAGAUUUAAGAGAAAUUUUAUCUCUGGACACAUGGAAUUCGUGUUUAACAGAAGAUGAAGGGUUGAUAUGGACCAACAGACUUUUUGGUUGACUAUGAAGGAACUCCUUGUUGGUAGUGAUAUAUUUUUUGGCAGUCCCUUGGAUAUAUUUUUCAACAGAUUGAAAGGUGGAUGCUAUCCUCCAAAAGUGGGUUGUUUUAGAGAAGGUUUAGAAUUCUUGCAAAGGAUAAAGUAUUAUCAUUCUAUGAGAUUUUACCAUGACAACAUGACAUAAAUGUUCAUAAACAUGAGGAAGAUAUGGGCUCACUGCAAAAUGAGCACUGGUGUUGAGGAAAGGAUUUAUUUGUAGACAAGGAAAAAACUGUAAACUGAUUUGCUUGAUCUUAAUACAUAUCCUGAGAAUGGGUUUUUAUUAUGUAAAGAGGUGAACCCAGAACCAGUCACAAAUCAAUUGUCAAGGCAAACAAAGUCUGUGAAAAGCAGAAGGGAAAAUGCUUAACUCAACAAACAACAUACUAUGGCACAUGGAGUGGUAUUUUGAGGUGACAAUACUAACUGAUAAGGCCACUAAGGUACACACUACGACCCUCUACCCCACUGACAUGAUUACUUUAUGGUGGCGUUUGGAGGUAUGUCGAUAUAGAAAAAGGCACAUGCAUUAUAGACAAAUAAGAUGCCUUUAAGACUAAGUUAGUGCCUAAGACACCUCUCAACACAAGGUUAAUGUACGUAGAAACCUAUGUGAAUGACAAGCCCACCAAGGCCAUGGUGGACAAGGGUGCCACACACAAUCAUCUUUGUGGAUGAGGUAAAGAAACUAAAGCUCCAUAUAUCCAAGGAAGCUCAAUGGCUUACGGGAGUCAAUUUUGCUACCAAGCCACUCUAAGAUAUUGUAGCAUGAGGGGUUACCCUACAUAUUGACAUUUGGGAAGGCAAGAUGGACUUUAUAGUGGCACUGAUGCACGACUUCAACGUUGUGUUAGGGAUGGACUUCCUAUGCUAGGUAAAGAUAGUGCGACUAUCCUUCCUAUGUUCCAUAAUAUCUUGGAGAAGGAGACACCAUCUGUAGUCCCUAUGGUCACCAAAGGUAUGCUCAAAACCCUUUUGUUAUCAGCUAUGCAAGUGAAAAAGGGGUUAAAGAAGAAGUAGGUGACCGACUUGGCAACACUUAAGGAGGGGACUCCUUACCCAAGGCAAUCAAGGGAAUCCUUGACAAGUUUAAUUAAGGGCAUGAUACUGCCUAAGCUGCUUAAAAGGCUCCCUCAAAGAGGAAAAAAGAUCAUCAGAUUGAGUUGGUAGUUAAGCCUUAGCUAGUUGGAGAAGAUAACUUCAUAGAUACAUCCAAAAUCAUCCUCUACUUCAUAUCUAUUCCAUAUACAAUAUAUUUGUUAUUGAGACUGUAUUUGAUUCUUCAAAAGUUUAAGGAAAACGAAAAAUAAGAAAAAGAAUUAAUUUCUUUUUCAUGAAAAAAUCGAGAAAAUUAAACAUUUAAAAGAAAAAAAAAUACAUUUUUUCAACUUUUCUUAUGUCUAAUUCUAAGCAAAGUGAGAAGAAAUUAAAACUAUUUAACAUAUUUCUCUUUUAUUUUUGUGAUAUUUUCCUUAUCCUUUCUUUAUAUUAUUUAAACGUAAGAAAAUUACUUUCUUUUAUGGUCUUAUUUGUCUCUUUUUGAUACUUUUUAAGAAACCAAAUACCCUAAAAAAAAUUAUUGAAUUUGAUUUAAUACCUAUUUUUAUAUUACUCAAUUACCAAAACUUGUGGAACAUCCCGACCCAAAUCCAUGGCUAUUUAUAUGAUUUAAUUUGAAAACUAUAAUAUUUAAUUAAUAAUCCUAGAAAGGAUUAUCCAAGUUGACCCACAUGAUGCCCUACAUUUAUAUACAUAUUGUAAAUCGUAAUCACUUCCCUCAUUUUGAUGACUUUUAUAUAUGGAGACCAUGCUACCGUGUAGUUGUUGAUAGAUGACUUUCAUUCCCACUCGGUUCAACCUUGAAAACAUUGGCCUAGUUAAACCAUCUUUCUUAGAAAACCACAAUGCCACUAGUCAACCGUCACCAGGGACUACAAAUUAAUCAACAAAAACGAUACAUAUAAAACAAAAACGUUCAUUCCUUGUUUGAAAAAUGGGAUUCACUUGUAGGAAAAUUCUCUUCAUGAUGCUAUUUACUUUCCUAGUUUUCUCAGGUUGGAGGAUCGGAGAAGUUGAAGCAAUGAGGCCUUUGCAUGGCGGAGAGCAAUGGGCUGAGAGAAAUGGUUUGUUGCGUCAGUCCCUGCAGGCGGGUCGGUGCCACCAUCUGGUCCCAGUCCGUGCACACACAUCCCUGGACAGAGAGGAGGCAGGUGCGCCUUAAAUGAAAUGAACGUACUGGCCAUGUUGGGCUUGCGCCGCUUGCAUUUCCCAAUUUUGUGAUAGAUGUUGUUGUGGCUUCCGUUGCUUAGGAUAACCAUGCUCAAGAUCGAAGCUCGUAGGCUUGGCUUUGGAAUUGGGUUAUUGUAGAUGACCAGCUUCUUCUUUUUCUUUUUUUUCUAUUAUUAUUAUUAUUUUUUUUUUUUUGGGCAUGUGUUGGAGGACCAAUUCUGAAGAAAAGAAAAAGGUGGUCAGGAACUCUCAUAACUGAUGUAACUUCAAAAUGUAUGGAAAUUGAUUUUAUACUUUUUAUUCCAAUGGAUUGUCCCAAAGCUUAAUUUAUACAAAGUUAAAUGGCUUCAAAUCACGUAAGAAAUUCAAUUGAUGGACUAAUUUUUUUUGCUAAGAAAUUAAGAAUCUUGUUAGGAUGCAACAUGAUUCAUGUAUGUUUGGUAAUUCUUUUCAAAAAUAGUUUUUCAUUUUUCAUAACAAAAAAUUGGAAAACAAGUUCGAUAAUUAGAAAAUAGAACAAUGUUUUAAGAAAAUAAAGUAUUUUCAGAAAUUAAUUUAAAAAUAGUUAUAAAAUAUAAAAUAUGAUUAAAGAAUAAAGUACACAGUAAAAAUAAAAUUUAUUUUUAGAACAUAAUUAAAAAUAUAGAAAAUAAAUUAAGAAUAUUUUAGAUUUUCAAAUAGACUUUUAUUUUAUAAAAGAUUAGAAAACAACUUUUGAAAACGAUUUUUCAAAAAACCAAAUUGUAAGUCAAGAGAUUAAGUCAAAAUGAUGCAUCAAAGGUCAUACCUAACUUCAAACUAUGAUUUUCUUAAGAACCCUUUAAUGUUAAGUGUUGUACCAAAGUCAAAUUAAAUUCAACUUAAAUCAAUAAGUAUUAAGUUUUACCAAACACCCUUUAAUGUUAUAACUUAAAGGUAAAAAUAAUUUUAACCAUUAAGUCAAAAUGAUUAACUUAUUUUAAAUAAUCGAUUUCCUUUUGUCCAUAUACACAUCCAAUGAAAAUAUCUUUUAUGUCAAUGCCUCCACCGCAUGAUUCAUAUAACUUUUUAACUAAAUAUAUUGUAGUUAUUUUAUGAUUCUACAAGACAUUUAAUAUGAAUGUUUAGCAAAUAAAUUUAUUAUUUAACAAUAAUGAAAGUAAAUCUUAAUGUAAAUUAACAAAGGUAAAUAUGAAUUGAAAUUAAUAAGAAUAAUGCGUUAAUUUGAUGAUUCAAUAAAAAUGUUAACUUUAUUGGAUGACAUUAAUACUUAAAGUAUAAAUUAAAUAAUAAAUUUUAAGUUAACAAUUUAAAAAUAAUUUAGCUUAAAAUAUUAAGUUUUAUCAAACAUUUUGUAAAUCAAAUAAUAUUUGGACAAUUUUAUGCAUAUGUGAAUAGGAUUGCAACUUGAGUCGGUCCAAUUUGUACCCCAUGUAGGGUUCAAGUUGAAGGAUAAACUUUGAAUGGUUUGACUUGGGUUGGAAAAAUAUCAAUUUAAAAAUAUUAGGAUAGGUGUGGGUUCAAGAUUCAAGCAAUCUACCAAAACCCGAACCCGCACAUAAUUAUUAAUUAUAAAUUGAAGCAAUUGGAAAGUUAUAUAUACCUUGCCAUAAAAAUUUCUUAAAAUUGCACACACACCUGAGUUCCCAAGGAUCACAAUUUGAUAAUAUAUUGAGUUUUCAUCUAGUAAGAAGAUUCAGGGGUAGAUUGACCCAUAUGCAUGGAGAUGGAACGUUUGCAUAGUCACAAGCCAAGAGAUGAUUAACAGUACCUGUAAUUCCAAAUGAUGGUCUUUUCUCUAGAAAUAGGCACAUGAGCACAUACCAUAUGUCUCAUAUACCACCUCAAUGUUGAUCAAAACUCACUUGAUUAAAAAUAAAUAAAUAAAUAAAUAAUCAAAGAAGAAAUUAAAAUCCAUCUAUGCAUGACUCCUUGUAUUUAAGCAAAGUCAGAAGAGACCAAAUUUUAAGUCGAAAAGGAAGUCAGGAAGAUGAAUUAUUACAAAAGUCAAAUUUCAAAUGAUAUUUUUGUGCGUAAACAGCGGCCACCUAUGACUCCAUGUAUCGUUAAUCGAACUAUGUUGGGAAACUUUAGAAUUGGGUUUGAAUCCAUUUUUAAGUCUUCUAUGUAAUCGACCCUCACUCUCCGUUUUCCUCCUCUCUUUUUUGGAUCACAUGCUGAGAAUGAAAUUACCUUUGAAACGUUCCAUUGAAUUUUGGAAGUCAAAUAAAUAAGAGAGCAUAGUCACAGAAAAUUGCUUCCAAAGUAAUAUCCUCUGCUCCGUAGACCACUCCAUUGAAAUCAACGCUGACCUAUUGAUCUAAAAAUUGGGCUAUAGAUUUUUAUAUUCUUCUAGAGACGAAUACCAUAUUUUUUCAAGAAUUGCAGUCCCUUUCCUAAAAUAUGUGGAGACAAAAAUGAUGAAAAAGAAAAAAAAACACAUUAAUUAGAUAUGAAACAAUGAUGCUAAUUUUGGGAUGAGUAGGUAAGGUCGGAGAUGGUUAGACACCGGCAUAAGUCUCAAGACAAGUAAAGCCCAACGAUGCGUGUAUUAUGUGGGAUGAGUCCAACUCCACGGAAAGUUAAGCCUGAAGAAGAAUAUGAUUGAUUGACUGACAUCAAGAUUAAAUUGAUCUUAUUUACAGCAAAUUGGUUUAUAGCUAAUUAAGCCAUUGAUCCCAAUAAGUGAUAUUAAUUACAGCUAGGUCAUGGGUUAGAGUAGCAAGAGCCCCAUGUUGGACAGGGAAAAACCGUAAGGUGACAGAUUUGCUUGAUCUUAAUACAUAUCCUGUUGAUGGGUUUUUAUUAGGUAAAGAGGUGAACCCAGAACCAGUCCAUGCACACACAUCCCUGGACAGAGAGGAGGCAGGUGCGCCUUGAACCUGCAUUUUCCCAAUUUUGUGAUUGAUGUUGCUGUGGCUUCCGCUACUAAGGGUGGCCAUGCUCAAGAUCGAAGCUCGUAGGCUUGUUUUAGGAGUUGGGUUUUUUGCAUCUAUCCAUUUCCUUUUUUUUUUUUUCUUCUUUUUAUGCCAAUGGAUUGUCGCAAAGCUUAAUUUAAAGAUUAAGUUAAAUGGCUUCAAAAUAUGUACUUUGAUAGAAAGACUAAUUUUUUUGUUAAGGAAUUAAGAGUCUUGUUAGGAUGCAAGAAGAUUUAGGUAUGUUUGAUAACUGCUUUUGAAAAUAGUUUUCUAUCUUUUAUAAUAAAAAACCGGGAAACAAGUUUGAUAAUUAGAAAACAAAACACAGUUUUAAGAAUACAAACUAUUUUUAAAAAUUAUUUUAAAAAAAUCAUUAAAAAUAAAAUUUAUUUUAAGAAUAUAUUUAAAAAUAUAGAAAAUAUAGAAAACAAAUUAAGAACAUUUCAAGUUUUCAAAAAAACUUUUGCUUUAUAAAACGUUAGAGAACCAUUUUUAAAAACUGUUUUAGAAAACCAUUUUUCAGCAUUAUUUUUUAAAAUACUUCUUGAAGAAAGCCUUAGUCUUACAAAUUUUUAUUUUGACAUGAAUGUCAAAUUUCUAUUAGGAAUAAACAUAUAUCAAAGCUUUAAUUUUGUGCAACCAAAUUUGACUUAUUAUCUUGCUGUAUGUGGCUAUCACUAUCCAAUUCAUUGAGAUAAAACCAGACACUAAAUAGAGAUUUUGGGAAUUAUUUUCAAAAUAAGGACAAGUACAAAUUAAUUCUCCUUGAUAUACCAUAAAUUAGAGAGAUGUUUUAUAAAGUAAUAGAAUACUAAAUUAAAUAGAAGUUAGAUCAAACAAUUGUAAGUCAAGAGAUUAAGUCAAAAUGAUACAUCAAAGGUCAUACCUACUAUUAAGAAAACCUACUAUUGAAAAACAAUUGAAAAACCUAAUACUAGUCGUCUUCAAAAUGUCUUAGCAGUGGGAUGGUAAGGAUUUUGAUUGAAAAACCUACUAUUCCUAGUGUCCGAAAUGCUUGUCUUAUCAGGACAAAUCCACCCUAUGUUGAUAUAUAUGUAUAUAUAUAUAUAUAUAUAUAUAUUCUACUUUCCAAUCAAAGUAAAUCACUGAUUAAUGGACUAUCAAGUUUUAGACGUUUAAAAGAUCAAUGGCCAUCAGAAAAGAAAUAAUCAAAAAUUUGUUCAUGAUUCAAUUAAUUUUCUUCUUUUUUUUAUUUUUGUAUCAUGAAGUGUACAAACUUCACAUGGUUACAGCACACAUCAAGAGCCAAAGUAAUACACAGAAACGCAUAGAACUUGUCCAUGUUAUUCGUUGAACACAAACUUCAUCAAAAGAUGAAAAAUAGAAUACAGUUACUAAAGCUCAAAUGACCUGCAAAUCAGUUUAUUCAGAUGAAAACCACGACAAUAAACUACAUAUACUUGGAGCUGAUGGCUUGUAAAAAUGUCACUUGUGCAUGGUAGCCUUGACAGCCGGAGCAGUGGCAUGUGCUCUUGCAGGAGAUGCAGGUGGAUGUUUGCAAGGAGGGCCUUCAACGGGGGUUUUCCCACAUGGAUUUUGGCCAGAAGGAGGGACAGGACCACUUUGCUGAACCCUAGCAGCAUUGUGUGGCUGGACACUCAGAAGAAAAACAAGGGCUAUGACAGUAAAAACAACGUUGAGAAACCUCAUGAUAGUCUUGGUGAUGAGGCAAACAGGAGAUGAACUAAAAAUUAAUUGGAUAUGUAGAUUAUAUGCAUAUGAAGAGGAGAUGGUGUUAGUUGUUAUUUAUAAGCAUGCAUAUCCAAUGUAAUCACUUUAAUUUUUAAUUGUUUGAUUUGUUUGAAGGGUUUGGAUUCUUGACUAAUAGGUUUUGGCACGAGAUGACUGGAAAUUGAAUGGUCAUAAAGGAGAAACUGCCCUUGAAUUACCUGAAUGCAUAUCAAAGUUUAAUUUCUCAUUUCAUUCUUACAUUCACACCAAGGGUUUACUUGAAUUGAUGAUGGUUGAAACUUUGGAGUUUGGUCACAGUUCUGGAUGUUAAACUACUUUUUCUCGCAACAUAUAGUCCUUGUUACGAUGGCAGAAGCUUUCAUGUAAACAUCAUUAAUCAAGAAUAUAAAGAUAAAAUAAUUAACACAAACGAUACACGAGGUUUUAAUGUGGUUUGGCCAACCAUGCCCAUGUCUAUAGAUGAGAGAAUUAUUUCACUAUAAAAUAAAGAACAUUACAGAGGACAUAACCCGAUACAAUUAUUGGGUUCCCAAAACAUCCCAUGUUUCUCCACUCUUCAUAUCCCUACCCUAUCACGAGUCUUCUUGCUCCACCGAGUACCUCCCAUUCUUCCUCACACCUCUAUUCACCUCAUAUAGUCUUUACAGGCCCAUCUUCAUCUCAUAAUUUUUUUCUCCUCACGACUUAGAAUAUUUAUAGAGAUAUUUCCAACAACCUUCCUUAUUCUAAGUCUAAUAUUACAAUAAUAUAUCAAUCCAAAAAUAUUCAAUAUAAUAUUUUUUACAAAAAAGAAAUCUAUACUAAUUAGAAAUUUGGGACACUUCUUAACAAUCUCCACCUUAGACCAAAUUCCAUGAAGUCAAUCUUCAAACUCUCCAUGACACAAACUUUUUUGUAUUAUAUCACUAUGAGAGAGCAAUCGACUCUACCUUCACUGAAAAUUCCUUUUGCCUUCAUCUUGUGUGCUCCGUGGUUUUUUAAUCUUCCAUAAAUCUUCAACCCAAUAUCUUGUACCAAUUUGUUAUGACAGCGAAAGCUUUCAUGCAAACAUCGUUAAUCAAGAACACAAACAUAAAACAAUAACACAUACGAUACACGAGUUUUUAAUAUAGUUCGACCAACCAUGCUUACGUCAACGGAUGAGAGAGAAUCAUUCCACUAUACAAUAAAGAACAUUACUGAGGACAGAACCAGAACAUUACAAAGCACAUAACCAGAUACAAUUAUUGGCUUCUCGAAACAUCCCAUGUUUCUUUACUCUUCGUAUCCCUACCUUAUCAUGAGCUUCUCACUCCAUCGGGCAACUCUCAUUCUUCCUCAUAUUUUUAUUCACCUCGUAUAGUCUUUAUAGGCCCAUCUUCAUCUCAUAACUUUUUCUCCUCAUGACUUAUAAUAUUUAUAGAGAUAUUUCCAACAACCUUUCUUAUUCUAUAAGGAAGUCUAAUACUACAAUAAUAUAUCAACCUAAAAAUGUUCUAUAUAAUAUUCUCUACAAAAAAAAAAAAUCUAUACUACUUAGGAAUUUGGGGACACUUCCUAACACUCCAAAUAAGAAUUGAUCAAUUCUAUGGACAUGAUUCCACUCAAAUGCACCAGCUUUAAUUUCCAUCAUCAAGACCUAAGACACAAUGCUUGCCCUUUCAAAUUGGGCCAUCAUUUGGGUGUGUAUCUGCAUAUACAUUCCAUUUGCACACCACCACAAAGCUUGUUUAUGAUUUUGUUUUCUUUUGUUCAAAUCUCUUGAGAAAAUGCAAGAAAAAUGUGUAUAAAACUUUUCUCCCUUUUUCCCCAAAGGCACACGAUACAAGAGAUAAUUAGAUUGGUUGGAUGUUGGGUUUUGAUCAAUAUAUGUAUAUACAUUGACCAAGGGUGAAACUCAUAACACAUCAAACUAGGUCUACUAACAUGCAUGCUAAAUUAUCAAUAAAGUUCAAAAUAUUAAGUUGUAAUAAAUUUAUGCACCGAUGAUGAAUAUCAAGAUGCAUGAUCUAUACUCAUUAUUUUCAACAUACACAUGAAUUUAAAUUUUUUUAUUUUAUUUUAUUAUUAUUUAAAUAAAUAAAAAAAAGCAUUCUAGCUAAAAGCUAAUCAUACAACACAAACAAUGCAAUAAGUGAGCAUUAAUUUGGCUCAUGUUGUCGUGUUAUACACACACAAAUACCCAUGUUACAAGAUGAUAAGUUUGGCAUUACUAUUCAAAUAUUCCAAGUUUGAUAUAGCAAAAGCCAAGUAGAUUUUGUUUGACUUGGAUCAACAAUACGCAUGGUUUACAAAAAUUUCCUAUGCUCCUUGGACUUUCUACUCGUUUCUUGACUUUUCUUUGAGGACAAAUCAUAGUAACUAGCUUUUUUAAUCUAAACCUCUAAAAAUGAGUAUGAUUCAUAUAGAUUAGCAUGUCUAUUCCACUUGCAUCGGCAAAUAUCUGGUUUAUGAACAUUUGGAGAUGUUAAAAUGUAUAGUAUCUGUUGUGUCAGUGGAAGCUUUAUGCAAAUAAUGUUAGUUCAAGAACAUAAAAAUAAAACAAUCCUCACAAGGUUACAUGAGAUUUUAACAGGAUUUGAAUAAUCAUGCAUUGAUCCUUAGCCCCUUGACAUUAAAACUAUCACAUCCUUGCAAGGUCAAAAGAUUUGGGUUAGUAUGGGCCUCUCAACAGCCCAAUUGCUUUGAUUUCUUCUUCCCAUAUAUCCAUAAAAUAUAUAACGAAAAUAUAGAAAAAAUAUAUAUGCAAAGACAACAAAAUCUGUUCAACCCAAAAGAAAAAAGAAAAUAAAAGACCUGCAUGCUUUAAAAUUUGAUUCACAAAUUUGAAAAGUUCAAUUACAGGGCAAAUCCAUUCUAUGAUAAUAUAUUCUACUUUCUAAUAAAAGUAAAUCACUAAUUAAUAGACUGUUGAGUUUCAGCCAUGCAAAAGAUCAUGAAGCAAAAAUUUGUUCAUGAUUCAACUUUCUUCUUUUUAUUUAUAUAUCAUGAAGUGUACAAACUUCACAUUGUUACAACACACAUCAAGAGCGAAAUUAAUACACAGAAUGCAUAGAACUUGUCUACGAUAUUCGUUUAAUAUAAACGUCAUCAAAAGAUGAAAACAGAAUACAGAUACUAAAUCUAAAAUGACCUGCAAAUCAGUUUAUUCAGAUGACAAACACGACAAUGAACUACGUAUACUUGGAUCUGAUGGCCUGUAAAAAUGUCACUUGUGCAUCGUAACCUUGACAGCCGGAGCGGUGGCAUGUGCUCUUGCAGGAGAUGCAGGCGGGUGUUUGCAAGGAGGGCCUCGAACGGGGGCUUUCUCACAUGGAUUUGGGGUAGAAGGAGUGACCGGUCCCAUCUGCUGAGGACUUUCUGAAAGACCACGUCUUUUCUCUAUCAAGUACUCACGGUUCACUCCUUCAAGAACCCUAGUAGCAUUGUGUGGUUGAACACUCAGAAGAAAUGCAAGUGCUAUGACACUAAAAACAACGUUGAGAAACCUCAUGAUAGUCUUGGUGGUGAGGUAAACAGGCUAGGAGAUGUAAUCGAUUUGAUAUGUGGAUGAUAUGCAUAUGUAGAGGAGAUGGUGUUAUUCGUUAUUUAUAUGCAUGCAUAUCCAAUGGUAUCACUUGGACUUUUCAUUAUUUGAUUUGUUUGAAGGGUUCAAUUCUUGACUAUAAGGUUUUGCCACGAGGUGACUAGAAAUUGAAUGGUCAUAAAGGAGAAACUGUCUUUGAAUUACCUGAAUGGCAAAGUUUAAUUUAUCAUUUCAUUUUACAUUCACACCAAGGGACGACAGUUGUUUAAUGGAGGCUUGCGUUUUGAGAUUACUGUACUGCAGUGGCCUAUCUGCGGAUCGUGGCUUGUACAGUACUGUGUUUUUUAUUAUACCAUUAUUUUGUUCCUAUCUGGAACAAAGUAUAAAGUUUUGAUAGGGACGUGUUUACUUGAAUUGAGGCUUGAAAUUUUGGGAAUUGGUCAGAGAGUUUUGGAUGUUAAGCUGCUUUUUCUCGCAAAAUAAACUGCUAAUUAAGAAUUGAUCAACUCUUUGCAGAUGAUUCCAUUCACAUGCACCGACCUUUCAAAAUGGGGCAUCAUCCGGGGUGUAUAUGCAUGUGCAUACCAUUUCCACACCACCACAGAGCUUGAUCUUGUUUUCUUCUGUUCAAAUCUCUAGAAAAUGCAAGAAAAAUGCAUAUAGAACUUUUCUCCUUUUUUCCCUAAAGGCACAUGAUGAAAGUGUUAAUUGGCCAGGUUGGAUAAGUGAUGGGUUCUCAAAAUAUGUAUAUGUUGAUGACUCAAAGUCGUAGUCUCCGUCAUUAACUUGGGAGGUCUUGAGACACAUUGGCCUUAGUAUCUCUGAUCCAGUAUUGGACAACCAGUAAAAUGUAUAUAAGUAAAUAUACUUUUUAUAAAGUUUUUAGUUUAAUUAUAUUUAACGUGAUUUAAAUAAACAUAAAAAUAUGUUUAUUAUUUUUUGAUAUUAAAAGUUCUUUUAUUUCACAUCUUCAUAUUAAAUUUAAUUAAUUAUAAAAAUUUUCAAUUGUUAAUAUUGAUACAAGUAAUUGUUAAUUUUUUAAGUUAUAAUAUGUUAUUUAAUAAAAUUUAAUUUAUACAUCUAUUAAAUAAGUUAGUAAUUUUUUAAAAUAUAAUUAAAUUAAAUUGUUAUAAUUUAUAUUUACAUUUCAAUUUAUUUCAUUAUAUUCAUUGCCCAUGAUAUAAAUACUACUAUAUUCAUUACCCAUUUUAUAAAUACCCUAACACACAUUGGUAAACACAUUACCUCAUUACCCAAGACCCAUUUCUUCAUCCUCCCCUUCCUCUUCUUCUCUUUCAAACCUUUUUUAUUUUCCUUUAUUUGCAACGGAGUGAAUGGGAAUAAAACCAUCCUCCCAGUCCUCUUCUUCUCUUUCAAACCAUUUUUUUUCUUUAUUCUCUUUCAAACCCAUUUUUUUUUCCAACUAGGUGAAUGAGAAUAAAACCAUUCUCCUCGUCCUCUUUUUCUUUGUCAAACCUUUUUUUUUCUUUCUCUGCAAUUAGGUGAAUGAUAAUAAAUCCAUCUGCAAUUGAUUCUCCUUAAGGCUCAAUUUCUAGGCUGCUUCUCAUUUCGAAUUGAUCUAGACCAUCUUCGAGUCAAACUCAAAUAUCGGUGUCAUAGUAGGCUUGCCCAUGGUGGAUACUUCUUGGCUAAGUCAUAUUUGUCUCGAUCGAUACUUUGGAACUUUGUAUAUGCCUUAAUCGAGGGUGAAAUUCAUGACACAUAAAACUAGGUCUACUAACAUGCAUGUUAAAUUAUCAAUAAUGUGCAAAAUAUUAAAUUGUUAAUUUAUGCACCAAUGAUAAAUAUCAAGAUGCAUGAUCUAUACUCAAAGUAAUCAAAGACCAAGGAAGGUACAUAGUAAUUUUUUACAUGGAAAACCCUCACAUUAAUUGUGGAGACAAAAAAACCUUAAGACCUCUAAUCUACAAUUCACUAUUUGAGAUCAAAGUAUACAAAUUUACCUGACCGUUUUACCCUGAAGACUUACUCUUCAACACCUAUACUUUGAUUCACAUCUACGAUGUAGUACCUCCAAUACUUCAAUGGAUUCCUCUCAGCUUUUGAGGGGAUACAAAUCCUUCUAACAACCUAGAAUUCAACCCUGUAAAUUCUUUCUUGAGAAAUUGGGAAUAAUAGGGCAAGUUGGUUGAUUCUCAAAGUGUCCAACCCAAAAACAUAUUUAGGUAGGGUAUAUAUAGGCCUAAGACCCCAGAGAGUUAGAAACGAAAUUUUCUUAAAAAGUAAAAUAUCAACUUUCCAAAAUUAAUUACCAAAAGAAUUUUAUUUUAUUUUAAAUUAAAUAAUAAACUUUCUAAAAAUUAAUUAAAAAAUAAAAUAUCAACUUCUAAAAAAUGUAUUAAGAAAAGAAUUUCUUAAAAAAAAAUCAACUUUCUAAAAAUUAAUUAAAAAUAAAAUCUCAAAGUUGUCAAAAAUUAAUAAAGACAUUUUAACUCAAUUUAAAACUUCCAAAAAAAUUAAUUUGCCUUCAAAUAAUAUUUCAGACUUAUUUGUGACUACCUGGUUGAACACAAAACAACCUUGAAUCUUCAAUAGAAAGUAAGUUAUUAUCUAAAAAGAUUUCUAAGCCAAAAUAAAAAGGAAUAAAAUUGUUAAUACAUAAAAAUAUCAUAACACCGUGAGAAACAAAAAUGAUGAAAAAGGAAAAAACAUAUUUAUUAGGUAUGCGACAAUGCUUCUGAUUUUGGGAUGAGUAUGAAAGAUCGGAGAUUGUUAGACACUACUAUAAGUCUUUAGGAUGAAUAUGAAUGAAUGACAUCAAGCCACAUAAAGAGAAUUAACUUAAUCUCACUGAUAUUUAAUUGGUUUUAAGAUGAUAUGGUUAAGUUUUUUAUUCUAACAAGUGGUAUUAGAGCCAUGUUUUAAGGUUGGAGUUGCAAAAGCCUAAUCUGGGAGGAGGGAUUAUUAGGUAUGCAACAAUGUUGCUCCAAGAAAAAAAUGACCUUGGGAUAAGUGUUUAAUGCUGGAGAUGAUUAUACACCACUAUAAUCCUCAAAAUAAGUAUAGUCAAUUGGUUUUUUGAUGAGAUAACUCUAGGAUCCUAACAAGGUUUUAAUUUCAUAGAUUUUUCUAUAAAGGAAUUUAUAAAUGGCAUAACCAUUUCAAGAAACUCGCUGAAGUGGACACAUGAAACUGAAGUCCAUCAGUUUACAUUGGCUUUGCAUUCCUCGAUCAAGGUGGCGCAAUCUGUGUAAUCGGUGAACUCUCAGGGCCCAAUCUGUGCAGAAGCCAACACCAUAAAAAAGGGAUAUUAAAAGCUAUCAUCCUUACCCCAUCGAAAGAUUUGGGUUAGUUUGAGCCUCUCAAGAGCCAAAUUGCUUCUAUGUCUUCUCCCAAGAGAUCCAUAAAUAUAGAUGAAAAAAGGGGAUAAACCUAUAUGCAAAGACAAAUAACAAGUUUGUUCAACCCAAAAGAAAAAAAAGGGACAUGUAUGCUAUAAAAUCUGAUUGAAAAACUUAAUACUAGUCGUCUUCAAAAUGUCUUACCAGUGAGAUGGUCAGGAUUUUGAUUGAAAAAUCUACUAUCCCUAGUGUCCAAAAUGCUUGUCUGAUAAAAUCCACUCUAUGUUUAUAUAUAUAUGUUCUAAUUUCCAAUAAAAGUUAAAUCACUGAGUAAUGGACUAUUAAGUUUUAGACGUUCAAAAGAUCAAUGAUCAUCAGAAAAGAAACAAGCAAAAAUUUGUUCAUGAUUCAAAUUUACUUUCUUUUUAUUUUUGUAUCAUGAAGUGUACAAAUUUCACAUGGUUACAGUACACAUCAAGAGCCAAAGUAAUACACUGAAACCCACAGAACUCGUCCAUGUUAUUCGUUGAACACAAACUUCAUCAAAAGAUAUAAAAUAAAAUACAGAUACUAAAGCCAAAAUUACCUGCAAAUCAGUUUUUUCAGAUGACAAACACGACAAUAAACUACGUAUACUUGCAGCUGAUGGCUUUUAAAAAUGUCACUUGUGCAUGGUAACCUUGACAGCCGGAGCGGUGGCAUGUGCUUUUGCAGGAGAUGGAGGCCGGUUUUUGCAAAGCGGGCCUCCAACGGGGAUUUUCUCACAUGAAUUCGGGGCAGGAGGGACAGGACCCAUAUGCUGAGGAGUUUCUAAUAGACUAGGUCUAUUUUUUGCUUGAAUUCAGGCUUGAAAUUUUGGGGUUUGGUCACAGUUCUGGAUGUUUUAAGCUGCUUUUUCUCCUAACGUAUAUUCCUAAUUAAUAAUUGAUCAACUCUUUGUAGAUGAUUCCACUCACAUGCACCAACCUUUCCUUUAUCGUCAAGACCUGAGACACAAGGCAUGUCCUUUCAAACUGGGGCAUCAUCUGGAUGCGUAUAAGCAUAUACAUACCAUUUCCACAUCACCACAAAGCUUGUUUAUAAUCUUGUUUUCUUCUGUUCAAAUCUCUGGAGAAAAUGCAAGAAAAAUGCAUAUAAAACUUUUCUCCCUUUUUACCUGAAGGCACACGAUACAAGUGUUAAUUGGGUUGGUUAGGUGAUGUCUUUUCAGUAUAUGUAUAUACCUUAACCUAGGGUGAACUCAUAACACGUAAAACUAGGUCUACUAAUUAAUACAUGCAUGUUAAAUUAUCAAUACAGUUCAAAAUAUUAAAUUGUUAAUUUAUGCACCAAUGAUGAAAUGAGCACUAGUGUUGAGGAAAGGAUUUAUUUAUGGACUAGGAAAAACUGCAAGGUAACUGAUUUGCUUGAUCUUAAUACAUAUCCUGAGGAUGGGUUUUUAUUAGGUAAAGACAGUGAACCCAGAACCAGCCCAUGCACAUACAUCCCUGGACAGAGAGGAGGCAGGUGUGCCUUGAAUGAAAUGAACGUAGCUGGCUGUGUUGGGUUUGCGCCGCCUGCAUUUUCCCAAUUUUGUGAUAGAUGUUGCUGUAGCUUCUGCUACUAAGGAUGGCCAUGCUCAAGAUCGAAGCUCGUAGGCUUCUUUUUGGAGUUGGGUUUUGUGCAUCUCAAUGGUAGCUGGCAAGCUUUAUUCCUUACCUCUCUUGUGUAUCUAUCUAUCUCUCUCUCUUUUUUUUUGGAGUUGACAUAAAUGUAAACUAUUUUGGAAAACCAUUUUUCAGAAUUAUUUUUGAAAACACUUUUUAAAGAAAGCCUUAGUCUUACAAAUUUUUAUUUUGACAUGAAUGUAAAAUUUUCUAUUAGGAAUAAACAUAUAUCAAAGCUUUAAUUUUGUGCAACCAAAUUUGACUUAUUCUCUUCCUGCAUGUGGCUAUCACUUCCCAAGUCGUUGAGAUAAAACCAGCCAUGGUAUAGAGAUUUUGGGAAUUAUUUUCAAAAUAAGGCCGAGUACAAAUUAGUUCUCCUUGAUGUACUAUAAAUUAGAGAGAUUUUAUAAAGUAAUAAAAUACUAAAUGAAAUAGAAGUUAGAUCAAACAAAUUGUAAGUCAAGAGAUUAAAGUCAAAAUGAUGCAUCAAAGGUCAUACCUAACUUCAAAGUAUGAUUUUCUUAACAACCCUACCCGCCUAUGACAUAUAAAUUAAAUCUUAGAUAAACCUAUGUUUUACAAGUGUUAUAAUUAAGUUUGAAUUUAUUUACAUAUAUAAUAUAUGUUACCCCCAUUCAAGCCUCAUUGUGGAUCAAAAUCUUUGCAACGUAUUAUAGAUUUGGAAAUCAAGUCAGAGAAAACUCUUUCCCCAAGAAGAAUAUGGUGUUUCAUAGACUUUUUUUUUUUUUUUUUUUAAUAAUAAUCUUUUAAUUGCAUUAUUAAGAUAAAUGAAUUUUGUUCUUUUUCUGAAGAAAAGAUGUACAUUAGCUCAUGCAAGAUCGGUAAAAGUGCAUUUGGUAGUGAUUAUAUAAAACGUUUUUAGCCUAAAAAUUUAAAAAAAAAAAUGCUUUCAUAAAAAAACAUUUUAAAUAAAAGUGAUACCAAACACACUUUAAUUUAUCUGAUAUCACUUUUAAAGAUGUCAAACUCUUUUGAAGUUUCAUUUUCAAAAUUUGAAAUAGAUUGUCAAAAUGACUUAUGAAAUCCCAAAUUAUUCUUAAACCAUGCAUUCUACCCUUUAUUAAUGCAAAAGAUAACCAAAGAGCUACUUCAAUCCUAUAUACAAUUAAUGUGAAAACAAAAUAAAUAAACAUGAAAAUAAUAUUGAAAAUAUAUUUCAAAUUUUGAAUUAAAUAUUUAAUUAUUAUAAUAACCAAGUUUAUUGUUUAAAGUUUUUAAGGAAUAAAAAAGGGGUAAUUAUUCCUAAAUUCUCUAAACAUGCCCUAUUAUAUGUUGUAUUUCUUUCCCAAAACUCUACCUAAUGUUUGUGAUCCUAUCUUGCAAAUCUACCCUAAAAAUUGUUGUAAAUGAUAUGUUUAUAUACAAAAUGGAAAAUUCACGACUGAUUAGAUUUUGAAGAUGUCUCUCCUUCAUUUCUCUUUGUUUGUGAUUGACAAAGAUGGAUGACUAAGAUAGUGUUUGAUAAAUCAAUUUAACUAUUUUAUAUAAUUUCAUGACUUAAGUCAUUAUCAGAUUAAGAUAUUAUUUGGUUCGACUUUUAGGAAGUUAAAAACUUUUAUCUAAAAUUAAUAAAAACUUUUAUGUAUGUUUUACAAAUUUUGUUUAAAAAACUUAUGACUUGAAAAAAAAGUUAAUAUGAAAAUAAAAAAAUGUUACUUUUUAUAGAAACAAUAUUUUCAAUUUCAUAUUUAGUGAAACUUUUAUAAUGCUAACACUCAUUUAAAAAUGAUGAUUUUGAUUUCUAUUUCAGCUUUUAAUGAAAGUCAAAUAUAGUAAGUUAUCCCAAACAAGGUUGAAGUAAAUCUAAUAAAAUAACUUAAUGUUCUAACUUAAAUUUAAAAAUAAUUUUAAUUAUUGAGUCAAAAUAAUUAACUUAUUUCAAAUCAUUGAUUUCUUUUCGUCCUAUUUACAAACAUCUAAUGAGAAUAUGUUUUAUGUUAAUGACUCUACGUCUAUGAUUCAUAUAAUUUUUUUAACUAAAUAUAUUAUAGUUAUUUUGAGUCUAUAAGACAUUUAAUAUGAAUGUUUAGCAAAUAAAUUCAUUAUUUAAUAUUAAUGAAAGUAAAUAUUAAUUCAAAUUAACAAGGGUAAAUAUCAAUUGAAAUUAGUAAGAAUAAUGUGUCAAUUUGAUGAUUUAGUAAAAUAUUAACUUUAUUGAAUAACCUUAAUACUUAAAAUAUAAAUUAAAUAAUAAAUUUUAAAUUCACAAUUUAAAAAAUAAUUUAACUUAAAAUCAGCUUAAGUCAUAAGCAAAACAUAUUAAGUUUUGUCAAAUAUUUUGUAAAUCAAACAAUAUUUGGACAAUUUUAUGUAUAUGUGAAUAGGAUUGCAACUUGAGUUGGUUUAAUCUAUGCCCAUGGUCAAACUUUGAAUAAGUUAAGAUUUGACUUGGGUUGGAAAAAUAUCAAUUAAAAAAUAUUAGGGUAGGUAUGGGUUCAAGAUGCAAUCAAUUUGCCAAAACCCGAACCCGCACAUAAUUAUUAAUUAUUAAUUGAAGCAAUUGGAAAGUUAUAUAUAUCUUGCCAUAAAAAUUUCUUAAAAUUGUAGACACACUUGAGUUCAUAGGGGAUCAGAAUUUGAUAAUAUAAUGAGUUUUCAUCUAGUAAGAAGAGUAAGGGGUAGAUUGACCCAUAUGCAUGGAGAUGGAACGUGGAGCUUUUCUCCUAUGAAAAUGGUUUCGUCUGGUCGCCAAAAGAAGGCAUCGAAUUAGGGUUCAAAGUUUGUGCUCCUGUGGAAUUCAAGGCCUUCAGUCUACCCGUUUCCAUUCUCACAAGCCAAGAAACCAGACCCAAUGAUCCAUUCCACAUGGGGUCACGUGGACCUUUUCUCCUAUGAAAAUGUCUUCGUCUGGUUGCCAAAAGAAGGCAUCGAAUUAGGGUUCAAAGUUUGAGCUCCUAUGGAAUUCAAGGCCUUCAGUCUACCCAUUUCCAUUCUCACAAGCCAAAAAACCAAACCAAAUGAUCCAUUCCGCAUGCUCUCUCUCUCUCUCUCUCUGUGCUUUUUCUUAACUUGCAACACCGUUUGCAUGGUCAGAAGCCAAGAGACAAUUAACAGUACCUGUAAUUCCAAAUGAUGGUCUUUUUUCUAGAAAUAGGCACAUAAAUAUAUACCAAAUGUCUCAUAUACCACCUCAAUGUUUGUUUCCCUAGGCUGAUCAAAACUCACUUGAUUAAAAAAAAAAAAAAAAAGAUAAUCAAAGAAGAAAUUAAAAUCCAUCUAAUAUUAGUCAUUAACAAAGACAGUAGAGACCAAUUUUUAAGUUCAAAAGGAAGUCUGGAAGAUGAAUUAUUACAGAAGUUAAAGUCAAAUUUCAAACCAAAUGUUGGGAAAGAUUUAGAAUUGGGUCACUCUCCAUUUUCUUCCUAUCAUUCCUGGAUCACAUGUUGACAAUGAAAUUACCUUUGAAACAUUCCAUUGAUUUUUGGAAGUCAAAUAAAUAAGACAGUAUAGUCACAGAAAACUGCUACCAAAAUAAAGCCCAACGAUGCGUGUAUUAUGUGGGAUGAGUCAAACCCGACAGAAAGUUAAGCUUGAAGAAGAAUAUGAUUAAAUUAACUUGAUCUUAUUGAUAAUUAAUCGGUUUACAGUUAAUUAAGUCCUUGAUCAUAAUAAGUGAUAUUAAUUAGAGCUACAUCAUGGGUUAGAGUUGCAAGAGUCCCAUGUUGGGAAAGAGAUUGUUAAGUAUGCAAUAUUGGGAGCUCAUGUUCGGGGAGGGAUUGUUAGAUAUGCAAUGCUACUCCUGAAAAGAAAAAAAAAAAUGGACCCUAGGAUGAGAUACCACUAUAAGCUCUAACAAGAUUUUAGCUUCAUAGAUUUUCUAUAAAAGAAUUUAUAAUUGAGUGGCAUAAAUUAACAUUUCAAGAAAUAAAUUGAGAUGGGUUUACAUUCCUCAUGGUGGGGCAAUCUGUGUAAUCUGUAAACUCUCCGAUCCCAUCUAUGAAGAAGCCGAAGCCAUGACAAAGGAAUAUUAAAAAUUAUUGUAGCAAUCCUUACCCUGUCGACAUUAAAAAUAAUUGUACCCUUACCCCAUAGAAAGAUUUGGGAUAGUUUGGACCUCUCAAGAGCCCAAUUGCUUUUAUGUCUUCUCCCAAUAGAUCCAUAAAUAUAGAUGAAAAAAAAAUAGGACAAACAUAUAUGCAAAGACAAAGAACGAGUUUGUUCAACCCAAAAGAAAAAAAGGGGACAUGCAUGCUAUAAAAUUUGAUUGAAAAACCUAAUACUAGUCAUCUUCAAAAUGUCUUAGCAGUUGGAUGGUAAGGAUUUUGAUUGAAAAACCUACUAUUCCUAGUGUCCAAAAUGCUUGUCUUAUCAGGGCAAAUCCACCCUAUGUUGAUACAUAUAUAUUCUACUUUCCAAUAAAAGUAAAUCGCUGAUUAAUGGACUAUAAAGUUUUAGACGUUUAAAAGAUCAAUGACCAUCAGAAAAGAAACAAGAAAAAAAUUUGUUCAUGAUUCAAUAAAUUUUCUUCUUUUUAUUUUUGUAUCAUGAAGUGUACAAACUUCACAUGGUUACAGCACACAUCAAGAGCAAAAGUAAUACACAGAAACGCAUAGAACUCGUCCAUGUUAUUCGUUGAACACAAACUUCAUCAAAAGAUGAAAAAUAGAAUACAGAUAUUAAAGCCCAAAUGACCUGCAAAUCAGUUUAUUCAGAUGACAAACACGACAAUAAACUACGUAUACUUGGAGCUGAUGGCUUGUAAAAAUGUCACUUGUGCAUGGUAGCCUUGACAGCCGGAGCGGUGGCAUGUGCUCUUGCAGGAGAUGUAGGUGGAUGUUUGCAAGGAGGGCCUUCAAUGGGGGUUUUCCCACAUGGAUUUGGGCCAGGAGGAGGGAGAGGACCCCUUUGCUGAACUCUAGCGGCAUUGUGGCUGGACACUCCGAAGAAAAACAAGUGCUAUGACAGUAAAAACAACGUUGAGAAACCUCAUGAUAGUCUUGGUGGUGAGGCAAACAGGCUAGGAGAUGAAAUAAAAAUAAAUUGGAUCUGUAGAUGAUAUGCGUAUGAAGAGGAGAUGGUGUUAAUUGUUAUUUAUAAGCAUGCAUAUCCAAUGUAAUCACUUGGAUUUUUCAUUGUUUGAUUUGUUUGAAGGGUUUCGAUUCUUGACAAUUGGGUUUUGCCACGAGGUGACUAGAAAUUGAAUGGUCAUAAAAGAGAAACUGCCCUUGAAUUACCUGAAUGGCAAAGUUUAAUUUCUCAUUUCAUUUUACGUUCACACCAAGGGACGACAGGUGUUUAAUGGAGGCUUGCGUUUCAAGAUUACUGUACUGCAGUGGCCCAUCUUGGGAUCGUGGUCUGUACAGUACUGUGUUUUUUUAUUAUACCGUAAUUUCUUCCUAUCUGGAGCAAAGAAUGAAGUUUUGAUAGGGAUGUGUUUACUUGAAUUGAGGCUUGAAAUUUUGGGAUUUGGUCACAGAGUUCUGGAUGUUAAGCUGCUUUUUCUCGUAACAUACACUGCUAAUUAAGAAUUGAUCAGCUCUUUGCAAAUCAUUCGGCUCGAAUGCACCGACCUUUCCAUUAUCGUCAAGACCUAAGACGCAGUGCGUGUCCUUUCAAAAUGGGGCAUCAUCCGGGGUGUAUACGCAUAUGCCUACCAUUUCCACACCACCACAAAGCUUGUUUAUGAUCUUGUUUUCUUCUGUUCAAAUCUCUUGAGAAAAUGCAAGAAAAAUCCAUAUAAAACUUUUCUCCCUUUUUCCCCAAAGGCACAUGAUAAAAGUGUUAAUUGGGUUGGUUAAGUGAUGGGUUCUCAAUAUAUGUACAUACAUAUGGUUCAACAUCAUAGUCUAAGUCAUUAACUUAGGAGGUCUUGAGGCACAUCGGUGUAUCUCUGAUUAGUAUCGGAUGACAGUCAAAAUGUAUAUAAUUAAAUAUACUUUUUAUAAAAUUUUAAGUUUAAUUAAAUUUAAUAUUGUUUAAAUAAACAUAAAAAUAUGUUUAUUAUUUUUUAAUAUUAAAAGUCUUUUAUUUAAUAUCUUUAUAUUAAAUUUAUUUAAUUAUAAAAAAUUUCAAUUGUUAAUAUUGAUACAAGUAAUUAUUAUUUUUUUUAGUAAUAUGUUAUCUAAUAAAAUUUAAUUUAUGCAUCUUAUUUAAUUGUAUUAAAAAAAGUUAGUUAUUUAUUUAAAAUAUAAUUAAAUUAAAUUUUUAUAAUUUAUAUUUCAUGAUUUAUAUUUACAAUUCUAUUUAUUUCAUUAUAUUCAUUACCCAUGAUAUAAAUACCACUAUAUUCAUUACCCAUUUUAUAAAUACCCUAUCACCCAUGGAUAAAUCCAUUAGCUUAUUACCCAAGACCCAUUUCUUCAUCUUCACUAUCCUCUUCUUCUCUUUCAAACCUCCUUUUUUUUUUUUCUUUCUUUCUUUGCAAUAGGAUGAAUGGGAAUAAAACCAUCCUCCACAUCCUCUUCUUCUCGUUCAAACCCUUUUUUUUUCCAAUUAGAUGAAUGAGGAUAAAACCAUCCUCCCCAUCCUCUUCUUCUCAGUCAAACCUUUUUUUUCUUUCUCUACAAAUAGGUGAAUGAAAUUAAAACCAUUUGUGAUUGAUUCUCCUCAACUCAAGUUCUAGGUUGCUUCUCAUUUUGAAUUGAUUCACACCAUCUUCGAGUCAAACUCAAAUAUCGAUUUCAUAGGGGGCUUGCCCAAGGCGGAUACGACUUGGUUGAGUUGCACUUGUCUCAGCCAAUACUUUGGACCUUGUAUAUACCUUAACCGAGGGUGAAAUUCAUAGCUUAUAAAACUAGGUCUACUAACAUGCAUGUUAAAUUAUCAAUAAAGUUCAAAAUAUUAAAUUGUUAAUUUAUGCACCAAUGAUGAAUAUCAAGAUACAUGAUCUAUACUCAAAGUAAUCAAAUAUCAAGAUACACAGUAAUUUUUUAUGUGGAAAACUCUCACAUUAAUUAUGGUGAUAAAAAACCAUGGGGCUUAAGACCUCUAAUUUACAAUUCACUAUUUGAGAUUAAAUUCAGUACACAAAUUUACGUGAUCGUUUUACUCUAAAGACUUACUAUUUAGCACCUAUACUUCGAUCCACAUAUGCGAUGUAGUACCUCCAAUACUUCAGUGGAUUCCUCUUAACUUUUAAGGGGAUACAAAUCCUUCUAACAAAACCUAGAAUUCAAUCUUGUAAAUUCUUUCUUGAGAAAUUGGGAAUAACAGGGCAAGUUGGUUGAUUUUGAAAGUGUCCAACCCAAAAACAUAUUUAGGUAAGGUAUAUGCCUAUGACCCUAGAGAGUUAGAAACAAAAUUUUCUUAAAAAGUAAAAUGUCAACUUUCCAAAAAUUAAUUAACAAAAGAAUUUUAUUUUUUUUUUAAAAAAAAAUUAUCAACUUUCUAAAAAUUAAUUUAAAAUAAAAUAUCAACUUCUCAAAAAUGUAAUAAAAAUAAUUUUCUAAAAAAAAGAAAAAAACGCCGACUUUCUAAAAAUUAAUUAAUAAUAAAAUCUCAAAGUUGCCAAUAAUUAAAGAAGACAUUUUAAUUCAAUUUUAAAACUUCCAAAAAAAUUAAUUUGCCUUUAACAAAAUCUUUCAAACUUAUUUGUGACUACCUAGUUGAACACACAAUAGCCUUGAAUCUUUAAUAGAGGAUAAGUUAUUAUCUAAAAAGAUUUCUAAUCCAUAACGAAAAUGAAUAAAAUUGUCAAUACAUAAAAAUGUCCUAACACCAUGAGAAACAAAAAUGAUGAAAAAGGAAACAACAUAUUUAUUAGGUAUGCAAUAAUGCUUCUAAUUUUGGGAUGAGUAUGUAAGAUCGGAGAUCUACGAUAAGUAGUAGGAUGAAUAUGAAUGAAUGACAUCAAGCCACAUAAAGAGAAUUAACUUAAUCUCACUGAUAGUUAAUUGGUUUUAAGAUGAGAUGGUUAAGUUUUUUAUUAUAACAAGUGGUAUUGGAGCUAUGUUUUAAGGUUGGAGUUGCAAAAGCCUCAUGUUGGAGGAGGGGUUAUUAGGUAUGCAACAAUGUUGCUCCAUGAAAAAAAUGACCUUGGGAUGAGUGUUUAAUGCUAUAGAUGGUUACACACCACUAUAAGCCUCAAAAUAAGUAUAGUCAAUUGGUUUUUUUUAUGAGAUAACUCUACGAUCCUAACAAGAUUUUAGUUUCAUAGAUUUUUUUAUAAAGGAAUUUAUAAAUGGCAUAACCAUUUCAAGAAACUCACUGAAGUGGACACAUGAAAUUUAAGUGUAGACCUUCCAUUUUGCCUUCCUAGCACAUGUCCUAUUAAGUUUUUGUUUAGUAUUUUAUAGCAAUUCCUUGAUGACCCAUUACUACUCAUGUAACUUAUCUUUUCUAAGCUACCUUUGAGACUUUGGUUGAGGGGGUUUAUCCAGCUCCUCAUUAUGACCUUAGCUGCCCUUCGAAUUUAGAUUAGGCUUUACUUAGGUGCACUUUAGGUUAACACUCAUUGGGCCCACCUAGGUCACUUAGACCCACUUAGCACACUUGGCCCAUUUAGCACACUUGGCCCAUUAGACACCACGUUAGGCCCAUCUGGGUUCACUUAAACCCAUUUAGACACCUUAGGCUUGUCUAGCACUUAGGCUCACUUAGCGCACUCGGCCAAUUAGGCACCGCCUAGAUUCACUUAAGCCCAUUUAGGUAUGCUUGGCCCAUUAGGCAUCACUUUAGGCCCACCUAGGUAUCCUUGGCCUAUUAGGCACCGCCUUAGGCACACCUAGAUCACUUAGGUCACUCAGGCACACUUGGUCCAUUAGACAUUCUUAGUGUGACUUGUAUGACUCGCAUGGUUGUAUGGCUUGCAUGACUCAUUUUUCUUUUUUACUUAUUUAUUUAUUUAUAUUAUUAUUAUCAAUCACUUUUAUUUAUUCAUUUAUUUAUUUAUUUUUAUUAUUAUCAGUCACUUUUAUUUAUUUAGUUAUUUAUUAUUAUUAUUUAUUUAUUUAUUAUCUUGCUAUAACUAUUAUUAUUUUAUCAUUCUCUAAUUUUUUUAUUCAUUUAUUUGAUUUAAUAAUUUGAUAUAUUUUUUUAGGGAAAUCAAUGGAUAAGAAGAGUUGAUUCUUGUAAGACUUUGAGAAGGAAGGAAACUCUUUUGGACGUUUUUGAAGAUCACCGGAAAGUUAAAAUAGGGGUGAAGAAGUUUUUGAACAAGGUGGGACUCCUUGGGUGAUAUGCAUGGAUUGGUUUUUAAAAUUUAAAAAGGAUUUUUCUGGUGGAGAAAACAUAGAAUUUGGACAAAGGAGUCCUCGCAUGGGACAGUUGCCAAAGGCCAAUGAAAAUAGGGCUGGUGUUUUUGGAUAAGGGUGGGAGCCAAGAAGAACUCCCAGCCGACUUGGGGAAGAUCGAACCACCAUUGGAAAGAGGAUCUGCCACUUAAAAAUCUAGAGGACGCAAUUAAAAAGGGGAGGAAUAAGGAGGAAUAAGGAGGAGAGGCUGCCACUAAAACUCUACAGCACGCAUUCACCAUUGGAGGGGCCAGAGUCCAUGCAUUUUAAGAGCUUCCACCACGCACCAUUGGGGGAUCUUUCCUCCAAAGCACAAGCAGCAGAUUUUUGAGAGAUCAAGUGCACCAUUCAGCCAUAAAGAAUACCAUCCAGUUUUUUUUUUUUAAAAAAAAAAAAAAAGAGAGAGAGAAAAGACCGGCUGGUGGUUUUUUUGGGAGAAGGGAGAACACGCACAGUCCUUCAAGAAACCUAGCAGCAUUGUGUGGUUGGACACUCAGAAGAAAAGCAGGUGCCACGACAGUAAAAACAAUGUUGAGAAACCUCAUGAUAAUCUUGGUGGUGAGGCAAACAGGCUAGGAGAUGAAACCAAUACGAUAUGUGAAUCGAUGAUAUGCAUAUGUAGAGGACAUCGUGUUAUUUGUAAUUUAUAUGCAUGCAUUUCCAGCAGUAUCACUUGGAUUUUUCUUUGUUUGAAGGGUUUGGAUUCUUGACUAUUAGGUUUUGCCACAAGAUGACUGGAAAUUGAAUGGUCAUAAAGGAGAAACUGCCCUUGAAUUACCUGAAUGGCAAAGUUUAAUUUCUCAUUUCAUUUUACAUUCACACCAAGGGACGGCAGUUGUUCAAUGGAGGCUUGCGUUUUGAGAUUGCUGUACUGCAGUGGCCCAUCAGGGGAUCAUGGUCUGUACACUAGUGUGUUUUUGCUUAUACUAUAAUUUCUUCCUACGUUGAACGAAUAAUAAAGUUUUGAUAGAGACGUGUUUACUUGAAUUGAGGCUUGAAAUUUUGGGGUUUGGUCAGAGAGUUCUAGAUGUUAAGCUGCUUUUUCUCGUAACAUAUACUCCUAAUUAAGAAUUGAUCAACUUUUUGAAGAUGAUUCCACUCACAUGUACCAACCUUCCCAUUAUCAAGACCUAAGACACGAUGUCCUUAAUUUAAAAAUGGGGCAUCAUCUGGGGAUGUAUACGCAUGUACAUACCACCACUUCCAGACCACCACAAAGCUUGUUUAUGAUCUUGUUUUCUUCUGUUCAAAUCUCUUGAUAAAAUGUUUAAAAAAUGCAUAUAAUGCUUUUCUUCUGUUUAUCCUGCUAUCCUCCUUGAGCCUGUAAUUAAUUUUCAAAUUGAGUGUUUAGGUUUUGGAAAAUCUUAUGACUAAGAGCAUAACAUUGAGUGACAGUGAAAAAUUUUCUAUUAAAAGAGUUCAUUCAAUUUUGUACUCAUCUCUUUUUCUGAUUCUAUAUUUGUUGGAGUAAAAUCCAAUAUUGUUCUUAAUUAGGCAUCAAGAAGUUAAGAUUGUUCUAAAAAGGUGGUUUCAAAGAGUUUCCAUGUGAAAGUAUGUAGCCGAAGAUUGGGAAGUGUGAAUUGGGAAUGAUAAAAUUAAUUUGCUGAGUCAUCUCCAUACUUAAAAUACACCUAUUGUUCACCCUCAAGGUCAUGGUUGAAAGUAUCAUACGCAAGUACAUGGCUGCUACAACUCUAAGAUAUAUGAGUCAGUGGUGUACAUGCAUUUCAAUAAUAACUAGGUUCCGACUAGAAAAUAAUUGGCCUUACAUAACCAAAUCAUAAGAUAAGUUGGAAUUAGGUCUCCACAACUCGAAGCUAUAAAAAUGGAAGGAAAAAAAACAAAAUAAUCUCUACAUUUUUCAGAGAUUUCCUUAUCAAUCAAGGAAAAAUGUCUCCAUAAUUAGUAACUAGUAAGGACGUUAAAUUGAUUUUUUUAAAAUUAAUAAUUCACUUGUUAUCCCAAUUAUAAAAAAAUUGGUAUUACCCAUAAAAAUAGGUGGCCAUGGUAAUAUUUUAAGAUUUUUUCAAUUUUUAAAAUUAUUAUAAAUUAAUUGAAAAUAACUUCAAAUGUUAUAGAUUUUAUUUUAUUUUUAUUAUUUUGUUGAACUCAUCUAAUUAUAAUUAUUAAAUUUUUCCUUAUUUUUUCAGAAUUUUUUUAACUUUUUUAUUCUCAACUAUUAUAUUGUCUACAUAUUUUUUAAUUAAGAUAAUGUGCAUGCCACGCUAAAUGCUUAAUGAAGCACGCAUCAAAGUCUCAAAAGGCCAAAAUUGAUAAAUCGAACUAACAAGUGUUGAGCAUUCAACAAACCAAAGAGAUCCCAAGAGCUACUAAAAUCAAUGACAGCUCAUCAAAGCAAAAUAUUAAGCAUAAUUCAUCAUCUUCUGAGCAAAAGAUAAUUAUUGUAAAGAAAAUGCUAAGUUAUUGCAUUAAUACCUAUCGAAGUUCACAUUUGGCCAUUGAAUAUGUAUGAUGAAAUUUAAACUGCUAAAUCAGGGAACAAGUAAAUGAGACUUAACUAUAAGGGUGCAAACAAAUAUGACUAUAUUACAAAAAAUGAGACUUAUAUAUGUAUAUAUGACUAUGCCUAAUUCAUGGUGCCUUUUUGAUAUCUAACAAAAAAGUAUCAUUUUGUAUUGUCGAUGAUCCUUAUUAUAAAAGUUUAUUUGACUAUCAUAAGAGUGUUUAGUACCUCAUCCAAAAAUUCUUUGUAGUCCAUUGAAUGAUGGUACAAGUAAAUGAGACCAAAGGAUAAAGAUACAAACAAAUGAAACUAUGUUACAAAUAAUGAGACUUGUGUAUACAUGACACCACCUGAUUAGUGAUACUUUUUCUAUACUUACCGAAUGAAGUAUCAUUCCAUAUUCUCAAUGACCUUUACUAUAAAAGUGGGUUUGACCAUCAUAUCAGAGUAUUCAAUACCUCAUCCACAAACCCUUUGUAGCCUAUACAGUGAGAGCAUGUAUUUACACCUUGAACUACGAGCCCUCUCGCUCCACUGAGUGUCUCCCAUUCUCUCUCAUCCCUAUCCAUCAUGUAUAAUCUUUACAAGCCCAUCUCCAUCUAUAACUUUUUCCCCUUAUAACCUAGAAUAUUUAUAGAGAUAUUCUUUUCCUUAUUCUAUUAGGAAAUCCAAUGUUACAAUAAAAAAAUCAAUUUAGGAAAUAUUCUAUACAAAAAGGAAUCUAUACUAAUUAAAAAUUUGAAACACUUUUUAACAAUCUCCGUCUUGGCUCAAAUUCCAUUAAAUCAAUCUUUCAUCUUUCCAUGACACACUUUUUGUAUCACAUUUGAUGAAAUAACAAUCAACUUUACCUUCAAUUAAAAUUCCUUGUCAUACUCUUGUGUGUUUUGUUAUCUUUUACUCUUCUAAAAAUCUUCAUUGUGAGCUCUAGCUAAUACCAGUUUGUUGUGUAAGUGGAAGCUCUAAUGCAAACAAUGUUAGUUCAAAAACACAAAGAUAAACAAUCCACACAAAGAUACACAGGGUUUUAAUGUGGUUCGACCAACACAACCUAAUUCAUGGAUGAGAGAAAAGUAUUACACUACAUUAUAGAGAAUAUUAUAGAAAAUGUAAAUAGAUACACUGUUGGUUUCACGAAACAUCUCAUGUUUCCCCACUUCUUAUAUAAAACCUUGAACCAUAGGCUCCUUGCUCCUAUGAAUUUUUUUCAUUCUUCCUCACAUCUCUAUCCACCUCAUAUAGUCUAUACGAGUCCUUCUCCAUUUCAUAACCUUUUCUUCUCAUGACCUAUAAUAUAUAUAGAGAUAUUCUUAAUAACUUUUCUUAUUCUAUAAGGAAAUCUAAUAUUAUAAUAAGAAGUCAAUUUUAAAAAUAUUCUAUAUAAUAAUCUUUACAAAAAGGAAUCAAUAUUAGGAAUUUGGGAUACUUUCCAACAAAAAUAAUUUGAGGACACAAUAAACAAAAAAAACAACUAGUCUAGUAGUUGCCAUUUGCAUCCCCUUCUAGUGGGAUCUAGUCAUGUUAGCCAGUAAGAUGGGAUGGAACAAGCCACAAAGGCGGACAUAGGUGGGCCCAUACCCAAGGAAAAAGAUAGGUUUUCAACUAAAAAGACCAGUAUGAUUCCUAAAAAACUUACCGGUCCACCAGUUUAGACAAUUUAAUCGACGGUUCAUGUGAGUUUGCCCUAAUUCAAUGCCCAGAACAAUCUGCUUUUAAAAAUCAUGCCUUUAAGAUAAAAUUUUGAUAUUCCCAAAAAUCGGAUAACCUAGAGACUUAUAUUUAUUGUAAAUAUAGGUUGGUCUAAGCCUCACAGUUGUAUCAAAAAACGAGACGACCCACAACUCUAUUGGGUUGAAUGAAUGAAUUGCAUAUCUUUAAAGCCAAUAGACAAUAAAUUUUUCAUGCAUUUCAUGGUUGCAAAUUAUAUAUGUCACAAUUGAUGAUAUUUAUCCUUAAAUUAUAUUGUAUAAAAAUCAUCUUGAUAAUAGAGAUUAUAAACAAUGAGAUAUGAUUUCUAAUUUCUUUAUAAUCUUAAAAUAUGUUUACAACUUAUAAGCUUGUAAUGGAUAACAUGCUUAUUAAAAGCUAUAAUGAAGUGUACUACUAUAUAUGAUAGAGUGAUGGAUCUUAUUCACUAAAGUUGAGGGGCUCUUAAUAAAUUUCAUGGGUGAUUAUAAUGUGAUAAUCACAAAACUGUACCAUUACAAGACAAUUUUUGGACCUCUUAUUAUUUAUUUUGUUUAAUAUUACAUAAAAUCCUUAGACUUAAGGAUGUUACUAAGUUUUGUACUUGAUUUUGUAUAGCUUUGAUAUUAUCAACUGUUGAUGUCUAAUAAUGGAUUAUAUACGAAUUUGUUGGGUUUUAUAAAUAAUAUAUAAAAACUAGUGGAUAUUUGAUAAAGGACCCAUUGCUUCUAUAGUAGGAAAGAAUAUUUAAGAUUGUGUCACUCAUAAAUUGUUUUAAAAUACCAACUAGUCAAUUUAGAAAGAAUUUUUUUUUAAGUGUAUAUAUCUAUUUAGUAUAUAUGUCAUAUAUUAAGAUUUUCUAAAUUGGUUUUUCUAAAAGGUCCAAUUAUAAGAGGUGACACACUUAUAAGUUUAGGGAAUGACAAUUAUCUUGAUCCAACUUCAAAACUUGUAAGGAAUAUUAGUUAGUGGAAGAAUUAAUGUGUAAGUGAGGAACUUACUAAUCUAUCUCUCUUUUUUUUUUUUGGGUGAAAUUGUAAUUUGUUUUAAAUAUGAUUGUAAUUGACAAGUUCAUUUGGAAUAAACUUACUAGAGAUGUAGAGAUCCCACAAAGGCCCUAUGCUAUGUGAGGGGCUCUCUUUAACAGAAUAUAUAAUUUCUUGCUACGGAGCCCGUAAGGGGGUUGUAGAUACUGUUGUACGAACAUCAGAUGCUGGAUAUCUCACGCAUAGACUUGUUGAAGUAGUUCAACACAUUGUUGUACUUAGAACAGAUUGUGGCACUAUCCGAGGUAUUUCUGUGAGUCCUCGAAAUGGGAUGAUACCGGAAAGAAUUUUUAUUCAAACAUUAAUUGGUCGUGUAUUAGCAGACGAUAUAUAUAUGGGCCCACGAUGCAUCGCCAUUCGAAAUCAAGAUAUUGGGAUUGGGCUUGUCAAUGAUUCAUAACCUUUCAAGCACAGACAAUAUUGAUUCGACCCCUUUACUUGUAGAGCACAUCUGAUCUCUCGACNNNNNNNNNNNNNNNNNNNNNNNNNNNNNNNNNNNNNNNNNNNNNNNNNNNNNNNNNNNNNNNNNNNNNNNNNNNNNNNNNNNNNNNNNNNNNNNNNNNNAAACGCUCUUUAAUGGAACUUUAGCUUUAGCUGGUCGUGACCAAGAAACCACCAGUUUCGCUUGGUGGGCCGGGAAAUGCGUAGAGAUCGGAAAGAACACCAAUAGCGAAAGCACUCUACUAGGCCGACACUGACACUGAGAGACGAAAGCUAGGGGAGCGAAUGGGAUUAGAUACCCCAGUAGUCCUAGCCGUAAACGAUGGAUACUAGGCAUUAUGCGUAUCGACCCGUGCGAAAUCAAGAAGAAAAAGAAUCUGCAAGACAAGUAGAUCUUGGAUCAAAUGUACAAAACCAAGGAAAUCUUGAAUCAGUCCUCUCAAACCACGAAAAAGAUAUUGAAGAAGAUUAUGCAGGAUAAGAUGUUGGGGAUAAAUGUAUGCCCAAGAUCCAAUCUAUCAUGUAAUCAACUUUAGUUUUAAUAAGGUAUUAAUUCUUUAUUUCAUUAUCAUAUUUGUUUAAAAUAGUUUAUAUGAUAAGGUCCUUGAUUAAAAUUUGAAAAUUGUUAUCAUGAUAGAGAUUAUGAUAAUGAGAAGCAAUUCUUUUAAUAAUUUUAAUCUAAACUGUUCUUGAUCAUAGGAUUAUUGUCAACAGGACAUCAAUAAUCCAGAUAGAUCAAUAUAUAUGUGAUGGUCUUUAUUGGAUAAAGAUUGAUAUAUCUCAUUUGUUAAAUUACAUAUAUAGAUGAUGCACAUGUAGAUGUGAUCAUUGAACUGACUCAACUGAGAAUUUCUAAUGGUUAUCUUUACCUUAAAUUGUCAAUAGGAAUUUCUCAAGAAGAAAUAUAAUAGUUUUCUUUGACCUGAGAUUAUCAAAGUAAUUAACAAGUUAUUUAUUAUAUUUUAAUCUCGGACACCUAAUGCCUUAGGGCACUAGUUGAAUGGAUAUUGGAUAUAAUUAAAUACUUGUAGAAUUAAUGAUUAAUCAAGAAGGAAUCCAUCAACUCGUGGUAAUGAGUUUGAGCUCUAUGAUAAAAAUAAGACCUUGGCCAAGGGCAAUUGAAUGAAUGAAGAAAUGAGUUUCUUAAGUCAUUCACUAAAUAAAUAAUGUGUUGACUUAUUAGAGUUUGACAGUAAUACCAUACUCUAGAGUUAGCCCAGAGCUGUAAAUGAUGGAAGGAAAUAUUACAUUAUUCUUCUACCGGUUCUUGAAAGUAAAAGAUAUUACUUCAUACUAUCUGGACGUUAAGGAGUGUUGCUAGACACCUACCUUAAUUAGUAAAUUGAUUUGAUUAAUUUACUACCAGCUUAGUAAUGAACCUACGGGGUCACACACAAACGAGUGUUUUAAUCUUUGCAAAGAACUAUUUAUUAUUAUUUGAUAAUUAAAUUAGAGAAUUUAAUUUUAAUCAAAUAAAUAAAUAUGUUCUAUGUGGAAUAUUAUUAUAUUCUUUGCUAGCACCAAGAAUAUAAUUAAUAUAUAUAAAAAAAAUAAAUAAAUAAAUAAAAUAUUUUUCUUUGGACGUGGAAGUUAGUCCACGAGAAUGUUUGCUAAACAUUUGCAAACAUAUGGGUACAUGCAGCAACUUACAGGAGGGAUGUGGGUUUUGUUUUUAACUUACAAGACUUGGUCAAAGUGUUUUUCAAAUGCUAUUGAAAAUAGCAAAAGAAAAAACAAAUGGACCAAUAGAAUCUCUUAGUAGCCCAAAAAAGGAGGACACGAUAGAGAUAGAUUAAGUGAUAAAAUCAAAAAUCAAAUUAGUUGAGUUAUCUUAUCACUUAAAACAGAAGUUGUAUCGGAUAUGCUAUAUAGCAUAUAUACACAAUCUGAAUAAGGAUCGAUCUAUCUUUAUCCUCCUUGUUUUUACGCCAAAGAAAUACAAAGUGUUGUUCUAUUUUUUUUAAGUUCCGCGUAUCAAAGGGUUGAUAGCAAAGAUUAAUUUCGGUGUGGAUACACGUAGAGUCUUCAUACAAUUGGAGAAAAUUUUAUGCUUGAAGAACUGAUAUCCAGGUUAUUAUUUUAAAUUUUUUGAUAGCUGCAGUAUAUAUUUUGAAUGCAAAAUAGAUCAAUUUUCCGCUGUAUGUGUUAUAAAUUUAUUUUAUAACCUUUCAUCAGACUCAGACAUGCAAAAACGUACAAAGAAAAAAGCAAUUCAAGAAUCACACGGAAGCAGAACUCGAUUUAUUCCUAAAAAGAUAUUUGAUUUUUCAAUUGAGAUGGGAUGAUUCUUUAAAUAAAAAAAUGAUCAAUAAUAUCAAGGUAUAUUGUCUCUUGCUUAGACUGAUAAAUCCAAGAGAAAUUUGUAUAUCAGUUAUCAAAUUGUAAAUUCACAAAUAAAUUAUGAUCUUAUAAUAGGUAUAAAGUCAUCAAUAAAAUUUUUAAAGUUACAAAAUUUUGAAAAAUGUCAUGAUUUAUCAUUAUGUCAAUAAAAGGAUGAAAGUGCAUCAUAAUUUCAACACUUUUUUUUUAUUUGUUGGAAGAUAGUCUUUCUAUUUUCCCUUUUUCUUUCAAGAGUUCUAAUUUUCUAGCACAAGACUAGAAGGACAUGCAUGUGAGCUUGCCGAGAGUUUUGCACUUGUGAAAUCAAAUUGGGUUAAAUAUAUAUAUAUAUAUAUAUAUAUAUAUAUAUAUAUAUAUAUAUAUAUAUAUAUAUUAUUUUUUGUUUCUAAUUAAAUGCAUGCAUCCACAUACGAAAGAUCCAUGUGUAGUUAUUUUUAGGGAUUUAUUUCAUGUUUUCUCUAAAUCUAACCCAAUAACAUAUGCACAAUAGAGAAAAGGUAUUCUUGAAUAUACUCCCUCUUUCUCUCUCCGGUAGAGAGAGUUGUGAAAGUAUUUAACGUCAUCCUUAAAGAGAAAUUAAACAUAUGAAAACUAUUUAAUAUAAGGUUUUAAUUGUUAUAUCUAUUAAAGUUGUUCAUCCAAAUUAUUCAAAGUACGUAUCUCUAUGGACUUGCAUGUUCACAAAUUUUGAAAGGUUUAUACGACAAAUUAUAAGUAUUUAAAAUAAAUGUUGUGAUGUUUGAUAAAAUACACUAUUGGGUUUUACAUAUUCAAACAAUCAAUGAUCACCACAACCAAGGAAAAAUGUGUUCAUAAUUUAAACUUGAUCUUUUUAUUUUUGUAGCAUGAAUUAUUCAGAAUCCACAAGGUCACACGACAUCAAGAGUGAAAAUAAUACACAACAUUCUUGCACACAAUUAAUUGAUGCAUGUUAUUUAUUUUUUAUUCAUUAUAUAUGUGUACAAAACAUACACAAACAUUACGGAAAGAUGAAAAAAUUACAGAAGCAAACAUGAGCUGCAACUCAGUUUAUUCCCAUGAUUUUAUGACAUAUGAUAGUUAUACUUGGUGCAAAUGACUAGUAAGAAUUUCUGAAAUCUGGUAGUGGCCAUGGUGAAGCUUCAUUUGUGCUUAGUAGCCAUGACAACCGGAGAGGUGGAGGGUGGGCUUGGCCGAGGGGGAGGCAGGGCGUGGCUUGCAAAGUUCUUGUUGAUCAUGCAAGGGGGGCCUUUGCCGGGAAUUCGGGUGCAUGGACUUGGGGCAGAAGGAGAAACUGGACCCGCCUGCAGAGACUGCAAGACAAUAUUAAUUCUUUUCUUCUUCCACUCUUUUUUCUCUCCAUUAGGAACCCUACUAGCAUGGUGUGGUUGGACACUCAGAAGAAAAACAACUGCAGUGACAGCUAAAACAGUGGUGAGAGACCUCAUGAUCUUGGUGGGGUUUAAGGUAAGACACUAGGAGAUAUGGAAUUAAUAUGAUAUCUGGGAUGAUAUGCAUAUGUGGAGGAGAUCAUAUUAAUUGCUAUUUAUAAGCAUAUGCAAAUGAUACCCAAUGUUAUAACUUUGAUUUUCCAUUGUUUCAUUUGUGUGAAAGGGUUUUUUUAGCUCUCGGAUACAAGGGUUUUGCCACGGCAUAGACUAGAAAUUGAGAAGGUCAUAAAGAUACUAGGUUUGAAUUACAUACAAUGACAAAGUUUUCAUAGGUCAUUAAUUGUAAGCAUCCGCCAUCCCAAAAAUUAAUUAAUUAAUUAAUUAAAAAAUUUACUGUUAUUAAAUACAAUGAUAAUUAUGAUCUUUGUAAAAAUAAAAAUAAAAAUCAAUUAAAUAAAAAAUAUCUACUUCCCACUUCAAAAUACAAUGGAUUGUUAUGUCUGUGAAUUGUUGCUUCUUCAAAAUACAAUGGAUGAUAUUGAAAUAUUUAAAAGCAUGACUUCAAUAAUUUAGCUUAUUAAUUAACCUGUAACAUCAUACUUUUGCAUGAUGUUGCCCCACCGAAUAAUUUAGCAGCAUGACGGCCACCAAAAUCAUUUCCUAACAAAUAUUUUCCAAAUUAAGUUAGAAUUGGUCUCAUGCAAACUGUCGCAUUUAAAAAGUUUCACGGUUUGUAUACCACUUUUCUGACUGACGAUUAGUGGAUUACUUCCUUUGUGGGGCACUAAGUUUGAUCAAAGAAUAGGUUUAUGGUGGGAACGGAUUUUUUUAGUGAAUUGGGGCUUGAAUGUUUGUUGGUUUGGUCGUGAUGCUCACAGCCUUUACGUGACAUCCUCCUCAACAAUCAAAGGUUUGAAUAUGACUGAUGACUCUAUUCACAUGCAUCAGCUUUUUUAUGCAUUAUCACGAUCCAAGAGCAGAGGCCCUUUCCAAAUUUCCAAAUUGUGUAUUUGUGUGCAUGCUUGUUAUGAAGGCCCAGCGUCUACAUUUAUGAAUAUAUAUAUAUAUAUAUAUAUAUACUUUUCCAUAUACCAUUUUUGCAGCACCCCAAAGCUGCUUAUUCUUCACAUCUUCCCCGCUCUCUAUUCAUAUAAAACGAUCCAUUCAUUUCUUUUCGAAGAUGGGUUUCACUUCUAGGAAAUUAGUCCUCUUGGUGGUGCUUUUCAAUUUCACGCUUCUCUCAGCUUGGAGUUUCCGAGAACUUGAAGUAAUGCGGCUACUAGGAGGAGGGCAAUGGGCGAAGAGAAACAGUCUUGUGCUUCAGUCUCUGCAGAAAGGUCCAGUGCUGCCAUCCGGUCCCAGUCCUUGUAAUCACAUCCCAGAACAAAGGGCAGGGCGAUGCACCUUCAAUGAAAAGAAUAUAGCUGACGACAUUGCAACUGCACCUCCAGCCGUUUCCGCGUACAUGCUAGCAGAGGAUGCUGCCAUGGCUUCCCUUGCUAAGGAUGGCUAUGACCAAGAUCACAGCUCUUAAUGAUGUAAUCAUAUUUGUGCAUGGAUCAGCUGAUGAGUUAGAUGUGGAAGAUAGACCCCAAUCCUUAUGAUUAGUAUAUAUAUUUUAUCUCUAACCUUAAUUCAAUUCAUAUACUUGGUUUAGAAAGAAUAACCAAUUCAACUGGUUAGAUAAGAUGCCAUGUAAACUGAGUUUAGUGCUUGAUAAUGCAAUCAUAUUUUGUAUUGAAAAUAUUGAUCUUUAUUUCGGUCCUAAAAACCAUGACAGGAGGGAUAAAAAAAACACCAAAAACAGGAAACCAAGAGGAGGAUCAAUAAAUUUUGAUCAACCUUAUUUAGCAGAAACAGACGAGCGUAAAUGUUGGAAGUAACCCAAAUUGCCUGUGCAAAGGUAUAUGAAUUCGUACACAUAAUCAGGUGCCACGAAGUUGGAUGAAACGCUUGAGUGGGGUUUCCUAUUCCAUGCAUGAAUGCAAAACUAAGAAACAUGAUGAAGAUGGUAAAUCAGCUACCAAAGAUAUGUAUGCCCAUAUGAUUUCCAUCUUAUUCAUUUUUUCUCAUUCAUCUUUGUAGAUAGCGUAAAAAACUUCAGAAGGGUACCACAAGUAAAUAGUGAUAAUGAUUGUUUCUUUCUUGUUCUAACAAACACAAACUUGAUCACAAGAAUGAAAAAAUACAGGACCUGCAAAUCAGUUCACUCCUAUGGUCUCACUAGAAUUAAUUAGAAGUAUAUUUUGGUGCUAGAGAAUUGUAAGAAUUUCUGAUUUUGGUGGCUCCCAUGGAGGAGCGAGCUUCAUUCAUCUAUAUAUGUUUACUGUCCAGUAGCCAUGACAACCGCCGGGGGAGGCAUGGCAUGACCUGCAAAUUUAUUCCGUUAUGGCAAGGUGGAGCGCCCUUUUCUGGGAUACGGCUGCAUGAACUGCUUCCAGAAGGAGGCACAGUACCUGAAUUCAGAGACUGUAAAGAGACAAGUCCUAUCUUGAUCCACUCUUCUUUCUCCCCAUCAAGAACCCUACCAGCACUGUGUGGCUGGACGCUCAGAACAAGAACGAAGUGUCAUGACAGCUAAAACAAUGUCCAGAAACCUCAUGAUCUUGGCGGGUUAAGCAAAGAGGAGAUGAUCAAAGAAAUAUUUUUAGCUGGACAAAUUAAUAUGCAUAUAUGAUAAAUGGAAAAGAAUCAAUAUCUCGGUUAUUUAUAGGGUUAUUCGAUUAAAAGGGUUUUUGAUAAAAAUACUCUAAUUAUUUUCUUGUAAAAAUAACUUUCUUUUAAAACAGGUUACUUUAAAUAAUUGAAAUGGUAGAAGGCAUUUACGUAAAAUAAUAAUAAUAAUAAUAACAGGUUACUUUUAAAAAUAAAAACAAAAACAUGGAAAUGGUUAAAUUCACGAUUUAAAAAUUAUUUCAAUGCUUAACUAAACAAGUGGCUCUAAAUGCCUAAGUGAGAAAAUGGCUUUGAAUGCCUAAGUGAGAAAGUGGCUUUGAACGCAUAACUGAGAAUGUGCCUCUAAACACCUAAUUGAGAAAGUGGCUUUGAACACCUAAUUAAGAAAGUUACUCUAAACGCCUAACUGAGAAAGUGGCUAUGAACGCCUCAGUGAGAAAGUGACCCUAAAUGCCUAAUUGAGAAAGUCGCUUUCAACGCCUAACUGAGAAAGUGACUUUGAACGCCUAAGUGAGAAAGUGGUGCUGAAGGCCAAACUAAGAUGGUUGCUUUGAACACCUAACUCAACAAGUGGAUCUAAACACCUAAGCGAGAAAGUGGCUAUGAACGCCUAACUGAGAAUGUGCCUAUGAAUGCCUAAUUGAGAAUAUGCCUCUAAACUCCUAACUGAGAAAGUUGCACUAAACGCCUAAUAGAGAAAGUGGGUAAGAACGACAAAGUGAGAAUGUUGUUCUAAACUUCUAAUUGAGAAAGUGGCUCAGAACGCUUAACUAAGAAAGUCACUCUGAACGCCUAAGUGAGAAAGUGGUUGUGAAUGCCAAAGUGAGAAAAUGGCUCUGAACACCUAAUUGAGCAAGUGACUCUUAACUCCUAAGUGAGAAAGUGACUCUAAAUGCCUAGUUGAGAAAGUGGCCUUGAAUGUGUAACUGAGAAAGUCACUCUAAACAUCUAACUAAGAAAGUCGCUAUAAAGGCCUAAGUGAGAAAAUGGCUCUCAACGCCUAACUGAGAAAGUGGCUCUCAACGCCUAAGUGAGAAAGUGUUUUUGAUCACUAAGGUGAGAUACUGGCUCUGAAUGCCUAAUUGAGCAAGUGGCUCUGAACGCCUAACUAAGAAAGUGAUGAUGAAUGCCUAAAUAAGAAAGUGGUUCUUAAGGCCAAAAUAAGUCACUGGCUUUGAACGCCUAAUUGAGCAAGUGGUUGUGAAUGACUAAAUGAGAUAGUGGUUGUGAGCUCCUAAGUGAGAAAGUGUCUGAAUGCCUAAUUGAGAAAGUGGCUCUAAAUGCCUAUAUAAGAAAGUUGUUGUGAAGGCCAAAGUGGGAAAAUGGCUUUGAACGCCUAACUAGACUAGUGGCUUUGAACGCCUAAUUGAGCUAGUGGCUCUAAACAUCUAAGUGAGAAAAUGGGUAUAAAUGCCUAAGUGAGAAAGUGCCCUUGAACACCUAACCAAGAAUGUGCAUUUGAAUGCCUAAUUGAAAAAGUCGCUCUCAAUGCCUAAUUGACAAAGUGGCUUUAAACACCUAAUUGAGAAAGUGGUUCUGACCGCCUAACUGAGAAAGUCGCUCUGGAUGCCUAACUAAGAAAGGGGUUUUGAACGCCUAAGUGAGAAAGUGGUUGUGAAACAAAAGUGAGAAAGUGGUUUUGAAGGCCUAACUAUGCAAGUGGCUUUGAACGCCUAAGUGCAUGAGAAAGUGGCUCUAAACGGCUAAGUGAGAAAGUGGCUCUAAACACCUAAUUGAGAAUGUGCCUCUAAACGCCUUACUAAGAAUGUGCCUCUGAACGCCUAACUGAGAAUGUGCCUCCAAAUGCCUAAAUGAGCAAGUGGCUCUGAACGCCUAAGUGAGAAAGUGGCUCUAAAGGCCUAAAUGAGAAAGUGGCUCAGGAUGCCUAAUUGAGAAUGUGCUUCUAAAUGCCUAAUUGAGAGAGUCGCUAUGAACUUCUAAGUAAGAAGUGGUUGUGAAGCCAAAGUGAGAAUAUGGCUCUAAAUGCCUCAUUGAGAAAGGGGCUUAGAACACCUAAUAGCGUUUUUUUUUUAAAUUAAUGCCUGAUGCGACUCAUGGUAGCUUAGCUUUAAAGGCGUAUCAACAAAAUUUAUACCUUAAAUACUAUUACUAAAGUAGCCAAGCUACUAUAGCAUAGUGGUUCUAGGAUCGUUCACUGGGAAAGGUUUUCGCAAACACAAGUGAUAUUCAAAUUAGGAAAAUAGGUGAUUUUCUUAUGGAUGUUAGCUUUAAAAGAAGAUGUAAAUGUUUUAAAAAGAUUUAAACUAAUCUAAGCUAACAUUAAAGACUAAAAUGAAAGGGUGUAAAAACAAGUUUCUCAAAGAUAGGAUAGCUAUGCUCUGGCUCUUAUGCAAAUUGGAAAUCUCAGGAUAGGCUCCUCGCGUUGGGGUUGCAACUAUGGUGAUGCUUGCUUCCCGAACCGGUAUGGAUUUAGCAAAUCAAGUUUUAAUCCUUUAAAAUGGCAAAAAAGAUGGUAGUGAAUUUUAUCAAUGGUUAUUCACCUUAGACUUCCUUUGAAUGGCUCGUAAGAGAUAACUCAUGGUCUAAAGCCAAAAGCUUACCAAAUAUUGGCAACUCAAAGUCAUUCCAGGUGAUAAACUCACCUUUCAAUGGCCAUUGAAAUUGGUUCUAACGGAUUAAUGCAAAACUUGGAAUUGAAAACCUCACCUUCCAAUAGCUCGUAGGAGAUAACUAAUGGAUAGAAAUCCAAAAGCUUAUCAAGUAUUGGCCGUUGGAAGUUGUUCAAAGGAAAUAAAAACCAAACUUUGCAUUAAUGAACCAUUAAUGAAAAACGACUACCUUACCUUCCAGGUGUGAGAAAUUUCCAUGGGAUUGCAUCCAAGCCAUCACAUAACAUCCAUACUUUGAGAAACUAAAAGUUUUAGCCAAUCAUCCUCUAAGGAAAAGCCCUCAGAGGCUGUUUGGCUACUAAGAAAAUAGAAAUGGAGAAGAACAGGAGAAGAGAGAAAAACAAAGCUUUAUAUAUCUCUAAGUUAAUGUACAGAGGAUCGAUCCCCAAACAUCCCAUUCUUCUGUUGGAGGUGUUGUGCACCUCUAUAUAUAGCAAAAUUACAAGAUAAAGCUUUAUGUCGGCUGAAUACAAGGUUACAAAAGGAAUUUACAUGAGAAAAUAUCAAGCUAAAAAUAUUUGGGAAGUCGGUGGUGCGUGCGUGGAGAAACAGAGGAUUCAAAGGAAUUUCGCAAUGUAAAAGGCACAUUGCGAAAUUUUCGCAAGGUGAAUUACUCAUGAUGCGAAGUGCCAUAUUUUCGCAUCAUGAGUUAAUUCACCUUGCGAAAUUUUCGCAAUGUGAAAUUCACAUUGCGAAAUGGCAAAAUUUCGCACCAUGAAGAAAAUCUCCUUGCGAAAUUUUCGCAAUGUGAAAUUCACCUUGCGAAAUUGGUCAUUUGGCAUGAUGCAGUUGCCUUCCGAAGGCCAUAUCUUCCUCAUUUCAGCUCCAAAUCAUACACGGUUUGAAGCGUUGGAUUCUUGACUUCCUAAGCUUUCAAAUGGUAUAUAGCAUGUAGAAAAUGGACUUCGGGAAGUGCUCCAAAAGUGUGAAAGAAGACUGCAGCUGUUUUCUUCACUCUGUUUUCCUCUUCUCCAUUGCUUGUGCUCGUGUUUCCACUUGAAAUUCAAGCCUGUAAUCAUCCAAAAUCCUUGCUUAACUCGCCCAAAUAGCUCCUCCAUCAAUUGGCAUGCUUGAAUUGGUUCAUAAGCUGAUAAAAACAUGUAAACUUGCCACAAAAAUGGUUAAAACCAAUUACUAAGGACCUUAAUGAAUUAAUUGGGUUAAAUGAAUAUGAUUACUACUCAAAGGUGCUUAAAACCAUUAUUAUUAGGUCUACAAAAUAGCACUUUUUGGUAGUAAUCAAUGCCAAAGUGAGAAGGGUUUCUUUGACUGUUGACGACAUACUAAUAGCGUUUUGCUUUGGGAGAUUGAAAAUUGAAGUAGUGGUCUUAAAGAAGAAACUACGUCUAAAAUUAUCAGAUUACUGUACACAUGGGCAUGCAUCUUAUGACCUUUUUGAACAUAAAAAAUUAUAUAUAUAUAUAUAUAUAUAUGUGUGUGUGUGUGUGUGUGUGUGUGUGUGUGUGCGCGCACGCGCGCUCAUGAAAAGGAAAAUGGUUUUGAUGUUAAGUUGAAGAGUUGUCUUGGUUGUCCUUAAUCAUCAUUUCCUUGAGGAGGGUUCACCAUUCAGCAAGCUGGCUAAACCUAUUAGGAGUCACUCAUUAGUCGGCAUGUUUAAUUUUCUCCCUAUUGAAUUAGGUGCGCAUACUAGUUGGUAUAAGUCAUUUAAUAAAAAAAAAUUAAGAAUAUUUACAAACUAGGUUAGCGUUAAAUAAGAGUACACUGUCUGAUCUAGGCAUUUUGGAGAUUCUUUCUUAUAACUUGAACUUCCUUAAGGGGGAAUUAGUUUUGAAAAAUCAAUGAAGUUAUGAAUGAAGUGUUAAACACAAGCUCAAGGCUAUAUUUGGUUUUCAAAAUUUUUGAAGGAAAAUAUGAUGGGAAGAAAAUAAAAAUGAUAGAAAUAAAAUGAAUAAAUAAAUGAAAGAAAAUAAAAAAUAAAUUUAAAAUUUAUAAGUUAUUAUUAUACAUGCAUUAUUUAAAAUUUAUUUUACUUAUUUUAAUAUUAAAUAAUUUUAAAAUAUAUAAAUUUCUAACCAAUUUUAAUUACAUGUGGUUCUCUUUCAUAUUUUUCAUAUAAAAAAACCGAACAUGAUAAAAUUAUUUUCCUAAUCAUUUUCUUUCUUUCCUUGAUACUUAGACAAUUUUGAAUUUCUCAAAAUUCUAAUAUUUUUUUUUGGGGAUAUUAGACUUCUAAAUUCUUUUAAAAGAAUAUAUUCUUUAAAGAAUUAACCAUCUAAGUCUAUCUAUCCUUUGGACCAUAAUAUCCUAGUACAAAAAUUUCAAACAAAUUGAUUGAAAAUAGAGAGUAGCUUAGGUAUUUUUGAACCACCUGUGUUUCUUGAAGUUUUUUUGUCUUGGCUAGAUCUUGACCCCUUGUUAAUUUUACAUGUUAAUACACUGAAAAUAGAACCAAAUAGUAAAAUUCCACUUGAUUUUGAAUCUGUUUGCGUUAGGAAAGAAUUUGGUGAUAACACUCACCAUACUGCAACAACCUCAAGUCACAACAACUUACCUGCAAUAGAAAAAAUGGCUACACCAGAAGAAUCUUCAAGACUAUUGUAAAAUCACAUAACUGAUAUUCCAUUCAAGAAUCUAUUACAAUAGGUGUAUAAAUACUAUACAUGAAAAAACACAAUAAUGCAAGAGAAUAAGAAAUUCCUUUAUUUGGAAAAUAUCAAUGGGUUUCAAUACUACGUGCUAAGAUAGUUUUAGAUUCCCAAAAUAUUAGUGUAUAUUAUUUGGGUCUGUUAUGGGUUUAUAAUUAAUUUUAAAUUUUAUUGACUUUAUCAUAGAAUAAAUCUUGAUUCUUGUACACUAAAGCAUGCAUCUUAUGACCUUUAAAACAUAAGAAAUUAUAAUUAAAAAAAAUGAAAAUGAUUUUAAUGUUAAGUUGCAGGGUUGCCUUGCUUGUCCUUAAUCAUAAUUUUCUUGAGGAGGAUUUACCAUUAAUCUAACAUUAAUUUGUUCACACGAAAUUAAACAAGGUGGUGAAAGCUAUUAUCUACUAGUAAGAGUUCCGAAUGUCAUCAAAUUAGGUGCAUAGAAUAUAUAGUUGGUAAAAGUCAUUUAAUAAAGAAAAAAAAUUGAAAAACCACUUCCAAAUUAGGUCAGCGUUAAAUAAGAUUCGACCCCCUAAUCGUGGAAUGAACUUUGGAGCGUCUUUCUUAUAACUUAGAACUUCCUUUUGGGGGCACACAUUGGUUUCCAAAAGUGAAUGAAGUUCUAGAAGGAGUGUUAUUACAACCAUAGAAAGGGACAUAAAAGAAGAAAUUAUGAAGAAUUGAUCAAAACACCAAGUAGUAAGAAAAAAUCUUAAAUUCCAAUAAACUUCAAAUUUUACUAAUAUUGUUGAUAAAAAGUUUAAUAAGAAAGAUGAUUUCUUUUUGUUAUAGUCAAUAAAACUUUUGUUGACUCUUAGAUUUUAAAUUUUAUUGUUUGAAUGGGCAAUGAUUCAAGUUCUAAAGUCAUUAAGAUUGAUACCAUAAAGGUGAGGAUGUUUGAUGGUAUUAUGAGAAUGUUGAGUAAUGUUUAGCAUAUUGCUAAGUUGAGAAAGAGUUUAAUUUCUUUAGAGGCUUUGGAUACUCUUCUCUAUGAUUUUUCUGGAAAAAAAUAAAUAAAUGAUAUUAUUAAUAUCAAUUAAAGUGCUUUGAUAGCUAUGAUAGGGAAAAAGGUGAAAACUUUUAUACAAGUUGAUUGAAAAUAUAAUUUUAGGUGGAGCUAUGAAGGUAGAGUCACAUUAUGAAAAGUCUUUUACUAGUAGUAAAGAAGUUGUCAAAGUAGAUGGAUGCCACAAGAUGAUUGAGAUUCCGUUUUUCACUAAGUGUACUCAUUAACACAAGGAUGAAAAUAGUUUCGAAAUGAAUAAAGUUAUAAAGAAAACAAAGACAAUUUCUUAAAUCAAGUUCGAUGACAGUUUGAAUUUAGCACAUAUUUAUUCUCAUUAAUUAUGCAAGAUUGAGAAAUUUUAAUCAAUGUGGAGAUUGUUGGUAUUUGGUUUAAAUUAUCUAUUUAUUAUAUUUAGGAAAGUCAAUAUUUAUAAUAGAGUUUGUGUUUUGGUAAAUUACCUUUUUCGAGUUUAACUAUGAUUAGGAAACUAUUGAUUUUGGGUUCAUCCAUAGGACUUUACAAAUAUGAGGUUUUAAAUAGGAUUUAGUAAGAGAAAUAAAAAUGCAUAAAGAGUGAAGAGAUAUAAGCAAAGGGUGUAUUGAAUUUUAAGUAAAAAAAAAUUGAAAAAGUUUGAAGUUGUUGGGCUAUGUUUGUCUGGCCUAUGAGCCCAUAUAUUAGGCUAUUUUAUAUUUAGGUUUUUCCUAAGCCCAAAUAUGGAUCUAAAAAUAGCAUUAGCACUUUGGUAUUAAGAGAAAAAGGCAUUUGAUUGAGAAAAAGAAAGAAGAUCAGGAUUUGUUUUUCUAGGCAUUGUUCUAAGGCUCAAGGGUGAAGUUAUAGGUUCCUUUCAUCAACCUUUUUGGGGAAUUCCUAUAGUACGUUUUCUCCCUAAUUUCUUUAUGUUCAUGUUUCAUUGGGUGAUGGAUUCCUACCUUAAGCGAGGACUUAAUUAUUGUAUCCCUAUUUAUUGAAGUAGAAGAAAUUUUCUCUAUGGUUUUUUACCUCUAUUCAAAGGGUUUUUCCACGUUAUAUUUGGUAUCCUCUUUUGUGGUUGAAUGUUAUUGAUUGUCGUUCUUGAUUUUUCUUAAGUUGUUAUUAUUCUUGAGAGGUGGUUAUUAUUGUUGAGUGGUUGUUAUUCUUGUGGAAGAAUCUUUUAACUUUGGCAGGUUAAUACUCUAGAUCUCUCCCUUUAUUUUCCCAACAAGUGGUAUCAGAGCUUGGUUGUGGAACUUUUAUUCUUGAAAGGGAUGGAGAUAAAAGGGAACUCAACCUCCAUGAUAAAACUUAACAAUUCAAAUUAGGCUAUGUGGAAGUCCAUGAUGAAAGAUUUUCUCACCAUCAAUGAUUUGUCAAAUACUUUUGAAGAUAAAGAAGUUAGGCCCAAAGAUAUUUUUUAUUUGGAAGCUUACUAAGGGCUCGUUGGUUGUUGCAAAAGGAGAAACAAUAUAUUUUAGUUUUUUUCCUCUUCUCUAGCAUAUAAGCGUCGUAAACUUGGAUGCAUGAGCAAAGUUUGACAAAACACACGGAUGAAUUCCGAACAAAGAUGAUGAAAAUGGAAGUACUCCAACAACCAGCAAGCAUAUAUGAGCAUAUGCAUCAUUCAACUUGUUCUUUUUUAUUUCUAUAUAUAUCACAAAGUGUAGAAGUCCACCAGGGCAUAAAUUGUGAAUGGAGAAAAAGAAUACACCAAUCUAGGAUUUUUUUUUAAAUAAUAAUAUAAUUUUUAAUAUAUAUAUAUAUAUAUAUAUAUAUUACAAAAAUAUAAUAUUUUUGAAAAUUGUCUUUUUAAAAGAUGAUUUCACAUUCACAAAUUGUCUUUAUAAAAAAAACAAAAAACAAAAAAAACAAGUUUUUGUUAAUAGUUAUCUUGUAUUUCAUCUUUUAUUUUCUUUCUUAUUUCAAGUAAGAUCAUUGUUUCAAAAUGGGAUUUUGACAUGAAUAUAUUCUUUUAUACCCUUAGAUCAGAUGAUCAAUAGAUGAGCUCUAUGGUAUUAUAAUCAAGGAUAGUGAGACCCUGAAGAGCAUGUUGAUAUGUGGUGGCCAUGAUGGUAAUAAGUUUGUGUAUAGCUAAUGGAUUGACUUUAAAUAUGUCCAAAUCUAUGAUUUUAUUAUUUACAUAUCAUACGUUUUUUAAAAUGUAAUUAUCAUUAUGUUAUGCUAGUUUUUGUACAUAAAAAUUGUUCCAUAUAUAAUAUAUUUUUAAACUGUUUUUACCUUGUAUCAAUUAUCCUAACACUAGUGCAUCAUAAUUAUCCGCUAAACCAUUUGUUCACCUAAUAGAUUUUGAUGGUUUUUAGGUAAGGACUCCCAUGCAUAUGCCUAUUGAGGAGGCAGAAUUAGCUUCAAAGAACAAGUCACUAGGUACCUAGAUUUGUGUUUUUCCUUAUUAGACCUGUAGGACAUGUAGUUCAUUUUCUUUAUGUAUUUUAGAUGUUUUCUUUUGUAUGUCUCAUCUUCUCAAUCUCUGCUUCCACUAUUAAUUUAUUUUGUUAUUGUUUUAUCAAAAUCAUUUAAUUGUAUGUAUUUUUUUUUAUACUAAAUAUUUAUCUAUUGAGACAAUGAUUUCUUUUUAGAUUUUGAUGCAAAAUGGACUCACCAUCUCUUAGUGGGCCCUUUUUGGGUCUUUACAAAUCAAGUUUCUAGUAAUAUUAUUAUAUAGCAGUUUUCUGUUCGCGAAUUACAUAGUAAUUUUCUCUUAAUGAUGUAGACAUGGUCUUCCGGUAUGCAAAUUUACAUCCAAAGCAAAUAGUAUUUAUACUAAAAAAUAAGUUGGUUUGCUUUAUUAUCAAACUAAUAAAAAGGCUACCAUGAAUAUAUCCAUAUUAUCACAAAUAUUAGCCUUGCCAAUAUAUUUUAGUUUUUUUUUCCUCUUUUCCAGCAUGUAAGUGCCAUAAACUUGGAUGCAUGAGCAAAGUUUGGUAAAACACACGGUUGAAUGCCAAGCAAAGAUGAUGAAGAUGGAAAUACAGCAACAACCAGCAAGCAUAUAUGCGUAUUUAUAUAUGCUUUUUAUUUCCAUAUAUAUCACAAAGUGUAAAAGUCCACCAGGGUACAAAAUGUGAACAGAGAAAAAGAACACACGAAUGACAUACAAUUUUUUGUGUUAUUAUUUUUCCUUAAUGUAUUUAUCAUGAUGAAAAUAUAUAAAAACAAAAACAAAAACAACAUAUUAUAUGCUCAGGACUCGUAAGAUUUUCUGAUGUUGGGUGAUGACUAUGCAUAUUGGAGGCUGGAGCUUCAUUUAUGUUCAGUAGUCAUGACAACAGGAGCAGCGCAUGCGAACCUGUUCAGUAGCAAUAUUUUUAUGUGGGCAAUGUGAAGAUAUAUGGAGGAGAACGAUCACCGGUUAUUUAUAUGAAUGCAGCCAGUGGCAUGACUAGAGUUUUUGGUAGUUUGGCUUAGUUGAAGGGUUUUUUUGACUCUUGACUAAUAGAAUUUUCCUGUAGGAGAUUAGAAAUUGAAUAGGUCAUAAAGGAAGAAAAUACCUAGAAUUUACCCAAAUGGCUAGUUUUCUUAUGUAGUUAAUUUAAUUUCACAUAUGCGUGCAUCUUAAAUCAAUUACAAAGAAAAUAUAUGAUACUCUCUCCAAGCUUUUUCGAAAAUAGAUAUGAGAAAUUAAUCCAUGCCCAUUAACUUUAGUUAAUAGUAAAGUAUGUAAUUUGGCUUGAUUAAAUAUCCUUAGUUAUGAUUUUCAUGAGAAAGUUAGAUAAUUAUCGUUUUGGAUACCAGGUUCUACUAUAUAAUCACAUUUUUUUUCACCAAAUUAAGCAAUAUUCGUAAAGCUUAUUUAAAUUAUUGAUUUGUAAUUAACCUGUAUUGGACACCGAAGAAUCAAUUUAUAUGCUACAGGUACAAGUGAUAUUCACUAGCAUGUUCAGGAUACAUGGCAUUUUCUGAGUUAUAUUAAUUGCAUAAGGGGCUGCUAAAUCAUAUCUCAUUAAAAUUAAUCAUUUCCAAAUUGUUAGCAUUAAUCUAUAGCAAAGUUAAUUCAAAAUUUUCUCACAGUUGUAAAGCACUUAAUGAUAGAAAUAGGAGUAGAGAGACCAAUCUAGGUAGGUAUGGUCUAUGAAGUUUUUUGUCUUAUAUAAUACGUACCAUUUACUUCAUUAUUUUAGAGGCAUUGAUUUUGAACAAAGAUAAAUUAAGUUGUGGUAGGAACACGUUUACAUGAAUUGGGGCUUUUAGACGACAUACUUCUAGCAGAUUCAAGUCAUUGAACAUAACUCUACUAACACGCAUCAGCUUUUCCACCCUCAGAAGCCAUGAGACAAAGUCCAUUUCUAUGUAUAUAUGCACAUGUACCAACCCUCUUUAUUAUGACUUUACCCAUGUUGACAUAGUUUAACACGAGCUCAAACUUAGGAUGAUAUUUAAGGCUUAAGCUAAAUUAUAUAUUUUGAAAAAUAUGGUUAAUAUUAUCCGUUAUCCAACAACUCAAGUUUUUAAAUCAAAUGAGUAAUUUAACAAUUACACUAUCCUUAUACCAUUAAUUGGAAGGCACUUCAUAUCUUUUGCCCAAGAUAUCUAGGAUUUUUUUUUUUGCUUAAAUAAUAAUAUAAUUUAUAAAUAAAUAAUAUAUAUAUAUAUAUAUAUAUAUAUAUAUAUAUAUAUAUAUAUAUAUAUAUAUAUAUAUAUAUAUAUAUAUAUAUAUAUAUAUAUGUAUGUAUGUAUGUAUAAAAUAGUAUUUUACAACAUAUUUAGAAAAAAUAUGAUAUUUUUGGAAUUCGUUUUUUUUAAAAAAAAACAAUUUCACAUGCAUAAAUGGUCUUUAAGAAAAACAAUUUCUUGUUAAUAGAUAUCUUGUAUUUCAUCUCUUAUUUUCUUUCUUAUUUCAAGUAAGAUUAUUGUUUCAAAAUGGGAUUUUGACAUGAAUAUACUCUUUUAUACCCUUAGGUGAGAUGAACAGGAGAUGAACUCUAUGGUAUUAUGAUCAACGAUAAUGAGACCUGAAGAGCAUGUUGAUGAUACGUGGUGGCCAUGAAGGUAAUAGGCUUGUGUAUAGCUGAUGGAUUGACCAUAAAUAUGUCCAAAUCUAUGAUUUUAUUAUUUAUAUCUCAUACAUUUUUUAAAUGUUAUUAUCAUUAUGUUAUGCUAGUUUUGUACAUCAAAAUUAUUCCAUAUAUAAUAUAUUUUAAAACUGUUUUUACCUUGUAUUAAUUAUCAUAACAAAAAUGCAGCAUAAUUAUCCACUAAACCAUUCAUUCACCAAAUAGAUUUUAAUGGUUUUUAAGGUAAGGACUCUCGUAUGCCUAUUCAUGAGGUAGAAUCAACUUCAGAGAACAAAUCACUACGUACCUAGAUUUGUGUUUUUCUUUAUUAGACAUGUAGGAUAUGUAAUCUAUUUCCUUAAUGUAUUUUAGUUGUUUUCAGUUGUAUAUCAUCUUGUCAACCUUUGCUUCCACUAUUAAUUUAUUUUAUUAUUGUUGUUUUACUAAAAUCAUUUAGUUGUAUGUAGUUUUUAUACUAAAUAUUUAUAUGUUGAGACAAUGAUUUCUUUUUAAAUUUUGAUGCAAAAUGGACUCACCAUCUCUUAGUGGGCCCUUUUUGGGAGGGUGUUUACAAAUCAAGUUUCUGAUAAUAUUAUUAUGUAGCAGUUUUCUCUUUACUAAUUACAAAUAAAUUUUCUCUUAAUGAUGUAGACAUGAUUUUAGGCUAUGUGAAAUUACACCUAAAGAAAAUAAUAUUUAUACUAAAAAAUAAGUUGUUCUGUGCUAUUAUCAAACUAAUAAAAAAACUACCCUGAAUAUAUCCAUAUUAUCACAAAUAAUUAACCUUGCCAAUAUACUUUAGUUUUUUUCCUCUUCUGUACCAAUAUAUUUUACUUUUUUUCCUCUUCUCUAGCAUAUAAGUGCCGUAAACUUGGAUGCAUGAGCAAAGUCAAACACACGGAUGAAUGCUGAACAAAGAUGAUGAAAAUGGAAGUACUCCAACAACCAGCAAGCAUAUAUGAGCAUAUGCAUCAUUCAACUUGUUCUUUUUUAUUUCUAUAUAUAUCACAAAGUGUAGAAGUCCACCAGGGUACAAACUGUGAAGGGAGAAAAAGAAUACACGAAUGACAUACAACCAAUUUGGGUUAUUAUUAUUUUUUAUAUGAAAAGGAAAAUAUAUAAAAUAAAAUAACAAAAACAACAAAUGCAACGCCUACAUAUUCAGUUUAUUCCUUGUGGUCCCAUAAAAGUCAUAAAAUACGUAGUUAUGUGCUCAGGACUCGUAAGAUUUUCUGAUGUUGAGUGAUGACUAUGCAUGGUGGAGGCUAGAGUGAUAGGCCACGACGAUCUGAGAGGGACCAUAAACCAAAUCCCAAAUAUUUGGGAUGAGUGGGAACGUGAAGAACCGUUGGACUUGGACUGGGUUGUGGCAGUUGAGAGUCCUACGUGCAGAAGGAAAUGGGUCAUCCGUAGUGAGAGUUUUCCGUCAUUUUAUUUCCGUUUGUUAUGCUCGUUUGUACGUGGCUUUGCUUAUUUAAAGCAGCCAAUGCUUUCGUUAAAGAGUAGUAUUUUUCUUUGCAAUCAAAUUGUGGUUCGUUUCUCACCCGAAGAGAAAACAUAGUAUCUUAGCCUUAUACUCUGAGUUUGGGACCUAUCAUAGAGCUUCAUUUAUGUUCAGUAGCCAUGACAACAGGAGUGCUGGCAUGCGAACUGGCUCUAUGGGGAGGAAUGGCAUGACCCGCAAACUUCAUUCCAUUGGGACAAGGUGAGCCUUUUUCGGGGAUAUGGCCGCAUGAACUUGGUCCUGAAGGAGGGACAGGUCCUGAAAGCGUAGAUUUCAAAGGAACAAUCCUUAUCUUCAUCCACUCUUCUUUCUCUCCAUGAUGAUCUUGGAUGGGUUAAGCAAACAGGAGAUGAUCAGAUAGAGCAAUAUUUUUAUGUGGGCAAUAUGAAGUUAUAUGGAGGAGAACGAUCACCGGUUAUUUAUAUGAAUGCUGCCAGUGGCAUGACUAGAGUUUUUGGUUGUUUGGCUUAGUUGAAGGGUUUUUUUGACUCUUGACUAAUAGUAUUAAUUCAAAAUUUUCUAACGGUUGUAAAGCACUUAAAUAAGAGUAGAGAGACCAAUCUAGGUAGGUAUGGUCUAUGAAGACUUUUGUCAUAUAUGAUACGCACCAUUUACUUCAUUAUUUUAGAGGCAUUGAUUUUGAACAAAGAUAAAUUAAGUUGUGGUAGGAACACGUUUACUUGAAUUGGGCCUUGAAUGUUUGGGGCUUUUAGACGACAUACUUCCAGCAGAUUUAAGUCAUUGAGCAUUACUAACACGCAUCAGCUUUUCCACCCUCAGGAGCCAUGAGACAAAAUCCCUUUCUAUGUAUAUAUGCACAUGUACCAACCCUCUUUAUUAUGACUUUACCCAUGUUGACAUAGUUUAACAUGAGCUCAAAUUAGUAACUUAGGAUGACAUUUAAGGCUUAAGUUAAAUUACCUUGAUAAAUAUGGUUAAUAUGGUUAAUUUGAUAUGUUAUCCAACAACUUAAGUUUUUAAAUCAAAAGAGUAAUUUUACAAUUACACUAUCUUUAUACCAUUAAUUGGAAGGCACUUGUGGACCCGCGUUUUUCACGUGCAUCCCCACUCGAGUGGCGAGACUCAUUUUUCAUUUAUUUGUGAAAAUUUAAUUUUUAGAAAAAGACUUGGAAUUGCUACUUAUUUUAAUUUUUUUUAAAUGGAAAAUAAAAUAAGAAAGAAACCAUGUGUGACUCCUUAUUUGGAAAAGACAUGUCUGUAAAAACAGAAUCUAGAUUUAAGGGUUAGGCUACCUAUUGAGAAGAUACGGUGGUGAACCGUAGCACCCCUUUAAGGUCGUAUACAUACGGUCUCUACUAAACAAAUUAAGGGAAUUGUGGUAAUUAAUUAAUUAAUCAUAAAUACCAAGAUUAAAGGAACUAAACAAUAUACACAAAGAUGAUGACAAAAUAAAAUUACAAGAAUGUACAAAAUAAAUGAAAACAGAAUUAUGCAAAUUGAUUUAUUGAACUAAAUAAAAAAAUAUUUUAAAAAAUUAGUUUUCUAAAAAUUUGAAAGGAUUUUAUUUAAAACAAUUUUGAAUUAGUGAUUUCCAUUUAUUUAUUUACAAAAAAUAGUCAAUAUAUUUUCUCAAUUUCAUUUGAAUUUAGAGAUGUCUUUAUCUUUGAUGCUUGCAUAGGCUUUUACUUCUACCCGCUUGCUGAAGUAGUCAGUGGCUACGAGUAGAAAUUUCUUUUGCACGGAUGUGAUAGGUAAGGGGCUAACUAUAUCCAUACCCCAUAGUGUGAAUGGCCAAGGGCUCAUGACAGGAUUGAGGACUUCUGACAGCAUAUGAGGAAUGGGAGUGUACUUCUGGCAUCAGCCACACCUUCUAACAUAGCUUUUGAUGUCUUUCCUUAUGGUAGGCCAAUAGUACCCCUAUGUGUGAGCGCGAUGAGCUAAGGUACAUCUACCUUCAUAAUUGCUGCAUACGCCCUAGUAGAGAUUGGCUAGGAUGUACUGUGCUUCUGGACCGCUCAAACACUUGAGGUACAACCCCCCAAAAGAUUGCCUAUAAAGCUUGUCCCUGAUUAGAGUGAAAUGAGCAGCCUGCACCUGGAUCUUCUGUGUUUGUUUCUUAUCUUUAGGUAGUUCCCUUAUCCAAAGGUAUUUCCCAAUUUCGUAAGUCCAAUCAGUGUUUGUCUCAAUAGUACUACAUACGGAUGCUGCCGCGAUUGAGGACGUGGUUUGGAGGUAAAUGGGCAGUAGCAUUGCCUCCUCUAGAGGGAGAGUAGCGGCUACUUCAGCCAGCGCGUCAACUUUUGAGUUCUCUCUCCGAGGUACUCAGUCCACCGCCCAUUCACCCAAUUUUGCAAAGUUAUUUUGUACUAAUGCGAGAUAGCGAGCCAUGCGCUUGUCCUUAACUUCAUAUUCUUUCCAAAAUUUCCUAAUGACUAGUUGAGAAUUGUUGCAUAUUUUUAACUUAACUAGUACUAAAGUAAGGGUAAGGUUCAAUCCGGUUAAGAUUGCCUCAUACUCAACUUCGUUGUUGGAGGCGGGGAAACCGAGCUGAAUAGCUUAUUCUAGAAGUUUCCCGAUUGGUGACUGUAAAAUUAGGCCUACCCUCGAACUGGAGGCCCUGGAUGUUCCAUCUACAUGAAGUGCCCACCACCCUUCCUCAGGGGAGUAUGCUAGGUGGGGUGGCUUUUGAGGGAACUCAGCUAUAGAAUCGGCCAUGACUUGUCCCUUCAAUGCCAAUCUAGGCUGAUAUUUGAUUUUGUAUUCACUCAACUCUAUGACCCACCUUAACAUUCUUCUGGAUAGGUCUGAUUUAUGCCAAAUACUUUUGACCAGUUGAUUCGUGAGUAUAGUUACUUGAUGGGCUUGAAAAGAAGGGCGGAGCUUUUGGGUGACACUUUUUAGAGCUAAGGUCAUUUCCUCCAUCUUGGAGUACCAGGUUUCUACAUCAACUAUCGCUUUGCUAACGUAGUAAACGAGCCUUUGUUCUUUAUCUUUUACGUGACGAAAUAGGACAACGCUGACCGCAUAGUUAGACAUGGCUAAAUCUAUGUGAGUUGUUCACUGGAUUGCGGGCUACUCAGAAUGGGUGGAUGGGUAAGAUAGCAUUUAACCUUGUUGAAUUCUCGUUUGCACUCAUCUAUCAAACCGAUCACGCUUGCCCCUUUUAGCAUGAAGAAGAAAGGCCUUAGCUUAUUAGUGAAAUGAGCUAUGAAAUGUCCCAGUGCAGCUAGGUGACUUGUGAGGCACUACAACUCCUUCUUGCUGCUCGAGGCAGGCGUUUCAAGGACGACUCUUAUUUGGUCCGAGUUCACUUCAAUUCCCAUUUAUGUUACCAUAAACCCUAAGAAUUUCCCCGCGUUGACACCAAAGGCAUAUUUAACAAUGUUUCUUCUAAUUGUUGGGCGUGUUCACUAUGAUUUUUGCUUUUCACCACGAUUUCGUCAAUGUACACUUCCAUGGUCUGGUCGAUUAGGGAUUUGAAGAUCUUUGUCAUCAGCCUUUGAUAAGUAGCGCCAAUAUUUUUUAGCAUAAACAACAUGACCUUGUAGUAGUAAAGUUCGUGCGGCGUCACGAAGGUUGUCUUAUCUUUGUCUAGUUGGAACAUGGGGAUUUGGUGGUAUCCAUAGAAUGCAUCUAUGAAGGAGAGCAUUCCAUGUCCAAUAGUGGCAUUUACUAUUUAAUCUAUUCUAGGCAAUGGAAAACUAUCCGUUGGACAAGUCUCAUUCAAGUUGGUGUAAUGAACACAGACUCGCCACUUUCCUCAUUUCUUUGGAACAACCACCACUAUAGACCCUCGUUUUUGUCCUUUUAGCACAUGUCUUUAAGUUCACUUCCAGUGCUCCAUAUUAGUUCCUUGGUGGCCCAUUACUACUCAUACUACUUACCUUUUUUUAGCUACCUUGGAAACAUUGGUUGAAGGAUUUAUCUAACCCCAUUAUGACUCUUAAUAGCCCUAAUUUAGAAUUAGGCACUGUUCUAAACACCUUAAGCCCACUUAGGCACCACAUUAAGCCCAUUCACUUAGGCCCACUUAGGUUCAUCUUGGCCCACUUAGGUUCACCCAAGCACACGUGGUCCACUUCGCUCGCCCUAGGUCACUUAGGCACACUUUUAGACUCACUUAUUUUUGCAUGACUUGCAUGGUUUCAUGAAUUGCAUGACUUGUGUGGCCUACAUAGCUUUAUUUAUUUAUAUUUUAUGUAUUAUUUUUGUUUUAUUUUAUUUUAUAUUAUUAUAUUAUAAGUUUUCUAACUCAUGUUUCCUAGAUUUUUUUAGCAUGAGGAAACGGGCUACCAUCUAUUUGGAAGAAGGAUCACCAUAAUUUUCGAGAAACGAAAGUGACAGAGAUUUUUUUUAUGGAAUAACGAAAGGACAGGGAAAGAGAUAGUGGUAUGAAAGGUCAUCUGAAACAUAUAUAUCCAUUUGAAAUUUUCUGAGGGGACGCACAGGUUAUGGAAGAAUAGAUUAAAUGAUUUGGGAGGUCCACAACCUGUACACAUGAUUAAUAUCCCUUGAAUGCAUGAUGAUAGGAGCAGUCACAAUCUCGACAUACAUAAUCUGCUGUUAAAGAACAACAUACACGCAUGCAUGGAGAGGAAUGGAUGCACAAUCCAUCAUUGACCCACAUGUUCUCAUACAAGUCUACGCCUUUGUGAGAGAUGUGCUGCUAUUGAAGAAGCGGUCGCAUCCUUGAGACAGUCCGCACACACGGAAGGAGGGGAAGAGGAUUUGGUCAUUAUUUUCGUGAGAAAAGUAGAGACACAUAUAUCCAAAUGGGGCAUGGUGAAGACGCAUAGGAGUGGAUGAUAAGAGUGAAAGCAAGAGACUUUUUGAGAGGGAAAGGGUGCACAGUUUGGGGUAUGAGAGUGAGAUUAUCAUAUUUAUGGAGAGUGAAUCAGUGCAUGGUUCAAGAGGGAAGAUUGGAGAAAGAAGGAAAAAGGGGAGUCAUCCAUGUUGAAGAAUACCCUGUCCAUUAGGGAUUCGACAUCACAUAUCGUCAAUGGGAGUGGCUUGCAGAAAUCUGGACCACACACCAUUGAAAUUCGGAUCCAUCACGCACCACCAAAAUAAGGAGGAAAUGGGUGGAGGGCUGUUAAUGGUAGAGAAUAACAAGAUUAUUUAUGGAGAAAAUUAUAUUGUACAUAGGCACGUUUGAUGAGUGGUCAGUUUGUUAAUGGUGGAGAGUAUCAGGUUUUUGGAGGAGCAGUAACAUAUUUUAUGUGGAGAAUAAACUACUAGCAAACCAAACUUUCCUCUUAGAAAUUUUAUGGAUGAACACCAUGUACCAGAAUAUUGGAAGGAGAGCACCAUCUCCAUUUUGGGGAAGAACACACCACCGACCUUAGGAAAAAUGGGAGAAAUUCUAGAAGUUUGAUUUUCGUUUCUGUUAGAAAAAAGGAGUUCAUGCUGCAACUGAUGAUUCUCAUGGAAGCAACCUUGUUGCCAUUCUCUGUUGAUCUAAUCAUCAUAUGGAGAGGGAUCACCGACCUUGAGGAGAGAUUUUGGCUACUCUAAAACUGGAAAAAAUGAAGGAGUUAUGGAUUCAUUUGAUUAGAAGAUUAUUACCACACAUGGUUCCUGAAAGGGCGAUUUAGAGAUAGAAUUGGUUAGAGAGAACUGUGGAUAACCAAAGAAAGAGAAGAAACAAAAGAGACAAAGUAGUGGAGAGAGGAAAGCAAGCAAACAAGUAGAAAGAUGGGGGAUUUCGGAUUUGGAGAUGAGAUUAAGAGCUGGAAACCAAGCAUAACAGUGCUUGAAAGGAGUUGUCUAGGUACGAUUACUAAAGCUUCAUGUUAUCCUAUCUUCAUAUUGUUUCUUUCUGGUUUUUGCAUAUUAUUUUGUUGGUUUCUACAUAUUAUUUUGUUGAUUGAAUCUGAAUAUAAAAAACCAUCGUGUUAUUGUUGAGACUGAGAUUGUUUUCAUGCUUCCACUAUUUGGGUUAUGCUCUGGUUCUCAAGUUCACUGAUAACUCAUGAAGUGAAGCUUCACUUGUUGACGCAAUGAUUUAUGUUUAUGUCCUAUUUCUAUGGUUGUUAUUUUUGCUGUGAUUUUCCUCUAUUCCUGUUGACUGUCCAUGGUGCGCGUCAAGUGGUGCAUUUCAACCUAGGGCUGCUCUGAUCUGUUAUUUUAAGAUGAAGUUGCCUAGACUAUCAUCAUUUUUUGAAAAGUGGGAUUCUCAAAGAUGUCCACAAUUGGUACAUAUUAAAAAGGGUUUCCUAAUAGUGACACCCUCUCUGAGUAAAACUUUUAACCAUCAUUGCAACUUUGCAACUUUCACAAGUAAAGGCUGAGAGGCUACCAAUCAUUUAAACAUGUAAACUUCGCCCUUAUUAAUACGGAACAACUCCACCUUUGGUCCUACCCAAUACUCAUCAUCCAAUGUAAUUUUUUCAAUCCAUAAAAUUAGCAACGAUCAUUGAAAUCACAACCAAAACUUCAAAAGAAAAAAGAUAAUAGUAAAAUAUUCAUUUAAUUAUAUUUUGAUGAAUUGUAACCAUUACUCACACUUCCUGGGGCAUCAAUAUUGAUGCAUCUAUACACACUACAUAUUUCAGCAAGUAGUAGUAACAAUUGCGAUUAUAUUUACAAUCAUUGACAUCACAACAUUUGAUGUGUUUUUAACUGCAUAGAAAUCUAAAGAAAAAUUUACAUAGGAUUACAAAGCGGUAAUUGUGCUUCCAAAUCAACAUGUGUGCCAUGAUAAAUCAAAGAGAAAAUGAAUUAAUUUGUGAAAUAUAUAAAUCCUUACUAUUCUCCACCCAAGCCAGCUUCCACAUAAAGUACAAUAGACAGAAACCGCAUCCUCAUGACUCCCUGCAUGUAUAUAUAUAUAACAGAAAAUGGAAAAUGGAAAAUGAUCACGAUAUUAAUCAAUUAAUAUCACAAAUCUUAAUUAAGCAUCAAAUCUUAAUUAUGGAAAAGAAACAAUUAUGGCAAAGAAAUUACUCAAUUAAUUAAGCAUCAAAUCUUAUUUAAAAUCACAAACCAUGUAUAUAUAUAUAACAGAAAAGAAACAAUACCUGAAUAAAAUUGUUGUCAAAAGCAACGUAAUUAUGGCAACGGAUGCAGCGGAAGUCGCAAGAAAGUGGUGGGCAUCCAGAAAGGCUUCAAGAGCACUAAGCAUACGUGCAGUUUCUGGUGGAAGGGCCAUUGGAACUUGGAAUAUCAAAGAUUAACAGCUACUCUUCUUGACGGAUCCUACAAUAUCAUUCAGAAAAAUUAAGAAAAAAAGAAUAAUCUUAAGUUUCCAUAUUGCAACUCUUAUACAAGAGAUUCCGGGUGAGAAAAUACCAGAUAUUUAUGAAGAAGGCUUCAAGGUGAAAGCUCCCAACAACUUAGUUCCUGGUGGGAAGGACAACUAUCACCUUAAUUUUUACCAACAAAGUGAGAGAAACCACAAACAGAGAAAGAAAGAGGGGGAAGGGAAAGUUGGUUAUUUUGUUUUAGAAAAACAGUUAAAUGAGUGUGAACUAUGAGCAAUGAUGAUUAAUUAUAUGCUAAAAUACACCAUUUGCCACAUCAUCAUGUUAGGUUAUGAUUAUAAACUUUGAAUUGUCCAUUAAUUUCCUUCAGAACCAGUUAAAAAAGUGAAGCUUAAUUUAUUUUAUAUAACGGUUUCAUGUUUCUUUUAUUAUUUUCAAUCCUUGUGAAGAAAAUAGGCUUGAUGUAGAUGCUUAAUUGUUAAAUAAUUUAUUUAUUAGGUAGAACGAGAUUUAAAUACACUACAAACCUAGUAUUUCUCAUUAAUCUCCCAAUAAAUUCCCUUUGAAUCUUCAAAUAAAUCAUUUACCAAGAGUUUAAGUAGUCUCAUAUAGAUUAAGGUCGUGUUUGGUUGACUGGAUAUAACAUGGGAUAGGAUAAGAGAGAGGAUAUUAUAUCUUGUCCAAUGUUUAGUUGGUGAUAGGAUAUGAUAAGCUAUCUCAUCACUUAUCCUAUCUUAUAUUCAACUAAACGUAGGAUAGCAUAAGUAGUAGGAUAUAUUAUCCAUCUUUUUUUUCAUCCCUUUCACAUGGGAUAUGUUAAUUUUAUGGUAAAAUAUGGAACAUACAUAUCCCAUUAUCAAAAAUUCAUUUUCUUUUUUAUGCUUUUUUAAUACUCAUUUUAGAAAAUAAAUUUUUAAUUGCAAAUUAAUUUUAUGAUUUAAAAAAAACUAAAAAAAUAUCUAUAAAAUAAUAUUAAUAUAUAAUAUAUAAAUUAUUUUUAUAUAUUAAAUAACAUAAUAUAAAAAAUAAUUAUUUGCAAAAUUUAAAUAUUUUUAUCAUGAAUAUUUUUAAACAUAACAAAAUUUUCAUUUUUUUUAAAUAGAAAAUAUUUAAAUGUGUUAUAAUUUUUAUUUUAAACAUUGAAAAUAAUAUAUAUUUCAUAUUAUUUUUAUUCAUUUCACAAAUUAAAUAUAAAUAUGAUAUAACAUAUCUCAUUAGAUUUCCUAUCUUAAAAUAUUAUGUUCAUAGACUAUGUAUAUCUUAGGAUAUGCAUAUCCUAUCCAAUGGGAUAUGACAUCUCCUAGGAUAUCCUAUCAUAUCAUGUCAACCAAACCUAACCUAAAGGUUUAAUAGUUUAUUUUGUAAUAUUUCUUAAAAAAAUAGUUUUUAAUAGUUCAUAUUUACAUAUUUUUCUCUUUUUCUUCUUAGUUCUCAAAUAUAGAAAACCAUUUUGGGGAAAACAGAAUACUUUAUCAAAAUAUUUUUUAAAAACAAAAACAGCUAAAAACACAUCAAUUCUUUUUUCUAAUUGUAAAGCAACAACUUCCACGUGAAAAGGCAAUCUGAUUAGAAAAAAGAAAUCAACAACUUCCAACUGAAAUUGAGCUUCAGGUUCUUGACCAAGAAACAGAGAGCCAAACAGUUAAGGAUGUGUUAAGAUAUCCGACAAAAAAAAGAAAGGAUUAGUUAAUAUAUUUGUCUUAACAGUCAAUGAUGAACAACGCUCGGAAGAAAUUGCUGAAUGUGAAAUCAACCAUACCCAAGCAAUCAGAUUCUUGAAAGCUACCAAACUUGAAUUUAAUUUUCUGAAGAAAGUGAGCGAAAGUGAGAGGAAGUGAGAGAGAAACAGUCAUGAAUCUUAUAUAGGAAACGAAGCAAAUGAACUUGAAUUGGAUCUCUGCAGAAAGAAAGAAGGUAAAGGGUUAGGAGAAAUCAACUACAACCAAGUUAUCAGAUUCUUGAAAACUGGCAAACUUCAAUUUAAUUUUCUGGAGAAAGUGAGCGAAACUGAGAGAAAGUGAUAAACAGUUAUGAAUCUUAUAGAGGAAACAACGCAAAUGAACUUGUAAUGGAUCUAUACAGAAAGAAAGAACGAAAAAAAAGGAAGAAGGAAAAGGGUUAGGAGAAUUUUACCGGAUUGAUGACAAAAAGGGCCAAGAAAUUGUUGGGUGUGAAAUCAACGACACCCAAGCUAUCAGAUUCUUGAAAGCUACCAAACUAGAAUUUAAUUUUCUAGAGAAAGUGAGCGAAAGUGAGAGACAAACAGUACAACUCCCAAGUGAAAUUGAGUUUCAGAUUCUUGACCAUGAAAGUGAGAAAGAAACAGUCGUGGAUCAUACUUGUCAAUCACAGCUAAUUAACCUGUCCAGGAUAUCAAGAAAAAGAAACACAGGAUUAAAGAAUUUGUACCUGAUAGAUGAUCAAGACCGAGAAAAAAUUGAUGAAUGUGAAAUCAGCAAUUUCUCAUUCGGCAAUUUCUUCUAGGCUCCUUGAUCAUCAAUCAGGUACAAAAUCUGAAUCCAACUCCAACACCGAGAUGAACCAUGCCAACGCCGGACCCUACUCCAACACAAGAUCUCUUUCUUCGUUGUAAUCACUGCCCUCGACCCUUUAUUCACAGCCAAAGUGUUCUGAGUGUGAGAUGAUGAGUUUUGUUGCUAUUGUAGCUAUCUUUAUAAUGUUUCGGCUAUUUUCAUAGUUUUUAUUUAUUUAAUUUUUUUUUUUUAUUAUUUUUUUUUUUUUCUGUCUACAAUGGUGAAGUGAGGUUACAUUUUUUUUUAAAAAUUUAUGAAUUAAUAAUAAUAAUAAUAAUAAUAAUAAACCAUUAGUGAAUUAAUAUACCAUUUGUUAGCACUAACUAAAUAUUUGCCCUUUAAAAAAAAUUAGUAACAAACUCAACUUUUUACCACAAAAAAUAAUAAAAUGGCUUCUUCUUUUUCUUUUUUUUCUAUUAUUUUUUUAUUUUUUAUUUUUUUGGGCAUGUGUUGGAGGACCAAUUCUAAAGAAAAGAAAAAGGUGGUCAGGAACUCUCAGAACUGAUGUAACUUCAAAAUGUAUGGAAAUUGAUUUUAUACUUUUUAUUCCAAUGGAUUGUCCCAAAGCUUAAUUUACACAAAGUUAAAUGGCUUCAAAUCACGUAAGAAAUUCAAUUGAUGGACUAAUUUUUUUUGCUAAGAAAUUAAGAAUCUUGUUAGGAUGCAACAUGAUUCACGUAUGUUUGGUAAUUCUUUUCAAAAAUAGUUUUUCAUUUUUCAUAACAAAAAAUUGGAAAACAAGUUCGAUAAUUAGAAAAUAGAACAAUGUUUUAAGAAAAUAAAGUAUUUUCAGAAAUUAUUUUAAAAACAGUUCUAAAAUAUAAAAAAAAUAUGAUUAAAGAAUAAAGUAUGCAGUAUAAAUAAAAUUUAUUUUCAGAACAUAUUUUAAAAUAUAAAAAAUAAAUUAAGAAUAUUUUAGAUUUUCAAAUAAACUUUUAUUUUAUAAAAGAUUAGAAAACAACUUUUAAAAACGAUUUUUCAAAAAACCAAAUUGUAAGUCGAGAUUAAGUCAAAAUGAUGCAUCAAAGGUCAUACCUAACUUCAAACUAUGAUUUUCUUAAGAACCCUUUAAUGUUAAGUGUUGUACCAAAGUCAAAUUAAAUUCAACUUAAAUCAAUAAGUAUUAAGUUUUAGUAAACCUGCACCCUUUAAUGUUAUAACUUAAAGGUAAAAAUAACUUUAACCAUUAAGUCAAAAUGAUUAACUUAUUUUAAAUAAUCGAUUUCCUUUUGUCCAUAUACACAUCUAAUGAGAAUAUCUUUUAUGUCAAUGCCUCCACCACAUGAUUCAUAUAACUUUUUAACUAAAUAUAUUGUAGUUAUUUUAUGAUUCUACAAGACAUUUAAUAUGAAUGUUUAGCAAAUAAAUUUAUUAUUUAACAAUAAUGAAAGUAAAUAUUAAUGUAAAUUAACAAAGGUAAAUAUUAAUUGAAAUUAAUAAGAAUAAUGUGUUAAUUUGAUGAUUCAAUAAAAAUGUUAACUUUAUUGGAUGACUUUAAUACUUAAAAUAUAAAUUAAAUAAUAAAUUUUAAGUUAACAAUUUAAAAAUAAUUUAGCUUAAAAUAUAAAGUUUUAUCAAAUAUUUUGUAAAUCAAAUAAUAUUUGGACAAUUUUAUGUAUAUGUGAAUAGGAUUGCAACUUGAGUCGGUCCAAUUUGUACCCCUCGUAGGGUUCGAGUUGAAGGAUAAACUUUGAAUAAGUCAAGGUUUGACUUGGGUUGGAAAAAUAUCAAUUUAAAAAUAUUAGGAUAGGUGUGGGUUCAAGAUUCAAGCAAUCUACCAAAACCCAAACCCGCACAUAAUUAUUAAUUAUAAAUUGAAGCAAUUGGAAAGUUAUAUAUACCUUGCCAUUAAAAUUUCUUAAAAUUGCACACACACCUGAGUUCCCAGGGAUCACAAUUUGAUAAUAUAUUGAGUUUUCAGGGGUAAGAAGAUUCAGGGGUAGAUUGACCCAUAUACAUGGAGAUGGAACGUUUGCAUGGUCACAAGCCAAGAGACGAUUAACAGUACCUAUAAUUCCAAAUGAUGGUCUUUUCUUUAGAAAUAGGCACAUGAGCACAUACCAUAUGUCUCAUAUACCACCUCAAUGUUGAUCAAAACUCACUUGAUUAAAAAUAAAUAAAUAAAUAAUCAAAGAAGAAAUUAAAAUCCAUCUAUGACUCCAUGUAUUUAAGCAAAGUCAGAAGAGACCAAAUUUUAAGUCGAAAAGGAAGUCAAAUUUCAAACCAUAUUUUUGUGCGUAAACAGCGGCCACCUAUGACUCCAUGUAUCUUUAAUCGAGCUAUGUUGGGAAACUUUAGAAUUGGGUUUGAAUCCAUUUUAAGUCUUCUAUGUAAUCGACCCUCACUCUCCGUUUUCCUCCUCUCUUUUUUGGAUCACAUGCUGAGAAUGAAAUUACCUUUGAAACGUUCCAUUGAAUUUUGGAAGUCGAAUAAAUAAGAAGGCAUAGUCACAGAAAAUUGCUUCCAAAGUAAUAUCCUCUGCUCCGUAGACCACUCCAUUGAAAUCAACGCUGACCUCUUGAUCUAAAAAUUGGGCUAUAGAUUUUUAUAUUCUUCUAGAGACGAAUACCAUAUUUUUUCAAGAAUUGCAGUCCCUUUCCUAAAAUAUGUGGAGACAAAAAUGAUGAAAAAGAAAAAAAACACAUUAAUUAGAUAUGAAACAAUGAUGCUAAUUUUGGGAUGAGUAGGUAAGGUCGGAGAUGGUUAGACACCAGCAUAAGUCUCAAGACAAGUAAAGCCCAACGAUGCGUGUAUUAUGUGGGAUGAGUCCAACUCCACGGCAAGUUAAGCCUGAAGAAGAAUAUGAUUGAUUGACUGACAUCAAGAUUAAAUUGAUCUUAUUUACAGCAAAUUGGUUUAUAGCUAAUUAAGCCAUUGAUCCCAAUAAGUGAUAUUAAUUACAGCUAGGUCAUGGGUUAGAGUAGCAAGAGCCCCAUGUUGGACAAGGAAAAACCGUAAGGUGACAGAUUUGCUUGAUCGUAAUACAUAUCCUGUUGAUGGGUUUUUAUUAGGUAAAGAGGUGAACCCAGAACCAGUCCAUGCACACACAUCCCUGGACAGAGAGGAGGCAGGUGCGCCUUGAACCUGCAUUUUCCCAAUUUUGUGAUUGAUGUUGCUGUGGCUUCCGCUACUAAGGGUGGCCAUGCUCAAGAUUGAAGCUCGUAGGCUUGUUUUAGGAGUUGGGUUUUUUGCAUCUCAAUGAUCCCUCUCUUCCGUAUCUAUCCAUUUCCUAAUAAGAGUUAGGUAUGUUUGAUAAUUGCUUUUGAAAAUAGUUUUCUAUCUUUUAUAGUAAAAAACCACGAAACAAGUUUGAUAAUUAGAAAACAAAACACAGUUUUAAGAAUACAAACUAUUUAAAAAAAUUAUUUUAAAAAUAAAAUGGUAAAAAUAAAAUUUAUUUUAAGAAUAUAUUUAAAAAUAUAGAAAAUAUAGAAAACAAAUUAAGAACAUUUCAAAUUUUCAAAAAAACUUUUGCUUUAUAAAACGUUUGAAAACCAUUUUUAAAAACUGUUUUGGAAAACCAUUUUUCAGAAUUAUUUUUUAAAACACCUCUUGAAGAAAGCCUUAGUCUUACAAAUUUUUAUUUUGACAUGAAUGUCAAAUUUCUAUUAGGAAUAAACAUAUAUCAAAGCUUUAAUUUUGUGCAACCAAAUUUGACUUAUUCUCUUGCUGCAUGUGGCUAUCACUAUCCAAUUCAUUGAGAUAAAACCAGCCACUAAAUAGAGAUUUUGGGAAUUAUUUUCAAAAUAGGGACAAGUAGAAAUUAAUUCUCCUUGAUAUACUAUAAAUUAGAGAGAUAUUUUAUAAAGUAAUAGAAUACUAAAUUAAAUAGAAGUUAGAUCAAACAAUUGUAAGUCAAGAGAUUAAGUCAAAAUGAUGCAUCAAAGGUCAUACCUACUAUUAAGAAAACCUACUACUGAAAAACAAUUGAAAAACCUAAUACUAGUCGUCUUCAAAAUGUCUUAGCAGUAGGAUGGUAAGGAUUUUGAUUGAAAAACCUACUAUUCCUAGUGUCCGAAAUGCUUGUCUUAUCAGGACAAAUCCACCCUAUGUUGAUAUAUAUAUAUAUAUUCUACUUUCCAAUCAAAGUAAAUCACUGAUUAAUGGACUAUCAGCAGAUGAUAAAUGAAUUUAGAGAAAAUUUAAGGCAUCCUAAAUGUCCAUCGAAAAAGAGUAGUUCCAAGUGUCACAUUGGGGAAUAUAAUUGGGGAAUAUAUGGUGAGAACCUGUCACAUUGGGGAAAAGUAAAGUCUCACGAUCUAGCAUAUACAGUCAAAUACUUCUGGACCCACCCUCUUUCCAUAACAAUCUAUUAAAAAUUGAAACUUAAAAUUAAUUUUCAAAAAUUAGAUUAUCAAUAUUCUACCUAUGUAGAUUUAUCAUAAUAAUAAAUUUUAAUUUAAAUAAUUGAAAUGAAAUAGUGAUAAAUUUAAUGUUUAAAUGAUUAAAAAACAAAUAUAUAACCUAUAAGACAAGUAUAAAAACUAAUUUAAUUAAUUAAUUAAUUAUAAAAAGUAUAAAUAAUAAAGAAAUGUAAAAGAUAAUAAUAAAAUUUGAUAACGAAUUUUUAUUUAUUAUAUAUAUAUAUAUAUAUAUAUAUUAUUAAUAUGAUGAUUUUUCAUUUUUAUUUUUUGAGUUAGGUUUCUUUUUCGAUAUAUAGUUUUUUAUUUUAUUUUAUGUCUUUGUUAUUGUGUUAUCUCAGUUUCAAAAGAAAUGAAAAUUAUUUAUCCCACAACUUCAAAACUAAAAAUAUUAUAUAGAUUUAUUAAUUCCUUACAAAAUACAAGUACAGCCAACAUGCAAGCAAUCAGCAGAUGAUAAAGAAAAUUUAAGGCAUCGAGAGAAAGUCUGUUCUCACGAACAAUGUGAAAAGUCCCACUCUUUCUCACGAAAGCAUAUAUAGUCAAAUACUUCUGGAUCUUUCUCACGAACUAGCAAUACGUCUGGACCCACCCUCUUUGCAUAUCUCCAGCUACACCUGAAAAAGACUUGAAAAGAGCUCCUUAUAUAUAUAUAUAUUUAGACGUUUAAAAGAUCAAUGGCCAUCAGAAAAGAAACAAUCAAAAAAAAUUUCAUGAUUCAAUUAAUUUUCUUCUUUUUAUUUUUGUAUCAUGAAGUGUACAAACUUCACAUGGUUACAGCACACAUUAAGAGCCAAAGUAAUACACAGAAACGCAUAGAACUUGUCCAUGUUAUUCGUUGAACACAAACUCCAUCAAAAGAUGAAAAAUAGAAUACAGUUACUAAAGCUCAAAUGACCUGCAAAUCAGUUUAUUCAGAUGAAAACCACGACAAUAAACUACGUAUACUUGGAGCUGAUGGCUUGUAAAAAUGUCACUUGUGCAUGGUAGCCUUGACAGCCGGAGCGGUGGCAUGUGCUCUUGCAGGAGAUGCAGGUGGAUGUUUGCAAGGAGGGCCUUCAACGGGGGUUUUCCCACAUGGAUUUUGGCCAGAAGGAGGGACAGGACCCCUUUGCUGAACCCUAGCAGCAUUGUGUGGCUGGACACUCAGAAGAAAAACAAGGGCUAUGACAGUAAAAACAACGUUGAGAAACCUCAUGAUAGUCUUGGUGAUGAGGCAAACAGGACAGGAGAUGAACUAAAAAUAAAUUGGAUAUGUAGAUUAUAUGCGUAUGAAGAGGAGAUGGUGUUAGUUGUUAUUUAUAAGCAUGCAUAUCCAAUGUGAUCACUUGAAUUUUUAAUUGUUUGAUUUGUUUGAAGGGUUUGGAUUCUUGACUAAUAGGUUUUGGCACGAGAUGACUGGAAAUUGAAUGGUCAUAAAGGAGAAACUGCCCUUGAAUUACCUGAAUGCAUGGCAAAGUUUAAUUUCUCAUUUCAUUCUUACAUUCACACCAAGGGUUUACUUGAAUUGAUGAUGCUUGAAACUUUGGAGUUUGGUCAUAGUUCUGGAUGUUAAACUACUUUUUCUCACAACAUAUGGUCCUUGUUAUGAUGGAGGAAGCUUUCAUGUAAACAUCCUUAAUCAAGAAUACAAAGAUAAAAUAAUUAACACAAACGAUACAUGAGGUUUUAAUGUAGUUCGGCCAACCAUGCCCAUGUUUACAGAUGAGAGAAUUAUUUCACUAUAAAAUAAAGAACAUUACAGAGGACAUAACCAGAUACAAUUAUUGGGUUCCCAAAACAUCCCAUGUUUCUCCACUCUUCAUAUCCCUACCCUAUCACGAGUCUUCUUGCUCCACCGAGUACCUCCCAUUCUUCCUCACACCUCUAUUCACCUCAUAUAGUCUUUACAGUCUCAUCUUCAUCUCAUAAUUUUUUCUCCUUGCGACUUAGAAUAUUUAUAGAGAUAUUUCCAACAACCUUCCUUAUUCUAUUAGGAAGUCUAAUAUUACAAUAAUAUAUCAAUCCAAAAAUAUUCAAUAUAAUAUUUGUUACAAAAAAGAAAUCUAUACUAAUUAGAAAUUUGGGACACUUCUUAACAAUCUCCACUUUAGACCAAAUUCCAUGAAGUCAAUCUUCAAACUCUCCAUGACAUGGACUUUUUUGUAUUAUAUCACUACGAGAGAGCAAUCGACUCUACCUUCAUUGAAAAAUUCCUUUUGCCUUCAUCUUGUGUGCUUCGUGAUUUUUUAAUCUUCCAUAAAUCUUCAACCCAAUAUCUUAUACCAAUUUAUUAUGACAACGAAAGCUUUCAUGCAAACAUCGUUACUCAAGAACACAAACAUAAAACAAUAACACAUAUGAUACAUGAGUUUUUAAUAUAGUUCGACCAAGCAUGCUUAAGUCAACGGAUGAGAGAAAAUCAUUCCACUAUACAAUAAAAAACAUUACUAAGGACAGAAUCAGAACAUUACAAAGGACAUUACCAGAUACAAUUAUUGGCUUCUCAAAACAUCCCAUGUUUCUCUACUCUUCGUAUCCCUACCUUAUCAUGAGCUUCUCACUCCAUCGGGCAACUCUCGUUCUUCCUCAUAUUUUUAUUCACCUCGUAUAGUCUUUAUAGGCCCAUCUUCAUCUCAUAACUUUUUCUCCUCAUGACUUAUAAUAUUUAUAGAGAUAUUUCCAACAACCUUCCUUAUUCUAUAAGGAAGUCUAAUAUUACAAUAAUAUAUCAACCUAAAAAUAUUCUACAUAAUAUUCUCUACAAAAAAAAAAAGAAUCUAUACUAAUUAGGAAUUUGGGGACACUUCCUAACACUCCUAAUAAGAAUUGAUCAAUUCUAUGGACAUGAUUCCACUCAGAUGCACCAGCUUUAAUUUCCAUCAUCAAGACCUAAGCCACAAUGCUUGCCCUUUCAAAAUGGGCCAUCAUCUGGGUGUGUAUCUACAUAUACAUUCCAUUUUCACACCACCACAAAGCUUGUUUAUGAUUUUGUUUUCUUUUGUUCAAAUCUCUUGAGAAAAUGCAAGAAAAAUGUGUAUAAAACUUUUCUCCCUUUUUCCCCAAAGUCGCACGAUACAAGAGAUAAUUAGAUUGGUUGGAUGAUGGGUUUUGAUCAAUAUAUGUAUAUACAUUGACCAAGGGUGAAACUCAUAACACAUCAAACUAGGUCUACUAACAUGCAUGCUAAAUUAUCAAUAAAGUUCAAAAUAUUAAGUUGUAAUAAAUUUAUGCACCAAUGAUGAAUAUCAAGAUGCAUGAUCUAUACUCAUUAUUUUCAACAUACACAUGAAUUUAAAUUUUUUUAUUUUAUAUUAUUUAAAUAAAUAAAAAAAGCAUUCUAGCUAAAAGCUAAUCAUACAACACAAACAAUGCAAUAAGUGAGCAUUAAUUUGGCUCACGUUGUUGUGUUAUACACACACAAAUACCCAUGUUACAAGAUGAUAAGUUUGCCAUUACUAUUCAAAUAUUCCAAGUUUGAUAUAGCAAACACCAGGUAGAUUUUGUUUGACUUGGAUCAACAAUACGCAUGGUUUACAAAAAUUUCCUAUGCUCCUUGGACUUUCUACUCAUUUCUUGACUUUUCUUUGAGGACAAAUCAUAGUAACUAGCUUUUUUAAUCUAAACCUCUAAAAAUGAGUAUGAUUCAUAUAGAUUAGCAUGUCUAUUCGACUUGCAUCGGCAAAUAUUUGGUUUAUGAACAUUUGGAGAUGUUAAAAUGUAUAGUAUCUGUUGUGCCAGUGGAAGCUUUAUGCAAAUAAUGUUAGUUCAAGAACAUAAAAAUAAAAGAAUCCUCACAAGAUUACAUGAGAUUUUAACAGAAUUUGAAUAAUCAUGCAUUGAUCCUUAGCCCCUUGACAUUAAAACUAUCACAUCCUUACAAGGUCAAAAGAUUUGGGUUAGUAUGGGCCUCUCAACAGCCCAAUUGCUUUGAUUUCUUCUUCCCAUAUAUCCAUAAAAUAUAGAAUGAAAAUAUAGAAAAAAUAUAUAUGCAAAGACAACAAAAUCUGUUCAACCCAAAAGAAAAAAGAAAAAAGAAGACCUGCAUGCUUUAAAAUUUGAUUCACAAAUUUGAAAAGUUCAAUUACAGGGCAAAUCCAUUCUAUGAUAAUGUAUUCUACUUUCUAAUAAAAGUAAAUCACUAAUUAAUAGACUGUUGAGUUUCAGCCAUGCAAAAGAUCAUGAAGCAAAAAUUUGUUCAUGAUUCAACUUUCUUCUUUUUAUGUAUAUAUCAUGAAGUGUACAAACUUCACAUUGUUACAACACACAUCAAGAGCGAAAUUAAUACACAGAAUGCAUAGAACUUGUCUACGUUAUUCGUUUAAUAUAAACGUCAUCAAAAGAUGAAAACAGAAUAUAGAUACUAAAUCUAAAAUGACCUGCAAAUCAGUUUAUUCAGAUGACAAACACGACAAUGAACUAUGUAUACUGGGAUCUGAUGGCCUGUAAAAAUGUCACUUGUGCAUGGUAACCUUGACAGCCGGAGCGGUGGCAUGUGCUCUUGCAGGAGUUGCAGGCGGGUGUUUGCAAGGAGGGCCUCCAACGGGGGCUUUCUCACAUGGAUUUGGGUUAGAAGGAGUGACCGGUCCCAUCUGCUGAGGACUUUCUGAAAGACCACGUCUUUUCUCUAUCAAGUACUCACGGUUCACUCCUUCAAGAACCCUAGUAGCAUUGUGUGGUUGAACACUCAGAAGAAAUGCAAGUGCUAUGACACUCAAAACAACGUUGAGAAACCUCAUGAUAGUCUUGGUGGUGAGGCAAACAGGCUAGGAGAUGUAAUCGAUUUGAUAUGUGGAUGAUAUGCAUAUGUAGAGGAGAUGGUGUUAUUCGUUAUUUAUAUGCAUGCAUAUCCAAUGGUAUCACUUGGACUUUACAUUAUUUGAUUUGUUUGAAGGGUUUGAUUCUUGACUAUAAGGUUUUGCCACGAGGUGACCAGAAAUUGAAUGGUCAUAAAGGAGAAACUGUCUUUGAAUUACCUGAAUGGCAAAGUUUAAUUUAUCAUUUCAUUUUACAUUCACACCAAGGGACGACAGUUGUUUAAUGGAGGCUUGCGUUUUGAGAUUACUGUACUACAGUGGCCAAUCUGCGGAUCGUGGUUUGCACAGUACCGUGUUUUUUAUUAUACCAUUAUUUUGUUCCUAUCUGGAACAAAGUAUAAAGUUUUGAUAGGGACGUGUUUACUUGAAUUGAGGCUUGAAAUUUUGGGAAUUGGUCAGAGAGUUUUGGAUGUUAAGCUGCUUUUUCUCGUAACAUACACUGCUAAUAAAGAAUUGAUCAACUCUUUGCAGAUCAUUCGGCUCGAAUGCACCGACCUUUCCAUUAUCAUCAAGACCUAAGACGCAGUGCGUGUCCAUUCAAAAUGGGGCAUCAUCCGGGGUGUAUAUGCAUAUGCAUACCAUUUCCACACCACCACAAAGCUUGUUUAUGAUCUUGUUUUCUUCUGUUCAAAUCUCUUGAGAAAAUGCAAGAAAAAUCCAUAUAAAACUUUUCUCCCUUUUUCCCCAAAGGCACAUGAUAAAAGUGUUAAUUGGGUUGGUUAAGUGAUGGGUUCUCAAUAUAUGUACAUACAUAUGGUUCAACAUCAUAGUCUCGGUCAUUAACUUACGAGGUCUUGAGGCACAUCGGUGUUGGUAUCUCUGAUUAGUAUCGGAUGACAGACAAAAUGUAUAUAAUUAAAUGUACUUUUUAUAAAAUUUUAAGUUUAAUUAAAUUUAAUAUUAUUUAAAUACACAUAAAAAUAUGUUUAUUAUUUUUUAAUAUUAAAAGUCUUUUAUUUAAUAUCUUUAUAUUAAAUUUAUUUAAUAAUACAAAUUUUCAAUUGUUAAUAUUGAUACAAGUAAUUAUUAAUUUUUUUAGUAAUAUGUUAUUUAAUCAAAUUUAAUUUAUACAUCUAUUAAAUAAGUUAGUAAUUUUUUAAAAUAUAAUUAAAUUAAAUUGUUAUAAUUUAUAUUUACAUUUCAAUUUAUUUCAUUAUAUUCAUUGCCCAUGAUAUAAAUACUACUAUAUUCAUUACCCAUUUUAUAAAUACCCUAACACACAUUGGUAAACACAUUACCUCAUUACCCAAGACCCAUUUCUUCAUCCUCCCCUUCCUCUUCUUCUCUUUCAAACCUUUUUUAUUUUCCUUUAUUUGCAACUGAGUGAAUGGGAAUAAAGCCAUCGUCCCAGUCCUCUUCUUCUCUUUCAAACCAUUUUUUUUUCUUUAUUCUCUUUCAAACCCAUUUUUUUUCCAACUAGGUGAAUGAGAAUAAAACCAUUCUCCUCGUACUCUUCUUCUUUGUCAAACCUUUUUUUUCUUUCUUUGCAAUUAGGUGAAUGAUAAUAAAACAAUCUGCAAUUGAUUCUCCUUAAGGCUCAAUUUCUAGGCUGCUUCUCAUUUCAAAUUGAUCUAGACCAUCUUCGAGUCAAACUCAAAUAUCGGUUUCGUAGUAGGCUUGCCUAUGGCGGAUACGCCUUGGCUAAGUCAUAUUUGUCUCGUUCAAUACUUUGGAACUUUGUAUAUGCCUUAAUCGAGGGUGAAAUUCAUGACAUAUAAAACUAGGUCUACUAACAUGCAUGUUAAAUUAUCAAUAAUGUGCAAAAUAUUAAUUUGUUAAUUUAUGCACCAAUGAUAAAUAUCAAGAUGCAUGAUCUAUACUCAAAGUAAUCAAAGACCAAGGAAGGUACAUAGUAAUUUUUUAUAUGGAAAACCCUCACAUUAAUUGUGGAGACAAAAAAAACCAUGAGGCUUAAGACCUCUAAUCUACAAUUCACUAUUUGAGAUCAAAGUACACAAAUUUACCUGACCGUUUUACCCUAAGGACUUACUCUUCAACACCUAUACUUUGAUUCACAUCUACGAUAUGCGUAUGUAAUCACUUGGAUUACAAGUAAUUAUUUUUUUUUAGUAAUAUGUUAUCUAAUAAAUUUUAAUUUAUACAUCUUAUUUAAUUGUAUUAAAAAAAGUUAAUAAUUUAUUUAAAAUAUAAUUAAAUUAAAAUUUUAUAAUUUAUAUUUACAAUUCUAUUUAUUUCAUUAUAUUCAUUACCCAUGAUAUAAAUACCACUAUAUUCAUUUCCCAUUUUAUAAAUACCCUAUCACCCAUGGAUAAAUCCAUUAGCUUAUUACCCAAGACCCAUUUCUUCAUCCUCACUGUCCUCUUCUUCUCUUUCAAACCCUUUUUUUUUUUCUUUCUUUGCAAUAGGAUGAAUGGGAAUAAAACCAUCCUCCACAUCCUCUUCUUCUUGUUCAAACCCAUUUUUUUAUCCAAUUAGAUGAAUGAGGAUAAAAUCAUCCUCCCCAUCCUCUUCUUCUCAGUCAAACCUUUUUUUUCUUUCUCUACAAAUAGGUGAAUGAAAUUAAAACCAUUUGUGAUUGAUUCUCCUCAACUCAAGUUCUAGGUUGCUUCUCAUUUUGAAUCGAUUCACACCAUCUUCGAGUCAAACUCAAAUAUCGAUUUCAUAGGGGGCUUGCCCAAGGCGGAUACGACUUGGCUGAGUUGUACUUGUCUCAGCCAAUACUUUGGACCUUGUAUAUACCUUAACCGAGGGUGAAAUUCAUAGCUUAUAAAACUAGGUCUACUAACAUGCACGUUAAAUUAUCAAUAAAGUUCAAAAUAAUAAAUUGUUAAUUUAUGCACCAAUGGUGAAUAUCAAGAUACAUGAUCCAUACUCAAACUAAUCAAAUAUCAAGAUACACAGUAAUUUUUUAUGUGGAAAACUCUCAAAUUAAUUAUGGUGAUAAAAAACCAUGGGGCUUAAGACCUCUAAUUUACAAUUCACUAUUUGAGAUUAAAUUAAGUACACAAAUUUACAUGAUCGUUUUACUCUAAAGACUUACUAUUUAGCACCUAUACUUCGAUCCACAUAUGCAAUGUAGUACCUCCAAUACUUCAGUGGAUUCCUCUCAACUUUUAAGGGGAUACAAAUCCUUCUAACAAAACCUAGAAUUCAAUCUUGUAAAUUCUUUCUUGAGAAAUUGGGAAUAAUAGGGCAAGUUGGUUGAUUCUGAAAGUGUCCAACCCAAAAACAUAUUUAGGUAAGGUAUAUGCCUAUGACCCUAGAGAGUUAGAAACAAAAUUUUCUUAAAAAGUAAAAUGUCAACUUUCCAAAAAUUAAUUAACAAAAGAAUUUAAUUUAAAAAAAUUAUCAACUUUAUAAAAAUUAAUUAAAAAUAAAAUAUCAACUUCCCAAAAAUUAUUAAAAAUAAUUUUCUAAAAAAAGAAAAAAAAACGCCGACUUUCUAAAAAUUAAUUAAAAAUAAAAUCUCAAAGUUGCCAAUAAUUAAAGAAGACAUUUUAAUUCAAUUUUAAAACUUCCAAAAAAAUUAAUUUGCCUUUAACAAAAUCUUUCAAACUUAUUUGUGACUACCCGGUUGAACACACAAUAGCCUUGAAUCUUUAAUAGAGGGUAAGUUAUUAUCUAAAAUGAUUUCUAAUCCAUAAUGAAAAUAAAUAAAAUUGUCAAUACAUAAAAAUGUCCUAAUACCAUGAGAAACAAAAAUGACGAAAAAGGAAACAACAUAUUUAUUAGGUAUGCAAUAAUGCUUCUAAUUUUGGGAUGAGUAUGUAAGAUCAGAGAUCUAUGAUAAGUAGUAGGAUGAAUACGAAUGGAUGACAUCAAGCCACAUAAAGAGAAUUAACUUAAUCUCACUGAUAGUUAAUUGGUUUUAAAAUGAGAUGGUUAAGUUUUUUUAUUAUAACAAGUAGUAUUGGAGCUAUGUUUUAAGGUUGGAGUUGCAAAAGCCUCAUGUUGGAGGAAGGGUUAUUAGGUAUGCAACAAUGCUGCUCCAUGAAAAAAAUCACCUUGGGAUGAGUGUUUAAUGCUAGAGAUGGUUACACACCACUAUAAGCCUCGAAAUAAGUAUAGUCAAUUGGUUUUUUUUAUGAGAUAACUCUACGAUCCUAACAAGAUUUUAAUUUCAUAGAUAUUUUUAUAAAGGAAUUUAUAAAUGGCAUAACCAUUUCAAGAAACUCACUGAAGUGGACAAUUGAAAUUUAAGUAUAGACCUUCCAUUUUGCCUUCCUAGCACAUGUCCUAUUAGGUUUUUGUUUGGUAUUUUAUAGCAAUUCCCUGAUGACCCAUUACUACUCAUGUAACUUAUCUUUUCUAAGCCACCUUCGAGACUUUGGUUGAGAGGGUUUAUCCAGCUCCUCGUUAUGACCUUAGUUGCCCUUUGAGUUUAGAUUAGGCUUCACUUAGGUGCACUUUAGGUUAACACUCAUUGGGCCCACCUAGGUCACUUAGACUCACUUAGCACACUCGACCCAUUAGGCACCACGUUAGGCCCAUCUGGGUUCACUUAAACCCAUUUAGACACCUUAGGCUUGUCUAGCACUUAGGCUCACUUAGCGCACUCAACCCAUUAGGCACCGCCUAGAUUCACUUAGGCCCAUUUAGGUAUGCUUGGCCCAUUAGGCACCGCUUUAGGUCCACCUAGGUAUACUUGGCCAAUGAGGCACCGCCUUAGGCACACCUAGAUCACUUGGGUCACCUAGGCACACUUGGCCCAUUAGACAUUCUUAGUGUGACUUGUAUGACUCACAUGGUUGCAUGGUUUGCAUGACUCAUGUUUCUUAUUUACUUAUUUAUAUAUUUAUUUAUUUAUAUUAUUAUUAUCAAUCACUUUUAUUUAUUCAUUUAUUUUAUUUAUUUAUUUUUAUUAGUAUCAAUCACUUUUAUUUAUUUAGUUAUUUAUUAUUAUUAUUAUUUAUUUAUUUAUUAUCUUGCUAUAACUAUUAUUAUUUUAUCAUUCUCUAAAUUUUUUAUUCAUUUAUUUGAUUUAAUAAUUUGAUAUAUUUUUUUAGGGAAAUCAACGGAUAAGAAGAGUUGAUUCUUGUAAGACUUUGAGAAGGAAGGAAACUCUUUUGGACAUUAUUGAAGAUCACCGGAAAGUUAAAAUAGGGACAUUAUGAUCUUGUUUUCUUCUGUUCAAAUCUCUUGAUAAAAUGUUAAAAAAAUGCAUAUAAUGCUUUUCUUCUGUUUAUCCUGCUAUCCUCCUUGAGCCUGUAAUUAAUUUUCAAAUUGAGUGUUUAGGUUUUGGAAAAUCUUAUGACUAAGAGCAUAACAUUGAGUGACAGUGAAAAAUUUUCUAUUAAAAGAGUUCAUUCAAUUUUGUACUCAUCUCUUUUUCUGAUUCUAUAUUUGUUGGAGUAAAAUCCAAUAUUGUUCUUAAUUAGGCAUCAAGAAGUUAAGAUUGUUCUAAAAAGGUGGUUUCAAAGAGUUUCCAUGUGAAAGUAUGUAGCCGAAGAUUGGGAAGUGUGAAUUGGGAAUGAUAAAAUUAAUUUGCUGAGUCAUCUCCAUACUUAAAAUACACCUAUUGUUCACCCUCAAGGUCAUGGUUGAAAGUAUCAUACGCAAGUACAUGGCUGCUACAACUCUAAGAUAUAUGAGUCAGUGGUGUACAUGCAUUUCAAUAAUAACUAGGUUCCGACUAGAAAAUAAUUGGCCUUACAUAACCAAAUCAUAAGAUAAGUUGGAAUUAGGUCUCCACAACUCGAAGCUAUAAAAAUGGAAGGAAAAAAAACAAAAUAAUCUCUACAUUUUUCAGAGAUUUCCUUAUCAAUCAAGGAAAAAUGUCUCCAUAAUUAGUAACUAGUAAGGACGUUAAAUUGAUUUUUUUAAAAUUAAUAAUUCACUUGUUAUCCCAAUUAUAAAAAAAUUGGUAUUACCCAUAAAAAUAGGUGGCCAUGGUAAUAUUUUAAGAUUUUUUCAAUUUUUAAAAUUAUUAUAAAUUAAUUGAAAAUAACUUCAAAUGUUAUAGAUUUUAUUUUAUUUUUAUUAUUUUUUUGAACUCAUCUAAUUAUAAUUAUUAAAUUUUUCCUUAUUUUUUCAGAAUUUUUUUAACUUUUUUAUUCUCAACUAUUAUAUUGUCUACAUAUUUUUUAAUUAAGAUAAUGUGCAUGCCAUGCUAAAUGCUUAAUGAAGCACGCAUCAAAGUCUCAAAAGGCAAAAAUUGAUAAAUCGAACUAACAAGUGUUGAGCAUUCAACAAACCAAAGAGAUCCCAAGAGCUACUAAAAUCAAGGACAGCUCAUCAAAGCAAAAUAUUAAGCAUAAUUCAUCAUCUUCUGAGCAAAAGAUAAUUAUUGUAAAGAAAAUGCUAAGGUAUUGCAUUAAUACCUAUCGAAGUUCACAUUUGGGCCAUUGAAUAUGUAUGAUGAAAUUUAAACUGCUAAAUCAGGGAACAAGUAAAUGAGACCUAACUAUAAGGGUGCAAACAAAUAAGACUAUAUUACAAAAAAUGAGACUUAUAUAUGUAUAUAUGACUAUGCCUAAUUCAUGGUGCCUUUUUGAUAUCUAACAAAAAAGUAUCAUUUUGUAUUGUCUAUGAUCCUUAUUAUAAAAGUUUAUUUGACUAUCAUAAGAGUGUUUAGUACCUCAUCCAAAAAUUCUUUGUAGUCCAUUGAAUGAUGGUACAAGUAAAUGAGACCAAAGGAUAAAGAUACAAACAAAUGAAACUAUGUUACAAAUAAUGAGACUUGUGUAUACAUGACACCACCUGAUUAGUGAUACUUUUUCUAUACUUACCGAAUGAAGUAUCAUUCCAUAUUCUCAAUGACCUUUACUAUAAAAGUGGGUUUGACCAUCAUAUCAGAGUAUUCAAUACCUCAUCCACAAACCCUUUGUAGCCUAUACAGUGAGAGCAUGUAUUUACACCUUGAACUACGAGCUCUCUCGCUCCACUGAGUGUCUCCCAUUCUCUCUCAUCCCUAUCCAUCAUGUAUAAUCUUUACAAGCCCAUCUCCAUCUAUAACUUUUUCCCCUUAUAACCUAGAAUAUUUAUAGAGAUAUUCUUUUCCUUAUUCUAUUAGGAAAUCCAAUAUUACAAUAAAAAAAUCAAUUUAGGAAAUAUUAUAUACAAUGUUCUAUACAAAAAGGAAUCUAUACUAAUUAAAAAUUUGAAACACUUUUUAACAAUCUCCGUCUUGGCUCAAAUUCCAUUAAAUCAAUCUUCCAUCUUUCCAUGACACACUUUUUGUAUCACAUUUGAUGAAAUAACAAUCGACUUUACCUUCAAUUAAAAUUCCUUGUCAUACUCUUGUGUGUUUUGUUAUCUUUUACUCUUCUAAAAAUCUUCAUUGUGAGCUCUAGCUAAUACCAGUUUGUUGUGUAAGUGGAAGCUCUAAUGCAAACAAUGUUAGUUCAAAAACACAAAGAUAAACAAUCCACACAAAGAUACACAGGGUUUUAAUGUGGUUCGACCAACACAACCUAAUUCAUGGAUGAGAGAAAAGUAUUACACUACAUUAUAGAGAAUAUUAUAGAAAAUGUAAAUAGAUACACUGUUGGUUUCACGAAACAUCUCAUGUUUCCCCACUUCUUAUAUAAAACCUUGAACCAUAGGCUCCUUGCUCCUGUGAAUGUUUUUCAUUCUUCCUCACAUCUCUAUCCACCUCAUAUAGUCUGUACGAGUCCUUCUCCAUUUCAUAACCUUUUCUUCUCAUGACCUAUAAUAUAUAUAGAGAUAUUCUUAAUAACUUUUCUUAUUCUAUAAGGAAAUCUAAUAUUAUAAUAAGAAGUCAAUUUUAAAAAUAUUCUAUAUAAUAAUCUUUACAAAAAGGAAUCUAUAUUAGGAAUUUGGGAUACUUUCCAACAAAAAUAAUUUGAGGACACAAUAAACAAAAAAAACAACUAGUCUAGUAGUUGCCAUUUGCAUCCCCUUCUAGUGGGAUCUAGUCAUGUUAGCCAGUAAGAUGGGAUGGAACAAGCCACAAAGGUGGACAUAGGUGGGCCCAUACCCAAGGAAAAAGAUAGGUUUUCAACUAAAAAGACCAGUAUGAUUCCUAAAAAACUUACCGGUCCACCAGUUUAGACAAUUCAAUCGACGGUUCAUGUGAGUUUGCCCUAAUUCAAUGCCUAGAACAAUCUGCUUUUAAAAAUCAUGCCUUUAAGAUAAAAUUUUGAUAUUCCCAAAAAUCGGAUAACCUAGAGACUUAUAUUUAUUGUAAAUAUAGGUUGGUCUAAGCCUCACAGUUGUAUCAAAAAACGAGACGACCCACAACUCUAUUGGGUUGAAUGAAUGAAUUGCAUAUCUUUAAAGCCAAUAGACAAUAAAUUUUUCAUGCAUUUCAUGGUUGCAAAUUAUAUAUGUCACAAUUGAUGAUAUUUAUCCUUAAAUUAUAUUGUAUAAAAAUCAUCUUGAUAAUAGAGAUUAUAAACAAUGAGAUAUGAUUUCUAAUUUCUUUAUAAUCUUAAAAUAUGUUUACAACUUAUAAGCUUGUAAUGGAUAACAUGCUUAUUAAAAGCUAUAAUGAAGUGUACUACUAUAUAUGAUAGAGUGAUGGAUCUUAUUCACUAAAGUUGAGGGGCUCUUAAUAAAUUUCAUGGGUGAUUAUAAUGUGAUGAUCACAAAACUGUACCAUUACAAGACAAUUUUUGGACCUCUUAUUAUUUAUUUUGUUUAAUAUUACAUAAAAUCCUUAGACUUAAGGAUGUUACUAAGUUUUGUACUUGAUUUUGUAUAGCUUUGAUAUUAUCAACUGUUGAUGUCUAAUAAUGGAUUAUAUACGAAUUUGUUGGGUUUUAUAAAUAAUAUAUAAAAACUAGUGGAUAUUUGAUAAAGGACCCAUUGCUUCUAUAGUAGGAAAGAAUAUUUAAGAUUGUGUCACUCAUAAAUUGUUUUAAAAUACCGACCAGUCAAUUUAGAAAGAUUUUUUUUUAAGUGUAUAUAUCUAUUUAGUAUAUAUGUCAUAUAUUAAGAUUUUCUAAAUUGGUUUUUCUAAAAGGUCCAAUUGUAAGAGGUGACACACUUAUAAGUUUAGGGAAUGACAAUUAUCUUGAUCCAACUUCAAAACUUGUAAGGAAUAUUAGUUAGUGGAAGAAUUAAUGUGUAAGUGAGGAACUUACUAAUCUAUCUCUCUUUUUUUUUUUGGGUGAAAUUGUAAUUUGUUUUAAAUAUGAUUGCAAUUGACAAGUUCAUUUGGAAUAAACUUACUAGAGAUGUAGAGAUCCCACAAAGGCCCUAUGCUACGUGAGGGGCUCUCUUUAAUAGAAUAUAUAAUUUCUUGCUACGGAGCCCGCAAGGGGGUUGUAGAUAUUGCUGUACGAACAUAUGUUGGAUAUCUCACGCAUAGACUUGUUGAAGUAGUUCAACACAUUGUUGUACUUAGAACAGAUUGUGGCACUAUCCGAGGUAUUUUUGUGAGUCCUCGAAAUGGGAUGAUACCGAAAAGAAUUUUUAUUCAAACAUUAAUUGGUCGUGUAUUAGCAGAUGAUAUAUAUAUGGGCCCACGAUGCAUCGCCAUUCGAAAUCAAGAUAUUGGGAUUGGGCUUGUCAAUCGAUUCAUAACCUUUCAAGCACAUACAAUAUCGAUUCGAACCCCCUUUACUUGUAAGAGCACAUCUUGGAUCUGUCGACUAUGUUAUGGUCGGAGUCCUACUCAUGGCAACCUGGUCGAAUUGGGAGAAGCUGUAGGUAUUAUUGCGGGGCAAUCUAUUGGAGAACCGGGUACUCAACUAACAUUAAGAACUUUUCAUACCAGCGGAGUAUUCAUUGGGGGUAUAGGUAUUCGUGCUUGGAUGGCAACUCAAGAUCAGCCUCAUGAAAACCUUAUAUUCCCUGAGAAGGUUCUACCCCGUGGAAACGCUCUUUAAUGGAACUUUAGCUUUAGCUGGUCGUGACCAAGAAACCACCAGUUUCGCUUGGUGGGUCGGGAAAUGCGUAGAGAUCGGAAAGAACACCAAUAGCUAAAGCACUCUACUGGGCCGACACUGACACUGAGAGACGAAAGCUAGGGGAGCGAAUGGGAUUAGAUACCCCAGUAGUCUUAGCCGUAAACGAUGGAUACUAGGCGCUGUGCGUAUCGACCCGUGCGAAAUCAAGAAGAAAAAGAAUCCGCAGGACAAGUAGAUCUUGGAUCAAAUGUACAAAACCAAGGAAAUCUUGAAUCAGUCCUCUCAAACCACGAAAAAGAUAUUGAAGAAGAUUAUGUAGGAUCAGACUCAGACAUGCAAAAACGUACAAAAAAAAAGCAAUUCAAGAAUCACACGGAAGCAAAACUCGAUUUAUUCCUAAAAAGAUAUUUGAUUUUUCAAUUGAGAUGGGAUGAUUCUUUAAAUAAAAAAAUGAUCAAUAAUAUCAAGGUAUAUUGUCUCUUGCUUAGAUUGAUAAAUCCAAGAGAAAUUUGUAUAUCAGUUAUCAAAUUGUAAAUUCACAAAUAAAUUAUGAUCUUAUAAUAGGUAUAAAGUCAUCAAUAAAAUUUUUAAAGUUACAAAAUUUUGAAAAAUGUCAUGAUUUAUCAUUAUGUCAAUAAAAGGAUGAAAGUGCAUCAUAAUUUCAACACUUUUUUUUUUUAUUUGUUGGAAGAUAGUCUUUCUAUUUUCCCUUUUUCUUUCAAGAGUUCUGAUUUUCUAGCACAAGACUAGAAGGACAUGCAUGUGAGCUUGCCGAGAGUUUUGCACUUGUGAAAUCAAAUUGGGUUAAAUAUAUAUAUAUAUAUUAUUUUUUGUUUCUAAUUAAAUGCAUGCAUCCACAUACGAAAGAUCCAUGUGUAGUUAUUUUUAGGGAUUUAUUUCAUGUUUUCUCUAAAUCUAACCCAAUAACAUAUGUACAAUAGAGAAAAGGUAUUCUUGAAUAUACUCCCUCUCUCUCUCUCCGGUAGAGAGAGUUGUGAAAGUAUUUAACGUCAUCCUUAAAGAGAAAUUAAACAUAUGAAAACUAUUUAAUAUAAGGUUUUAAUUGUUAUAUCUAUUAAAGUUGUUCAUCCAAAUUAUUCGAAGUACGUAUCUCUAUGGACUUGCAUGUUCACAAAUUUUGAAAGGUUUAUACGACAAAUUAUAAGUAUUUAAAAUAAAUGUUGUGAUGUUUGAUAAAAUACACUAUUGGGUUUUACAUAUUCAAACGAUCAAUGAUCACCACAACCAAGGAAAAAUGUGGGUUGCAGUGGAAUGGAUUCUUAGGUAUCUGAGGGGUACUUCUAACACAUGUUUAUAUUUCGGAACUAACAAACCUAUGCUUAUAGGAUGCACAAAUGCAGAUAUGGUUGGGGAUGUUGAUUCCAUAAAGUCUGCUUCUGGUUAUUUGAUCACUUUUUCAAGGGGAGCAAUGUCAUGGCAAUCAAGGUUGUAGAAAUGUCUUGCUUCAUCGACCAAAAAGGAUGAGUAUAUUGCUACCACUGAAGCUAGCAAGGAGUUACUGUGGAUGAAGAAGUUUCUACAAUAAUUGGGUCUAUAAUAAGAAAGGUAUCUACUCUACUAUGAUAGUGAAAGUGUUAUUCAUCUCAGUAAGAAUCCAAAUUUUCACUCUAGAUCCAAGCAUAUUGAUGUGAGAUAUCAUUGGAUUCGUGAUGCACUAAAGAUGAAAUUGUUUUGCCUUGAUAAAAUUCAUACUUAUGAGAAUGGAUCAGAUAUGAUGACAAAACCAAUACCUACAAAGAAACUACAAUUCUAUAGAAAGCAAACGGGCCUGGUAGAGCCCAUUACAUAAUCGGGAGUGGGAGAUUAGUUGGGCUUCCUCGUAUAUGAGGAAGUGGACCCCAUAUGCUUAAGGACCAAGUCGGUUGCAUUGAAAAAAAAAAUGAAUUGGGAAAAAAACAUAGAGAAGAUAAGAGAGAAAAAAAUGCAUCUAACUGCCCAAAUUUCAUCAACGAGUCGAUCCUGCUUCAUCUAUGGUCCGAUCGAGUUGAAAUUUGGAGAAGUUUGAAACUCAAGUAGCUACAAUCUAAAUAGUGGAGAUCAGAUUUUGAGCUCGGGAACAGAUGUUACUGCCUAUGAACAGUAACAACGUUUUUAGUAUACUUUCUCCAAUUUUCUGUGUUUUUACUAAGAGAGCUUGUAUAAUCCAAGGUUAUGUGUGUUUCUUGGUGUAUUUGGUAGCCUCUAGAGAUUAUUCUAGAAAAGACUAGUGCAACCCAUUAUUGUUGAUAGUAGAAGAUUGAACUGGACUAGGUCUCAUGGUUUUUCCCUUCGCAUUGGGGGUUUUCCACAUAAAAAUUAUGGUGUCUGAUUUAUUUUUCUGUUGGAUGAGUUUAUUUAUUUAUUGUUGCUAGUUGAUAUUGCCUUUUAGUUUUGCAUAAAGAAAUGGUAGAAAAAUUCUGGUGUUUGUUGGAAUAUUGUGAAUUCACCCUAACACCAACCACAACCCCAUCACAUUUCCAUUGCAAUCUCGUCCUUUUUACCUUUAUUCUUCAGGUGCUUCUUGCCCUCCUAGAUUUGAAGUUUCAGAAUGAGCCCAACUUUGUAUUUCAAGCCUACCCCAAAACUAUCAAGGCCGCUGUUGCUAGCUUACUGGUAUUUGCCUUGAAAGUUGAAGUUGACUUCACCUUCCAUUCUUCUCAUCUCUCUCCUACUUGUUCUUAUCUCCUCAGCACUAACAUAAUGUUGUGCGGCUCCCUCUUAGUGGCUUCACUAGCAUCACUCUUGUUCCCAGAUACAUGUUGACCUCUCAUAUACCUCAUCUACCUCUUACUUUCACUUGGCAACUAGCAUGGCUUAUCCGAAAGUGGUGCAGGUGGGUUUACCAAGGGAUUAUGGUCAAACUCCAGACGAUAUUCGCAGGCAUACAACAAUGGUGCGUGAGAAGAAAUGCUCCACUCUUACCUUUAACCAUGAGGGAUAUACUUCACAAAGCCCAUCUAGGUACAAAUCCAUAACUACAGGUACUCCAAAGCUAAUUUGGUCUUGUAAUUAUACUUGUUCCAAACCCCAGCCCCCUAAGUCUAGAGUGACAAUUUAAAACUUCAUUGUCUGGUUGCUUAUGUACCAUUGGCAAGCCACUUGAGAUUGUAUUUCCAUAAGUGGUCUUAAAAUUUGGGUAAGGUUUUGAGUAGUAGUGUGAUUUAUGUUGUUGUAAUGGAAGGGUUUAUGUGCAUGCAUGUAAGCCCUAAUGGUCCUUGGACAUUUUCCCUCUCAGAUUUGGCAUGUAUUUAUUUAUUUAUUAUUAUUAUUAUUAUUAAUAUUAUUAUUUGUCUUGUGUGUUUCCAUGCAUUGUUCCUUGGCUUCAAAUUUCUACCACUAUCAUCUUCUCCAAGUACUCAACAUGCAACUAGUCAAAGUAACGGAAAUAUAUAAUAAAAAGAUUUCUUUCCACUACCCUUUCAUUGGACCCCAUUUUCAUUAUAUAACUAUAACACCCCAAAACUAACUCUAGGGGCAAAAUAAUAAAUUAUAAAGUAAUUAAUUAAUUAAUUAAUUAAACUCAUUAAAGGUGAAAGAGUCCUUUUACAAUUAAUAAUCCUAGGUAUAAAUUAGAUUUUCCUCUUGCCUUUUUUAUUCAAAAAACCCUAUUAAUCAAAAUUAGAGAAUUGGAAAUCAUAGGGCCAAAGGUUUAAAGGUUCAGAGUUUGAAGUUUAGAUUUUUUCAGAAAAGAUUCUAAUCCUAAAUUAAUAUAUUAUUGUAGACCCCCUUUUAGGUCAUUCCUACCUUGCAGCUCAAUUUUACCAUGUGGAAGAGCCUUGGUCAGCCACGUGUCAACACCUGAGAAGCCAUGAGAGAAUUAUAAUAGUGGUUUGGGAAGCCAAUCAAAAGGGGACACGUUGCAUGGGAAUCUGGAAGCCGUUAAUGGAGGAGCGUCUCUGGCAGCUGGAGUGAGGGGUGUUUUUCUGAGCAGGCCGUUGGAGAUAUUUUGGGGGGAAGGAGGCUGCAGAGAGAGAGAGGAUUUUUUAGGGAGCUUUUCAGGCGAGUCUGAAGGAUAUCUUUGAGAGUUUUUCAAAAAGGAUUCUGGUGGGAGCAGAGGGGAUUUUUGGGUUGCUUGAGAGAAAGAGUGGGAAAAACAAGCUGGGUGUCCGAGAAGAGUUCGAGAAGAAAAGAAGUUUGAUCAUCUUUACUUGAGGGGCUCAGGUAUGGCCAUUACGAGUACUCUUGCUCUGGAUUUAUUGGUUUUCCUCUCUUGACAUUGUUGGUUUUAAUCAUCGUUUAUUGGGCUCUGAUUGCUCUUAAGCUCGUACUGCACCUGCUCUGUUUUGUUCUCUCACUAGUUUCUCUGAUUUUUCUCUUAUAAAUCAUCGAGGUAUGGUUUGCUUUCCUUGAGCUUGAAGUUUGAUCAAAUACACAAAAGCUUUAUGCUCAUCUCACCUGCUGAUCCAUUUAAAUCAAUAUGAAAUGGAGUUUAUUCUAACGGGUUGUUUGUUUAAAGCACGUUUGGUUUUCUUGGGAACCCUUUCUAGCUUUUGAAAUAAUUUUCAAUCAUUAUUCUUAAAAAUCAUUUGGGUGUUCAAAUAGUUUGUUUUUUUUCUAAACUCAUUGGAUGGCACUCCAAGUUUUUUUUGCUGAAGUUUUCUUUCUCUGGAUUAUCGAUGAAUUGCCUUCAAAAUCUUCCUAGAACCUCCGCUUUACCUUUGCAAAGCUUCACUUGCCAUGGAAUAAAAGCUAUUUGCUUUGUUCACACUCUGGGAGUGAUGCAUGAGACUACUAAUUUACGUCGGAGCAUAGCUGUGAAGGCAGUUUUUUGGGUUCCAUAUCCGACGCCAAGAUGAGUGGUCCUGAAAUCGAGGAAAAAUAUGAGAUCUACAGCAAUAACAUGACAGAAGCUUGGGAGGCAAUGCUAGAACUGCCAUUAUCUGCACUUUGAGCCCUGCACAAAGCCAUGUUGAGUAAUCUGGAAGCACUCUGUUGUUUGCUAGCUGUACCAAAGAAGGCACUACAAGAAGCAAGGGUUAUAUGAGAAACCAACCUCAUCUGAUGAAGAGUCCACCCUUUUCGGCGCCGGUCAGACUGGGCAGCAGCGUGAGUUUCAGCUGCGUUGGAGUUGGGGAAGCGGCGACAUUGAUUCAGGUCACUGGAUGUAUAGACGACAUGUGGAUAACACCGCGGCGGAGCCCGGGCAGCCACUACAUUGCCUCGCCCAUCUCAUGCUUUAACUAUGGGAUUACCUUGUGUCUACAAACUUGGGGAUUGCGAUGCAGUUUUGAGAUGCUUGAAAAACUCCGAGGGCAUUGAAUUUGAAGGGAUAUCUUGAGGAACUUUCAAUGUUGUUGAGAUACUUUCACGUCCCUUUGAAUUAGAGCAGUGGAUGCUAUGCAUGCUGAGACGUUUUUCUGAUGACGAGUUUGGCGAGGUGGAUAUUGAUGGUUCAUUGGCUGCUAGUCAUUCCUCAGUGGCUGAAGAUGUUGUCAUGGUUAAGAAAGGAUGCUGAAAGUAGGGAGAUCAAAGGGAAAGGGGCUCUAUAGAAAAUUACCGUCGUGCUAUGAAUCUAUGCAGUCACGUGGAUUUGGUGUGUUGCCGGUUCGCGCCCAUCUCGGUGCAUUUGAUCUGGAGAAGUGAAUCAAUUGACUUGUCAGUCAGAGAAGGAGCCAGUCAAUAAAGGGAAGAGGAAGCUGCCCAGUAUAUUAAGAGGUCAUGGCAUGCACUGUGGAAAUCAAAACGGUUGAUGAAUAUUGUUACAGAGAUCAGUGAGCGGAAGGACUAGGAGUUUGAUGCAGUCUAUGUGGUUCGAGGUGAGAAAGCACAGAAUAAAGAGCCAUGACCCCAUUUGGAUUUUGAUACCUCACCUGAUGCCCUCUGUCCCAAGCUGAAGGAGAUGGUUCGUCCAUAGAGAAAUCUGUGUAUCACACCCAAUGAGCCAUUUUAUAAUUAUUUUGAUAAACUGAGGAAACUGAAGCAGCAAAGCAUGGUCACCUUUAGGGUUGUUUAUUAUUUUAUUUCAUCUUUCACCAUUUUUAAUUUCAAAGCAAUCCCAUAAAUUCCGGUUUUCAAAUAUUUUUCAAAUGACUUCAAUUCUUUUCUUGAAAUUUCAUCCUUAGGGUUUUAGGUCUCAAAAAUUCACUUUUCAAAUAAAAUUCACUGCCAUUCUUUCUUUUGGCCAGUGACUUUCACAAUUCCUCUGAUUUUCAAAAUGUUUUAAAUAAGCUAGAAUCAAAUUCCGUAAUUCCAAGUGAUGGAAUUUAUGGAAUUGAUUCAUGCAAAAUAAAAGGGCUUUGGUGGGGGCCCUACAUCAAAGAAUUUUCUUUAAAAUAAAAAAUCAAUUUGAAUGAAUUGUGACAUGUGAUGACUUUUGUGCUUGAUUUAGUGACAUGUGAGUUAUGUUUAUGCUCUUUAUUGUACACUGACCCAAUUUUUUGUGAGAGCACAUUGAUCGUUUGAUGCUAAGGUACGCCCCGCUCUCACUUUGAUCAUUCUUCAUUGAGUAUUCUGAUUUUCAUACGUGCAUAAUCAUUCUGGGUAUUCUCUGAUUUCCUCGUCAUUGCCACAUCAGCUUCAUUUUAUUAGUAGAGACCCGACUUUAGGGACUUAGAAGGGUGCUACGGUUCAUACCGUACCUUCCUGACAAGUAACCUGACCCCCGAACCCGAUCCGGUUUUUCGUAGAUCACCUUUUCCAAAACAAGGAGUCACACUUAGGGUUUUUCUUUCUUAUUUUGUUUACCCUUUAAAAAUAAAACAAAAAUAAGUGGCGACUCCAAGUCAUUUUCAAAUAAUCAAUAAAAAUCAAUUUUUCAAAACAAAAAUCGAGUUUCGCCAUUCGAGAGGGAAACGCAUUCGAGCAAUCGAAAUGCGGGGUCCACAAAAUGGCGACCCCACUGGGGACCAUUAGAGGGUCAAGCUUGAACUUAGGAUGAAGCAAAUGUGGCUUUUGAUGAGUCAAUUAGUGGAUACUCACUUCUUGAUUGCACAUUGAGGGUUCCCGAGUUUUCACUUGAGACAUUGACAUGAUUGAUUGUAUUGGUUGAUUAUCUUGAUUGGAGAUUCUGACACAGUGAUUUUCUUUGUGCUUCAUUGAUAUAUUUGUUUGAGAUAUUUGACAUGCUGAUUAUGAUGAUUGAUUCGUAUUGAUAGAGGAUUCUGAGAUAGCUAUUUUCUCUAUGCUUCAUUGAUAUAUUCAUUUGAGAUUUUGACAUGCUGAUUAUAUUGAUUGAUCAUUUCGUAUUGCUUAGCGCAUUGAUCUUGAUUUUGCCAUGAUUAUUUUGAUCACUUCACAUGCGUACACUCACCACUGUACAUCACUCAGCUUACUAUGUUGAUUCUCUGGCUUGUAUAUUGCCUUGAUCGUCUUUUGAGCAUGAUGUCUGUAUCACUAUUUGUCUUGAUCGUCAUAGUUUGUGUGGACUUGAGUGAUAUACCUGUACUCUGCUUGACUGUAUGGUGCAUGACUACCCUUCCUUUGUGUGAUUGCAUGUUGCUUGUCCGUGUGGGCCGCACAUCUAUCCCCUUACCUCCAACCCUCUGGUUUUCGGUCAUUUUCUUCAUUUCGGCUCUCACUAUUGCAAGUGUGAGACCUUCUGUGUGUUUGCUCUCUGACCAAGCCGGAGAUUAGGAGUAGGGUCUAGCGACGGGCUAUAUCGAUGUACGGGAGCGUCCUGGAGGAGAGCGACACACUGAUGUCAAUUGGAGUCUGAUCAUUGAAGACCUGUAUAGCCCGGAGCUAGGUUUCAUGGAUAUUUGUGUGGCCAGUGUGUUUCCUUUCCCGUUUUAGUUUCCUAGGAUUUUCGGAUGCACCCACACCGUUCACUGUGCACUUUAGUCGACUAUUGAGCGUUGAGAGUUUGAGAGAUUUCACCAUAGGAAGCCCCCUGGGAUGCGAGGUAGUGCAUGUGUGGAGGUGAUGACCACCUUGCAUGGAAGCACCCCGUCUCUUUAGAGGCGUGCAGAGGGUUGCGUACCGCCGGAGGGUAUGAUCGCUUCUGCUAGGGAUCUUUUAAAGUCCACCCAUAUCCAUUUAGAGCCACCUUGACCUCGUAGGUUGAGCCAUAGAUCUUUCGAUUAGGACUCCCUCCCUACACGUGGGUGCAUCUGAGGGCUUUCAGAGCCUCUGUGGUUACAGUUCGGAUCCAGCAUUCCCUCUUUUUAGUCUCCAGUUGAGAGUGCUCGGAGAUCGGUAUGAGUUUGAGUACGGUUGGAUCACCUUUCGUCUUGUCGCCUUAGUUCGUGUUUUUCAUUUGAUGAGUUUAGCACGUUUUCUCCCUAGGGCUUUUCGUUCCCAUUUCUUGGCUCGACACACCUCUUCACUUUGUUGUCACUCACUCGAUACUUUGGGAUAUGUUCAUUGAUCAUCUUUUUAUACUGUAUACCUAUCACGGGCUCAGUACCUCAUCAUUUGUUUGAUCCUUGGUUCGAUUUUCGACUCGAUGCUCAUAUUUUCAUUAUAGAAAGGUGAAAGGCACAUUUUCAUAUUCACACCUUUUUCGAGAGAUUCGCCUUGAUCACCUUAUCAUUUUUUUUCUUAUGGAGCUCGAGUUGGAGGUUGAAUCAAGGAUAUUUUGGUCUAGAUUGGGUAUCGAUCUCGUGUUAGUGUUGUUCUUCACACCCCAUUCAUUUUCUUCACACAUCGAUCAUUUUUUGGAUCAUCGAUAGAAAUUCUUUAGUCAUAUUUGUAGUUGUCUCACACUGGACACUCAUGUGACUCUAGAGAUUCUAUCGUCUAUCCAAAGUUUGAUUGUCACCAUAUGAUUGUGUGUCGCACCCUGUCAUGUAUUGAGUUGUGUUGUAUCAUGCAUUGGUCAUUGUUCGUUACAUCCCGUGUCGUUGCAUGAGUCGUGUUUGAGUCGUUUUGCUCGGUUUCUUUUGUAGGAGUCUAUUUGUAGUCCCAGUCUUGGUUCAGUGCCCUGGGUUGAGUGGGAGAGAGGUUGAUUCGUAUUGCUGAGCUGCUAUAGACGGAUUCACAGUCAGUUUUGAUUGGCUAGCUUAUUGCUUCUGUGGUUUCGAUUUAGGAGGCAUUGGCCAGUUUGAGUUAGAGGAUGGAUAGUCAGCCGAGUAGGCAUGUAGUGCUCGAGGACACGCCAUCUGAUAUAGUGACGCCACCUGUUAUACCCGUUCAGAUGCCAGCUACACAGACUUUGCAUACUAUUUCACAUGAUCAGGCUACUGUCAUUCCACCUGUUGUCACACCAGUUACCAUUAUUGAGGAUCCUCGUUCCCGUAUGGACAGACUCGAGCGGAGGGUUCAACAGAUGAGAGACCCUGAUGAGAUGAUUUCGUGGGAUGACCUUGAUGAUGUGCCAGUAGCCACUUUGCCAGUUGGUUUCAGGAUGCCUGAUAUAGAGAGAUAUACGGGUGUUGGAUGUCCUCGUAUUCAUCUCAGACUUUAUAGCACAGUUAUGAGAGCUCUUGGUCUAGAUGAGGCACAGUUGCUCACUUUGUUCCCAUUGUCAUUUAGCGGCGUGACACAGAGAUGGUACGCUUCAUUAGAGUCAUCUCGUCGGAGAACUUGGGAGGACUUAGCACAGGAGUUUCUGAGACAGUAUUCCUUCAGUGGUGAUACGAGCGUUACACGUAGAGAGUUUGAGUUUCUUAGACAGGGAUCAGAUGAGUCUGUUUCUUCUUUUAUCUCCCGCUGGAGGGAGAAGGCUGCGGAGAUGAUUGAGCGACCUACCGAGAGAGAUCAGAUGAGCAUGUUUUUGAGGAGUUUGCACCCUAGGUUUGCUCGGCAUCUGACAGGAGUCCCAUUCCAUGAUUUCAGAUCAUUGGUUCAGGCUUUGUUCGAUGUAGAUGAUGGCAUAUCUAGAGGAUUAUGGUCAGAUAUUAUCCCUUCUUCAGAUACUGAGGGGAAGGGAGUUGUUGGAUCAUCUGAGAGCUAUGGAGGCGUAUUUUCAGCAGACUUUCAGCAUCGACGACCUGGUUAUCAUUCCUAUGCGAGAUCACUGCAGACAUCCAAGAGUGAUUUCCCACCCUUACAGCAUCGUCAUCCUCAUUCAGUUCAGCAGUACCCUUCUGUGCAUCCUCAUACUGUCACGGUGCGACCUUCAUUUCAGUUUCAGCGUCCACAGACUAGUAUCCCACAGUAUGAGCAGUCUCGCCCCCAUCGGCGACGUCAGAGGACUUAUUCUGAUUUGGGGAUGCAUUUGGAUAGAGUUUUUGAGCGACUCAGAUCUACUGGUUUUUUAGUACCAUUGGCCCCUAGGCCACUCCCGAGUACCUUGCCUCCGCGUUUUCGUGCUCAUGAGUUCUAUGCAUUUCACCAGAUGGCAGGCCACCGUACUGAUUAUUGUGCUUCUCUACGUCAUACCAUACAGGAUCUUAUUGACAGUGGUGCGGUUAGUUUUCUUGUAUCGGCUAUAGACACUGAUCUUGGUCCAGAUAUGACUGUUGUUUCCUUUCCAGCCUAUUCCACACAUGCAGUUCCUCCUUUUUCGGGCUUAUACCAUCACAUUUUGGACACCCAGGGCACUGAUAUUCACAGGACACUUUGAUACCUUGUUGGUGUAUUUUGGGACUACAUUGUUAGUUGGUCGUUUGAGUUUUUGUUCUCCUUUACUUUGUAUUUGAGUUUUGUUUUAUAGAUAGUGAGUCGAGUCGUACCCUGUGUUUCGAGAGUAGACCUUACUGUCUUAUUUUUCGCAUGAUGUACUCUCAUUUCACUUAGUGAUAUUGUUGUUUUCUUGGGUAUGUGUUUCUGUCUUCUUUUUAUUAUUAUCAUUGUAUCGCAUCAUGCAUUUUAUGUGUUGUUAUCUUGUGUAGCAUAUUGUGUUGCUUUGUUUUUGUCUCUUGCAUGUGUUUGUUUUAGAGUCUUGGACAGUUUUAGUGUUGUGACUGGUCCGCGAGCAGAGAUUGAUGGCAUGAUGGUUAUGAUAUUUUCAGAGUACCUUGAGAUUAGACUUCGUCAGUUGAGGUUCACCAUGUCGGACGAGAUCGCACCCAUUACUUUUACUACUCUUUACGAGAUGAUGGUGGAUUUGACACGGAGGGUUGAAAGGAUUGAGCUUAUUUUGUCGGAGUAUCCAUCGUCAUCGAGAGGAGCUCCAGGAGUAGCGAUGCCUUCAUUGCCACACUUGACUUCACCGACACCUGUUACUUUGGGUGCCUCGCAUCCACGACCUCGCCCACAUUUAGUACUCCAGCAGCAUUCCCCAUCCAUUUCAUUGGCUACGUUGGCACGACCUCCAUCCCGGCUUCGGGGCCCUCCGGUCGUUACAGUUCCUCAGGAGCGAUUUCCCCCCCAUCGACGAUGUCGGAGACACUUUUCAGAUUUGGGCGCACCCCUGAGCAGAGUUUUUGAGACGUUCCAGGCCAUGGGAUUUUUGGCUCCUCUGGCUCCUAGGGCACUUCCAGAUCCUGUGCCUCCACAGUUUCGACUUGAUUUAUAUUGUAUGUACCAUCAGUCAGUAGGACAUCACACUGAUCGUUGCACUGCUCUACGACAUGCCAUACAGGACAUUGUUGAUUCUGGGACGUUUGGGCAUCCUUAGUCCGAUAUGUUUCCUAUUCCUACCUCAGCUCAAGCCAUGCAUGCAGACGCCCCUUCACCAGCAGUCCCUGAUCUUAUUGAUUUGGGCGAUUGACUCAUGAUUGGCUUACCUUGGUGUGGUGGCACUCAGACUUUGUUCCCUCUGUGGCCAGAGAUGUGAUGACAGGACCAGUCACUGUUUUUUGUUUGUUUAGUCUUGUUUUACUUUUGAAAUUUAGAGACUAUAACUCGAUUCUUGAGUAUUGUCUUUGUUGUCUUUCUUUUACAUGAUGUACUCAUCGGAUUAUCCCAUUGGAUGCAUUUUCCUUUAUGGACAUGUGUUUGUGUUUUGUGAUAUGAUGUGUUGUACUUUUGACUUGGGGCAUCUCUUCACUUGCAUAUUGUGGUCUUGAGGCUUGACCUAUCAUGGAGGAUAUUGAGCCUAUUAGCCUAGGAUCAGAGAUUUGACCUAGAGAGUUCGAGACUGUGACAUAUCUUCUUAUGAUCAGAGCAGUACCUCGCUCACUUCCCACACCUUGCUUUUGUUUUGACCUACAUCCAUCCAUUAUGAGCUUUACACAGCAUCACCCUUGAGACCAUUAUAUGACCUUUCCAUCCUUGGUUUUUCUAGCUUUGCACACCUCCUCUCUGAUCCGACUAGGUAGAGUGUGAGGAGUUUGAGCCCAGGGUUGAUUUCGCAUGACGAGGGUUAGCUUAUGAUCUUUGGAUGGCUUACGAUGUGAGGAUUGGUCGAUUGCUUGAUGAGACUAUCACUUAUUUUUCCGUGAGUACAGAGGUUGAUAUUGUAUGAUGAGAGUUGGCUUGUGAUGGGCACUCGUGCCUGAUGAGAUCACCGUUCACUUUGCUUUGAGAAGAUCAUCUUUGAGAUUAUUAUAGGGCAUUUGGAGUACGGUUGGUGCAUGAUUCUAGAGGGUUGACGUGGUUAUAUCAGAUGGACAUCGGUCUUUAGUAUUGAUCAUUUGAGGGCUUGAUAGCACGAUGUUUGAGACCGUGGUCACAGGAUGGGUGGCCUUCAUUUCGGUUAGCUCACACCCUAUUACCUUUAUUGACAUCUAGACCAUUGCUAGCCCUUUGAGCCUCGCAUGGGCAUCAUAGUCUUUUAUUUCUUAUAGCCUUGCUCACCUUCUACAUCGGGAUAGGGGCCCUUCAGUGUAUGCAUGCAUUGUUUAGGAGUUUCAUGAGCCUUGGACCUAGGGGCGCAUCUUUCUCAUUAUCUUUUCCUAUCAUUGCAUCAUUGCAUUUCAUCACACUUCAUUGAUCGCGUCCUUUAUCCUAUCUUUUACUCGUUUUGCAUCACUUUCUCCACCCCGAGUGGUGAUCCCCCUCAGUUCAUUACAUGGAGGGUAGUCACGUCAUUUCCACUAUCUAUCAUACGGACGUUGAUCCAGGGAUCCUUGGCUUAAGAGGGUCACAUCAUUAGAGAGAGUUUAUGCUACAUUGGCAUUUGAGAGUAUGUUUAUCCAUUUUUACUUCAUCUUUAGAUCUUUCUUGGUUUGCGUUCAGAGCAUGUACAUUUUGUCUAUAUGUAAAAAAAAAAAAAAAAAAAAAAAAAAAAAAAAAAAAGAGGCACAUGUGUGUAUUAUUCUCUAUCAUUGAGUAUGUGUAUAUUAGUGUUCGAGGGGUCGCUUUGUUAGAUAUGUCUAUUCAUGGGAGUUCGUAUGUGAGCUCCUCGGGACCUUUCAUUCUUCGUAUUCAUUUUGUUGUUGUAUGUUUUGAGAGCGAGAUGAGUGGCCUUCUCUUAGGAGCUCUGGGUCAUUGUCCAUUCCAUCAUUGUGUUCGUUAUUGACGUGACCUCCUUUCAUAUUUGAUUUGAGCAGAUCAUCACUUGUUCUCGUAUUCUAUGCUUCAUCAUCAUCCUCGUUUUCACUUCUGAUUCAUCAUUUUUAUUUCACCUCUUAUUCCGUUCUUACAGUGACCUCAUUUUCGGGUUUGGUGCUCUCUUCGCACCAUCAUUAUACAUCUCGUCAUCAGUUCGGUUAUUCUUCAUUGCAUCAUCAUUGUUACCAUGUUCACAGUAGGCAUCUUUAGGUCCAUGGCUCACGAGAUUUUCUAUACAUGUUGCAUUUUAUACAUGAGGGCAUGGGUUUUUGAUCAUUGGGUAUUUGGGCCUAGUUUCCUUUCAUUUCUAUCACCCUAUCACCCUAGCUUACGUUACGUCCCGUGUCUUAAGACCACCCUGAGACCAUGACAUCACAUGUUGUGUUUGAUAGCUCUUAUGUGAGCGAUACUUGAGAUUGAUUCGAGAGCAUUCUGUUCGUGAUGGACCAGGAGUUAUGGUAUGACCUUACACUGGGGCAUAGCCAUCUCAGAGAGUUUUAUUAUCGGAUGACCAUUAUGUCGAGGCAUACCCUUCUCAGUCGAUGACGGAUUUUUGAGACAUGUCCAUUCCUCGGAGGAUAUCAGAUGUCCUUUUUCCACAUUGGAGCAUGAGACAUGAUUGACGCAUUUCAUCUGGUGUACUUUACACAGGGGCAUACCCCUUUCGGUCGAUGAUGGUUUUUUAGGUAUAGCUGUUCCUCGGAGGUGUUUAGAUUCAUUUCACAUUGGAGUACGGGAUAUGAUUGGUUGAUUUCUUUGAUGUGAUCACAGGAGCAUAGUCUUCUCAUCAUUAUUGACAUAUUUUUUAGAUGAUUGGAUCAGGACACGGGCACUUAUGAGAGCAUGCGGCGGAGUUUAGUCAUUUCAGGGUUGCCCUAUACUGGGGCAUAACCCUUUCAUUGGAGGUUGAUCUUAGAGACACCAGUUCGCAUUGGGACAUGCUUUUUCUUUAGAGGAGGUCAGAUACUCUCUUCACAUUACCACGAUGACUUUGAGGAGUAGAGGUUCAUUUUGAUCAGAUGAUGUAUGAUUGGUUGCACUCCUCUCAUCGACGUUUGAUUUGGAGAUGCUUACACUGGGGCAUAGCCCACUCAUUGAUGAUGAUUUUGUGAGAUGACAGUUUAUGCCGGAUACUUACUUUCCAGAGAUCAUUCUGCAUUGAGAGCUUACCCAUUCUGAGAUGAUGCAUUCACACUGGGGCAUAGCCACCUUGCCGAUUUUGACAUUGAGACUUCAUUUUGUGUUUAUGAUUGCUGCUUUCGAUGGAUCAUAGAGUCAUUGACACCCUGGGCUCAAUCUUCUCAGCGUACCUAGUUUGAUUUGGAUAUUCACUUAUUUUUGUUACACGCCCAUCCAUCCUACAUUGGACACUGUUAUACCUGCACCCAUCUUAUCAGAGCCUUACAUCUUUUGAGCCCACAUAUUUCAUCGUCUUACAUGACCUUACCCAUUUCUCUUGUGAUCAGAGGAUGAUGCAUACCAGUCUCGGGCUUUCUGGUUGGGUUUUCACAUGCCUUUGGACCUUAGGUUCAACAUCUUCCGUGAUGGUAGGGCCUGUUAGAUUGUUGAUGCACUUGUGAUGAUGUACUCAUAUUGAUAGUUGACAUGUCGUGUUUUGAUUUGCUUACAUUUCAGACCUAGAGUUUUGGUCAGCGUUUGUGUGAUCCAUUAUUUUAGUUUUGCUUUGUCAGCAUGAUUUCAGUGAUGUUUGGACUUAUUUUAGCGUUUGUUCAUUGAGGCUCUGUAUGUGUUUUUCAUUGCAUCAUCAUUGAGCAUAUCCCAGAGUAUCUUGUUUGGUGACAUUCUAUGUCUUAUGUUGGUUACUAUCUUACACUGGGGCAUACCCCCCAUCCUUGAGUUUAUCAGAUCUUUUGCGUACUUUCUCACUACUCAGUUUAUUUCUUGAUCUUUGCGAGUCAUUAUACUGGGGCAUACCCCUUUAGCGCUUUUCUACUGGGGCAUACCCCCUCUCUUUGGGUUUACCGUGUCUCGUGUUGCUUUCAUGGUUGUUGGACCCAUUUGUCGAUCUUUGCGAGUUAUCACCUAGGGCAUCCCCCUACUAUCAUCUUGUCUAGGGCAUCCCCCUAUUAUCAUCUUGUUUAGGACAUCCCCUUACCAUUAGUUUGUCUAGGGCAUCCCCCUUCAUUCAGUUAUCACCACCAUAGAUCAGGCAUCUAUGGGCAUUUGAGAUUAUAUCACCACCAUGGAUUUUCAUCCUUGGGCUUUUGAGAUUAUCACCACCAUAGAUCAGACAUCUAUGGGCAUUUCAGAUUCACCAUCAUGGAUUUUCAUCCAUGAGCCUUUGUUUCAGUUAUCACCACCAUGGAUUUUCAUCUAUGGGCAUUUCAGAUUCACCACCAUAGAUUUUCAUCUAUGGGCUUUCGAGAUUAUCACCACCAUAGAUCAGGCAUCUAUGGGCAUUUGAGAUUAUAUCACCACCAUGGAUUUUCAUCCUUGGGCUUUCGAGAUUUUCACCACCAUAGAUCAGACAUCUAUGGGCAUUUCAGAUUCACCAUCAUGGAUUUUCAUCCAUGAGCCUUUGUUUCAGUUAUUAUCACCAUCAUAGAUUUUCAUCUAUGAGCAUUUAUUUCAGUUAUCACCACCAGGGAUUUUCAUCAUUGGGCUUUCGAGAUUUUCACCACCAUAGAUUGGCAUCUAUGGGCAUUUUUUUAUUGUAUCACCACCGUAGGUCUUCACCUAUGGGCCUUCUAGUUUAGUGUUUAGGGUUAGUUUUUUUGGUUUGGCUUACAGAGCUUUAUUUUCUUAUUUUCUAGUUUAGUGUUUAGGGUUAGUUUUUUUGGUUUGGCUUGCAGAGCUUUAUUUUCUUAUUUUCUAGUUUAGUGUUUAGAGUUAGCUUUUUUUGGUUUGGCUUGCAGAGUUUUAUUUUCUUAUUUUCUAGUUUAGCGUUUAGAGUCAGUCUUGUCAUGCAGAGUCACAGCUCCUAGCGUUCAUAUUCUCCGGCAUUGCAUGUCUCACCUUCAUGGAUUUGCACUUAUUCUCACUCUCCUCACCUCGUUACCCUGUGCUUAUCGCCUAUUCAUCUCGUAGUCCACAUAGGGCAGUCUCUUUUAGACGCAUUCUUGUUCGUACUCCAGGGUGGUUCGACCGUUACUCACCUUUGACAUCGAUCUUCGGGUCACUUUUGGAGACGUUUUAGAGGGAGCUUGGAUCCUUAGUGUGGCUUCAGAGGCAUUUUGAGGCACCCAUCUUUCUCUUUUAGGAUUAGAGCCUUUGUGUUUGUCUUUUGGCCUGAGUGAGUUCACAUCUCACUCGUGUCCCUAUGGGGGUCUCCUUGGUUCUUCAGUAGAGUUCACUUCAUUCCACUCACUAUUCACACUUACUUUUCACUCCAGUGUUCAUGUUCUUUACACUCGUGAACUCUACCGAAGAGGGGCAUAUUUGUAGACCCCCUUUUAGGUCAUUCCUACCUUGCAGCUCAAUUUUACCAUGUGGAAGAGCCUUGGUCAGCCACGUGUCAACACCUGAGAAGCCAUGAGAGAAUUAUAAUAGUGGUUUGGGAAGCCAAUCAAAAGGGGACACGUUGCAUGGGAAUCUGGAAGCCGUUAAUGGAGGAGCGUCUCUGGCAGCUGGAGUGAGGGGUGUUUUUCUGAGCAGGCCGUUGGAGAUAUUUUGGGGGGAAGGAGGCUGCAGAGAGAGAGGAUUCCAGAGAGCAUUGAGGGAGGGUGCUGCGGUGAGAGGUUUUUUUUUUUGAAGAGGGUUACAGAGGAAAAAAAAAACGAAGAAAAACAGAGCAGAGAGCUUUAGAGAGAGGAGAGGAUUCUGUUAGCUAGGAAGUAGUAGAGCUGUGAGGGGGGAGUUUUUUUUUAGAGUAGCAGAGAGCAAGGAAGAGGAAAAAGCUGCUUUUUUGAGAGACAUUAGAGAGGUUCCGGGAAGCUGCAGAGAGAGAGAGGAUUUUUUAGGGAGCUUUUCAGGCGAGUCUGAAGGAUAUCUUUGAGAGUUUUUCAAAAAGGAUUCUGGUGGGAGCAGAGGGGAUUUUUGGGUUGCUUGAGAGAAAGAGUGGGAAAAACAAGCUGGGUGUCCGAGAAGAGUUCGAGAAGAAAAGAAGUUUGAUCAUCUUUACUUGAGGGGCUCAGGUAUGGCCAUUACGAGUACUCUUGCUCUGGAUUUAUUGGUUUUCCUCUCUUGACAUUGUUGGUUUUAAUCAUCGUUUAUUGGGCUCUGAUUGCUCUUAAGCUCGCACUGCACCUGCUCUGUUUUGUUCUCUCACUAGUUUCUCUGAUUUUUCUCUUAUAAAUCAUCGAGGUAUGGUUUGCUUUCCUUGAGCUUGAAGUUUGAUCAAAUACACAAAAGCUNNNNNNNNNNNNNNNNNNNNNNNNNNNNNNNNNNNNNNNNNNNNNNNNNNNNNNNNNNNNNNNNNNNNNNNNNNNNNNNNNNNNNNNNNNNNNNNNNNNNNNNNNNNNNNNNNNNNNNNNNNNNNNNNNNNNNNNNNNNNNNNNNNNNNNNNNNNNNNNNNNNNNNNNNNNNNNNNNNNNNNNNNNNNNNNNNNNNNNNNNNNNNNNNNNNNNNNNNNNNNNNNNNNNNNNNNNNNNNNNNNNNNNNNNNNNNNNNNNNNNNNNNNNNNNNNNNNNNNNNNNNNNNNNNNNNNNNNNNNNNNNNNNNNNNNNNNNNNNNNNNNNNNNNNNNNNNNNNNNNNNNNNNNNNNNNNNNNNNNNNNNNNNNNNNNNNNNNNNNNNNNNNNNNNNNNNNNNNNNNNNNNNNNNNNNNNNNNNNNNNNNNNNNNNNNNNNNNNNNNNNNNNNNNNNNNNNNNNNNNNNNNNNNNNNNNNNNNNNNNNNNNNNNNNNNNNNNNNNNNNNNNNNNNNNNNNNNNNNNNNNNNNNNNNNNNNNNNNNNNNNNNNNNNNNNNNNNNNNNNNNNNNNNNNNNNNNNNNNNNNNNNNNNNNNNNNNNNNNNNNNNNNNNNNNNNNNNNNNNNNNNNNNNNNNNNNNNNNNNNNNNNNNNNNUUUCAUCCUUAGGGUUUUAGGUCUCAAAAAUUCACUUUUCAAAUAAAAUUCACUGCCAUUCUUUCUUUUGGCCAGUGACUUUCACAAUUCCUCUGAUUUUCAAAAUGUUUUAAAUAAGCUAGAAUCAAAUUCCGUAAUUCCAAGUGAUGGAAUUUAUGGAAUUGAUUCAUGCAAAAUAAAAGGGCUUUGGUGGGGGCCCUACAUCAAAGAAUUUUCUUUAAAAUAAAAAAUCAAUUUGAAUGAAUUGUGACAUGUGAUGACUUUUGUGCUUGAUUUAGUGACAUGUGAGUUAUGUUUAUGCUCUUUAUUGUACACUGACCCAAUUUUUUGUGAGAGCACAUUGAUCGUUUGAUGCUAAGGUACGCCCCGCUCUCACUUUGAUCAUUCUUCAUUGAGUAUUCUGAUUUUCAUACGUGCAUAAUCAUUCUGGGUAUUCUCUGAUUUCCUCGUCAUUGCCACAUCAGCUUCAUUUUAUUAGUAGAGACCCGACUUUAGGGACUUAGAAGGGUGCUACGGUUCAUACCGUACCUUCCUGACAAGUAACCUGACCCCCGAACCCGAUCUGGUUUUUCGUAGAUCACCUUUUCCAAAACAAGGAGUCACACUUAGGGUUUUUCUUUCUUAUUUUGUUUACCCUUUAAAAAUAAAACAAAAAUAAGUGGCGACUCCAAGUCAUUUUCAAAUAAUCAAUAAAAAUCAAUUUUUCAAAACAAAAAUCGAGUUUCGCCAUUCGAGAGGGAAACGCAUUCGAGCAAUCGAAAUGCGGGGUCCACAAUUAUAUUCAUUAGUUAGUUCUAAACACGCUCGAUAUUCUUUCAAUUUUUUUUAAAUUUAGAUUAGGGUUAGUUUAUUUAUUUUUUUUAAAAAAAUUAAGAUCAAAAUAUUGGAAACUUAAAAUUAUGGAUUGAUUUAUUGUUGGAAAUUGAGAAAUUUUGGAAAUUGGAAAAUUUUAAGUUUUUAGAUGAAAAAAAAAAAAGGAAUCGUGACUUUCGACCUUGGAAGUAUGUUAUGAUUUAUAUGCAUAUAAAGUUUUAAUGCACUAUAGAUUGCGGCAAUUUUGGAGAAAAAAAAAAGGGACACAUCGUGUGUGCAUUAGAGAAAGGCAUUGGAAUAUAUAUAUAUAUAUAUAUAUAAUAUGUAGGGUAUGGCGUUGAGCGUGUGGGGAAGAAUGAGUAUGAUGGGAACAAAUAAUAAUAAUAAUAAAUAUAAUAAUAAUUAUAAAAGCAAUAUUAAUAAUAAAUGAAGACAUGUACGGAGUGUGUGUUUGGUGGUAAAUAUAUGUAUAUAUAUAAUUAUAUUAACAAUGAUGGAGAGUUGUUGUGUAUACAUGUUAUGUUUGGUGGGAAAAAAAGAAAAAAAAAAAAAGAACUAAAAGUGAUAUAGAAUAUAUAAAUAAAAGGAAGUGAAGUAAAGUUUUUGGUAUUAUAAUUAUAUUAAUGAUGGAUGUAAGUUAAUAAAUAACAUAGAAUUUAAUUAGUGAAAUAAAUUGUAAUUUAAUUAAAUUAUGUUGUGUCCCUAGAAAUAAAAUGAAAAUAAAAUUUAAGUUUUAUAUGAAUUAAAAAUUUAUUAAUUCUUUUAAAAUAGGAUUAGAUUAAAUUAUUUUUCAUAAUUAAAAAGAUUAAUUUGAAUGCCUAAAAUUUUUAGGAUUUUCAAACCUAUAUUUUUAGAUAAAUAGUAAUAGUUAUUUCUUUUAUGUUAUGUUAGGUGAAGAGUAGACUUUUCAGAAUUACUUUUCUCCAAAGAUUUUGAGAACUCCUCUGAGGUAAGGGAAAUUAAUGCAGAUUUUGCAAAAGAAAAUAAUUAUAUAUAUAUUUGCUUUUAAGUAUGGAUCAAAUAUAUUUUUGCAUGGAAAAAAAAGUUUUAUAACAUUUAUUUUGUUUAUAACGAAACAUUUGGAGAUAUUAUGCUUUUGUAAGUUGGAAUAAAUAAAAUAAGGAAUUCAACUUUGGUUUGUUCGACCCUUAUCAACGAGAUAUAAUAAUUGACUUUUCGACCCUUAUCAACGGAAUAUAAUAAUUGACUUUUCGACCCUUAUCAGCGGAAUAUAAUAGUUAACCUUUACAUUUUUGUAAUGGGAAAUGUAAUUGAUCUGGACCUCAACCUCUAAGGGUUUGGUUAGAGGUUACUAGUACUAGUAAUAUUUGGUUUCAUCCUCCUUAAAAAGGAACAUUUGAGGCGAGCCACCCAUUUGUGAAGUCCCUCUUAACUGAGCACUAUUUGUUAUUUGAUAACCAGAGUGAAAACAAUUGAAAUGUAUUUGAUUUGAAAUGGAUAUGAAAUGAUUUUUAUAUAUGAAAAUUUUUGUUGAACGGUUUAAAUGUAUUAGCAUGUUUAACUCAAAAGUUUUAUAAAUAGAGUAUAUGUUAUAUCUACUGCUUGUAAGUAAAAUUGAAAAUAUUUUACCCAUAAAACUAUGUUAAUAUUCCUUAUUAGGCUUUGAGUUCAUCCCUCUUUGUUGAUAAUUUUCCAAGUACCCUCAGUUCGGGUGAGGUUUGACGGUUAGGAGGGGAAAUUGGCUUGUUAGGACAUUUAUCAAAACUCUCUUUAUUUUGAGUAUUGUUUAGAUGUUAAAAAAAAUCUCAUUUGAAUUAUUUGAGUUUGGAGUUAUUUGGACAAUAACACUUGGUUUGAUGUGUUAAUUUUUAAAAUUGAUAUCUGGAGAUUUUAGAAUUUUUGUUCUACUAGUCUAAACAACAAUUUGGUAAUUGGAAAUUUUCAUUUACAUGAUGAAUGUUUGUAUUGUUUCCACUUUGAGCCUUUAGGUUUGAAGUAUGAAAUGACCAUCAUGCCCUUAGAGUGGGUUUUGGGAUGUGACAAUAACUUUAUUAUUCUUAAGAAAUUGGAUAAUAUAUAUAUAUAAAAAAAAAAUGGGGUCAAUGUGGGGCUUUAGAAGGGAUUGAGAGAAAAAAGGGGGGAAAAAAAACCUGAAAAAGGGAGAAGGGUUUCUUGCAACUAAGAGCCCCUUUUCGCGGUGUGAUUUAAAAAUAAUAUUUUAUUUUUAAAAACAAAGAAUUACUUUUAAAAUUCUCUAAUAUCGUUGAUCUUUGUUUUUUGAAAACAGUUUUUAAAAAUAAGGUGAAUAGAGAACAAUUUUUAAAAAACAAGUAGAUAUUAUUUUCACUAGUUUUAAAAAAUAAAAUGUAAAAAUAGAAAUAUUAAAAAAACCAUAAAAAUAAAAUAAAAUUGACCAUGAUAUCACACCAUAAAUCCUAAAAUAUGAUAUUCCUUUAAUUACAUGUACUUUUGUGAAAAAAAAAAUUAAUUUUUCUAAAAAUUUUCAUUAAUCAAAUAAAUUUCAAAUCAAAUUGUACUUGAUAAAAUAAAAUUUAUUAAUUUUUAAAAAUAUUUUGAAACUCAAAAACCAAUUUAAUUAAUGCUAAAAAGUUAUGAAAUAAUAUUAAUAAGUUAUAGAUCAAAAUUUAUUCUAAAUAUUUAGUUUGGUUUCUUCUUUAUAUAUAAAGGUAAAUAAACUCCAAAUUAAGCAAUACAUUGGAUUGAUUAAAAAGUUUAGUAAUUUUUAAAAAUUAUUUAAAACUCAAAUAAUGAAUCAAUUAAUAUAAAAAAUUUAUGAAUAAAAAUUGGUUUAAAACGAUUUUAUAGUUUCUUUUUCACAUAGAAUCAUUAUUUUCUUUUUCUUUUUUUACUAGGAAAAUGAAUUCUAAAUUAAAUAAGACUUAACGCAUUAGAUUCAUUAGUGAGUCUAUUAAUUUUUUAAAAUAACUUGAUACUUAAACAAUAAUCUAAUCUAUACCAAAAAGUGGUUGAAAAUGACUCUACCGUUUUUCUUCUACAUAGAAUCCUUAUUUUCUAAUUUUUUUUUCAACUAAGCAAAUAAGCUCUAAAUUAAAAUUUAAUGUAUUGGAUUUAUUAACAAGUUUAGUAAUUUUUUAAAAUAAUUUGAAACUCAAAUAAUAAAUUAAUUGAUACCAUAAUUUUAUGAAUAAAAAAUGAGUUCAUAAUAAUGAGUUUAUCAUUUUCUUUUUUGCACAUAAUUAUUAAAUGGGUUCAUAAUAAUGACUUUAUGAAUAAAUUAAUUGAUACCAUAACUUAAAAACAACUUUUUAGAAAACAUGACCAAACUUACCCCUAGAGUGUUUGGAGAGAAGUGGAGGAAAUGAAAAGAGUUGCAGGUGAGGCUAUGCUUCCUCUCACUCUGGGCUUUAAAAAAACUCUUUGCUUUUGGAUUUUUGUAGAGGGGGAGGUUGUGUCUAUAAUUCAAAUGGUACAGAAGAUGGAAUUGCAUGGGUGUUAAGCUUGGAUCUGGGAUUAAGAACCUAAUCAUGCAGGGACUCUUUUUCUAAACUGUCAUUUAUGAGAUGUCUAUUGUUUUUAUCUUGAUUUGAUUAAGUGACUUUUCCAGAUUGAUUUCAGAUAAUCUAUUUUAUUAGAUAAAUCCUUUGGAGCAUGAAAUGACAAAAAUCUAAUAUCCCCUGUUUGAUUCUCAUUUAAUCAUUUACUGAUCAGUUUUGCUUGGUAGAUUUUUCAAUGAUUCUUUGUGGGCUUGGCCUAAGACAAACCAUUUCUAAGGUUGUAGACAUUCCAUUACUAGAAACUGUACUUCCUCUCUAUUUUAAAAUUUGAGAUAGUAUUUAAGAGAAAAACAGGAAAUAAAUUAAGCUCUGAUAUCAUCAACCCAAACUUUUAAGCUGUUGGGUAAGGGAACACUUAGAAAUAUUCUCUAAAUCAUGACUACAGUUAGGGCAUAUUUUCUCUGCAUCCUGUCUCUGCCGGUGAGCCAUAUGAGCAUUCUAAUCUUUUGCAUCAAAAUUCAGCCAGAGAGAGUUAAGGCUAUGGCAUAUCUGGGUUGCAUUGACUAGCUAGCAGGCUCCUCAGGCUCACAUAAAAAAUGAAUGAGCUCCAAACUAGGAUUGAGCUUGGCUUGUUUGUUUCACAAUGAGCUCUAAUCAAAGAUUCAAAGCUGAUGUUUACUUGAGCUUUGGACAUUUCAGGUUGUUUUAGAGACUUGGGCAAUUCAGAAGCCUAUCAAAGCACAUAUACUUUGGGUUCAAUUUUUUGUCGCACGAUUGUGUUGCUCUAAAUAAUGGUGUUUUGUGUUUCCCCUGAGUCCAUGAUUUGGACAACAAGAUACGGAUUCUCUCUUCACAAUUGAGUUUUGGAGGCUGGGUUUUCAAAGCUUAGUGGUGGAAUAAUCAGAUAGUUUUGUAAUCAAAUAUGUUUAUAACUUAAUUAACCUAUUUAUUAAAAAAAAAUUAAAUGAAUCAAAUAUAGGUUAAUUAGUUUAGAGUUAUAAUUAUGUUAAUUAAUAUGAUUAUUAAAUAGAUCGAUUAAGAUAAAAAUCGUAUUAUGCAAAUUGAUUCAAAAACUACCUAUUGAUUAAAUGGGUUUUGCAAUAUGAUACAAAUUUGAUUCAAACACAACUAUACUCAAUUCAAACCUGUGAAAAAAAAUGUUAAGUUUGAAUUGUAUUGACGAAUUAUAUCAAACUUUAUCACCCUUAUACAAAACCAUUCCCAAUGCACCUAUUGGAACUUUUUGAGUUACUACUUGACUUUGUUGGAUUCAUACUCUCAAGAUUUUAUUUUUUAUAUUAUUUUUUAAAAUAAGUGAUGAGUCAAGAAUAAAUAAAUAAAUAUUAUUUUUAAAAUUAAAUAAAUUAAUAUUCAUUUUCAAAUAAAUCAAAAUAAAAUAAAACAAGUCCCCAUUGAGUGGAAAUACACAUAAUAAUAAGACGAGAAUAUACACCCAUAUUUCUAGUGGAGUCAAUUCUAGCUCAAUUUUUCAUCGAAGUAGAAAUUUCAACCUAGCCAUCAAGUAACAUUCUUUUCCAAUUGUGAAACUAAUUUCUAGUUCUUUUAUUCACUAAGCUGGACUGGAACCAUGUCAAAAAGCCUAGCAAUGAACUCAUAUUGAACUUAGAAACUCAUGUUUUAGUAUCUAGAUUUCAAUUUUACAUCUGGUCAUAUAUUAAUAUCUCUCUUGUGUUCUUUUUUUUUUUUUGGAUAUUUGGACCAAUGUUUAAUCACAUUUUUUUGCUAAUGACACCCCUCAAAAUGUCAAUAAAAAAAAUUUAUAUGAAAGCCUAGCUUACCUCAUUGAUAACACCUCUCUCUCUCUCUCUCUCUCUCUCACCAGGAAGUCUCUCCACUGGAAGCCCCCACUUAUUCUCCAAGUAAGUUUUCCUCUCAACAUUAUGACUUUAUCAAUCUCUUUCUUACUACUACAACUUCCUUGAUAUUUCCCAUAUCAUAGCUUUGUCCAUCUCUCUCAUCACCACAACUUCAUCAUUCUCUUUAUGACAAUUUCAUCUUCAUUUCUACAUAUUACAAGAUCAAACAAAUUUAAGUAACAUCUUCAUUUCAUAUUGCAUCAUAAUAUUCUGUGAUUAAGUUUUAUUUAUCAAAUGUUUAGUUCCCACCUAGUGGAGUUUGGCUAGGGUCCCCUUGUUAUCCUUUUUAACAUUCGACUUGUAUCACUUGCAUUAUACAUGACUUGGAUGUAUUAAGAAUUACAUAAAGGAUACAAGUCAUGCAUUCCUUGUAAGAUGAUAAGUUGUUCACAAUCAGUUCAUAGACUUGAGAUAAUAUUAAGUUUGUGUUACAAUCAACAUGAGGUUUUGACCUAUAGGUGAGACCCUAAGGUGGUCAUAUAUCUUAGGAUCAGGUCAUUAUUGAUGAAGGCUAGUAGUAAUAUGUAUUUUCAAUAGAGGCAUCAUGAUAUCUCAUAGGAUUGAGACAGGUUGUCCCCUUGAAUGAUCCAAAGGACAUGUGAUCAUGAAAUCUAUGGUCACAAUAAUUCCUUUAGUAGAAUUUGGCAUAUGCUCUUUAGAGUUAGAGUAUGUCAAUUGAUUACAUAAUAGGAUAGGAGGAUUUAUAACUUAAGGAUUAGAAAGACAAUUUUGAUAGGUUGAUAGCACUAUUUUAUUAUAUUAUGAAUACCAAUUCAUGGAGAGUCUACAAAUAAUGAAUAGUAAAUCAUAGACCCAAGUUUUGCUCGUUGUAAUUUCAUAGGACACUGUAGUGUAGUUAACUCUCUUUAGUGGAUUGUUGAGUUAACUUUAGCAUUGGAUUUUGAGGGUGUCAGUAUUUUCCUAUGGGUCCCAAUGGUCCAUACUUGAGCUCUUAUUUCAUGGUGACAUGUUUUGAAGGUAUUUUAGGUAUCUAAUUCAUAAGUAUGUAUGAGGGAGUUUUGGUAAAAAGGAAAGGUUGCACUAUCUUAUGAAUUAACUUUACAAAAUGGUCUAACUAAUUAAUUAGAACCAGUUAUGACUAAUUAAUUAACUAGGAUCCAAGUAAGUUAGACUAGGUAACCCAAUCCCUAUUUGGACUUAAGUCGCAUAAGCCUAGAAGGAAGCCUAUAUAAACUCCUUUAAGGGUUAGGGUUUUAGGCUUAUAGUUCAAUUUUCUAAAAUUCCAAAGAGAGGAACCCAAACCACCCUUUUGGGAAAAAGAGAAGCCCAGUAUUCUCUUGUGCCAAGACUCAUGGAAGGAUAGAUCGGGUGGAAGAUUGUUGGGUAGAUGAGUUCUACGAUAACCAUUGCAAUUUCAAAGUCUUCAUCAAAUGGAAAUCAAUUUGGGAACAUCUAAAUCACAAGUAUAAGUUUUUAAUCUCUAGAUUUUUAUCAUAUUAUGGUUUUUAUAGUCAUAGGUUUCCGCUACGUUAAAUCUAGAGAAGUCAAGGAUAGAUGCAUGCAUUCUAUGAGAUCCAGGGCCUAGGAACGGAGUAAUUUGACGUUCUUAGCACCAAUAUUCCCCAAUCAAGAGCUAUUUAAUCUUUGCAUUAAAUGUUCAAGUGCCUAACCAAUCCUUAUAGAAACAUGAAAUUAUUUCAAUAUUUUCCUAAGCAUAAUUGACAAAAAUUCAACCAAUAUCACCAACAAUCCAAAUUAUUAUAAGAUUUAAAAUUCAAAAUCAUAGAUAAAUUAAUAAAGACAACCAAAUGAAGAAAUAUAAAGAAACAAUGACACAAGGAUUUUAUGAGGAAGAUCUUUGAAUUAAUAAAAAACCACAUACCCAUAAGUGAUAGAAAAUUUUCAUUAUGAAGAAAAAUAAAUAAAUACAAGGUUUUACCUAACCUAAGUCUACCAAUCCUCUUUUAGACUAUUGAACUAGUACCUUCAAACUUUAACCAUACAACUUAUUCAUUAAGAAUAGACUUGGCAUUACUACCAAACUCAAUCUUAGUGACUUCUUGAUACCCAAUCAAGAACUAAAGGACUUUAUCCUAAUCAAAAGACAACAAUGAGAGAAGGGAUGGUACGACAAGAUCAAUCAAACCCUUUUUGAAAGAAAACUAAACUAAAACAUGUUUUCUAGCUCAAAAUAGGAGUAGAUUUUCUUAGGAAACAAACACAUCCGGUUAGGUAAGAAGAAGGUGCUAGCUCCAAAAGGUUGUCUUAACGACUACCUUGUUUUCUCACACCCUAAUUUGAAAAUUUAGGUUUAAAUAGUAGGGAUUGAAUAUGAAUCAAACUGCAAUAAUUCAACUAGAAUACUUCUAAAGAAUUUUUUAUGUCAAAUGAUUGAACUUUGAUUUGGACAAAUAAAUAUGUAUUAAAUAGCUCAUCCUUAGUUCUUAAGAUUGACUGAUUGAAUAUGAGAUUAGAUCAAUUACAAAUAAAGCAAAAAAGAAUAAAGUGGUGUUUAUUUAUUUAUUUUUACUUAAUUCUAAAUAAAAAUCAAAACUAAAUACUAUUUAAUAGUAUUAAGUUGUUUUUUUUUUAAUAUUUUAUUUCUAUUAAGUAUCAUGAGUUAAAGAAAAGCUGACAAGUUACUUUUAGCAUCGGGAAAAGUGGAAUAUUUUGGUUUUUUCUAUUUAGUAAAAAAAUUAAAGAAAUAAAUAAGUUGACAUGCAAAAAGCAAAAAAACAUAAAUGAUCUAAAAUUUAAAAGUAAGUUGCUUUCAACAAAAAGUUAAAAACAAAAAAAAACAACACCUUAGCUAAAAGCUAACACUUUUUAACACCCUUGAUCUUCUAACAUAAAAUUUAAUCAAGAUACCUAAAAUUAAGAAAAAAAAAUAUAUAUAUUCAAUUGAUUCAAUUUUGCCCAUCGACAACCUCAAACGAUUUACUUUCACCUUUAAUGACCUUCAAGUAUAACCAACUUUGAAUAGGUAAUUAUUCCAAGGGAGAAUUUUAUCAAUCCACCUAAAGCACUCAUAGUUACUGUACAUAUUUAAAUUAAACUAAUUUUUCUAUUUCUCUGUAAAGUUUAUGUUGGGUAAAAACCGAAGUCUUGCAUGAAAGGGCACUCCUCAAAUUUGGCUAGAGAAAAACACCCUUGUAGUUAAGGUCUUGGUCCCAACAUUUUUGUUGUAUUUUUGUCUUGCUUUUUAUCUUUUCCUAGCAAAGGACUUAAAAAGGGUAGGUUGCACAUCUACUUGUAAAUCUAAUUGAGCCAAUUAGAGAAGCAAACAAGAAAAGAAGAUAUGCAAACAUUAUGGAUAAAUUAAGGUCCAUAAGGAUCAUUGGAUACAUAAGUAGAAACUCUUCAUCAAAAUUUAAAACAAUCUAAAAUCUCCUUACUACUUCAACCUUUCUUUCAAAUCACUAAAGGAAAUACAAUCUGAAGUGGCAAAGGAGUGGUAUGCCAGCAACCAAACAGAGAAGUUGUGUAUUGUUUAAGAAAUUCCCUCACUAGACUUGGGUGUUGUUUAUUUUUUUACUUAAUUUUAAAUAGAACUUUAAUGUUUGAUAGUGUUAUAGGUUAUUUGUUUUUAUAAUAUUUUAUUUUUAUUAAAUAUUAAAAAGUAAAGAAAAACCAUUAUGUUAUUUUUUCUAUUCAACAAAAAGUUUAUAAUAAAUAAUAAAAAAAUAGAAAAACAAAUAAUUUAAGUUCUGAAAACAAAUUGCUUUAUGCAAAAAAAAAACCAAAAAAAAACAAACACUCUCUUAGUUAUACUUUUAAAUAUCUAGAAAUCUAGGCUAGUUAGUACAAGCAUCAAUUACUGAUCUAAUUAUCUUCCAAGACUAAACUAGAGUUACUUGUGGGGAAAUAGCCAUGGAGAAGCUAUGAAAUUGUACCAUGAUGGAUUGGGGGUACAAGUAGAGGGCCUUCUUCUCAUAUGCCAUUGUCGUCGCAUACCAGUUAAUGCAGUCUUAGGGAGGUUGUCCAUGAUUGUAUGGUGAACCCAGUGACACCAUUUACGGAGUAGGCUAUGCAAGUUGCCAAGUGAUAACAAGGCGUAGAGGACAUAUAGAUAGGGCCACAUUGUUGAUGAAAACCGUAGAGUGAAUAGGGAUGAGAUUCCGUUGUUGUUGGAGGCUGAUUCCCACAAUGUUGAGAGUGAGAUGUUGAACUGUGACUGUUGGGUUAUGGAUAAUCACCAUGAUCUGGGUUUUCUUCUUCAAAGCCUUAAUCUCUUACCCACAUUCUGUACGUCACCAUCGUGGCAGUUACGGGCCAAGAGGGAUCCGUGCCAAGGCAGCCCCGCAACCUGACCUACGCGGCUUCUGGUGGUCUGCCUUGCUUUCCCCUUUUUCGGUUUGGGAUUUUGUUUUUGCGGCUUUUGGUGGUCUGUCUUGCUUUCCCCUUUUCCGUUUAGGAUUUUCAGUUUAGGAAACGGAAAUGGACAAGAAUGGCACACUCAUGAGUCAUGGGUCUUGUUGACCAUGAUACAUCACCACAAAUUGUCGUCCUUAAUUAUCAUUAAACCCCACUUUUCCCUUCCUUUUUGUUGAAUUUCUUAUCCAUUCUCUCUCUAACCUUAACAAGUUAAAACAAAAUAAAAUUCAAGUUUAACACAUUUAAUAAAUUAAAAAUAAAAAAUCAUCUUCUCAAAAAUAAAUUAGGACUUGUAAAUUAAAAUUAUUUCUAUGUAUAUAGCAGAUAGGAUGACAUUAAGAUGACAGGCUGUUCAAUUUAUGGUUUUUCAUCUUCUUUCAUCUCAUAUUCUAUAAAAUCAAUUUAUGGGUUCUUCAGUAAGUGGGUAUUGUUGAGGCCUUACGUCCCGGUGAUCCACGUAGAUGCCAAGUGGACGCAUGCUUUCAACUAAUAUUGAGUUCUGAUUCAGUUGUCCCUGCAAAAGAUGUUCGGACAGGGUGUUCGGACAAACCCUCCGAUGGUUUUGUCAGCCAUGGCUAAAGAGAUUAAGCAGUUGGCCUUUUUCUAGGUAUAGCAAGCAUACCUUCCUCCUUGUGUGAAGGUCCUUAUAUAUAGUAUCAGAAGCUCUGUCUCCCUCUUUAAUGGUAGGGAGACUUUUUGGCUCGUCAUGAUGCCUCUAUGUGGUGGUAGGGCCAUCAUCACCUUACGGGUGGCUGUUAGAGAUCGUGGGAGGCAACGCGGCUGUCAGAGAUCGUAAGAGGUGUGUGGACCCGCAUCUUUCACGUGCGCCCCCACUCGAUCGGCGAGACUCGCUUUUUAUUCGUGAAAAAUAAUUUUUGAAAAAGUCGGAGUCGCCACUUAUUUUAUUUUUAUUUUAAAGGGAAAAUAAAACAAGAAAGAAAAACCCUAAAACGUGACUCCAUAAUUUUUGGAAAAAGCAUGUCUUUGAAAAACCCAAGUCUAAGUCCGGGGAUUAGGUUACCUAUUGGGAAGGUACCUUUAAAAGGUAGCACCCCUCUAAGCUCUAUAAAGGUCUCUACUAACUAAGUUAAGGCGAAUGUGACAAUUAACCUGUUAAUUAUGGAUACCUAAGUAGGCUAGAUGGUUCCAAAAAAUAGCAUGCCAAACAAGAUCAAAUCAUAAUAAAGGAAGGUUAGGAUGCGUACCUGGACCGCUUCUCAAGCGCUAUCAUAAAACAUCAAUGUUUAAUUUAAACAAUAUAUCAUCCAACAUGUAUUUUAUUAGAAAUAAUCAAACAAUGAAAUAUGUAUAUCAGAACACUCAAGCAUUAUUAGACAUAAGCAUUAUUUCACAAUGACAAUCAUAUUCACAGAAUUCAGAAAGUAGGUGAUAGAGGACAUACCUAGAUAGCAUAGAUAAUUUGUAACGUGCUUCCUCAAGUUGUAAGGGGUUAGAUAAAUAAUAAAAUAUAGAAAUCCUAGCAUGCUCGUUGUCUAAUUAGCAUAGCAGAAGUGAUCAAAGCAUACAAAAUCAUCAAUUAUCACAUACAUCUUGUAUAUAAUUCCUAAAAAAAAUAGAUAUGAUUUCAAUAAAUGGCAAGGGUGACAGUAAAGAUGAGUUUUAAAAAGAUGAUUUUAUGUAGGGGUUUCACCAAUUCCCCAAUUGAUAUACACAAAUAUAGCUUGGAAUUAAAUGUUAUCACUUUCAUAAAAAAAAAUAAAAAAUAUAUAAAAAUAAAUAAAAUAAAAUAAAUUAAAAAAUAAAAAUUCAUGAGUAUUAAAAAAAACAUUUUUUUGAUAGUUUUAAUGAAUUGUAUUUAUAAAAUAAAGUUUUGAUUUACUUAAAUAAGAAGGCUUUAAUUUCAUGCAAAGAAAAUAUUUUUUUUAGAAAAGUUUGUUCACAAGAAAAUAAAUGUUAUCACUUUUAUAAAGGAAAUGUUUCAUAAGUAUUAAUAAUAACAAUAAUAAUAAUAAUAAUCGAUUCCAUAGUUUUAAUGAAUUUUAUUUAUAAAAAGAAGCUUUAAUUUAUUAAAUAAAAAGACUUUAAUUCCAUGCAAAGAAAAUGUUUUUAAAAAGUUCAUUCACAAGAAAAUAAAUGUAAUCAUCACUUUUAUAAGGGAAAUAUUUCAUAAGUAUUAAUAAUAAUAAUAAUAAUAAUAAUAAUAAUAAUGAUAAUUGAUUCCAUAGUUUUAAGAAAAAAGUUUUAAUUUAUUUAAAUAAAAAGACUUUAAUUCCAUGCAAGAAAAUAUUUUUUUAAAAGUUCAUUCACAAGAAAAUAAAUGUAAUUAUCACUUUUAUCAAGGAAAUAUUCAUGAAUAUAAUAAUAAUAGUAGUAAUAAUUGAGUCCAUAGUUUUAAUUAAUCUUAUAAAAGGAAGUUUCAAUUUACUUAAAUAAAAAAAGCUUUAAUUCCAUGCAAAGAAAAUGUUUUUUUUAAAAGAAAGUUUAUUCACAAGAAAAUAAAUGUUAUCACUUUUAUAAAGGAAAUAUUUUAUGAGUAUUAAUAAUAACAAUAAUAAUAAUAAUAAUUGAUUCCAUAGUUUUAAUGAAUUUUAUUGAAGGAAGCUUCAAUUUAUUUAAAAAAAAAAAGACUUUAAUUCCAUGUGAAGAAAAUGCUUUCAAAAAAAUUCAUUUACAAAAAAAAGAGAAAGAAAAUUAAUUAAUUAAUAAUGGUAAUAAUAAUAAAACCUUAUAAAAAAUAUAUUUGAUGAUUUAAAAAUAUUUUUUUUUAUGUAAGAAUAUCUUUUAUAAUUUAAAUUUUCCUUUAAUAAUUUUUUUUAACUUUAUUUUAUUUACAAGAGGAUGAUUUCCACAACUCUUUAUUUAGAAAGCACAAAAAAAAAAUUUUAUUAUUUUUUUAAAACAUAAUAAUUUUUUUUUAAAUAAGAUAAACAAUUAUUUUAUAUUUUAAUCCAAGAGAACAAAAAAAUGUUUAAAAUAAUUUAAAUAUUACAACUUUUUAUUUUUUUAUUUUUGAACAAAGCUAUCAUAAAAAUUAUCAAAACACUUAAAAAAUUCAAACUUUUUCAUCAUCAUCAGGAAUUAUCCCAAAACUAAAAAUUAAGCACAAUAUAAAUUUUCAUUAAUAUCCAAAUUAUUGAAAACUAAAAAAAACUUGCAAAAUAUUUCAACUUUUCAUUAACAUCACAAAAUUGUCCAAAACGAAUAAAACAUCUAAUUUUUAAAUUAUCAUCCUGAAUCAUCCAAGACAAAUGCCUACAAAAAGUAACAUGAGAUUAGCAAUAAUAAUAAUGAUAACUAAAAUAAAAUAAACAAAAUAAAUUCAAAAACAAAAAAAAACUAAAAAUCCUAACUUGAUUUAUAUUUUAUUCAAGCAAUCAUCAGGAAUUAUCCCAAGGCUAAAAAAAAUAAGCACAAUAUAACUUUUCAUUGAUAUCCAAAUUAUUAAAAAUUAAAACAAACUUGCAAAAUAUUUCAACUUUUCAUUAACAUCACAAAAUUAUCCAAAACAAAUAAAACAUCCAAUUUUUAAACUAUCAUCCCGAAUCAUCCAAGACAAAUGCCUACAAAAAGUAACAUGAGAUUAGCAAUAAUAAUAAUGAUAACUAAAAUAAAAUAAAUAAAAUAAAUUCAAAAACAAAAAAAAAACUAAAAAUCCUAACUUAAUUUAUAUUUUGUUCAAACAAUCAUUAACACAUCUCAUAUAAAUACAUUAAAUCCAACCAAACACUCACCGAAAGACAUUAAAUCCUAUUAUAACCGUCCAUGGUUUCAUUCCCUUUUUUUUAACAAAUAAAUAAAAACAUGCCAAUAGCAUCAUUCACAUCAGGACUGACCAUAUAUUCACAUUUGUUUGCAUUUUAAAUCCAAUAAAACGAAGUCAAAGAACACUAACCUUGCUUGCAGCUACCCUCUUUCACGGUUGUGUCACUUUUUCUUCUCAGUUUAGUUAUGUCUGCUUCUUCGAUCUGGCUCGUGUGUUCCUUCACCACCAAGAGUCCUCGAAUCAGCCUAUGCGUCCUUUAGAAGUUCCACCCGGAAACGUGAUCUCCAUGUCUACAAUUUUCUUCUGAAUCUCAUUAAAAAAUAAAAAAUCCACCCAAAAUUCUUCCAGAACUCUCUUUUUUCUUUUUCUUUUCUCUCCUGAGACGUCUCCCUCUAUUUUCAAGCUCUCCUCUCCAAAAAAUCCUCCUCUCUCUCCUCAAUUGUCUUUCUCAUAUUCCCCAAAAAAAAACCUAAAUCCCCUUCAUCAUGCCUCUCCUCCCUUUUUUGCAUGUGAGUUGACUUUUCUUUCCUUCUAUGAAUUCCCCCUACUCUCUUUCUUGCAAAAUACAGUCUGUCUAUUCAAUAUGCCACCUCAAUUCUUCCUAAAAUAUAUCAUCUCUUUUUCUUUUCCAUUUAAAAUAUGCUUUGACCCAAAACACUACUGAAUCCUCCUUCCAUCAUCACGUGAUUCUUUUUCCAAAAGACAAAUUACAUUACCUUCUUUGCUGCUCAUCAUUUCUUUUUUCAUACAUAAGCUGAAUCUUCCCCAUAACAUGGCUCCAUUCAUUUUUUCCAUAUGUCUACUCUUGGAACCAAUAUGGUAGCUACCCACUCCAAGCUUCACAUCAUAGGCACUUUCUUAUCUUUCUAUUGGCGGACUUCCUACAAAAUUUCAAAGUUAAUAAAGUAAUAGUAAUAAUAAUAAUAAUAAUAAUAAUAAUAAUAAUAAUAAUAAUAAUAAUAAUAAUGAAAACUUUUAAACAAAAUUAUUAAAUUAAACUAAAUAAGUAAAGACAAGUAUUAGGGAAAAGUGAUAAAAUAAUAGGAAAAUAAAAUAAAUGAAGAAAUAUACAAAAUAAUAAAUAAAAUAAAAUAAGCAAAAAUAUAAGGGUAAAAAAAAUUCAAGCAAUGUGAUUUUACAAAAACGAUCUAAAUGGGCCUAAGGUGCCUAAAUGGGCCUAGAAUGCCUAAAUUGGCCUAAGGUGCCUAAAUGGGCCUAAGGUGCCUAAAUGGGCCUAGGGUGCCUAAAUGGGCCUAGGGUGCCUAAAUGGGCCUAGGGUGCCUAAAUGGGCCUAAGGUGCCUAAAAGGGCCUAUGGUGCCUAAAUUGACUUAAGGUGUCUAAGUGGGCCUAAAGUGCCUAAAUGGUCCUAGGGUGCCUAAGUGGGCUUAGGGUGGUGCUUAAGUAGGUCUAAGGUGCCUAGGGUGUAUCUAAGUGAACCUAAAGUGCCUAAGUGGGCUUAGGAUGACGCCAAAUGGGCUAGGUGCGUCUAAUGGGCUUAGGGUGUACUAAGUGGGCCUAGGGUGCUUAAAUGGGCCUAAAGUGAUCUAAGUGGGCCUAAAGUGAUGCCUAAUGGGCCAAGUGUACCUAAAUGGGCUUAAAGUAAUCUAAGUCGGCCUAGGGUGACUAAGUGAGCCUAAAGUGUCUGAAUGGGCCUAAAGUGAUGCCUAAUGGGCCAAGUGUACCUAAAUGGGCCUAGGGUACCUAAAUGGGCCUAAAGUGUACCUAAAUGGGCCUAGGGUACCUAAAUGGGCCUAAAGUAAUCUAAAUGGGCCUAGGGUGACUAAGUGAGCAUAAAGUGGCUAAAUGGGCCUAAAGUGAUGCCUAAUGGGCCAAGUGUACCUAAAUGGGCCUAGGGUGCCUAAAUGGGCCUAAAGUGAUCUAAGUGGGCCUAAAGUGUCUAAAUGGGCCUAAAGUAAUCUAAGUGGGCCUAGGGUGACUAAGUGAGCCUAAAGUGUCUAAAUGGGCCUAAAGUGAUGCCUAAUGGGCCAAGUGUACCUAAAUGGGUGCCUAAAUGGGCCUAAAGUGAUCUAAGUGGGCCUAAAGUGUCUAAAUGGGCCUAAAGUAAUCUAAGUGGGCCUAGGGUGACUAAGUGAGCCUAAAGUGUCUAAAUGGGCCUAAAGUGAUGCCUAAUGGGCCAAGUGUACCUAAAUGGGUGCCUAAAUGGGCCUAAAGUGAUCUAAGUGGGCCUAAAGUGUCUAAAUGGGCCUAAAGUAAUCUAAGUGGGCCUAGGGUGACUAAGUGAGCCUAAAGUGUCUAAAUGGGCCUAAAGUGAUGCCUAAUGGGCCAAGUGUACCUAAAUGGGCCUAGGGUGCCUAAAUGGGCCUAGGGUGACUAAGUGGGCCUGAAGUGUCUAAAUGGGCCUAAAGUGAUGCCUAAUGGGCCAAGUGUACCUAAAUGGACCUAGGGUUACCUAAAUGGGCCUAGGGUGCCUAAGUGGGCCUAGGGUGCCUAAAAGCUAUCCUAAAAAAAAACAAGAAAAGCCUAAGUCUAAGUUAGGGCUGCCAAGGGUCACAAUAAGAGGUCAGAUAAUCCCUCAACCAAAGUCUCCGAGGUGGCUUAGAAAAGAUAGGCUACACGAGUAUUAAUGGGCCACCAGGGAAUUGCUAUAAACGACAUGUGCGAGGAAGACGAAAUGGAGGGUCUACAAAUAUGCCCCUCUUCGGUAGAGAUCACGAGUGUAGAGAAUGUGAGUAAAAGUACGAAUAAUGAGCGGAACGAAGUGAACUAUACCGAAGAAACUAAAAGAAAAAGACCUGAGAUUUUGUCCUAGCACAUGACGAGAAUAAGCUCUAAACACGGGGACGUAAUCACAAAAAAAAAUAACUUCAGGUCAUGAGCUCAAGGCUUUACACAGAAAGAAUGACUCUGGGUCAUAAACGAGAGAAAUGACCCUGGGUCAUAAGUGAAAAAUCGACUCUGGGUCGAGAGCUCUAGGCUUUAAAUGGAACAGAAAUGACUCUAGGUCACAAAUGAAAAAUCGACUCUGGGUCGAGAGCUCUGGGCUCUAAAUGGAAAAGAAAUGACUCUGGGUCAUAAAUGAAAAAUCGACUCUAGGUCGAGAGCUCUGGGCUCUAAAUGGAAAAUCGACUCUAGAUCAAGAUCUUUAGGCUCUAAAUGGAAAAUCGACUCUGGGUCGAGAGCUCUGGGCUCUAAAUGGAAAAGAAAUGACUCUGGGUCAUAAAUGAAAAACGACUCUAGGUCGAGAGCUCUGGGCUCUAAAUGGAAAAUGGACUUUGGGUCGAGAGCUCUGGGCUCUAAAUGGAAAAGAAAUGACUCUACGUCAUAAACGAAAAAACGACUAUGGGUCGAGAGCUCUGGGCUCUAAAUGGAAAAGAAAUGACUCUGGGUCACAAAUGAAAAAUCGACUCUAGGUCGAGAGCUCCAGGCUCUAAAUGGAAAAGAAAUGACUCUAGGUUACAAAUGGAAAAUCGACUCUAAGUCAAGAGCUCUGGGCUCUAAAUGGAAAAUCGACUCUAGGUCGAGAGCUCUGGGCUCUAAAUGGAAAAUCGACUCUGGGUCGAGAGCUCUGGGCUCUAAAUAGAUAGCCGAUCAGGAUACUUUUCGACUCAAGGUGUCGGGUCGAGGCCACUCACAAGUGGCUAGAAUGAUGAAAAUGAAACAUCUCAGGGAUGUGAAUGAUGCAAAUGACUCCAGGUCGUGAGCUUAGGGCUCAGAAUGCUAUGAAUGACUCUGGGUCAUGACGCAGUGAGUAACUCGGGGUUACGAUGAAUAGCUUAGGGCUAUGGAUGAAAUGAAUGACUCAGGGUCAUGAUGCAAUGAGUAACUCAGGGUUACGAUGAAUAGCUCAAGGCUAUGAGCUCCGGGCUCUAUGACUGAUCGGCUAGAAGGAGAAUGCGAUACGCAAACCCCAAGUCAAACCACUCAUGGGCGACCAAAUGAUGAAGGCUCAGCUCAGGGCUGGAAAGACUCCGGGUCUAUGGGAAAUGAUAGCUUAGGGCUACCAGGCUCAGGGCCUAAGGGAAAAAGGAUAGCUGAGGGCUAUAAGACUCAGGGUCUAGAAGGAAUGGAUAGCUCAGGGCUACGAGGCUCGGGACCUAAAAAAAAGGAUAGCUCAGGGCUACUAGGCUCAGGGCCUAAGAGAAGAAGAAUGCUCAGGGCUAUAAGACUCGGGGUCUAGAAGGAAUGAAUAACUCAGGGCUACGAGGCUCAGGGCCUAGAAGGGAAUAAUGGAGAAGACCAACUCGAAAGUGAACAUGAAAUAUAUUGGCUCAAAGCCAUAUAUUCAAAAUGUCAAGGGUCGGACUACUAAAACUAAGAAGGGAAAUAUGCCCCAGUAUCCAGGGUGCUCACACUGCUGAAACAACCAGUAAACCAAUCAUCUGCUAUAAUCAAUGGGUCAAGGACCAAUACAUCAUGACAAACCUCUGAAAAGUCAAAACUGAAAGAGGCCUCUAUGUCUGAAAAAGAACUACUCUAUCGACAAAUCUCAAAAGGUGAAUCUCAAAGCGUGUAUAUCGUGGCUAAUCUAAAAGCAAAUCUCAAAGUGCACAAAAUGCUGCUCAUCUGGAUAAUCCAAUCUGCAAGGUAACAAUGACAAAAACAAAUAUGUCUCAUGAACAUCUAGCUAAAGGAUCCACCCUCGCUCCUCGGGUGACACCUGAUGCAAUCCCUCUCUAUCUCAACAAAUCCAUGUAGGGAGGCCCUGAUACAGUCGAUCGUCGGAAGCUUUGGGCUAGCACUCAAUCUAAAACCAAACUGGCCACUGUCUUAAUCUCAAGGAUACUCAAAGAAAAUAGGGGAAAUAUGCCCCAAUAUAAGAUCUGAUGUCAAAGUCGUGAGGCAAACAACAAAUAAUGAUCAUCUAUCCUCAUACCACUGCCUAAACACAAUCUCAUCAAUGAGAGGGGAAUAUGCCCCAAUAUGGAUAUCUGAUGUACAAUAAAGAGUCUGUCAAAAUCAACCCAACAUCUCUAUGACCAUGAAUAAGGAUAAUCAUACCGCACAAUAACAGAUAGGAAUCUCGGGGGGAUGGGGGAAUAUGCCCCAGUGUGGGUAUCUAAUAUACAACCAAAGGAUGAAUCCAACAUCAUCAAUCAACUAUCCUCAGCUCAACAAUAAUCUGCUAAGAAGUCAGAAUGAAGUAUCGACCAAUGCCCCAAGGGGGACACUCUAAAUCUAAUCUCAAAUGAAUAGCCAAAAUGAUGAGGAAUGUGGUAAUCUCAGAAGUAGAAACAUGUCUCUGAUAAAUCCCUGACUGAAUCUGAUAGGAAUCUGGUAACCUCAAAAUGGGGAAAUAUGCCCCAGUAUGCCUGAUCUAUACACUGCACUGAAAACUGCCUCCAGCUCAGUAAUAAUCCACUAGUCUAUCUCAGAAGUACUCUGCGAAUGGAACCACUAGGGGCUCAACGAUGCUCCACUAGAACUGAUAUAGUCUCAACAUACCCCACUAGGGAUCUCCGAUCGGUGAAAAUGACCAGACUCAAAGAAAGUGCUCCAUUAAGGGCUCAUCUCAACCAAAUGAAAGGGGGAUAUGCCCCAAUAUGGGUAUCUAAUGCACAACCAAAGGAUGAAUCCAAUAUCCUUAAUGAACUAUCUCCAAACCCAAAAAAAAUCCAUCAAACAUCAAUAUGCCAAGCGAGAGAGAAACCAAAUGCUUCCAAAAGUAUCUUCCAUAAAAGAGAACAUAGUAAUGACCAUACUUCAACCAAUCUACAAAAGUCUGUCCAAGUGAAGACCGUCAAAGAUAACAUCUGAUCUCAUGGCCUCAGGGUGGUCUUAAGACACGGGAUGUAACGUAGGCCAAGGUGAUAGGGUGAAAGAAAUGAAGGGAAACUAGGCUCAAAUACCCAAUGAUCAAACCCGUACCCUCGUGUACAAGAUGUAAUGCAUAGAAAAAUCUCAUGAGUCAUGGACUUAGAAGUAACCAAAGGGAAUGUCGAUAACGAAAUGAGAGAAAGGAUGAAUGGUCAAACCAUCAAUGAAAUAUGUGAAUGAUGUGAGGAAGGUAUCAAAUCAGUAAUGGGUAUCAAUAUGUAGGGAAUGAAUAAAAGGUGGAACAAAGAUCUGGAAAGAGGUAAUGAGAUACAAAAGAAAGCAAUGAGAAAGUAGAAUGAGUGAUGAUCAACUCAUGUUAGUACAAUAAAGGAAAGUCAUAUCACGAAUGAUGGAAUGGUGGGUAUAAGACAAUGAUUCGGAGACCCUAGUAAAAAGGUCACUCAUCUCUCAUACCUAAAAUAUAUCAAUCAUGAUCCAAGAAGCAUAGUAUCUCAUAGAACUCUCAUAUGAACCCUCGACACUCCAAAUGCAUAACAGGAGUGGCUCAAGGACUGAAAAACUCAUAAAAACUCACAAAAACCCACAAUGACAAAUAUACCCAAUAAAUGAACCUCCAAAGGUGGCAUAAAUACCCAAUGGAACGAGAUACCAUACAUGAGCAUAUCAUUGCGCUUUUUUUUUUUUUUUUUUCCGCAUGCUCUGAUCAUCAAUAAAUCCAACUCCAAUGGAAAAAUAUAAGGAAUGAACAAACUCUCUCUGACCACUGAUGAAUACAUGAACCCCAACCCAUGAGACAACCUCUCAAACUAAGAUCUCCGAAUCAAUGUCAAAUGAUGGAACUAAUAGAGUGAUAUGACUGCCCUCUUUGCACUAAGACGUGAAGAAUCAUCAACCCAAGGAAGAGAAUAGAUAAGAUGAAGCAAAUAAUGAUAGAGACAAGAAAGAGAAUGAAUAUGUGGCGAUAAUAAAAUAGAACAAAUAGGGUGGUAAGAGGAUGGUAACCAAAUGAGAAGAUAGACCUAUAAGUCUAAAGCUCAUGAGAUUUUUCUAGCAAAGCAUGCAUAUACAUCAAAGGGUCCCAACCCAGGUAUAGAAAUGGUAAUCAAAGCUAUAAGAAAGAAAUAAGGCUAUAACAUACCACGCGAAGCUCAAUGGGCUAGCAACGGUCUAAUAUAUAGAGGUGAUAAAGUAUGAGGCUAACAGAAAUGAUGGCCACCCAUCCUGCGACCACGGUCUCAAACAUAAUACUUCUUUAGCUGAUCCACGUUGGUAGGCUCUGAAAAUUGGUUUCCACCUAAGUUUGUCAACCAUGCAGCCCCUUCUAGAGUCAACUCUCGGAUAACAUAAGGCCCACUCCAAUUAGGUCUAAACUUUCCUCUAGGGUCUCCAAUCAAACCUCUGAGAAUCCUCAAAACUAAGUCCCCUUUUUGCAAUGGUCUAGGCUUAACCCGUUUCUUGAAGGCACGAGCCAUCUUUCUUUGAUAGGCCUGAGCAUGAUCUGCCACUCUCAAUCUCCUCUCAUCUAAAAGGUUAAGCUGAUCAAAUCGAGCUUGAGCCCACUCUGCCUCAGAAAUCUGCUGGUCAAGGGCUACUCUCAACGAGCCCAUCUCUGUCUCGACUGGCAAAACAACCUCCAUACCAUACACUAGAGAGUAAGGCGUAGCUCCUGUAGAAGUACGAAAAGAUGUACGAUAUGCCCACAACGCAAAAGGAAGCUUCUCUGACCAAUCUCGAGAAGUCUCAACCAUUUUCCUCAAAAUCCUCUUAAUAUUCUUGUUUGCAGCCUCUACUGCCUCAUUGGUCUGUGGCCUAUAUGCUGAAGAUCUAUGAUGUCGAAUAGCAUACUUCUGCAACAAAGUAUCUACCUCAGCUCGAAAGUGCACCCCUCUGUCUGAAAUCAGCUCAUGAGGAACCCCAUAGCGGCAAAUGAUAUGUGAUCUGAUGAAACUGGCAACCCUAGCGGAUGUCAACCUUGCAUAUGAUGCGGCUUCCACCCACUUGGUGAAAUAAUCUAUGGCAACCAGGAUGAACUCGUGACCACUGGAAGAUUUUGGUGAAACCUUCCCAAUAAUAUCAAUACCCCAUACUGAGAAUGGCCAUGGCGAGGUCAAGGCGUGUAACUCUGAUGGUGGUGCAUGUAUGAGAUCACCAUGAAUCUGACACUCUAGGCAUUUCUGGACAAACUGAUAACAAUCUGUCUCCAUAGUCAACCAGAAGUAACCCGUCCUCAUAAUCUUACGAGCUAGCAUGUGUCCUCCCAUAUGCGGACCACAAACUCCUGCAUGAACCUCUCUCAUCACUCGAUCUGCAGAGGCUCGAUCUAAACAUAAUAGAAGCAUACCAUCAACUGAUCGCCUGUAUAAGGUAUCUCCACAAAUCACAAAUCUAGUGGCCAAGUUCCUCAGUGCUCUCCGAUCCUUGGCAGUGGCUACCUCAGGGUACGUGCCAAAUCUGAGAAACUGAUAAAUGUCAUGAUACCAAGGUAGAUCAUCCUGGUCCUCUAUCUCUCCAAUCAAACAACAAUAGGCGGGUGCAGACCUCGACUCAAUCAGUAAUGGACGUAUGACUACAUCAAUCGGAAUGUCCACGGAGGAAGCUAAAGUAGCUAAGGCGUCAGCAAAUCGGUUCUGCGCUCUAGGCAGAUGAACAUAUCUCAAGUCGUCAAAUCUCGCAACCAACAACUCUAAAUAUGCAUGAUAUGGUCUAAGCUUCACGUCCUUAGUCUUCCAAUCCCCCUGAAUCUGCCUGAGUACCAGAUUGGAGUCACCAAAUACCUCCAUCUGUCUAAUGCCAAGCUCCAAUGCAGUCUCUAAACCCAAGAUGCAAGCCUCAUACUCAACUAUGUUAUUUGUGAUAGGAUGUCGAUCAUGGAACGCCAAACGAACAGAUCUCGGAAUAUGAUCGCCCUGAGAAGACACCAACAAAACACCUAUCCCAUACCCUAACUGAUUGGCUGCACCAUCAAAGUACAAGCACCAUCCUGAUAAGCUAGUCAUAGCAACAAACUCCUCAUCUGGAAAAUCAUCAUCAACUGGUCUAUCCUCAGAUGUCGAUAGUGAAGCUAAGCGAUCGGCGACAAUACUUCCCUUAAUAGACUUUUGAGAAAUGUACUGAAUAUCGAACUCUGUCAAAAGCACGAGCCAUCUCAUCAAUCUACCAGUUAAUGCAGGUCUAUCAAACAGAUACCUCAAAGGAUUUAACCGAGAAAUCAAGCACACCGAAUACUCAGUCAUGUAGUGCCUCAAUCUCUUGGUGGCCCAAAUUAACGCUAAACACAUGCGCUCAAUCAUAACAUAUCUCAUCUCAUACUCCAGCAUCCUCUUACUCAAAUAGUAAAUCGCUCGCUCUUUCUCGGAGUCAUCAAGCUGAGCUAGCAUGCAUCCCAAGGCCAUGUCUGAAACUGACAAAUACAGAAGAAGUGGACGUCCUGGCAUAGGAGGCACUAAAACAGGGGGAGAAAGCAAAUACUCCUUGAUCUUCUCAAAUGCAAUCUAGCAGUCGUCAUUCCAAACCGUUGGCUGAUUCUUCCUCAACAGACGAAAGAUGGGCUCACAUAUGUCUGUCAAUCUGGCUAUGAAACGACUAAUAUACUGUAACCUACCUAGAAAACCCCUGAUCUCUUUCUCAGUCCUCGGCACAGGCAUGUCAAGUAUGGCUUUGAUUUUAUCUGGGUCGACCUCUAUGCCCCGAUCACUGACCAUAUGCCCCAACAGUUUCCCAGAAGUCACUCCAAAUGUGCACUUUUUGGGGUUUAGCCUCAGUCUAAAUUUUUGAAUCCUCUCAAAGAAUCUCUCUAGGGCCGCUAGGUGAUCUGCUCUACCUCGGGAUUUCACAAUCAUAUCAUCCACGUAAACCUCGACAUCCCUAUGCAUCAUGUCAUGAAACAAAGUGGUAGCGACUCUCUGAUAAGUGGCUCCUGCGUUCUUCAACCCAAAUGGCAUAACUCUAUAACAGUAGGUACCCCACUCAGUAAUAAAGGUUGUCUUCUCCAUAUCCUCUGGAGCCAUCAAAAUCUGAUUAUACCCUGAAAACCCAUCCAUGAAAGACAACGUCGAAUGACCUGCGGUGCCAUCAACCAACAAAUCAAUGUGUGGAAGAGGAAAGUCAUCUUUAGGGCUGGCUUUAUUGAGAUCUCUGAAGUCAAUAUUGAGAUCUCUGAAGUCAACACAAACCCUAACUUUGCCAUCCUUUUUAGGAACAGGGACGACAUUAGCCAACCACUCUGGAUACUCAACUACUGAUAUGAACCCAACACUAAGUUGUUUCUGAAUCUCCUCUUUUACCUGUAAACUCCAACGUGGAUGCAACUAUCUCAUUUUUUGCUUAACUGGUCUAGCAUGUGGUAGGGUAGGUAAAUGGUGCUGGACUAUAGAGGGAUCAAGACCUGGCAUGUCCUCAUAAGACCAUGCAAAGACAUCCAAGUAUGACCUGAGUAAAUGGAUGAGUCUAUCUCUCUCAUCUGUAGAUAUGGGUGAACCAAUCUUCAGCUCUCUAGGCUGAUCCUCUGUGCCAAAAUCAAUAGUCUCAAUGUCCCCUGCAGCAGGUGAAACUCUCUCAUCUAUGGGACCAGAGUCAUGAUCAAAAGAGUCCCUAUCCGAAUCGGGCCAUGCAACUUCAUCACUUAUAUCAAAUAUCUGUGAAGUGGGUAGGUGGGGUGCAGAUAUAGAGGUACUAUCACAAGAGGUAGGCGAAUACUCAAAAAUGCUCAAAUCCAUAAAUGAAGCAACAGAAACAUCGUUAGAGUGGGAGACAAAUCCCGAUAAAACAUCAAAAGAAAGAGGUGGGUCCACAAGGUCGGACGCUCCCUCAACUGGGCUAACAAUGCCCUCAAACAAGCUACUAUCAUCCUCUGGAAGCUCUGGAACAGGAAGAGUCUGAGUCUCCUCAAAAACCUCAAUGGUAGACACCCCAAACAUAUCAAAUGCUGAAAUAGGCUGAAGCUGAACAAUGCUGGUAAUUUGGCUCAUGGUCAUCAUGUCCAUCUCAUCUCGGUACUCAUCAUAGGAAACAACUCCAUCAAUCAUCUCAGUAGAAUCAACCAUCACCCCAUCACCAGUGAUCUCCUCUAGAAAACAUAGAGACAACAUGCUAGCUCGAUCUGGAGGCGUAGGAGUAAUCGUCAAAGGGAAAGAAGAGUCGAGAGCCCCAUCACUCAACUGUAGCUGGUGAAAUAGAUGCUGAAGAUCAGUCUCUCUAUCUGUAUGAACCACACUAUCAAUCUCCUCUAGACGAGGUCUAGUCUUUGAUCCUCUGACAAAGUAGUCAGCCAAACUCAACCUAUAGGGUCGAAUAGGAUAAUCAAAUGCUGUGUGGGAUAAACGGGCUCUCACCCUCUCCUUGCGCAGCCGCGCCAUGUGACGAUAAUCAGCCUCAGUAGGGAUGAAUCCAAGUCCAAAUGUCGUAUCAUGGUCAAUGGCAGCUAUGAACUCGCUCGGUCCCUGCUGACGUCGUCCUAACCCCAUGCCAGGUAGAAAGGUCAUACCCCUCAUCAUAUCAAGGACCACUGUGCAACUGUGCUGAUCAAACGACAUAGCCACAAAGUCUCUACAAAAAUCCUCAAUCUCGAGAGUCUGUAUCUCAUCAAAAGUAAACCCAGUCAGAAGUAGGUCGUCCUCACUGUGACUGAUCUGAAGUACUGGCUCAGAAGCGACAAAUAUAUCCCUGGUAGAGCGCACUGUGAUGACCUGCCCAUCAUGAAUAAACUUCACCUUCUGAUGAAGGGAAGAAGGAAUAGCUCCAACUACAUGAAUCCAUGGUCGGCCUAGUAGCAGGUUAAAGGAUGUAGGAAUCCUCAAAACCUGGAACAAUGUGGAAAAUGUGGCUGGACCAAUAUGCAAAUCAAUCAUUAAGGUACCCAUAACCUCCCUCUUGGUGCUAUCAUAUGCCCUGACUGUCUGAGUAGAAGGACCAAAAUCUGAAGGUGCGAAACCAAGGGCUAUAGCAGUGGCUAAAGGGCAAACAUUCAGGGCUGAGCCGUUGUCCAGUAGGACAGACGAGACUCUAUGGCCUGAACAUCCAACUGUGAUGUAUAGAGGGUGCACGUGGUCUAAACCAUCAGGUGGCAAGUCAUCAUCUGAAAAUACAAUGCAAGUGGCCCUGCCAGCCGUCAUCAUAUGAAUCAAUCCCUCUGGAGUGGUGGUAGUCUCUACUUUGAUCUGACUCAAGGCUCGAAUCAAAGCAUCUCUAUGAGUACUGGAUGAUGCUAAUAAACUCCAGAUGGAAAUGCGAGCCUGAGUGCUCUAUAGUUGUCUCAAAACCUCAUCAUCCUCUCUCCUAACCUCCUCAUGAGAGGCUGCACCCUCAAAUGGUUUGACUGCUGUUGGUGGUGGCUGAGCUAUCCUCCCACUACGAGUCACAAUAUGUAUCUCUCUCCCUACUGAAUCAUCAUCCUCUGGCCAUAAAGUGAAUGGGACAAAAGCAUCCUGACAUCCGAUAACUAAGGGUGUAGGAUGAGUCAACUAGAAUGGUACCUCGUCUGGGAUCAAACUGAAUGGUGCAGGAGUCCGAGGGACCAAUGAAACCCCAUCAAUCUCAUAGCCGUCAUGCUGAUUACUACCAAAAAGUGCUAUUUUGUAGAUCUAAUUAUAAUGGUUUUAAGCACCUUUAAGUAGUAAUCAUAUUCAUUUAACCCAAUUAAUUAAUUAAGGUCCUUAGUAAUUGGUUUUAACCAUUUUGUGGCAAGUUUACAUGUUUUUAUCAGCUUAUGAAUCGAUUCAAGCAUGCCAAUUGAUGGAGGAGCUAUUUGGGUGAGUUAAGCAAGGAUUUUGGAUGAUUACAGGCUUGAAUUUCAAGUGGAAACACGAGCACAAGCAAUGGAGAAGAGGAAAACAGAGUGAAGAAAACAGCUGUAGUCUUCUUUCACACUUUUGAAGCACUUCCCGAAGUCCAUUUUUUACAUUCUAUAUACCAUUUGAAAGCUUAGGAAGUCAAAAAUCCAACGCUUCAAACCGUGUAUGAUUUGGAGCUGAAAUGAGGAAGAUAUGGCCUUCGGAAGGCAACUGCAUCAUGUUAAAUGACCAAUUAUCAAGGUGAAUUUCACAUUGCGAAAAUUUCGCAAGAAGAUUUUCUUCAUGGUGCGAAAUUUUGCCACUUCUCACCAUGAAGAAACACCUUGCGAAAAUUUCGCAAGGAGGAUUUAGGCACAUUGCGAAAUUCCUUUGAAUCCCCUGUUUUGAGACGUUGUUGAUGUUAUUCCACUACCGGUUCUCCAAGAUAUUUUGCUUGAUUUUUAGCUUUGUAAAUACCUAUUUUACCCUUGUAAUCAACCAAUGAAUAGGUUGCUUUUGUAAUAGCUCUUGUAAUUUAGCUUGUUAUUGUCUUUAAAUAGAGGUGAAGAGCCUCAGAUCAUCUAAUCUUGUAACCUGUAACUUUAUAAGUUAUAAGAGCACUUUUGUUCAUACGUUUCUUUUCUCUUUUCUUUCUCAUUUUCUUAGUAGCCAAACAUCCUUGGAGGAUGAAAUCCCCAAGGAUGAGAGGCUAAAACCUUUUAGUUUCUUGAAGUAAUGGAUGCCAUGUGAAGCUCCUGUGUCAGGAUGGAGAUUUCCAAGCCAUGAAUGUAAGUAGCUGAGCGUCAUAAAUGUUUUCAUUCAAAGUAAAGCUUUUAAUCCCUCUGACUUGCUUUGAAUGGCCAAUACUUGAUAACCUUUUGGUCUUAGUGGAUUCUUAUUGUUAGAUCCACUGACGUUCAUUAGUUAUCUCCUACGAGCCAUUGUAUUGCAAGUCGAGGAGAUGACCUAUAUCAUUAAAAGAGCAUUUAUGAGUUCAGCUACCCUUUUUGUAAGUUUUCAGACUAAACUCAGUNNNNNNNNNNNNNNNNNNNNNNNNNNNNNNNNNNNNNNNNNNNNNNNNNNNNNNNNNNNNNNNNNNNNNNNNNNNNNNNNNNNNNNNNNNNNNNNNNNNNGAGCGUCAUAAAUGUUUUCAUUCAAAGUAAAGCUUUUAAUCCCUCUGACUUGCUUUGAAUGGCCAAUACUUGAUAACCUUUUGGUCUUAGUGGAUUCUUAUUGUUAGAUCCACUGACGUUCAUUAGUUAUCUCCUACGAGCCAUUGUAUUGCAAGUCGAGGAGAUGACCUAUAUCAUUAAAAGAGCAUUUAUGAGGUUCAGCUACCCUUUUUGUAAGUUUUCAAGGACUAAAACUCAGUUGUUAAACACAUACCGGUUCGGGAAGUAAGCAUCACCUUAGUUGCUUCCCCAACUCGAGGUGAAAAGUUCCAAAAUCUCCAUUUUUACACAGUGAGUUAAGCAUGGCUAUUCAAAGCUUUAAGAAACUUCUUUUUCCAUCUUUUAACCUAUUUUCAUGUUAGUUUAGUUUACACACCUUCAUCUUUUUAUGUUUUCAUCUUAACCUAAUUUUUAUUAAGAAAAGUUCACUCCAUCCUCCGAACUUCACCAGUUAAAGUAAAAACCCUUCCCAGUGUUCGAUCCUAGAGCCACUAUGCUAUAGUAGCUUUGCUACUUUAGUGUAAGGACCUUAGGUAUAAAUUUUGUUGAUACCCUUACAUGCCAAGCUACCAAGAGUCGGGUUAUCACAUGCAAAACAAUUGGCUCGGGUAAUCCAUCAUCCCAACUCAACAUAUGUAUACUAUCAUCCUCUAUAAGGUCCAUGUGAUGAAUAUCUCCUGAAGAUGGAUGCACUACGUGUGUAGAAUGAGCAGGAAGAGGGUUAUUGGUCACACUUGGCUGCCCCAAGUUGACCAAACCCUGGUCUAUCAAGUCCUAAAUAGCAUGUAUCAAAGCAGUGCAAUGGUCCGUGUCAUGCCCUGGUCCCUGAUGGUAGGAAUAAUGUAAGUCCAUCCUGAAGCGAGGUGGUAUGGGUUGUGGUAAAGGCCUGGAUGCUAAUGGAGUCAAUAAUCCACCCUCUGCGAGCUUCUGAAAAGCUCGACUCAAAGGCAUACCCAACUGAGCAAACUGACGUGGUGGCCUCUACACAUAAGUAGUGGUCUGUGGAGCUCGGGGUCGAGUAUAUGGGGCAGGAGGCCUCUCUGCGACAUGUGCAACAAAAAUAGGCUGUGAGAUUGGAUGUAGAUAGGUAGGAGUCAUAGGUCUGGAAGGAGUGGGUGGUCUGUAAUGCACAUGAGAUGAAGGUGGAUAGUAGUACCCAAGAGUCUACCCAACUGUCUGAUAACGUCUAGAAGGUCUCAUCCUUGCUGAACUGAUAGCACCAACAUCUCCUGAUCUCUGUCCUCCUGAAGGCCUCUUCCCCUUAGAAUCAGUAGGGGAAGACUUAGACCAUAAUCCUCUAGCAAUGCCCUCCUCUAUACCAUACAAAGCCUGUACCAAAGAUCCAAAAUCCGUUUGAGGAAAUCCCAUCAAGUGUCUAGCAAAUCUGGGUUGUAAGCUCCUCAUGAUCAUGCUAAUAUGAUCUCUCUCUGAAGGACGGUCUAUAAUCUGUGAAAUCUUCUCCCUCCAGUGGGAGAUAAAUGAAGUGACUGACUCCUCCGGCCUCUGUCUCAAAGCCUCCAACUCUCUCCUCGAAACAUCAAUGACAGUGUUAAAUGCAAACUGUCUCAAAAACUCCUGGGCUAAGUCAUCCCAAGUCCUACGGCGUGAUACCUCCAAUGAAGCGAACCAACGUUGUGCAGCACCACUCAAUGAUAUAGGGAAGAUCAUAACCAUCUGGGCAUCAUCCAGUCCAUGGGCCCUCAUAACAGUACUAUAGAGUCUCAAAUGGAUGCGAGGGCAUCCUAUGCCUGUGUAUCUUUCAAUCUCAAGCAUCCUGAACUUGGCCGGUAGACUGGCCACUGGUGCUCCAUCAAAAUCUUCCCAAGUAAUAGCUCCCUCUGAAGUCCUCAUCUGUCUUAACUUCUGCUCAAGUUUAUCCAUACGAGCAUGUGGGUCCUCUAAGAUCGGAGUAGGCACUAUGGCAAGAGGUGGUGCAACCUCAGUUUGACUAUGUAGAGUAAAAGGUAUAGUCUGUGGUGCUGGCUGACUGUGCGGAGGUGGUGGUGGUACUGUGGUAUCAAAAUGGGUAUCCUCUUGAACUGGGACCUAUUGGGCUUGCUGCCCAUCUAUCCUCUGGCCAAGGCUAGCUAUAGCCUCCUGGAUCGAAGCCAUGGCCGCAGCAAACUGGUCAACGGUAACUAUCUAAGAAUCCAUAUCUCCUUGAUCUGAUCUCUAGUCUAACUGGUUUGAUGCUCUGGUCAAUCUGCCUCCAACUCUAAUCCACAAAGGUGAAUCCAGAUCGGUCAAGGUAAACUCUCCUACAAAUAUGGAAAUACUGGAUAAGGUGCGGUACAAAAGCGACUCUGUAUGAAUCCAGUGCGUAGAAGCAAAGCCCAAAUAUACUCAAUAUGAUACCCUCCUCUGAUCACACCAAAAGGAGACUAAGGAAGGGAUAACCAAAUCCAAUCGUGACCAAGGCAGCUCUGAAGGUCCACAAAUGCACCCACGUGUAGGAAUGAAAUCUUAAUUGGGUCUAGGCUAAACUAUAAGGUUAAGGCGGCUCUAUGAGAUAAAAUGGGUGGGUCAAAGGAUCCCUAGCAGAAGCGAUCGUACCCUCCGGCGGUACGCAACCCUCUACACGCCUCUAAGGAGACGGGGUGCUUCCAUGCAAGGUGGUCAUCACCUCCACACAUGCACUUCCUCGCGUUCCCAGGGGGUUUCUUAAUGGUGAAGGCUCUCCCAUCUCUCAACACUCAGGGAUAAUUGAUUACUACUCAAAAAGUGCUAUUUGAUAGCCUAUAAUUAAUCCUUUUAAACACUUUUGAGUAGUAGUUUAGGCCUUUUAACUCAAUUGGCAUGUUAAGGAUCCUUUAAAGCAAUUUUAAUCACUUUGUGCAAGUUUUGGUGUUGUUGUUAGUAUUUUGAUCACCAAAGCAAGUCAAAACUGAGGAGAGCUAUGAGGAACCUUGGGCAAAGCUUAGAAGUCAUUUUCCAAGAGUGAAUCUGGAUUGUAAGGAGAAAAAGCAAAGAGAAUCUGUCAUGAAGCCUAUUCUUGAUGACAGUAGUAGCAGCCACUUUUGGAGAACUUUCUAAAGUCCAAAUGAUGCAUUCUAUAUACCAUUUCAAAUCUCAGGAAGUCAACAAUCCCAUGCUUCAAACGGUGUGCAAUUCGGAGUUGAAACGAAGAAGUUGCAGCCAUUACAAGCCAAUCACUCCGAGUUGAAGGAAGCAUUUUGCAAAGUGUUGCGAAAUCACCCUUUUUGUUGCGAAGUGAUUUCGCAGCAUUUUUGUACAGUAAGGUGUUUCUCCUUCUGACGAUGCACGAACCAUGCCACGAGAAGGGAGCUGGGAACCUCAAGGUGGAAGCCAACUUCGCAGCCCUGUGAAGAUAGCUUGGUGUUGCGAAAUAAUUUCGCAACCCUCUUGGGUGUCUGCAAAAUCUCGUAGACACCAUUUUUCUCCUGCGAAAUGGUUCCUGAAGCCUCUCGAUAUUUGCUACCGACAUUGGGAGAUAUUUUCCAUUAGAUUUUUGUUGUCUAAAUCCCAAAAUACUCCUUGUAAACCACCAAUUACAUGAUUCCUUAGUUUUUAAGUUAGUAAAAAGACUAAAUAUCUAUGUAAUAAUUAGUUUUAUAUUAUGUUCAUAUAUAUACCUCUCGGGAGCCUGUUCUCAGAGAGGAGUUCCUUCUAUAAACAUUUGGGUAAGCAAGUAAAGUCUAUUUUCUUUCUACUGUCUUACCUUCUCACUUUGUAUUUUCAUUUUAUUUCUAAGUUUUGAAUUCUCUGAGGAGUUUUCCCCAGAGAAUGAGUAACUAAACCUUUAAUUCCUUGGAGCUAAGGUUCCUGGGGAAGGUUCCAAGUGCAAGAAUGCAAAGCUCUGUGGUUUUAGCUAUUAAUGAAGAGGAAGUGAAAUCCUUUAGUGCUUUCUAUGUUUUUAGUUAACUUAAAACACCUUAGAGUCACCUGGGCCAACACUUGGUAAGGCAAGUGAUUUCCAACCAUGGAAAUGCACUAGUUUACCCCUUGCGAGCCUCUGGGAGGUGACUUCAGGGUAGGAUUUUCUAGAAUAGCCAACACUUGGUAAGCUUUUGGAUUCCUAGGAGGCAUCCAUUAGUUAUCUCUUGCGAGCUUUUGACGGGUAAUCCAAGGUUAAAGAUCACCUUGAAUGGUUAAGGCUUAGUGAGAGGCUUAAACCAUUGCAAGUUGCAUCAGUGAGAGAAUUAAAGUGAAAUCUAAUUGAAGGAGUCUUUGUACAUCACCGGUUAGAGAAUUGACUAUAUGUUGAAUCUCUAAUGCGAGGAAAUGAACCAUCUGACCGGAGCUAUGUCUUUUGCAUGAGGAACCACCCCAGUGAACCUAACUCUCCAGGGAAUGCUUUUCUUCCUAAAUUAUUCCAAACUUCUGUUAUGUUAGUUAGUUUAAGUCUAAACUUUUACCAAUCAAAGUUUGUUUUUUACUUCUUAAUCUAAUCUUGAAAUGAAACAAGACCAAUUCACUUGGAAUUGGUAUCAUUGAUUGCUUGUUAAUCAUUCCCAGUGAACGACCCUAGAGCCACUAUACUAUAGUAGCUUUUUCUUUGCUACCCUAGUGUANNNNNNNNNNNNNNNNNNNNNNNNNNNNNNNNNNNNNNNNNNNNNNNNNNNNNNNNNNNNNNNNNNNNNNNNNNNNNNNNNNNNNNNNNNNNNNNNNNNNNNNNNNNNNNNNNNNNNNNNNNNNNNNNNNNNNNNNNNNNNNNNNNNNNNNNNNNNNNNNNNNNNNNNNNNNNNNNNNNNNNNNNNNNNNNNNNNNNNNNNNNNNNNNNNNNNNNNNNNNNNNNNNNNNNNNNNNNNNNNNNNNNNNNNNNNNNNNNNNNNNNNNNNNNNNNNNNNNNNNNNNNNNNNNNNNNNNNNNNNNNNNNNNNNNNNNNNNNNNNNNNNNNNNNNNNNNNNNNNNNNNNNNNNNNNNNNNNNNNNNNNNNNNNNNNNNNNNNNNNNNNNNNNNNNNNNNNNNNNNNNNNNNNNNNNNNNNNNNNNNNNNNNNNNNNNNNNNNNNNNNNNNNNNNNNNNNNNNNNNNNNNNNNNNNNNNNNNNNNNNNNNNNNNNNNNNNNNNNNNNNNNGAAUUCCUCAAGAAAUUUUUUCCUACUCAUAGAACAAAUGACUUGAAAAGGUAAAUUUCAAACUUCUCAGCUAAAGAGAAUGAGAAAUUCUAUGAGUGUUAGGAAAGAUACAUGGAAGCUAUAAAUGCUUGUCCUCACCAUGGCUUUGAUACUUGGCUAUUGGUGAGCUAUUUUUAUGAUGGUAUGUCAUCCUCAAUGAAGCAACUCCUCGAGACAAUGUGUGGAGGAGAUUUCAUGAGCAAAAAUCCAGAGGAAGCUAUGGAUUUCUUGAGCUAUGUAGCUGAUGUUUCAAGGGGAUGGGAUGAACCAACUAAAGGAGAAGUGGGAAAGAUGAAGUCUCAGUUGAAUGCUUACAAUGCAAAGGCUGGGAUGUAUAAUUUAAAAGAAGAUGAUGACAUGAAAGCAAAGUUGGCAGCUAUGACAAGAAGAUUGGAGGAGCUGGAGCUGAAAAGAAUACAUGAAGUGCAAGCUGUUGCUGAAGCACCAGUGCAAGUGAAGCUGUGUCCCAAUUGUCAAUCAUUUGAACAUCUGGUGGAGGAGUGUCCUGCAAUUCCAACUGAAAGGGAGAUGUAUAGAGAUCAAGCAAAUGUUGUUGGACAAUUCAGGCCCAAUAACAAUGCGCCAUAUGGAAAUACUUACAACUCAAGUUGGAGGAAUCAUCCAAAUUUCUCAUGGAAGGCUAGAGCAACUCAAUACCAACAGCCGGAUCCACCAUCUCAGCAAUCUUCAAGUAUUGAACAAGCAAUAGCUAAUCUCAGCAAGGUAAUGGGAGAUUUUAUUGAAAAGCAAGAAGCCACUAAUGCUCGAGUCAAUCAAAAAAUUGAUAGAGUGGAGAGUAUGUUGAAUAAAAGGAUGGAUGGAAUGCAAAAUGAUAUGAACCAAAAAUUUGAUAACAUCCAAUAUUUAAUUUCAAGGCUUACAAAUUUGAAUACAUUGCAAGAAAAGGGAAGAUUUCCUUCUCAACCUCACCAAAAUCCUAAAGGUGUCCAUGAAGUGGAAAGCCAAGAGGGAGAAUCAUCACAGGUGAAAGAUGUCAAAGCUUUGAUCACUCUAAGGAGUGGUAAAAAAAUUGAGCAGCCAACACCCAAGCCACAUGUUGAGAAAGAAGAAGAGAUAAAGAAAGGGAAGGAAAUGGAAGAUAAAGAGAGUGAGAUCAGUGAAGAAAAGAAGGACUCUGAUGCAACAAGGAAAGUAAUUCCAGAGAAGGAGCUUCUGAAGGAAGAAAUGCUGAAGAAAUCAACUUCUCCACCUUUUCCUCAAGCAUUACAUGGGAAAAAGGGGAUUAGAAAUGCAGCUGAAAUCCUCGAAGUAUUGAGGCAAGUGAAAGUUAAUAUUCCACUGCUGGAUAUGAUUAAACAAGUUCCAACGUAUGCAAAAUUCUUAAAGGACUUGUGUACUAUCAAGAGAGGGUUGACUGUAAACAAGAAAGCCUUCUUGACUGAGCAAGUAAGUGCAAUCUUACAGUGUAAGUCCCCUUUGAAGUACAAAGACCCUGGAAGUCCUACCAUUUCAGUCAUGAUUGGAGGAAAGGUAGUGGAAAAAGCCUUGCUAGAUUUGGGAGCAAGUGUGAAUUUGCUUCCAUAUUCCGUCUACAAGAAAUUGGGCCUUGGAGAGUUGAAGCCAACAGCAAUCACUCUAUCUGUGGCAGAUAGAUCAGUGAAAAUUCCAAGAGGAGUAAUUGAGGAUGUAUUGGUUCAAGUGGAUAAUUUCUACUAUCCAGUAGAUUUUAUUGUUCUUGAUACAGAUCCUACUGUAAAGGAAGCUAAUUUAGUUCCUAUCAUCCUUGGAAGGCCAUUUCUUGCAACUUCAAAUGCAAUCAUCAACUGCAGGAAUGGGCUGAUGCAACUCACUUUUGGUAACAUGACACUGGAUCUCAAUAUUUUCUACAUGUCUAAAAAGCAAAUCACUCCGGAGGAAGAAGAAGGUCCAAAAGAGCUAUGUAUAAUUGAUACUUUGGUGGAGGAGCACUGCAAUCAACAUAUGCAAGAAAAGUUGAAUGAAAGUCUUGAGGAUAUUGAGGAAGGUUUUUCUGAAUCUCCUAUUGGGCUUGCUACUCUACAAAGUUGGAGAAAGAUAGAAGAGAUUCUACUUUUGUUCAAUAAGGAAGAGGAGGCAUCUGCUGAAAAAGAAAUUCCAAAACUCAAUUUGAAGCCUUUACCUGUGGAGCUGAAAUAUACAUAUCUUGAAGAAAAUAAUCAAUGUCCUGUUGUAAUAUCUUCAUCGUUGACCAAUCAUCAAGAGAAUUGUUUAAUAGAAGUUCUCAGGAGGUGUAAGAAGGCAAUAGGAUGGCAAAUAUCUGACUUGAAAGGCAUUAGUCCUUUAGUUUGUACUCAUCAUAUAUAUAUGGAGGAGGAAGCAAAACCAAUCCGUCAAUUUCAAAGAAGGUUGAAUCCUCAUCUACAAGAGGUGGUGCGAGCUGAGGUGCUGAAGCUACUUCAAGCAGGAAUCAUUUACCCUAUAUCUGAUAGCCCUUGGGUGAGUCCUACUCAAGUGGUACCAAAGAAAUCAGGGAUAACAGUGAUUCAAAAUGAAGAAGGGGAAGAAAUUACUACACACCUUACUUCAGGUUGGAGGGUGUGUAUUGAUUAUAGAAAGCUGAAUGUUGUCACCAGGAAGGAUCAUUUUCCAUUGCCAUUUAUUGAUCAAGUGCUGGAGAGAGUCUCUGGACAUCCAUUCUAUUGUUUCUUGGAUGGGUAUUCAGGGUAUUUUCAGAUUGAAAUUGAUUUGGCAGAUCAAGAAAAGACCACUUUUACAUGUCCAUUUGGAACAUAUGCUUAUAGAAGAAUGCCUUUUGGUCUAUGCAAUGCACCUGCUACAUUUCAAAGAUGCAUGUUGAGUAUUUUCAGUGAUAUGGUGGAGCGAAUUAUGGAGGUUUUCAUGGAUGACAUCACCGUAUAUGGAGGUACAUUUGAGGAAUGCUUGGUUAAUUUGGAAUCAGUUCUUUGUAAAUGCAUUGAAAAAGACCUGGUGCUCAACUGGGAGAAAUGCCAUUUUAUGGUACGUCAAGGAAUUGUCAAUAUCAUCUCUGAAAAAGGCAUUGAAGUUGAUAAAGCAAAGGUGGAGCUUAUUACCAAAUUACCAUCUCCAACAACUGUGAAAGGAGUAAGGCAGUUCCUUGGCCAUGCAGGGUUCUAUAGGAGGUUUAUAAAAGGUUUUUCAAGUCUUUCAAAACCUCUUUGUGAGCUGUUAGCUAAGGAUGCUAAGUUUAUAUGGGAUGAAAGGUGUCAGAAUAGCUUUGAUCAACUGAAGAAAUUUUUAACAACAACUCCAAUAGUGAGAGCCCCUAAUUGGCAAUUACCUUUUGAACUGAUGUGUGAUGCCAGUGACUUUGCUAUAGGAGCUGUGCUUGGCCAAAGAGAAGAUGGGAAGCCCUAUGUGAUUUACUAUGCAAGUAAAACACUAAAUGAAGCUCAAAGGAACUACACAACUACAGAGAAAGAAUUGUUAGCUGUGGUAUUUGCUUUGGACAAAUUUCGAGCUUAUUUAGUGGGGUCUUUCAUUAUUGUGUUUACUGACCAUUCAGCCUUGAAGUAUUUAUUGACAAAGCAAGAUGCAAAAGCAAGGUUGAUUAGAUGGAUUCUUUUGUUACAAGAAUUCGAUCUCCAAAUCAAAGAUAAGAAAGGAGUGGAGAAUAUGGUAGCUGACCACUUGUCAAGGUUAGUUAUAGCACAUAAUUCCCAUCCCUUGCCUAUCAAUGAUGAUUUUCCUGAAGAAUCACUCAUGUUCCUAGUGAAAACUCCUUGGUAUGCUCAUAUUGCUAAUUAUUUAGUAACUGGUGAAAUUCCAAGUGAGUGGAAUGCACAGGACAGGAAGCACUUCUUUGCCAAAAUUCAUGCUUAUUAUUGGGAAGAGCCCUUUCUCUUUAAGUAUUGUGCCGAUCAAAUUAUUAGGAAGUGUGUCCCUGAAGAUGAGCAGCAAGGGAUUCUAUCUCAUUGUCAUGAGAAUGCAUAUGGAGGCCACUUUGCCUCUCAGAAAACAGCCAUGAAGGUAUUGCAAUCAGGGUUUACUUGGCCAUCUCUUUUCAAAGAUGCCCACAUCAUGUGUAGGAUUUGUGAUAGAUGCCAAAGGCUUGGAAAGCUAACAAAAAGAAAUCAAAUGCCUAUGAACCCCAUUCUGAUAGUUGAGUUAUUUGAUGUAUGGGGCAUUGACUUCAUGGGACCUUUCCCAAUGUAUUUUGGUAAUUCUUACAUCUUGGUGGGGGUAGAUUAUGUUUCUAAAUGGGUUGAGGCACUCCCCUGUAAACAAAAUGAUCACAGGGUGGUUCUCAAGUUUCUUAAAGAGAACAUUUUCUCAAGAUUUGGGGUGCCCAAAGCCAUAAUCAGUGAUGGAGGUGCUCAUUUUUGCAACAAACCUUUUGAAGCUCUGUUAUCCAAGUAUGGAGUGAAGCACAAGGUGGCUACACCUUAUCAUCCUCAGACUUCCGGGCAAGUUGAGCUAGCUAACAGGGAAAUAAAGAACACCUUGAUGAAAGUGGUGAAUUCCAACAGAAAAGAUUGGUCUAUUAGGUUUCAUGAUUCAUUGUGGGCAUAUAGAACAGCUUAUAAGACUAUUCUUGGGAUGUCUCCCUAUCGUCUUGUCUAUGGAAAAGCAUGCCAUCUCCCUGUGGAAGUUGAAUACAAAGCUUGGUGGGCAAUAAAGAAGCUGAAUAUGGACUUGAUCAAGGCAGGAGAAAAGAGAUUUCUAGACCUUAAUGAGAUGGAGGAAUUAAGAAAUAAUGCUUAUAUCAAUUCCAAAGUUGCAAAACAGAGGAUGAAGAAGUGGCAUGACCAACUCAUCUCCAACAAGGAAUUUCAGGAAGGGCAAAGAGUUUUGAUGUAUGACACAAGACUCCAUAUCUUUCUUGGGAAGCUCAAGUCGAGGUGGAUAGGCCCGUUCAUUAUUCACCGAGUAUGGUCCAAUGGAGUGGUGGAAUUAGUGAAUUCCAAUGGCAAGGAUAGCUUUAGAGUCAAUGGAUAUCGUCUCAAGCCAUUCAUGGAGCCAUUCAAAUCAGAAAAGGAGGCAAUCAACCUCCUUGAGCCUCAAAAAGCCUAAGUGAAAAAGGGUUUGCUGGACGUGGUUUUACCACAGUCCAAAAUUUUUGUAAAUUUUGUAAAUUUUCAAGUUGUUUCCAUACUUUUGAUCUUAGUUUUUGAUCUUAAAUCAUGUUUUAAGGUGUGUUUUAAUCGUUUUGAAUGAUCCCAGGUGGAAGAAAUUUCGAGGAGAUUGAAAGAAAAAAAAUCGGGUCGAAAUCGGAGCCAAAACAGAGCAUAAACAGGGGAAAAACAGAGCUCUGCGAAAUUUCGCAGGGUGAAGGAAACUUCUGCAAAAUGAGCAUUUUGUUGCCAAACCAUUCCGCAACACUGUAGAAGUCUCUGCGAGGGUAUUUCGCAACUGCGAAAGUGAAUUUGGCACACGAGUGCCACUUCGCAGUACAGUAGCAUCCAUUUGGCAGCUGCGAAACGCAUUGCGAAGUGGAAAAGCGUGAUUUCGCACCAAAAGUCCCAUUCCGCAGGGUAUUUCGCAAUUGCGAAAGUGGUUUUGGCACACGAGUGCCACUUCGCAACACAGUAACAUCAAUUUCGCAGCUGCGAAACUCACGGCGAAGUUGCUGCGAAAAUGGCAUUUUGCUGCGAAAUUGGCGUUUUGUUGCGAAACUUAAACUGACCCUUAGGCUUCCGUUUUUCCUAUUUAUACCGGUCAUUUGAGCUGCGAAAAGGGUUUCAAAAAUCAGAGCACCAUUCUCGCAGCCUGUUCGUCUUCUUCACCAAGCCACGCCAUCCGAGCCUCCGGUCACCUUCUCCGAUCAGCAACGCCGGCCAAAGUUCGAUAGCCCAAAAUGGCGCGAACACGAGGGGCUAAGUCUUCAUCGCCUUCGAACUGCAAAAAGAGUCUGCGAAAGGAGCCAGUUCCAGAUUCUGCUCCAGAACCUUCGCAGCCGAAACCAAUUCCACCUCUGGUGAAGCCCGUGCCACCAAAACCGCCAGCAAGACGAUACCUUACCAGGUCAGGCGGUCGGCCAUUGCAGAAGAAACCCAGGGUGGAAAGCUCAGAACCCAUCGAUUUGACUGAGCAAUCUCCAGAGCCUUCCCCAAUUCCAUCACCGGUUCAAACUCCAGUGCCGUCUCCGGUUCCCUCGCCGAGUCCCUUACCAGUUCCAUCGCCGGUACCAUCUCCGGCGCCGCAAGAAAAAUCUCAGGAGCCUCAAGCGCCGCUUCCCGAGCCCCAAAUUCAAGUUGAACCAGCUCUGGAAGAAGUAAUUAGGAGGCCAAUGCUACCUCAACCCCCAAUUGAGGGAAACUUGGAUUGUCGAACUCGGGCAUUUCAUUCCGAGCUUUGCUUUGACUUAGCAACAUUCAGAGUGAGACCGGAGCUUGCCCAAUCAUUCCAGCUGCUGAGGAGGUACCAUAUGGAGCAACUGCUAGCUCCAAGAGACUUUUUCUAUCCCCGGAUAGCCACGGAUUUCUACCAAUCCAUGACAACCAAAGAGGUUAGAAAUCCAACCUUGAUUCAUUUCACAAUCGAUGGGAGACAUGGUAUAUUGGGAGCAAGACAUAUUGCUAAAGCCCUGCAAAUUCCUUUUGAGCCAACCCAAUUCGAUAAUUAUAGAGUUUGGGCAAAUCCUACUGAGCUAGAGAUGGUUCGCACCCUUUCCAGAGGAGCUGCAAAUCGAUCACAUCUGCUGAGGGGGGAGCUUCCUCCAGUUAUGUUUUUGAUUGAUGCCUUUUUGCGCCAUAAUAUAUAUCCAUUGCAGCAUUGGACCCAAAGAAGGGGAGUUCUCUUGGAAGCUCUUUAUAAGAUGUCAGAAGGAUUCUUCUUUGGGCCUCAUCAUCUGAUCAUGGCAGCCCUUCUCUAUUUUGAAGAGAAGGUUCACAAGAAGAAGCUUCAGAGAGCAGAUUGUAUUCCCCUCCUCUUCCCAAGGCUGCUAUGCCAAAUUUUGGAGCAUCUGGGAUACCCCUCUAAGCCUCAGCUGGAGAGAAAGCGAAUAUGCCAUGAGCCCUUCACUCUUGAUAAAUGGAAUAAUAUGACGGCCUACAAAGUUGAUCAACCUGGGCAGCCUCAGCCAGCUGCAAGGAGAGCCUCCCCAAGACAUAUACCUGAGGGUAUAACAGUUGCUGCUCCUGCCAUUCCUAGAGCUCCACCAGCUGCACCUGCUUUAUCUCAGCCAUCCACAUCAGCUGAGCCGAGGAUGGCCAUUCCUAUAUCUGAAUAUCGAGAGUUGUGCCGUGCAUUGGAGACUCUUACAGCUUCUCAGAGCAAUCUUGCUCAGGAGAUGGCAGCCAUCAAAGCAUGCCAAGAGCAGAUGUUAGCCUCUCAGGCUCAACAAGCUGCCAUCUUAAGGCAGCUCCAAGUCCAUUUCGAUCUGCCACAAGCUGUAGAGCCCUCCAUUUCUACUCCUCUAGAGCCACACUCUCAGCUUACAGAGUCUCAUCCUCCAGAGCCCGAAGCCCCAGCUGAUCCACCUACUGAGGAGGCAGAUCCUUCUGCCUAGCACCACCACCCCACUAAUCAGACAUUAUAUAUAUUUUCUGUUUAUGUUUUUAUGCAUUUUUGUUUUUUUUAGUUGAAAUGAAGUCCCAGUAUUUUGGUACUAUAUAUGGGAUUCCUUGUGUUACUUGUCUUUAGCAUUGUAAUCAAAUGAACUCAAAGUAAUACAAGUUAAAUAUUUCUUGUUAAAAGUUAGCAUUAAGUUAUUCUUAUUUCCUUUUCUCACAUAUUCUAUUCUUUUUUAAACAUGUGGUUUUCCCCAAUCAAUAUUCGAAUUUGAUAUCAGCAAGGAGGUACCACUUCCUCCCUUUUAUUACAGUCACUCAAAUCACAUUGAGGACAAUGCUCAGUUCGGUUGGGGGGUAUGAGGAAGGAAGUUUUCUAAAUCUUUUUGGUAUUGCAAUUAUAUUGGUUAAUUAGUUGUAGAUUUUACUUUUUACUAGUGUUACUCUAUUCUCCAUGAAUUUUGAGGAAAAAUUUUCAAAUUAAACCAAGAGAAAUUGAACUGUUGUUUUUCACUUGGCUUAGAGUAUGGAUUAUGCUUACUAAAGUGGUUCAAUUGUUGAAGCUUCUACUGAAAUUGAAUUUAGUUCUUCCACUUUAAGCUAUUCAUACACUGUGCACAUUAGUUUCCGAUUAUAAGAUGAAAAGCUAUUUCCCUCUUGACUUAGGAUAAUUUUGGGACUUGGUAUAUUUGACCUCAUUUGAUAAAAAUUGAAACACCCUGCAAAAGGCCAAUAAGCCUUUGAAAUAAAGAAAGUUGUUUGCUUGCCUUGAAACCCGAGCAAGGUCUAAGGGGUAUAUGGUGAAAAUCUUUUAAGCCUGGUGCCCUAAGCCUUAAUUGGUUGGGAGUCACCGACCUCAAUGCUCGUUACAAGGGUGAAUAGGUAGAGUUAGCAUAUGGUAGAUGCUUGGGUAUUAGAAAUUCAUUCUUAAAAGUCCGGGGAAAAAUCCGAGAAGUUAGUGGUUGAAAGAUCCUUAAAGCUUGGUGCCCUAAACCUUAAUUGGUUGGGAGUCAUCAAUGGACCCCCAUUACAUGGACAAGUCAGAAAGAGUACCCCAUAAAGCUACCUUGAAAAAAAAAAAAAAAAAAAAAAAAGGUGAUUUCUUUUCUUAUUGAUUUUGGUCAGUUUGCUAAAGUGUUGAAAAGAGAUAGGUUGGGGGGUGAGACUAGUUUAACAUAUUAUUCUCGGAACCUAAGGAACCAAUACACAUAGAUUUUUGUGGAAGAUUAAAGUUUGGUUCUUAGAAAGUGGAAAUGGUUUUAAAACUUCAGUUUGCAUAAUGCACUCCCUUGAUUGACAGUGUUUCGCAUAGGUGUUAUGACUCUUGUUGAGAUUUGGGUUUGUAUUUCUUUAAUGAUUCCUGUGAGAAUUAGAUCAUCAUGCCACUUGAGAAUUAUUUCCUUUCAGCAUGAUGUUGUAAAUUUUAGAUUAGUUUGCUAUUUAUUUUUAUUUUUCUCUCCUAUAUUGCUAAGGGACUAGCAAUAUGUCAGUUGGGGGGAGUGAUUACUACUCAAAAAGUGCUAUUUGAUAGCCUAUAAUUAAUCCUUUUAAACACUUUUGAGUAGUAGUUUAGGCCUUUUAACUCAAUUGGCAUGUUAAGGAUCCUUUAAAGCAAUUUUAAUCACUUUGUGCAAGUUUUGGUGUUUUUGUUAGUAUUUUGAUCACCAAAGCAAGUCAAGACUGAGGAGAGCUAUGAGGAAUCUUGGGCAAAGCUUAGAAGUCAUUUGCCAAGAGUGAAUCCGAAUUGCAAGGAGAAAAAGCAAAGAGAAUCUGCCAUGAAGCCUAUUCUUGAUGACAGUUGUAGCAGCCACUUUUGGAGCACUUUCUGAAGUCCAAAUGAUGCAUGCUAUAUACCAUUUCAAAGCUCAGGAAGUCAACAAUCCAAUGCUUCAAACGGUGUACAAUUCGGAGUUGAAACGAAGAAGUUGCAGCCAUUACAAGCCAAUCACUCCGAGAUAAAGGAAGCAUUUUGCAAAGUGUUGCGAAAUCACCCUUUUGUUGCGAAGUGAUUUCGCAGCAUUUUUGUACAGUAAGGUGUUUCUCCUUCUGACGAUGCAUGAACCAUGCCGCGAGAAGGGAGUUGGGAACCUCAAGGUGGAAGCCAACUUCGCAGCCCUGUGAAGAUAGCUUGGUGUUGCGAAAUAAUUUCGCAACCCUCUUGGGUGUCUAUACUAUAGUGAACGACCCUAGAGCCACUAUACUAUAGUAGUUUUUUCUUUGCUAUCCUAGUGUAUGGUGUUAUAGGUUAUAAAUUUUGUUGAUUACUCCCUCAAUCAAGGAGCACCAGCUGGACACAAAUCAGCUGAGACACCAAUUGGGCAUGAAUCAAUAAUCUAAAGUGCACAAUGAAGGAUGUGGGUGCAUCCGAAAAACCUAAGAUCUAAAGUGAGAUAGUGAACAAAGACAAGCAAUCAUACAAUCAUGCAAGAGAAAGGGUUGUCAUGCAACAAGCAGUCAUACCAAGCAGAUAAGUAUCAUACAAUCAAAGUCCUAUCUAGCAUAUGUGAGAGUGAAUCAUGCUAAAGUGAGCAAAACAAUCAAGUGAUCAUUCAAACAGUCAUUGCGAAGCAAAUAAAUAUCAAACAAACAAAGUCCUAUCUAAUAUAUGUGAUAGUGAAUCAUGCUAAAGUGAGCAAAACAAUCAAGUGAUCAUCCAAGGCAAUCAAACAUGGUAAGAUAGCAAACCAAACAAGCAAGCAAAUCGAAUCACCUUGCCUAAAAAAAGAGGUACCCACUAAUCGACCAAUUAAACGCCACAUUUUCCUCAACUAGUGUUCAAGCUUGAUCCUCAAAAUCCCCAGUGGAGUCGCCAAUUUGUGGACCCGCAUCUUUCACGUGCGCCCCCACUCGAUCGACGAGACUCGCUUUUUAUUCGUGAAAAAUAAUUUUUGAAAAACUCGGAGUCGCCACUUAUAUUAUUUUUAUUUUAAAGGGAAAAUAAAACAAGAAAGAAAAACCCUAAAAUGUGACUCCAUAAUUUUUGGAAAAAGCAUGUCUUUGAAAAACCCGAGUCUAAGUCCGGGGAUCAGGUUACCUAUUGGGAAGGUACCUUUAAAAGGUAGCACCCCUCUAAGCCCUAUAAAGGUCUCUACUAACUAAGUUAAGGCAAAUGUGACAAUUAACCUGUUAAUUAUGGAUACCUAAGUAGGCUAGAUGGUUCCAAAAAAUAGUAUGCCAAACAAGAUCAAAUCAUAAUAAAGGAAGGUUAGGAUGCGUACCUGGACCGCUUCUCAAGCGCUAUCAUAAAACAUCGAUGGUUAAUUUAAACAAUAUAUCAUCCAGCAUGUAUUUUAUUAGAAAUAAUCAAACAAUGAAACAUGUAUAUCAGAACACUCAAGCAUUAUUAGACAUAAGCAUUAUUUCACAAUGACAAGCAUAUUCACAGAAUUCAGAAAGUAGGUGAUAGAGGACAUACCUAGAUAGCAUAGAUAAUUUGUAACGUGCUUCCUCAAGUUGUAAGGGGUUAGAUAAAUAAUAAAAUAUAGAAAUCCUAGCAUGCUCGUUGUCUAAUUAGCAUAGCAGAAGUGAUCAAAGUAUACAAAAUCAUCAAUUAUCACAUACAUCUUGUAUAUAAUUCCUAAAAAAAAUAGAUAUGAUUUCAAUAAAUAGUAAGGGUGACAGUAAAGAUGAGUUUUAAAAAGAUGAUUUUAUGUAGGGGUUUCACCAAUUACCCAAUUGAUAUACACAAAUAUAGCUUGGAAUUAAAUGUUAUCACUUUCAUAAAAAAAAAAUAAAAAAUAUAUAAAUAAAAUAAAAUAAAUUAAAUUAAAAAAUAAAAAUUCAUGAGUAUUAAAAAAACAUUUUUUUGAUAGUUUUAAUGAAUUGUAUUUAUAAAAUAAAGUUUUGAUUUACUUAAAUAAGAAGGCUUUAAUUUCAUGCAAAGAAAAUAUUUUUUUUAGAAAAGUUUGUUCACAAGAAAAUAAAUGUUAUCACUUUUAUAAAGGAAAUGUUUCAUAAGUAUUAAUAAUAACAAUAAUAAUAAUAAUAAUCGAUUCCAUAGUUUUAAUGAAUUUUAUUUAUAAAAAGAAGCUUUAAUUUAUUAAAUAAAAAGACUUUAAUUCCAUGCAAAGAAAAUGUUUUUAAAAAGUUCAUUCACAAGAAAAUAAAUGUAAUCAUCACUUUUAUAAGGGAAAUAUUUCAUAAGUAUUAAUAAUAAUAAUAAUAAUAAUAAUAAUAAUAAUUGAUUCCAUAGUUUUAAGAAAAAAGUUUUAAUUUAUUUGAAUAAAAAGACUUUAAUUCCAUGCAAGAAAAUAUUUUUUUAAAAGUUCAUUCACAAGAAAAUAAAUGUAAUUAUCACUUUUAUCAAGGAAUUAUUUCAUGAAUAUAAUAAUAAUAGUUGUAAUAAUUGAGUCCAUAGUUUUAAUUAAUCUUAUAAAAGGAAGUUUCAAUUUACUUAAAUAAAAAAAGCUUUAAUUCCAUGCAAAGAAAAUGUUUUUUUUUAAAAGAAAGUUUAUUCACAAGAAAAUAAAUGUUAUCACUUUUAUAAAGGAAAUAUUUUAUGAGUAUUAAUAAUAACAAUAAUAAUAAUAAUAAUUGAUUCCAUAGUUUUAAUGAAUUUUAUUGAAGGAAGCUUCAAUUUAUUUUAAAAAAAGACUUUAAUUCCAUGUGAAGAAAAUGCUUUCAAAAAAAUUCAUUUACAAAAAAAAAGAGAAAGAAAAUUAAUUAAUUAAUAAUGGUAAUAAUAAAAAAACCUUAUAAAAAAUAUAUUUGAUCUUAAAAUUUUUUUUUUAUGUAAGAAUAUCUUUUAUAAUUUAAAUUUUCCUUUAAUAAUUUUUUUUAACUUUAUUUUAUUUACAAGAGGAUGAUUUCCACAACUCUUUAUUUAGAAAGCACAAUUUUUUUUUAUUAUUUUUUUAAAACAUAAUAAUUUUUUUUAAAAUAAGAUAAACAAUUAUUUUAUAUUUUAAUCCAAGAGAACAAAAAAAUGUUUAAAAUAAUUUAAAUAUUACAACUUUUUAUUUUUUAUUUUUGAACAAAGCUAUCAUAAAAAUUAUCAAAACACUUAAAAAAUUCAAACUUUUUCAUCAUCAUCAGGAAUUAUCCCAAAACUAAAAAUUAAGCACAAUAUAAAUUUUCAUUAAUAUCCAAAUUAUUGAAAACUAAAAAAAACUUGCAAAAUAUUUCAACUUUUCAUUAACAUCACAAAAUUGUCCAAAACGAAUAAAACAUCUAAUUUUUAAAUUAUCAUCCUGAAUCAUCCAAGACAAAUGCCUACAAAAAGUAACAUGAGAUUAGCAAUAAUAAUAAUGAUAACUAAAAUAAAAUAAACAAAAUAAAUUCAAAAACCAAAAAAAACUAAAAUCCUAACUUGAUUUAUAUUUUAUUCAAGCAAUCAUCCGGAAUUAUCCCAAGGCUAAAAAAAAUAAGCACAAUAUAACUUUUCAUUGAUAUCCAAAUUAUUAAAAAUUAAAACAAACUUGCAAAAUAUUUCAACUUUUCAUUAACAUCACAAAAUUAUCCAAAACGAAUAAAACAUCCAAUUUUUAAACUAUCAUCCCGAAUCAUCCAAGACAAAUGCCUACAAAAAGUAACAUGAGAUUAGCAAUAAUAAUAAUGAUAACUAAAAUAAAAUAAAUAAAAUAAAUUCAAAAACCAAAAAAAAACUAAAAAUCCUAACUUAAUUUAUAUUUUGUUCAAACAAUCAUUAACACAUCUCAUAUAAAUACAUUAAAUCCAACAAAACACUCACCGAAAGACAUUAAAUCCUAUUAUAACCGUCCAUGAUUUCAUUCCCUUUUUUUUAACAAAUAAAUAAAAACAUGCCAAUAGCAUCAUUCACAUCAGGACUGACCAUAUAUUCACAUUUGUUUGCAUUUUAAAUCCAACAAAACGAAGUCAAAGAACACUAACCUUGCUUGCAGCUACCCUCUUUCACGGUUGUGUCACUUUUUCUUCUCAGUCUAGUUAUGUCUGCUUCUUCGAUCUGGCUCGUGUGUUCCUUCACCACCAAGAGUCCCCGAAUCAGCCUAUGCGUCCUUUAGAAGUUCCACCAGGAAACGUGAUCUCCAUGUCUACAAUUUUCUUCUGAAUCUCAUUAAAAAAUAAAAAAUCCACCCAAAAUUCUUCCAGAACUCUCUUUUUUCUUUUUCUUUUCUCUCCUCAGACGUCUCCCUCUAUUUUCAAGCUCUCCUCUCCAAAAAAUCCUCCUCUCUCUCCUCAAUUGUCUUUCUCAUAUUCCCAAAAAAAAAACCUAAAUCCCCUUCAUCGCGCCUCUCCUCCCUUUUUUGCAUGUGAGUUGACUUUUCUUUCCUUCUAUGAAUUCCCCCUGCUCUCUUUCUUGCAAAAUACAGUCUGUCUAUUCAAUAUGCCACCUCAAUUCUUCCUAAAAUAUAUCAUCUCCUUUUCUUUUCCAUUUAAAAUAUGCUUUGACCCAAAACACUACUGAAUCCUCCUUCCAUCAUCACGUGAUUCUUUUUCCAAAAGACAUAUUACAUUACCUUCUUUGCUACUCAUCAUUUCUUUUUUCAUACAUAAGCUGAAUCUUCCCCAUAACAUGGCUCCAUUCAUUUUUUCCAUAUGUCUACUCUUGGAACCAAUAUGGUAGCUACCCACUCCAAGCUUCACAUCAUAGGCACUUUCUUAUCUUUCUAUUGGCAGACUUCCUACAAAAUUUCAAAGUUAAUAAAGUAAUAGUAAUAAUAAUAAUAAUAAUGAAAACUUUUAAACAAAAUUAUUAAAUUAAACUAAAUAAGUAAAGACAAGUAUUAGGGAAAAGUGAUAAAAUAAUAGGAAAAUAAAAUAAAUGAAGAAAUAUACAAAAUAAUAAAUAAAAUAAAAUAAGCAAAAAUAUAAGGGUAAAAAAAAUUCAAGCAAUGUGAUUUUACAAAAACGAUCUAAAUGGGCCUAAGGUGCCUAAAUGGGCCUAGAAUGCCUAAAUUGGCCUAAGGUGCCUAAAUGGGCCUAAGGUGCCUAAAUGGGCCUAGGGUGCCUAAAUGGGCCUAAGGUGCCUAAAUUGACUUAAGGUGUCUAAGUGGGCCUAAAGUGCCUAAAUGGUCCUAGGGUGCCUAAGUGGGCUUAGGGUGGUGCUUAAGUAGGUCUAAGGUGCCUAGGGUGUAUCUGAGUGAACCUAAAGUGCCUAAGUGGGCUUAGGGUGACGCCAAAUGGGCUAGGUGUGUCUAAUGGGCUUAGGGUGUACUAAGUGGGCCUAGGGUGCUUAAAUGGGCCUAAAGUGAUCUAAGUGGACCUAAAGUGUCUAAAUGGGCCUAAAGUGAUGCCUAAUGGGCCAAGUGUACCUAAAUGGGCUUAAAGUAAUCUAAGUGGGCCUAGGGUAACUAAGUGAGCCUAAAGUGUCUAAAUGGGCCUAAAGUGAUGCCUAAUGGGCCAAGUGUACCUAAAUGGGCCUAGGGUACCUAAAUGGGCCUAAAGUAAUCUAAAUGGGCCUAGGGUGACUAAGUGAGCAUAAAGUGGCUAAAUGGACCUAAAGUGAUGCCUAAUGGGCCAAGUGUACCUAAAUGGGCCUAGGGUGCCUAAAUGGGCCUAAAGUGAUCUAAGUGGACCUAAAGUGUCUAAAUGGGCCUAAAGUAAUCUAAGUGGGCCUAGGGUGACUAAGUGAGCCUAAAGUGUCUAAAUGGGCCUAAAGUGAUGCCUAAUGGGCCAAGUGUACCUAAAUGGGCCUAGGGUACCUAAGUGAGCAUAAAGUGGCUAAAUGGGCCUAAAGUGAUGCCUAAUGGGCCAAGUGUACCUAAAUGGGCCUAGGGUUCCCAAAUGGGUCUAGGGUGCCUAAAUGGGCCUAGGGUGACUAAGUGGGCCUGAAGUGUCUAAAUGGGCCUAAAGUGAUGCCUAAUGGGCCAAGUGUACCUAAAUGGACCUAGGGUUACCUAAAUGGGCCUAGGGUGCCUAAGUGGGCCUAGGGUGCCUAAAAGCUAUCCUAAAAAAAAACAAGAAAAGCCUAAGUCUAAGUUAGGGCUGCCAAGGGUCACAAUAAGAGGUCAGAUAAUCCCUCAAACAAAGUCUCCGAGGUGGCUUAGAAAAGAUAGGCUACACGAGUAUUAAUGGGCCACCAGGGAAUUGCUAUAAACGACAUGUGCAAGGAAGACGAAAUGGAGGGUCUACAAGGUGACUUGCCAUCAUUUCUGUCCUUUCACUCUACAGGUGGCUGAACGUGGGCUGUGGUAGGCUAUCGGAAUGACGUAGUAAGACUUGCUCACUUUAGUCAACGAUCCGGAUAGGAUAUGCUAUCGUCCAGGUGUGAUGUUUGCGAGUGUCGUGUGCUUCUUCUUGAGGAAGUUCGGAUAGGGGAGCGCGCCACGUGUCCCUCUUUGGGGAGUCCGGAUGGAGUCGCUUCGGACAGCGAGGCGUGCCACGUGUCAUCAGGGGGAGGGGUCCUUACAAUGCCCCCUUUUUAACUUGCCGAUUUUGCCCAAGCAGAAUGGGCGGGUUAAAAAUGAUUGUUUUUGAAACUGAGGUUACUUUUUGUUCUCAUUGGGCCACGUGAUGCGCGGAGGCAAAGAGGAACAAGAGCAUUUAUGAUGAGCCGCCGUCGUUGGGAUUUCCCAGGCAGCGUGUCUUUUCAAUAAUGGCGCGGCUGAGCGGUUAGAAUACCGAGGGGCAGUCUUUCGUUUUAAAUAGUAGACCGAGUCCUUCACUCUUGCAUUUUUUCUUCUGCAUUUUCUACCGGUAGUGCUUUCUCUUCAACCUUCUAUGUAUCUUCGUCUGUGAGUGAGGUUCUAGGGUUUUCUGCUAGCAAUACCCGUGUCGUGACGGUGACUGCACUACAGACUUCAUCUCCAUUUUUUGAGUUUACACUCGGUACGUUCUCUAUUCCUGCAUUCUCCUCGUUGUGUUUGCUUUGUGGUUUUUUUGGCUUGUUGGGCAAGCUACUUGCGACUGGGAGUCAGUAUUGGCAUUCUGAGUAUGCUGUUCAACCUGGACCUUUCACUUCUGGGGGUCAUUUUCAUCUACUCCAUCAAGAAGGGGAAAAAUGACGUCUUCAGCCUGCCUGCCUGCCUGCCUUCUUUCCAAUUGGUGACUGAUCUUUCGGAUUCGACGAAAGGAGGAGCCAAGGGGCAUGUAUUGGUCCGGGGUGUCUGGGCUGGGCUACUAGAGCCUGCAGAGAGACCGUUUUCCCCAAACCGUUCGCUGGUGCUUCCGGGUAAGGCAGCUUGUGGGGUUUGUCCGGCGUUCGUCUCUUGCUCUUCUUAUUUUGGGUUUAUCAGAUGGCUAACAUCUUUGGUUGCUGAUAAUGCAUGUACGGACAAGAGGGGUCUCGUAGUCGAGUGGGUGGAAAAAGCGUCUUUCGACCAAUUGAACAAGCUGUUUGAGAUUACUGCAGCUGAGAGGCAUCAUUAGACGCUGCUUACUGCGCGAAACUUGCUGGCCGUUGUUCGGGAGCCCUAGGCAUACGUCACCAAUAUUCUCCCUAGGAAGUUGCCAAAAAAGGUAGUGCCUGGGGAGCAUUUUUUUUGUCAAAGAUCUCCCAUUCUACACGGAAGCGCGCAAGGCAGACGCCCAAGCACGCCGAGCACUUCUCAACGAACGGGAGGAAAAAAGGCAAGAGGGAACUUUGCGGAAGGCCCCUGAUGAUAAACGUUCCGCGCCCUCUCCUAUUGCUGGCGCCCCAACGGGAAAGAAGAAGAAGGUUCCCACUAAGGGAAAAGCAAUAAAACCUCCAACUCCCACAAAGGGACUAGUAAUAAAAUCGUCAGCUCCCACAAAGGGAAUAGUAAUAAGUUUUCCAGCUCCCUCCGGCUUACCGUCUGUUUCAAGCGGCUCCGGACGUCUCGCGGGUCUAAACGGAUCGGGGCCUUCAAUGCCAGCGGCAAAACGGAUGGCUCUUCUGGCUGAAGAAGCAACCUCAGUGUAUCAAUCGGGCUCUUCCCCUCCGGACGCGGAUGUAGCCGGGGCCUCUUGUGCUGAAACGUUGCCUCCUAUGGGGCCUCUGAUGGAAGAAACGGGGGCUGAAAGGCAGGGUUUGCCCCUUUGUGAGUCGAGCUCCCUUGCCCUUGUACCGGUGAAGGGGCCAGCUACGAAGAGGCCUCGUCCAGCCUACGAUUUAAAGUUUGGCAUCAACGGGCGGCUUCAGGAUAUUCUUCUGGAAACCAUCGAAGUCAACUGCUCAUCCGCCUAGGAGGAUCAUCCGGAGGAGAGUGAAACGGAGAUGGCGGAAGAGAACCCAACUGACCCAGUGCUGGUCCCGGAUGAGGGUUCGCCCGGAGAGAUCCAGCCGACCGUGAAUGAUGGGGGCCCGGAGCCGGGGGAGGAGUCACACCCUAGUGCCUUGUCAGGGGGGAGUCUUGUUGAUGAUGCAGCUUGCAUUUCUGCUAGCCCUUUCAGCUAUGCGGAGUUGGGAGAGACGUUGAAACGGAUUCCAUCCAGCUCAGAUGUUGUUGCGCCCUUAGUGAAAAUGUUUGAAGCGGCGGAAAUGGUGUAGCUUAUCCUCCUUUGAUUUUUCUUACCAUACUGGUGUGCUUUUCACAUGACUGAUAAUUGAACUUGUUGUUGUGGGUUUUUCUGCAGCUGAUGAGUGGUAUUCGCGGCAUGGUUAAACAACACGAUCUUUUUACAGACAUGCUGUGGAUUUCGGAUCACAUGAAGGUCUUCAUCUCCCAGCGCAUGAGUGGUGAAGAGGAAUUGCGCUCGAGAUUGGAGCAGGUCGAAGCCAGCUUAUCCACUGCCCGGAGAGCUUCUGAAGAGAGUGCUGAAGCCUUGAAGAGGUCCCAAGAUGACAACGAGGCUCUCCGGAUAGAGCUAGCAGAGGCGAAGAGCCGGGAGGAAGCUACAGACGCCCCCUACACGAGGCAGAAAACGAGAUGGCCCAACUGAGGGGGGAAGUGAGACAACUCCGGACAGAGGUGUCAAUUGAGAAAAAACAGAAAGAGGAUUUGCAGUUGCGCUUAUCAGCACAAAAAGAAGAGUUGGAGGCUGAGUUUGCUGCGGAAAGGGAGGAACUCGAGACAGAAUACCAGAAGCAGGUAGACGAGAUGUAUCUCUUUGGCUACCGUUGUUGCAUGAAGAAGCAUGACAUUAAACGGGACGUCCCUUCGAUUCCCCCAGGCGAGAAAAUUUGCGCCGCAAACCCUCCCAAUGAGAGCUUUUCUUUUUGUAACUUUUACUGCUAUUUCUUUCUGUAUUAGUAGUCCGGAGAACCUUUUUUGUAUACAAUUUUCACAAGUAUUAAUAAAACAUACUCAUUUACAUUGUACUUGUAUCUUUCUUUCAUUGGUAAUACUGCUUUAGAUUGGAUAUAUUCCGCGGUCGGAGCAAUGGGGUUUCGUCUAGCUUUUGUAGAUGAUAGGCUCCACUUUCACUUGUCCUGGACACUAUAUAGGGGUCUUCCCAAUUGGCUUGAAACUUUCCUACUCCUAUCUCAGCAGUGUUUUCAAAAAGCUUUCUAAGAACCAGCAUUCCACUUUUGAAACUCUUGGGCCUUGCCUUGCGAUUGUAGUGAGCGGCUGCCCUUUGUUGAUAGUCUGCCAUCCGGAUGGAUGCGGUCUCUCUUACUUCGUCUGCCCAGUCCAAGUUUCUUCCUAACUCCGCAUUUGCAUCAUCCUGUCUUCCUGCCUCAGUCCGGAUAGUAGGUAGCCUUAUUUCAGUAGGAAUGACUGCGUCCAUACCAUAUGCGAGGGCGAAUGGGGUGUUUCCUAUCGGACGUCCGGGUGUGGUUCAAUAAGCCCAUAGGACGCCGGGUAGCUCCUCCACCCACUUCCUUUUGACUUGCUCGAGCCUCUUCUUUAAGACAUUUAUUAGGGUCUUGUUUGUGGCCUCUGCUUGCCCAUUACUUUGAGGAUAACGUGGUGUGGAGUAUGAAUUACGGAUGUUUAGUUCCGAACAAAAAUUCCGGAAAGCGAUGCUAUCAAACUGUGGACCGUUGUCGGCUAUAAUGGUUUGGGGGAUUCCGAAGCAGCAGAUGAUGUUCUUCCAUACAACUUGGUGACAUCUUUGUCUUUGAUGCUAGCGUAUGCUUCAACUUCCACCCAUUUACUAAAGUAAUUUGUGGCGACGAGCAGGAAUUUAUUUUGGGCAGCUGCGGCUAGUAGGGGUCCUAUUAUGUCCAUGCCCCACUACGCGAAGGGUCAGGGACCUGAAAUUGGUUUCAACAUCUCCAACGACACAUGUGGUAUGGGGGCAUGCUUUUGACACUUGUCACAUUUUUUUACAUAGGCUGCCACAUCCUUUUUCAUCGUGGGCCAAUAAUAUCCUUGCGAAUGGGCCCUGUGCGCCAAAGAUCGACCUCCAGAAUGGUUUCCACAUACCCCCUCGUGUAAUUCAGCUAAAACAUACAGGGCAUCUGAGUGUUUUAGGCAUCUGAGAUAAGGACCUAAAAAGGACCGUUUGUACAAGUGCCCCUCAAUCAGGGUGAAACGGGCGGCUUGCACCCGGAUCUUGUGUGCCUGCUUGGGCUCUUCGGGUAGAGUGCAUGUCCAGAGGUACCUUAUAAUGUCUUCCGUCUACUCUUGGCCGUCUGCUUGGUUUGCCUUAAUGGUAUUGCAAGUGGAGGCUUCUGCGACGGAAGGGUUGGCUUGCACAUGUAUAGGCAAUAAUAUGGCUUCUUUGAUGGGGAAGGAGGUAGCUAUGCCUGCCAAGGCAUCGACACAUCCAUUUUCAGUUCGUUUAAUCUUUUCGAUCGUCCAUUCGGUGAACCGUUGUAAGGUGUCCCUUACUUUAGUCAGGUAUCGCACCAUGCGCGCAUCCUUAGCUUCGUAUUCCUUCUGGACGUGCCUUACCACGAGUUAGGAAUCACUAUAGACCCAGAGUUUGGAGGCGGAUAGAGCCAGGGCGAGGUCUAAUCCGGAUAGGAUGGCCUCAUACUCUACUUCAUUGUUAGAGGUGGGGAACCCCAAUCGGAUGGCUUGCUCCAGAUGUUCUCCUGUUGGGGAUUGUAGCAGGAACCCUACUCCGGAUCUUGAUGACCGGGAGGCUCCAUCAACCCGCAAAGUUCACCACUCGUUUCCACUUGGUUCCUUGCGCUGGAUAGGCUUUCAGGAGUAUUCCAGCACGAAGUCAGCCAUCACUUGGCCUUUCAUGGACAACUUGGGUUGGAACUCAAUUCCAUAUUUGCUCAACUCUAUAGCCCAUUGAAGCAUUCUUCCGGUUAAGUCUGGUUUGUGCAGGAUGUUGUGAAGGGGUUGGUCAGUUAGCACGACCACCAGGUGGGCUUGGAAGUAAGGGCGGAGCUUCUGGGCGGCACUUCGAAAAGCCAAGGUCGUUAGCUCCAUCUUUGAAUACCUAGUUUCUACAUCCGCCAACGCUCUGCUGACAUAGUAAAUAAGUUUCUGCUCCUUGGGCAAGGGGCAACGGAAUAGAACAACACUAAUUGCCCACUCCGAUACAGCCAGAUACAUAUACAAUUUUUCUUCAGGGAGGGGGUUGCUCAGGAUGGGCGGUUGCAUGAGGCAAUGUUUAAUUUUUUCAAAGUGCUCUGACAGCUGUCUGUCCAUCCGCUUGCUCCAGCUUUUCGUAUUGCCAAGAAGAAGGGUCGUAGUUCAUUAGUGAAGCGGGCUAUAAAGCGUCCUAGCGCGAUGAGCUUGCCUGUGAGGCGCUGUAAUUCCUUUUUGUUCCUGGGGGGUGGUGUUUCCAUGACUGCCUUCACUUGAUUUGGGCUAACCUCUAUCCCCCUUUAGCUGACCAUAAAUCCCAAGAAUUUGCUAACACUUACGCCAAAGGCGCAUUUAGAAGGAUUCAACUUCAUGCCAUACUUCCUUAAGAGGUGGAAGACUUCUUGCAAGUGGAGGACAUGUUCCUCUCGGGUUUUGCUUUUAACCACGAUAUCGUCAAUAUACACCUCUACUGUGCGGCCGACCAGAGGUUUGAAGAUCUUCGUCAUCAGUCUCUGAUAAGUGGUGCCAGCGUUUUUGAGUCCGAACGGCAUGACUUUGUAGCAAUAAAGACCGUGUGGCGUUAUGAAGGCUGUCUUUUCUUUGUUAGUCGGGGACAUGGGGAUUUGGUGGUAUCCGGAGAAGGCGUCCAAGAAGGAGAGCAUCCCUUGCCGAGCAAUGGAAUCCAUAAUUUGAUCUAUCCGUGGCAAAGAAAAACUGUCUUUUGGGCAUACAUUAUUGAGGUUGGUGUAAUCGACGCACACCCGCCAUUUGCCUUCCUUUUGGGUACCACCACUACAUUUUCCAACCAGUCCGGGUACUCCACUUCUUUGAUGAAUCCGGCUUCCAGUAACUUGUCAAUCUCAUCCCGGAUAAUCUUUUGCCUAUUCGGGUAAAAACGUCUAACCCUCUGUCGGACAGGUCUUGCUAUUGGCAAGAUGUUAAGCAUAUGGAAGACGAUGAAGGGGUGAAUUCCCUUCAUAUCAGAAUGCGCCCAUGCGAAAACGUCGUGGCUUUGUCGGAGGGCGUUUUGGAUGUUCUGGGUCUCUUCUGGCGUCAAGAGGGAACUGAUAUACAUAAGGUGAGUUCCUUCUUCCGAAAUUUGGAUCGUCUGCAAGGGAUCCGCUACCGGGGGAUCUUUAUCCGCCGGACUCAGUGAUUGCUAUUGGUCCAGCGCGUGGGGGGACUCAGGGAGAGGUUUAUCCUCUUGACUGGUUCCUACCUCUCGUGAUAUCUAGUAGCAUUGGCGAGCGGCUAAUUGGCUGUCGUAUAGGCCGAUUUGCCCAUCCUUGGUAAGUAAGCUUACCAUUUGAUGAUACGUAGAGGGAAUGACUUUCAUGUAGUGCAGCCAUGUGCACCCCAAGAUGACAUUGAAGGGUGAUAAAUCUUGUACCAUCGAAAAUUGUACGUUGAGAGUGACUGGGCCAGCUUGGACCGGCAGUAUAAUAUCUCCCAAGGAAGUAGUUAACGCUCAGUUGAAUCCGGACAAGAUCCGCCCAGGGUUUUCGAGGCCUGUGAGACUGCGUCCCAUGUGGCUAACGACCGAUGCUUGUACAAGAUCGGCCGAGCUGCUCGGGUCAACUAGGAUGCGUCUCACGUCGAAGUCUCCUAUCUCUAGGGACAGGAUGAGGGCAUCGCGAUGCGGCUGCAAUAUCUGUGUGGGGUCUACUGGUGGGAAAAUGAUUGUCCCAUCUAUGGGGCAAGCCCCCCCUCCCAGUUAUCCCAAGCCGGAUGGAGUUGACACGCUCACGCACCGAUGCUGCCCGCAACAACCUUUGUCUUUUUCGUUUGGAGUCGUACUCCUCGUCGAAUGGGCCUCCGUUAAUAUAGUUUAUAAUGGCUUUGGGGGUGGCUGGAGCCCUAGGGGUUCUAGAGUUUUGAUUUCGGGAAGCGUCUCUACCUCUGGCAUCUGAGCGGAGGUAUUGUUUCAAAUGUCCCGCCCUUAUGAGCCUUUCGACCAAAUAAUGGAGGCACCUGCACGCUUCCGUUGUGUGACCAUGCUCCUUAUGGUAGGCACAUUUUUUACUAUGAUCCCUUUUAGAUGGGUCCGUUUUGAGGAGUCCAGGCCACCUGAAGUCGGACAUGUCUUGGAUCAUAAAGAAAAACUUCUCAUAGGAUAUGGAAAGGGGUGUGAGGGGCGGCAUUUCCGGGCAACUUGGCCCUUCCUACCUUUGAUCGGACGGCCUUGGCCGGUUCAUAAGUUUGGCACUUCUUUCUGCACCACUUCUGGAUGCUUAUUUGGCAACCAGGAUUUGCUGGGUGGCUGCUCGCACGUCAUCUUCGAGCAUUGAGUAUUUGCUCGCACGCUGGAACAAGUCGUCCAUCGUCAUAGGAGGCUUAUUAGCGAGUGAUUCGAAAAAUGGGGUGUCUGGACAGAUGCUUCGCUUGAAGAUCUGCAGGACAGCAUCCAUGCUGUAAGCCUCUACCUGUAGCACGGCCUGACCAAACCGCUUCACGAACUCCCUUAAGGACUCGUUAUCCUGCAAUUUUAUGUUUUGCAGAGUGCUGAUGUUCUGCUUAUGUCGAGCAGAGCAUAAGUAUUGUCCCACGAAGGCUUCCGACAAGUCCCUGAAAUUAUCCAUAGAGUUAGGAGGUAGGCGAUGAAACCAUGAGAGGGUCUGCCCUUGUAGGCUGGCGGGGAAUACUUUGCACAGCAGCGCGUCGUUUCCUAUAUCGAGAGUCAUGAGUUAUCGAUAAUGCAUGAUAUGGUCGAAGGGGUCGCUAGACCCAUCGUACGUGGAGAAUUUAGGCACGAGGAAUCCCCUUGGGGGCUCAUAAUGAAUAAUAUGAGAGUAGAAAGGCGUGGAGAGCAUGUCGUCCAGCCUUUUGCUGAUGGAGCCAAUGGGUGGCUCGUUUGGGAGAUUUCUCCCAGCUUUUCGUACCGUUUGGUACGGGGGAACAUUCUGCACCAUAGGGCUAACCAUAGGAUUAGGGUGCGGGGGAACGUUCUGCACCAUAGGGGUGACCAUAGGGUCAGGGUGCGCUCCCCAAGUUGUGACUACUAGCGGCCUUGGCCUCCCAGUCUCCUGUGGACCUAGCCUUGCGCGCAUUGCGUCUAACAACUGGGGUUUUUUGUCGCAUUGUCUUUUUGCUGAGAAAUGAGUAGAGUCUGAGCUUUCCUCAUGGGGAGCUUGGUGCAUGGGCGUGUGUCGCUCAUGUGGUCUAACGUUGCAUGUUUCAGGAAUUGCUCCUGCUGUCCCAGGGUAUAUUGACUCUGGGUCAGGCCUUGAGUUUGCUACCUAGCCUCUUGAACGUUGACGAUGGGGAGGCCCCAUCGAUGAAGCCUAGAUGUGCAGCAUAGCGUUUUCUUCUCUCAACCUUGCUGUCUCCUAGAGGAGAGCUUGCAUUUGUCUCUCGCUUGCCAACUGUCUUAUCUCAAUGGCUUGGCGCCAUUCAAAAUUAUCUUCCUCUUCCCUAACAGACGAGUGGCUUCUAAAAGGUUUGGCCAUCUUUGCCGGUGAUUGAAUCAGCAAACUUCCCACGAGACGGCACCAAUGUUGAGGCCUUGCGUCCUAAUGAUCCACGUAGCUGCCAAGUGGACGCACACUUUCAACUAAUACUGAGUUCUGGUUCAGUUGUCCCUGCAAAAGAUGUCCGGACAGGGUGUCCGGACACACCCUCCGAUGGUUUUGUCAGCCAUGGCUAAAGAGAUUAAGCAGUUGGCUUUUUUCUAGGUAUAGCAAGCAUACCGUCCUCCUUGUGUGAAGGUCCUUAUAUAUAGUAUCAGAAGCUCUGCCUCCCUCUUUAAUGGUAGGGAGACUUUUUGGCUCGUCAUGAUGCCUCUAUGUGGUGGUAGGGCCAUCAUCACCCUACAGACGGCUGUUAGAGAUCGUGGGAAGUGACUUGCCAUCAUUUCUGUCCUUUCGCCCUGCAGGUGGUGGAACGUGGGCUAUAGUAGGCUGUCAGAAUGACGUAGUAAGACUUGCUCACUUUAGUCAACGAUCCGGACAACAUAUCCGAAGGUGUGAUGUUUGCGAGUGUCGUGUGCUUCUCCCUGAGGAAGUCCGGAUAGGGGAGCGCACCACGUGUCCCUCUUUGGGGAGUCGGGAUGGAGUUGCUUCGGACAGCGAGGCGCGCCACGUGUCAUCAGGGAGAGGGGUCCCUACAGGUAUUGUUGACAGAAAAUCACAGCUCCUGGGUAUUUGAAGGUGAAUGAAGCUCUCUCAACUAGUGAAAGGUGUUUUAAUGCUUAAGAAUGGGUUUCUUUUCAUUCAAUUAUGUUCAAUGAGUAGAGGAAAGUGGAUGAAAUGAUUCCAGACGGAGCUCCUUUGUUACUCUUUGGUCAUCAGGCCAUCCCACUGGAUCCAAGGUCAGUCAGUUUUGGUACAAAUUCGGUAACAAAUCAAGCUAUGGGGGGAUUCGUCAUCAUGCUAUAGUACAACACCAAGCUCGUUUUAAUUUGAGAACCAUUUAUGGGAUUAUAUGAAAGUAGUAGCUUAGUGCAGAGGUUCACCAUGCCUUGAUCUCUACUGUCAAACCCAGUAUCCACUAAUCCAUUCUUCCCAUUUCCUAUUUCAUUACGGACACUUUUAUCUUUCACAUUUCAUUAUUUGUUCCAUCCCUUCCCCAUAUUGUAGCACAUAUGUCUCUAUUCUUUUUUCUUACUACCACUGAAUCUAUUUCUCAUUAAGCUUCUCACACCCGUUUCUAUACAUACCCUUAUUUCAUGCCCCUCAUGCAUAUCACCUUUCUUUCUUAACACCACGUGUCUUUCAUUCCCAUAUUCUACUACCCGUUAAAAUAAAUCAUUUAUUUUUCCGACUGACCAUACCAAUAUUUUCCUUACCCUCCAUACUUUAUUCCACUACCCAUCCAACUAAUCCUCUCUCAUAUCUUCAUACCCAUUAACGUGCUCACCGAUAUCAAUUCAUCCCACAUUUCUAAACCCAUUGCCCGUAACUCAUGUCGUGCCCAUCAUUAUACUGCUCAUUCGUGUCUUCAUCUCAUCAUGCUCUAAAGAUUCAUCAUUCAAUACCCAUUAUUCCUACUGUCAAACCCAUUUUUUAAGCCAAUCUUUUACAUAUUCAACACCUAAAGGCAAGCCUACCAUCCGACCAUCCUCAAAGUUCAUCAACCCACCAUCAUGCUCUUCAUUUCAGUCCCAAGGGCCAUGACAGUAUAGUUUAGAUAGAAAAGAUGAAACUGAAACUCUGCUCUCUUUGUUAGAGAAGCAAGAGAGAGAAAUUGAAUAUAUAUAUAUUGUUCAAAGAACUUUGUUACAACAGAUGGAGACAGGUUGUAAUAAUAGCUGGUAUAACUAAAAUACAGUUGGUAAAAUAACAAACCAAUAACAAUAAAGCUAACAAAUAACAAGUGGGCUUCAUCUCGUGAGAUCAAUAACUAACUCCUCUUUUCUUGGCUUAUCAUCCCCCCUCAAGUGAAAGGGUCUUGGAGCUAUACAAAGCUAAGAUUUGAGGGACAAGAACCUUGAACUUGUGAGAUGCUUAGUCAAUAAAUUUGUUGGUUGCUCUUCAGUGGCAACAAAGUGCAGUUGUAUCUUUUCUCUCAUGACUUGAUCUCGUAUAAAAUGAAGGUCUAUUUCUAUGUGUUUAGUUCUAGCAUGAAACACAGGGUUCUUUGCCAUAUGGUAAGCACUGAUAUUAUCAUACCAAAGUAGAGGUAUUGCAGGUAUUGACAUACAUAACUCUUGUAGUAAGACUUGCAUCCAAACAAUCUCAGCGGUAUCGAAAACAAGGCCACGAUACUCAGACUUUGCACUGCUGCGAGACACUACUUUUUGUUUGGUAGAGGACCAAGAGACUAAGUUACCUCCUAGAUAAAUGAGAUAUCCACUUGAGUUGCGCCUAUCAUCAAGGUGAGCACCCCAAUCUGCAUUUGUGAAUUCCUUUAUUGUCAAGUUACUUGAAGGACUUAACAGGAGCCCAUCUUGCAUUGUUCCUCUUAGAUACCGAAGUAUUCGUUUAAUUGAGAGCCAGUGAGCUAUGGUUGGUUGUUGCAUAAAUUGGCAUGCCUUAUCGACAACAAAGGCAAUAUCAGGUCUUGUCAAGGUAACAUACUGAAGUGCCCUUACUACACUUCGAUAAUGAGUAACAUCUGCCAUAGGAUCUCCAUCAAAUUUAGACAAGUUCUUCCCAACACACCAGGUGUUUUUGCCGAUUUGGUAUCAAACAUUUCAGUUCUAUGAAGCAUAUCUGAAAUGUAUUUGGUUUGGCUCAAAUUCAUAGAGCCUUCAUUAUAAGAAACCUCUGUACCAAGAAAGAAUGAGAGUUGACCCAAGUCUCGUAAGGCAAAAACUGAAUCAAGUUUAGCUAUGAGAGAAGAAAUCUAUGUGGAGGAGCUGCAUGUUAUGAUUAUAUCAUCAACAUAGACAAGAACUAUCAAAGUAGUGGCCUGACCAAAGUGUAGAAACAUCUAACUAUCAGUCCGAGACAUGUUGAAUCCCCACUGAAGAAGAGCAAAGCUGAGUCUUUGAAACCAAGCUCGUGGGACUUGUUUCAAGCCAUAUAAAGCCUUCUUCAAUCUACACACUCUAUUUGGGAAUUGAGUGUCGAAGUAUCCAAGAGGAAGAGACAUAUAGACUUGUUCUUCUAACUCACCAUUGAGGAAGGCAUUGUGAACAUCAAGCUGCCGAAUUUCCCACUUAAAACUGAGAGCAAUAGUAAGUAUGAUGUGAAUAGUGCAGCCUUAACUACUGGACUAAAGGUCUCAAAAUAGUCCAGACCAUGAGUCUGAUUAUAUCCUUUUGCCACAAGCCUGGCUUUAUACCUCUUUACACUCCCAUCUGGCUUAUGUUUCAGUUUAUACACUCACUUACUGCCAAUCACAUUGACAUUGGGUGGUUGUUCAACAAGAUCCCAAGUAUGGUUUCGAUGAAGAGCAACAAUCUCCAUUUCCAUAGCUUUAGUCCAGUUUGGAUCUUUGAAGGCCUGUUUAAGAGUAGAUGGUUCUGAAACCUUUAUGGAAAAGAGAUCAAGAAUGAUCUUUUUCUUGGUUAUACCAUGCAUUUGGAUCUUUGAAGACCUGUUUGAGAGUAGAUGGUUCUGAAACCUUUAUGGCAGAGAGAUCAAGAAUGGUCUUUUUCUUCGUUAUACCCACUUAAAACUGAGAGCAACAGUAAGUAUGAUGCGAAUAGUGGCAACCUUAACUACUAGACUAAAGGUCUCAAAAUAGUCCAGACCAUGAGUCUGAUUAUAUCCUUUUGCCACAAGCCUGGCUUUAUACCUCUUUAUACUCCCAUCUGGCUUAUGUUUCAGUUUAUACACCCACUUACAACCAAUCACAUUGACAUCGGGUGGUUGUUCAACAAGAUCCCAAGUAUGGUUUCGAUGAAGAGCGACAAUCUCCAUUUCCAUAGCUUUAGUCCAGUUUGGAUUUUUGAAGGCCUGUUUGAGAGUAGAUGGUUCUGAAACCUUUAUGGUAGAGAGAUUAAGAAUGGUCUUUUUCUUGGUUAUACCACACAUGGACCUUGUCAUUCGUGGAGCAGGAGCAAUGACUUGAGAUUCUGGAACAGAUUCAGGUGGCAAAUCUGUAGCAGGAGAAGAACUAGAUGUGUCUAGAGGUGAAAAAGAGUUUGUAGGAAUAGGACUUUCACUUGUGGAUAGAGAAUGAGAAUCUAUGGAAGCAUGACUAAUAUUUGAAUCUGGGAGAAGACAUGGAGUAGGAAAGAAGUAGGAGCUACAAUGGUAGGGGUGGAGCCUUUUGCUGAAGUAUCAUUAAACGAAAUGGAAGACUUGGACUGAGCAAGUGGGAAAGUUGAUUCAUCAAAGACCACGUGGGGAGUAAUAUAGACUCUUCCAGUUGCAUAAUUAAGACAUAAAAACCCCUUGUGAUUCAAACUAUAGCCAAUAAAAAGACAUUGGACAAAUCUGUACUGCAAUUUAUGAGUGUUGUAUGGCCGAAUGAAAGGAUAACAGAGGCAUCCAAACACACGAAGAGAUUUAUAAUCAAGAUGCCUUCUAAAAAGAGUGAAGUAAGGAGAGUCAUACUCGAGAACUUUGCUUGGCAUUCGAUUGAUAAGAAAAGUUGUUGUCUGAAAAGCGUAGUGCCAUUACUUCAUUGGCAAGGAAGCAUGAGAUAACAAAGCCAACCCAGUCUCAACUACGUGUCUGUGCUUCCGCUCAACUCUACCAUUUUGAGUUGAGUUGUAUGGACAUGAUAAUCAAUGGGUAAUACCAACUGCUUGAAGAAAAGACAUAAAAGAUCGAAAUUCUCCACCAUUAUUAGACUGUAAGCACUUAAUUUUCGCGUCAAACUGAUUCUCCAUUUGAAGCUUGAAUCGCUUAAAGAUGGGAAGGGCCUAAUCCUUUGUUUGUAAUGAAUAAAACCAAGUGUACCUGGAAUAAUCAUCUACAAAAAGAAUGAAAUAUUUCACUCCAGAUGUAGAUUUAACUGAGGCAGGUCCCCAAAUAUCAGUAUAAACAAGUUCUAAAGGUUUAGAUGCACGAAAAUUUGAGAGCUGAGUGGGUAGUCUAUGACUUUUAGCUAACUGACAAUCAGAACAAACAAUAGAUUUAUAUUUCCCAGAAGCAACAUUACAAGGAUUCAUGACUUUUAAAACAAUGUCAGAAGCAGCAUGGCCUAGUCAAUUGUGCCAUAACUCUGCUUUAUUUUCAAUAGUACUAGAAAAAUGGGAAUGAAAAGCAGAAGCAUUAUUAAUACUACUAUAAGGUUUCUUGUUGCUGAACAUAGGAAACUUAUAAAGCCCAUUUUCAAGCUUGCCUUGAGCAAGAACCAUCUUCGUAUGUCGAUCCUUCACAAAGAAAGCAUUAGAAUGAAACUCAAUCAAGGCAUUAUUAUCUGAGCAAAACUUAGCCACACUAAUCAAAUUAGCUGAGAUAAAGGGGACAUGAAACACCUUCUUGAGUUGAAAAGAAUGUGUAUGAGAAUGAAGCUGUUUAGAGCCAAUAUUGGAGAUGGAGAGAUGCUUACCAUUACCAAUAGUGACUCUAUCUGUUCCCAUGUAUGGUGAAGUACUGGUUAGAUUUCCCAAAUUCUUAGUCAGAUGGUGACUUGCUCAAGAAUCCAAAUACUAACUCUCAUCUGAAGGACUAUUAGAAGAAGAAGCAACCAUAGCAGGUAUAUUGUUUUGAUUCCCAUUAUUCAAAGAAGGAGAAGUAGUAGUCUGACCACCUUGAAAAGAGAUAUCAAAACCUAUGAUAACAUAUUUGAGCAGUGUGGCCAAACUUACCACAUAACUGACAUUGAGGUUUCUCACUUGGACUGGAAUUUUGCCUUCCACCUUAUCCAUUUCUACCUCCACGUCCACGACCUCUGUAGGUGUAAUUAUUGUUAUUUGGAGCAUAGCCUUGUCCACUACCUCCAUUAAACUUCCUUCCACCACCUCUGUUAUUAGAGGAAGAGGCCUAAUUGGCAGACAUUUGUUCAAUCGAGCUUUGUUGCUUAAGACGAUGCUCAAAGGCUAAUAGCAUACUAUGUAUAGCUUCAAGAGAGAUCUUAUCAUCUCUAAUGUUAAUAGUAGUAACAACAGCAUUGUAGUCGGAUCCAAGACCUCCAAGAAGAUUCAUAACCUGAUCUUGUUCUGAGACGGGUUAUCCAAUAGCAGCUAGAUUAUCAGCAUUGAUCUUCAUUAUGUAGUCUAUCAUCAACAUUGAUCCUUUCUUUGUGGAUUGUAAUCCGAGUUUGAGUUGCAUUAUCCUAGCUCUUGAAGAAGAUGAAAAAAAUAUUUUCCAAGGCAUUCCAAGUAGAGUGAGAAGUAUUAUGGCCUAUCAUCUGUGCUAUGAUACCUGGUGUGAGCGACGAGUAGAUCCAACUGAGGAUUGUUCGAUCUUGUCUCCUCCAAGCAACAAAAGCUGGAUUGAUCACUCCUGGACUCAGAUCUUUCUCUGGACAGAUAGAGGUUCCAUCAAUGAAAUCCUCAAAGCCAUUAGCAAAAACGACAUUAUCAAUCUGAGAUCUCCACAAGAUGUAAUUCGUCCGAUCAAGUUUCACAAGUAGAGUGUGAUUAAGCAUCUGAUAGGAAGGAAUGGACGCCAUUGUUAAGCUUUGUCCAGAUCCAAUCGAACCAAAGGAAGAAAAAGAUUGUGUCGAAGUAGAGGCCAUGUUUGGAUCGAGAGAAACAGAUAGAAAGUGAGAAAGAGAAGAAAAAUUCACACCUUGAACGUGAGCUCUGAUACCAAGAUAGAAAAUAUGAAACUGAAACUCUGCUCUCUUUGUUAGAGAAGCAAGAGAGAGAAAUUGAAUAUAUAUAUUGUUCAAAGAACUCUGUUACAACAUAUGGAGAUAGGCUGUAAUAACAACUGGUACCACUAAAAUACAAUUGGUAAAAUAACAACCAAUAAUAAUAAAGCUAACUAAUAACAAGUGGGCUUCAUCUCAUGAGAUCAGUAACUAACUCCUCUUUUCUUGGCUUAUCAAGUUCAAGGUGAGGAUCCACAACUCUUUGUCAUUGUGAUGGUCUAUGAUCAAAAUGGAGGAACGGGGCAAUUGUGGAGCUUCAAACAACUCGUCAAUGGUGAGCUCGGUUUGGAAGUCUGAUUUGCAAGGAAAAGAGGGAGGAUUUUUCUCUAAAGGCGAGCUUUCGCAAAGGAAGUAGGAAACAGAGGAGAGAGGUUGCAGUUUGCUGGAAACAAAGCUAUUUUUGCUCGAAGGGAGUCAUUCAUCUUUCUCAUUGGAGAUCAUUUGAAGUACUACUCCAAAAACUUGGGUUCCAUCCUGUCAAACUGUUGGAUAUAGAAGAAAGAGAAUGCCAUUCAACAAAUCUCCUUUUUCAAGGCUUAAAAGGAGUCUCUCCCUUCAAUCAUGCUUUCCUGAAGUGAGGUCUUCAAAGGCAUCCGGUUGCAAAUCUCAUGAUGACAAUGCCUCAAGCGUAAAUGGUGGACGUUCUUGUGAUGACAGACGUCAUAAUGUUGAUACCUGCUUAGACAUAGAUGAUCAGUGCAUUUCCCCAGCUUCCAGUUGUGGCAAAACCUCUACUACAUCAAGGCGUAUAUUCCCUUUAGAAAGCAGGAGUCUAUGCAAAUCAGUUUCUGAUAUCCAGAACUUUAAGUCUGCACUGCUUCAAGCUGUUCCAGAAGCAAUUAGAACUGAAGAUUCUGAAGAUUCUGUUUAAGUCGGCUGAUGUUGACAAGGAUGCCAUGUUGAGGAGUUUUAAUAAGGGUGCCAUGUAUAUAAGAAGAAGCCGAUUGAGAUGGAAAGUGCAAAGAACCUUUGGCAGUAUGUAUUCUUGUAAAUGAGGGGAUAAACAGCUGCAGAAACCUGGACAGAAGGAUGGUGUCCAGGUUAAAUCAUUGAGGGCAAUGAACUGGAUGUAGAUGCAAGAAGUGCCCUAGACAAGUUGCCUGUGAAUCUCCAUGCGCUACAGACUUGCAAUGUUGGCAAGUUUAUGAAUCAUUUACGCAGCCAUAAAAUUCUGAAAUUCAGAAGAAAGUUAAGAGUUUAGUUGGCACAUGGAAGAGACGAGUUGAAGCUGAAAUGAACAUUGAUGAUGCAAAAUCUGGGUCAAGUCGCAGUGUUUCAUGGCAAACAAAGGCAGUGUCUUCUGAAAUUUCUCAUGCAGGGAACAAGGAAACUGAGGGAUCGUCCGAAGCCGGCAUGAAGAGCUCCAUUAUACAACCACCGGCACCUAGAACUCCUUUAGUUAAGCUCAGUGGUGGUUCUUUUGAAGAUUUUGCCAUUACAUUCUCUAGAUCUUCUCCUCCACACCCUGAAAAGCAUGACCACCCUGACAAGAAAGUAAAGGUAAAAAAAUGAUAUUUUGUGGGUGAAUAUGGCAUCAAACACAAAUGCAGAACUAUGCCAGAGUAAAGAUGGAUUGGUCGGGUCUGAUGAAGGUAUUGGGUCACCAGUUGCUAUUCUUUGUGAUGAACUGCGCAGGAUGAGUGAAAAUGCUGAAAGGUCACAAAUUCGGAAGUUGACUCAGUUUUUUUCAAAUCAGGCUCGUUGUACUGAGAAAGGAAAUAAAAGAAAGAAUACUCCUUCAGAACGGGCUCAGAAGGGAAUUUCCUUUGCAUGGCCACUUUGGCAUGCAAAUCUUAAUGGCCACCACGUGUCACCUCCUUCUAUUUAUCUCAUUUCACCAUCCUUAGUUUUGAAAAUAAUUUUCCAAAUCCCUUUAUUCAAAUAACCUUUUGGAUUUUAAUCUUUUUAAAUAAUCUCAACUCCACAUGUUCCUUUAUCAAAAAUUCCAUUUUUUUAAAUAGAAUCUUGUCCAAUAUUUGGUUGGUGAUGGGAUAUAAUAAACUAUCUCAUCACUUAUCCUAUCCUAUAUUCAACUCAAUAUAGGAUAGCAUAAGUGGUAGGAUAUAUUAUCCACCAUUUUUUUUUCAUCCUUUUCACAUGUAAUAUGUUAAUUUUAUGGUACAUACAUAUCCCAUUAUCAAAAAUUUAUUUAUUUUUUUUUUGCUUUUUUAAUACUCAUUUUACAAAAUAAAUUUUUAAUUAUAAAAUAAUUUUAUGAUUAAAAAAGAAAAACUAAAAAAAUAUCUAUAAAAUAAUAUUAAUAUAUAAUAUAUAAAUUAUUUUUAUAUAUGAAAUAACAUAAUAUAAAAAAUAAUUAUUUGUAAAAUUUAAAUAUUUUAAUCAUAAAUAUUUUUAAACAUAACAAAAUUUUCAUUUUUUUAAAUAGAAAAUAUUUAAAUGUGCUAUAAUUUUUAUUUUAAACAUUGAAAAUAAUAUAUAUUUCAUAUUAUUUUUUAUUCAUUUCACAAAUUAAAUAUAAAUAUGAUAUAACAUAUCUCAUUAGAUUUCCUACCUUAAAAUAUUACGUCCAUAGGCUAUGUAUUGGAUAGGAUAUGCAUAUCCUAUCCAAUGAGAUAUGACAUCUCCUAGGAUAUGUAUUGGAUAGGAACACUCCUUUUGGUAUAAUAGAGUGAUUGGAACCCUCAAAUAUUAUGCUAGAGAUUAUCCCAUUAAAAUACAACUUGAUUGUUUUGAGACUGAAGUGCAAUAAAUAAAUAACAUUUGAACAAAAGUUAAUUACCAUAUUAGUCCAAAAUGCAUACCUCAUAUAAUGUGUUAUGUUUCAAGAUUUGAGAAUUCAUAACAUCUAUUAAUUCAAAUUAGAUCAUUGAGCUUUCUCAAAGGAUUAAUUCUUUGGUGCAAAUAUAUUAUAGAGGAUAGAAACUAUAUAUAAUUAUUAAGUCUCAACAGUUCUUAUAUCUAUAUCUUGAAGUAUGAUGUAUGAUUAGUUCCAUCACUCCACUGGAUGUUUCCAACUACUCGUCGUCACAUUUCAAUCCAUCACGUAUAGUCUUCAUAAGUUCAUCUCUAUCCUAUAACAUUUUCCCACUUGAAAUAUUUAUAGAGAUAGUUUUAAUUUUUUUUUAUAGUAUAAGAAAAUAUAAUAUCAAAAUGAUCUAUUCUCAACACAUGAACAAUUCAAAAGAUUGAUAAUAGAGUUCAAGUACUUUUUCUUUUUCUGGUCUUAUCUUAAUUUAAUAUAACUUGUAAUGAAAGCUUAGAUUACAAGAUUUCAUGCUUUCUCUGCUACUCUUAUGGAUGUUGCCUCCAACAGCUAUUCCAACAUUGUCCAAUGCCACAUCAAUAAUGAGUAAGUUUUACAUUUUUUUCUCGUAAGAUUGACCUUUUUACAAAUCUCUAGCUAUUGCCUUUGUGCCAAAAAUUCAAGACUAUGUGACAUUUAGAUUAAGAAGAAGAAAAUUGACUUGUACAAAUUUUGAUUUUCUAUAUAUGUAGAGGUAAACCUUUGGACUAGUCCUAGAACAAACUUUGGGUAUACUUAUUAAUGGUAAUCUAAAAACUCGAAUGGAUAUUGUCCAUCUCUAUUGCGUUUCAAGCCAAACUUUUGUUGGGUGGAGUGUCAUAUACAUUGUUUUAUAUCUCACAAAUUAAUUAAUUUUAUUUCAUACAUAUGAGUUCUAAUCUUAUAGGUGAAUAAUAUUUCAUUCAAGUUUGCGAGCAAAGACAACACAUAUGAGUUCUAAUUUUUUAAUAUAUUAAUAAGCCAUAUAUCAAACUUUUAAUGUAUCUGAAAUAAAAAAAUAAAAAAUAAAAAAAUAAAAAAAGAAGAAGAAGAAAAAACCCUAAAUAUUAGUUAAGUUAUAUUAUUAUUAGGAUUUAGUUGUUCCAUAAAUUAUAAAAUUUUAAAAACUUCUUAUCAUCAUAAUAAAUCAAGUGGUUUUUAAUUCACAAAAAGGAAAAAUAAAAGUUGGACAAGUAUUUUGUUUUUGUUUUUUUUUUUUUACUAGAGUAUACAUUUAACAAUAUUGGUACUUUUUGUACCUAAAUGUUUUCAAUCUUACACAUACAUACAUACACACAUACAUACAUACAUACAUACAUACAUAUAUAUAUAUAUAUAUAUAUAUAUAUAUAUAUAUAUAUAUAUACAAAGUGGGUUUGAUAUGAUUUCAAUUAAUAAGUAUUUGAUAAUUUCUAUUUGCCAUCAAUAAAAUGAAUUUAUAAGACUCCCUACGUUUGAGGAAAUAUCACCUAAAAUAUACUCAAUGAAUAUUUUGUUGUUAUUUAGAUGAAGUAUUGGAUAUGAUGAAUUUCUCAAAUAAUUUAAUUUAUCUUUAACAAUAGGAUAAUAAUUUAACCCUUUUAAAAAAAAAUGUUAAUUUCAUUAUUUAAUUCUUUUUUCUCUUUCUCUAGUAAAUUAAAGCAAAAAAGAAAUUAUUCAUAUAAAUAGUAUACCUUUAGGACUAAAUUCAAAAUUUCAGUGGACCUAGAUCAUAUCAAAAUACAUCCUCCAUGUCAUAUGUGCCAACAUCAAGAGCAAGUUUGCAAUUAAAGCAUUCCAAUUUUAAAUUUUAAAUUUCAAAAAGAAUGUCAAAUAUCAAAUAAGUAAAAUCCUCUCUAAAUUUUCCUAUCAAUAGAGGAGCAUUCUUUUACAUCAAAAGGAGGGAAAGGAAUUGGGCAAAUUGAGGCAAACCUCAUUAUUGAUUAGAAGGUUUCCUUAUAGUCUACAUCCUCUCUUUGAAUGUAAUCUUUGGCCAUGAGUCAAGCAUUAUACCUCUCUAUUGAACCAUCUAUCUUUCAUUUGACCUUGAGAACCCACUUGCUCCUAAUUAUCUUAGAAGAGAAAAAAUGAGUCUCAAAAUAAUUCUAAAUCAAGUAAGAGAGGUUAGAAUUGAAAAAUAGAAAAGGAAAUUCCAAAUUAGGCUAAAAAUGAGGACGAGGUAAUAUUUCAACUAAAAGAAAUAAUAAAUCUCAUAUAUAAUAUUAUAAUUAAAGAGAAAUAUGGUCAUUGCAAGUUAAAACGUAGGGCUUGGAGAUCGAAUGAAAGAAAUUUUUAAGCUAAUGCUAUAAAAGGUAAAAGUGAAAAUUUAGAGACCUUGUUAUUAGUUAUAGUGUUGGAAAGAAUGAAAACAAAAGUACAUGGUUUUUGGAUUCAAUCUAUAGUAGUCAUAUGUGUGGUAGGGAAGAGAUGAUUUCCAAGUUAGAUAAGACUUCUAAUUUAGAGGUAUAAUUUGGAAAUGAUAUAAUAGUACUAGUUAAGGAUAAAGGUAAGAUUUUCAUUCAAUUAAAUAAAGGAUCCUAAAAUUUUAUCUCUAAUUUGUUGUAUGUUAAUCCAUGUCUUCAUCAAAAUCUAUUAAGUAUAAGGCAACUUUUACAAAAAAAUGGUUUGAUAUGUGGAUCUAUAUGGGUGUUCAUACCAUUAACAAUGAUUAGAAAUGACUACUACCAAAGCUAAAUAUGAUACAAAAUCAUUUAUUUUCGUUAAAUAUUAAUUGUGGAUAAUUAACUUUCUUUAGCUCUAUAGUUGAUGAUAAAAUUUAGUUAUUAUACUCAUUUUUUAGAUAUUUAAAAUUUGGAAGUCUAAAAUUACUUGCUCCUAAGAAGGUUUUUGGGUUGUCUUCUAUUAAUUCUCUAAAUGAGGUUUGUGAAACAUGCAUUGGAGCUAUUUCAAAGAUUGGCAAUCCACCUAAAGUUGAGAAGUUAGAGCUGAUUCACACAAAAGCGUGGAGGCCAUCACUGGUUUCAUCUCUUAGAAGAUCAUUGUACUACGUCACCUUGAUUGAUGACUCUACUAAGAAGGUAUGGGUUUAUUUUUUGAAAAAGAAAUCAAAAGUUUGUGAUGUUUUUAAAAAAUGGAAAGCCAUGGUGGAGAACAAGAUGGGAUUGAAAGUGAAGCGAUUGAAAUCUGACAAUGGAGGAGAGUACAAAGAUGAGAAGCUUAAAGAGUUUUGUGCAACUAAUGGAAUUAAAUUGGAAAAAAUUGUUCCCAAGACACCUCAGCAGAAUGGUGUAGUAGAGUGCCUGAAUAGAAUAUUAAAUGAACGUGCUAGAAGCAUGAGAAUACACACGGUCUUAUCCAGGAUGUGGUAUUUGGUGUGUUUUGUGCAUUUCAUGUCAUGAUUCAAAAUCAAUUCUUAGAUAAAGUUCAGAUUCUUCGAUCAGAUAAUGGAAGCAAGUAUGUCAACCAAUAAUUUCAAGCUAUUUCAAUUAAAUGACCUUCUUCAUGAAACUUCUUAUACUCACACUCCACAACAAAAUGACAUGGUUGAGCGAAAGGACAAACAUAUUUUAAAAAUGGCACAUGCUUUGUUAAUUGGAGCAAAACUACCUGGUCAACAUUAGGAUGAUGCUAUUGUUAGUGUUGUACAUUUAUUGAAUCGACUGCCCCAAAAUGUAUUGAAGUUUCAAACUCCAUUAGGCUUCAUCUAAUCAUGUUAGCUUACCGUCCAUACUAUUUAUUCCACCACACAUUUGGAUGUGUUACGUUUGUUCAUUUGCAUAAAAAUCAAUGAACAAAACUCAAUCCUUGUGUCAAUCAUUGCAUUUUUUUUCCAGGGUAUGCUACAAAUAGAAAUGGCUACCAUUGCUACAAUUCUACCACCAAAUUUACCUAGCUCAUGACAGAUGUCACAUUUUUGGAAGUUGAAUUUUUUUUUACAUUUCAUCGGAAUCCACUUAUGAUCUUCAAGGGGAGACAUAGGAUGAAGAAUAAUAGCGGAAGGGUUUUAAGGAAGUUAAGGAAAUUGAUCAAGAACUUAGAUCUAGCAAGAUAAUAAGGGGAGGAAAUGAGGUUGUAGCAAUAAAACAACAUAAGGAGAAUAGCAUAGAAAAUAAGGACGAAAGAAAUGGAAAUGGUGGCAACAAUAGGGAGGAAGGUGAAUUUAGACCCUCUAGCAAAAAACCCCUCUCCCUCACGUACCUAAGAAUUGUUCUCCAAAGAAUAUUCUUGAAGUAAGAUCCCUUGUAUCAUCUUCUAGUCAUGCUUUAGAUACUCCAACUAGUUAUCACUUACCUUUCAAGCAUAAUAGAGGUAAACCUCUAGUUCGAUACUCACCAAAUGUUGAAGAGAAAGAAUCAAAGUACCUGAUUGUUAAUCACGUAACCACCUAGAUACUAUUUGAGCCUCUUAAAGCCUUUAUGCACAAAUUGUUCUCUUGUCAUGUUCCUUGUGGAGUACAUGAAGCCUUAGUAGAUUCAAAAUGGGACUAAACAAUUUAAGAGGAAAUGAAGGCACUACAAAAGAAUAAGAUAUGGGAUCUUGUUUCACUACUGAAGGGAAAGAAAAUAGUAGGGGGUAAAUCAGUGUUCUCCAUUAACCAUAAGGCAGAUAGGUCUAUUGAGCAAUCUAAAGAAAGGCUUGUAGCCAAGGGAUAUACACAAACAUAUGACAUAGACUAUCAAGAGACAUUAUCACCAGUUGAAAAACUAAACAUUGCUAGAGUUUUACUAUUUCUAGUAGCAAAUUUAGAUUGGCCUUUACACCAAUUCGACGUGAAGAAUGUCUUUCUUCAUGGAAACAUUGAGAAGGAGGUGUAUAUGGAUAUUCCACUUAAUUACAUUGCAUCAUCAAGCAUUGGAGUAGUAUGUAAGUUGCAACGAGCAUAUAGACUGAAAAAGUCAUCUCAAGCAUGGCUUAGUCGUUUUGGCCUGGCUAUGAGAAAAUAUGGUUUUCAACAAAGUAAUUCAAAUCAUUUUUUUUUCUUUUUGUUUUUUUUUAACAUGAACAAGGAAAGAUUACUACCUUGAUAAUCUAAGUGGAUGGUAUGAUUAUCACAAGAGAUGACAUAGAAGAAAUUUCCUAGCUUCAGAAAUAAUUGGAACCAAAUUUGAGAUGAAGAAGCUAGGAGGACUAAAAUGCUUUUUUGGGAAUAGAAGUAGCCAAAUCAAGCCAAGGUAUAUUUCUUCCCCAAUGAAAUCAUGUAUUACACUUAUUAUCUAAAGUGGGAAUGGUUGAUUGCAAGCUAAUUAAUACACUAAUUGUUCAAAAUCACAAACUUGAGGAACAUUUAGAUCGAGUGCCAACCAAUAAAGAGAGAUGCAAAAUAUUAGUGGGUAAACUAAUCUAUUUAUCUCAUACUUGUUUGGAUAUUGCAAUUAUGUUGUCAGCCUAAUAAUCUAAUUCAUGCACAAUUCUAGUGAAGAUCAUAUGGGAGCAGUAAUUCGAAUACUCACCUGCUUAAAAUUAACCCCUGGUAAAGGACUCGUGUUCUCUAAGAGUCACCAUCUCAAUGUUGAUGGCUACUCAAACAUAGAUUAGGCAAGAACUACUGAUAGAAAGUUGACAUUUGGGUAUUUAACCUUUGUUGGUGGUAAUUUGGUUAUAGGGAGAAGCAAAAAGUAGAAGGUGGUAGCAUUGUCUAUUGUCUAAGCAGAGUUCAAAGGAAUUCCAAGGGACUUUGUGAGCUUCUUUGGCUUAGGAAGUUGUUAACCGAGAUUGGGUUUGCACCAAUGAUAGAAAUGAAUUUGUUUUGUGACAACAAGGCAACUAUUGAAAUUUCUCAUAACCUGAUUCAAUGUUGAGGUGGAUCAAAGUCUUAUCAAAUAGAAUCUUGAAGAAAAAUUCAUUCAGUUUCCUUUUGUGAUGUCAAAAGAUAAACUCACAAAUAUGCUUACAAAGGUUAUUUCAAGUAAAAGCUUCCACAACUCACUAGACAAGUUGGGCAUUAGAGACAUCUAUGCACCAACUUAAUGGGGAGGGUUAGUGUGAGUUGUAAUUCCUUUUCUAAUUUAGAGUGAUUAUAGAACUAAUUAGUUGUCAUAUUCAUUGUAAAUUCCUCGCAUUCUAUUAGCCUAAUUUCCAGCCUAGAAUUUUCUUUUUCCUUUACUAGUUCUUUAUUGCUCGGUGAACCACUUCUAUAUAAGGGGUGCACUCAUGUAAACAAAACAUAGAAAAAAAAUAUAAUUGCUCAGAUUUAUCAUAGUAAGGAUUUAUCAUAUAUAUAUUGCUUUAUAACUCAUAAAUUAAUUAAUUUGAUUUCAUACACAUGAGUUCCAAUCUUAUAGAUGAAUAAUAUUGCAUUCAGGUUCGUGAGCACAGAUAACGCAUAUGAGUUCUAAUUGUUUAAUAUAUGAUAAGCUACUGAACUUUUGUAUGUCUUUAUAAUUUAAAAAUGAAAAAGGAAUAAACCUUAAAGACUAGUUAAAUUAGCUUACUAUAAGGAUUUAGUUUUUCCAUUAAUUAUAAAUUUUUAAAAACUUCUUAUCAUCUUAAUAAAUUAACUAGUUUUUAAUUAAAAAAGAAAAAGAAAAAUAAAAAAUUGGACAAGUAAUUUUAUUUUGGAAUUAGGAACCUUUUUUUUUUUAUCAAACAUCGUUGAAUAAUUUUUUUUUUUAUAUCAUUUUUAAAUAAGUACAUGAGUUAAAAAUGGGUACUUCAAUUAUAAAUAGUUUACAAUUCAAUUAGAUCUCAUAAUACAGAUCUUUUAUAUAUAUGUUAAUGAAUUAGCUCAUUAUAUUCAUUUAUUAAUCUUGAUUUAGGCUAAUAGUGCCCUACCAAAAAAAAUGUAUCCUAUAUCACAUUAAAGAAUUCUAUUUAGAGAAUUUUUAAAUAAAAGAAUUUAGUUAAUAACUAUUGUUCAUAAAAUCUUUUGCCCUAUCCCUUUCAAAAUUUAAUCUCUUUGAUCAUUUUCUAAUAGAUCAAUAAAAAGUUGCUUUGUCAUAAACAAAUAUAUAAAUAACAUUAAAAAAAAAAAAUAAGAAAGGAACACUCCUUUAGCGUAAUAGAGUGACUGGAGUCCACAAAUAUUAUGUCAUGUGCAACAAUUUUAAUUUAUUUAUUUAAGAUAUUUUGGCUUAUUGAGUUAGUUCAAAUAACUAGCAGUAGUGGGCUAGAGAGUGGGUAACGUGAGCUAUUCUUUAGCUAGCUAUUUUUUAGUAAUUGUUGAGUUAUAAAUUUCCUUAUUCUUGAGCAAUAAAACCAUCAAAUGAAAAACUUCCAAAAACUUGUCUUUGUUUUCUACUUUCCAAAUUCUUUCAAUACUGCAAAUAUUUUGUCUUAGCAACAUAGCUUGAGGGCAAGGUAGGGGGAGAGGAAGGGGACAGGAUCGUGUCAUUAACUUAGAACGUGAUAGAGUGGUAUCAGAGCUAAGUGUUUGGGUGAGUGUUUGAGUGUUGACACAAGUUAUAAAGCCCUUAAUGAAUUGUGAAGUUAUCAAGUUGUAAAUUCAUAAAUAAAUUGUGAUGUUACAAUAGGUGUAAAGUCACCAAUAAAAUUUGUGAAGUUGAAGAAAGUUGAAAAAUGCCAUGAUUUAUUGGUGUGUCAAUAAAAGGAUGAAAGUGCAUUAUAGUUUCAGUACCUUUUUUUUUUCUUUUCCAUUUGUUGGAAGAUAGUCUUCCUAUUUUCCUUUCGUAUCAAAAAUUCUAAUUUUCUAGUACAAGACUAGAAGGGCAUGUAUGUGAGCUUGUGGAGGGUUUUGUACUUGUGAAACUAAAGUAAGGUAAAAGAAUAUUUUACUUCUUGUUUCUAAAUUAAUGCAUCCACAUAUGAAGAUCCAGGGGUAAUUAUAUUUAAGGAUUUAUUUCAAGUUUUUUCUAAUACUAACCCAAAACCACAUGCACAGUAAAGAAAAGGUGUUGUUGAAUAGACUUGCCUCUCUUUUCUCUCAUAGAGAGAGAACUAGAAAGUAUUUGACAUCAUCCUAAAAGAAAAAUUAACAUAUAUUCAAAAUGAUAUCUUAUAAUGAAAACUAUUUAAUAUAAGGUUUUGAUUGUCAAAACUACUAAAGUUGUUCAUCCAAAUUAUUCAAAAUACUUUAAUUUUCUUGUAAAAGUAAAAUAAAUGUCAAGAUAUUUUACAUAUUCUAAAGAUCAAUGAUGACCACAACCAAGGCAAAACGUGUUGGUGAUUCAAACUUAAUCGAUCUUUUUAUUUUUGUAGCAUGAAUUAUUCAAAAUCAAUUAUGUAUGUGAAUUGUAAAAAUAAAAUAAAAUAAAUUAAAAUAAAUCAAAUCAAAUAAAUAAAAAUAUCUACUUCCCACUUUAUGUCUGAAUUGUUGCUUCUUCAAAAUACAAUGAAUGAUAUUGAAAUAUUUAAAAGCAUGACUUCAAUAAUUUACCUUAUUAAUUUACUUCCUUUGUGGGACACUAAGUUUGAUCACAGAAUAGAUCUACGGUGGGAACAGAUUUUUUUGAAUCAAAUGUUUGAAUAUGACUGAUGACUCUACUCACAUGCAUCAGCUUUUUUAUGCGUUGCAACGAGCCAAGAGCAGAAGCCCUUUCCAAAUUGCCAAAUUGUGUAUUUGUGUGCAUGCUUGUUAUGAAGGUCUAGUGUUCUGCCAUGGCUUUUCCGUGUACAUGCUGGCAGAGGAUGCUGCCAUGGCUUCCAUUUCUAAGGAUGGCUAUGACAAAGAUCAAAGCUCUUAAUGAUGUAAUCAUAUUUGUACAUCUAUUGGGAGCUUACUGUGAUUAGAUUACACAGAUCAAAAUCUUCUGAUAGAUUAUAGAGUUUCUUGCUUUUACUUGUUUCUGCUUAUUAACAAUCAGAAUUGGUUGCUAUAAGUUGCGACAAUGGCUAAGGAUUUGUUCGUACUCCAGGCUUCUUCUGGGAAUCAGGAUUUUUGUUCUGAUGAUUUGACUUGGUGGAACCAGAUCAUUGCCCUCGUUGUCCUUUCUUUUUCAAUGGGCAUUCAAAAGAUUGGCCGUCAUGUAUCAGGGGUCAGUAGUGAUUGUAGACGGGUUUCUUAUUCUUCCAAUGUUGAUAACAUGGUAUUGGAGGAGAACCAAGCCUCAGGGACAAGCUUCGAGGAUGACUCUGAUGAUUGUGAGUUUGAGGAAGUGAGGUGUGAGCUUGGCGUGGUAGAAGGUCAGCUUUGCAACAUUCCAUUUGAGCUUUACGAUCUACCAGAUUUAAGAGAAAUAUUAUCUCUGGACACAUGGAAUUCGUGUUUAACAGAAGAUGAAAGGUUGAUAUGGACCAACAGACUUUUUGGUUGACUAUGAAGGAACUCCUUGUUGGUAGUGAUAUAUUUUUUGGCAGUCCCUUGGAUAUAUUCUUCAACAGAUUGAAAGGUGGAUUCUAUCCUCCAAAAGUGGGUUGUUUUAGAGAAGGUUUAGAAUUCUUGCAAAGGAUAAAGUAUUAUCAUUCUAUGAGAUUUUACCAUGACAACAUGACAUAAAUGUUCAUAAACACGAGGAAGAUAUGGGCUCACUGCAAAAUGAGCACUGGUGUUGAGGAAAGGAUUUAUUUGUAGACAAGGAAAAAACUGUAAACUGAUUCGCUUGAUCUUAAUACAUAUCCUGAGAAUGGGUUUUUAUUAUGUAAAGAGGUGAACCCAGAACCAGUCACAAAUCAAUUGUCAAGGCAAACAGAGUCUGUGAAAAGCAGAAGGGAAAAUGCUUAACUCAACAAACAACAUACUAUGGCACAUGGAGUGGUAUUUUGAGGUCACAACACUAACUGAUAAGGCCACUAAGGUACACACUACAACCCUCUACCCCACUGACAUGAUUACUUUAUGGUGGCGUUUGGAGGUAUGUUGAUAUAGAAAAAGGCACAUGCAUUAUAUACAAAUAAGAUGCCUUUAAAACUAAGUUAGUGCCUAAAACACCUCUCAACACAAGGUUAAUGUACGUAGAAGCCUAUGUGAAUGACAAGCCCACCAAGGCCAUGGUGGACAAGGGUGCCACACACAAUCAUCUUUGUGGAUGAGGUAAAGAAACUAAAGCUCCAUACAUCCAAGGAAGGUCAAUGGCUUAUGGGAGUCAAUUUUGCUACCAAGCCACUCUAAGAUAUUGUAGCAUGAUGGGUUACCCUACAUAUUGACAUUUGGGAAGGCAAGAUGGACUUUAUAGUGGCACUGAUGCACGACUUCAACGUUGUGUUAGGGAUGGACUUCCUAUGCUAGGUAAAGAUAGUGCGACUAUCCUUCCUAUGUUCCAUAAUAUCUUGGAGAAGGAGACACCAUCUGUAGUCCCUAUGGUCACCAAAGGUAUGCUCAAAACCCUUUUGUUAUCAGCUAUGCAAGUGAAAAAGGGGUUAAAGAAGAAGUAGGUGACCUACUUGGCAACACUUAAGGAGGGGAACCCUUACCCAAGGCAAUCCUUGACAAGUUUAAGGGCAUGAUACUGCCUGAGCUGCUUAAAAGGCUCCCUCAAAGAGGAAAAAAGAUCAUCAGAUCAAGUUGGUAGUUAAGCCUUAGCUAGUUGGAGAAGAUAACUUCAUAGAUAUAUCCAAAAUCAUCCUCUACUUCAUAUCUAUUCCAUAUACAAUAUAUUUGUUAUUGAGACUGUAUUUGAUUCUUUAAAAGUUUAAAGAAAAAGAAAAAUAAGAAAAAGUAUUAAUUUCUUUUUCAUGAAAAAAUCAAGAGAGAAAAUUAAACAUUUAAAAGAAAAAAAAAUACAUUUUUUCAACUUUUCUUAUGUCUAAUUCUAAGCAAAGUGAGAAGAAAUUAAAACUAUGUAGCAUAUUUCUCUUUUAUUUUUGUGAUAUUUUCCUUAUCUUUUCUUUAUAUUAUUUAAACGUAAGAAAAUUACUUUCUUUUAUGGUCUUAUUUGUCUCUUUUUGAUACUUUUUUAAGAAACCAAAUACCCUAAAAAAAUUAUUGAAAUGAUUAAAUAUUCGUAAGAUUGAAUUUGAUUUAAUACCUAUUUAUAUAUGGAGACCAUGCUGCCGUGUAGUUGUCGAUAGAUGACUUGAUUCAUUCCCACUCGGUUCAACCUUGAAAACCUAGGCCUAGUUAAACCAUCUUUCUCAGAAAACCACAAUGCCACUAGUCAACCGUCACCAGGGACUACAAAUCAACAAAAACGAUACAUAUAAAACAAAAAUGUUCCAUUCCUUGUUUGAAAAAUGGGAUUCACUUGUAGGAAAAUCCUCUUCAUGAUGCUAUUUACUUUCCUAGUUUUCUCAAGUUGGAGGAUCGGAGAAGUUGAAGCAAUGAGGUCUUUGCAUGGCGGAGAGAAAUGGGCCGAGAGAAAUGGUUUGUUGCGUCAGUCCCUACAGGCGGGUCGGUGCCACCAUCUGGUCCCGGUCCGUGCAUACACAUCCCUGGACAGAGAGGAGGCAGGUGCGCCUUAAAUGAAAUGAACGUAGCUGGCCGCGUUGGGCUUGUGCCGCCUGCAUUUCCCAAAUUUGUGAUAGAUGUUGUUGUGGCUUCCGUUGCUUAGGAUAACCAUGCUCAAGAUCGAAGCUCGUAGGCUUGGCUUUGGAAUUGGGUUAUUGUAGAUGACAAGCUUCUUCUUUUUCUUUUUUUUUUCUUUUUUUUUUUUUUUUUUUUUUUGGGCAUAUGUUGGAGGACCAAUUCUGAAGAAAAGAAAAAGGUAGUCAGGAACUCUCAUAACUGAUGUAACUUCAAAAUGUAUGGAAAUUGAUUUUAUACUUUUUAUUCCAAUGGAUUGUCCCAAAGCUUAAUUUACUCAAAGUUAAAUGGCUUCAAAUCACGUAAGAAAUUCAAUUGAUGGAUUAAUUUUUUUUGCUAAGAAAUUAAGAAUCUUGUUAGGAUGCAACAUGAUUCACGUAUGUUUGGUAAUUCUUUUCAAAAAUAGUUUUUCAUUUUUCAUAACAAAAAAUUGGAAAACAAGUUCGAUAAUUAGAAAAUAGAACAAUGUUUUAAGAAAAUAAAGUAUUUUCAUAAAUUAUUUUAAAAAUAGUUAUAAAAUAUAAAACAAUAUGAUUAAAGAAUAAAGUACGCAGUAUAAAUUAAAUUUAUUUUCAGAACAUAUUUUAAAAUAUAAAAAAUAAAUUAAGAAUAUUUUAGAUUUUCAAAUAAACUUUUAUUUUAUAAAAGAUUAGAAAACAACUUUUGAAAACGGUUUUUCAAAAAACCAAAUUGUAACUCGAGAUUAAGUCAAAAUGAUGCAUCAAAGGUCAUACCUAACUUCAAACUAUGAUUUUCUUAAGAACCCUUUAAUGUUAAGUGUUGUACCAAAGUCAAAUUAAAUUCAACUUAAAUCAAUAAGUAUUAAGUUUUAGUAAACACCCUUUAAUGUUAUAACUUAAAGGUAAAAAUAACUUUAACCAUUAAGUCAAAAUGAUUAACUUAUUUUAAAUAAUCGAUUUCCUUUUGUCCAUAUACACAUCUAAUGAGAAUAUCUUUUAUGUCAAUGCCUCCACCACAUGAUUCAUAUAACUUUUUAACUAAAUAUAUUGUAGUUAUUUUAUGAUUCUACAAGACAUUUAAUAUGAAUGUUUAGCAAAUAAAUUUAUUAUUUAACAAUAAUGAAAGUAAAUAUUAAUGUAAAUUAACAAAGGUAAAUAUUAAUUGAAAUUAAUAAGAAUAAUGCGUUAAUUUGAUGAUUCAAUAAAAAUGUUAACUUUAUUGGAUGACUUUAAUGCUUAAAGUAUAAAUUAAAUAAUAAAUUUUAAGUUAACAAUUUAAAAAUAAUUUAGCUUAAAAUAUAAAGUUUUAUCAAACAUUUUGUAAAUCAAAUAAUAUUUGGACAAUUUUAUGCAUAUGUGAAUAGGAUUGCAACUUGAGUCGGUCCAAUUUGUACCCCACGUAGGGUUCGAGUUGAAGGAUAACCUUUGAAUAAGUCAAGGUUUGACUUGGGUUGGAAAAAUAUCGAUUUAAAAAUAUUAGGAUAGGUGUGGGUUCAAGAUUCAAGCAAUCUACCAAAACCCGAACCCGCACAUAAUUAUUAAUUAUAAAUUGAAGCAAUUGGAAAGUUAUAUAUACCUUGCCAUUAAAAUUUCUUAAAAUUGCACACGCACUUGAGUUCCCAGGAAUCACAAUUUGAUAAUAUAUUGAGUUUUCAUCUAGUAAGAAGAUUCAGGGGUAGAUUGACCCAUAUACAUGGAGAUGGAAUGUUUGCAUGGUCACAAGCCAAGAGACGAUUAACAGUACCUAUAAUUCCAAGUGAUGGUCUUUUCUCUAGAAAUAGGCACAUGAGCACAUACCAUAUGUCUCAUAUACCACCUCAAUGUUAAUCAAAACUCACUUGAUUAAAAAUAAAUAAAUAAAUAAUCAAAGAAGAAAUUAAAAUCCAUCUAUGACUCCAUGUAUUUAAGCAAAGUCAGAAGAGACCAAAUUUUAAGUCGAAAAGGAAGUCAGAAGAGACCAAAUUUUAAUCGAGCUAUGUUGGGAAACUUUAGAAUUGGGUUUGAAUCCAUUUUUAAGUCUUCUAUGUAAUCGACCCUCACUCUCCGUUUUCGUCCUCUCUUUUUUGGAUCACAUGCUGAGAAUGAAAUUACCUUUGAAACGUUCCAUUGAAUUUUGGAAGUCAAAUAAAUAAGAGAGCAUAGUCACAGAAAAUUGCUUCCAAAGUAAUAUCCUCUGCUCCGUAGACCACUCCAUUGAAAUCAACGCUGACCUCUUGAUCUAAAAAUUGGGCUAUAGAUUUUUAUAUUCUUCUAGAGACGAAUACCAUAUUUUUUCAAGAAUUGCAGUCCCUUUCCUAAAAUAUGUGGAGACAAAAAUGAUGAAAAAGAAAAAAAACACAUUAAUUAGAUAUGAAACAAAGAUGCUAAUUUUGGGAUGAGUAGGUAAGGUCGGAGAUGGUUAGACACCGGCAUAAGUCUCAAGACAAGUAAAGCCCAACGAUGCGUGUAUUAUGUGGGAUGAGUCCAACUCCACGGAAAGUUAAGCCUGAAGAAGAAUAUGAUUGAUUGACUGACAUCAAGAUUAAAUUGAUCUUAUUUACAGCAAAUUGGUUUAUAGUUAAUUAAGCCAUUGAUCCCAAUAAGUGAUAUUAAUUACAGCUAGGUCAUGGGUUAGAGUAGCAAGAGCCCCAUGUUGGACAAGGAAAAACCGUAAGGUGAUAGAUUUGCUUGAUCUUAAUACAUAUCCUGUUGAUGGGUUUUUAUUAGGUAAAGAGGUGAACCCAGAACCAGUCCAUGCACACACAUCCCUGGACAGAGAGGAGGCAGGUGCGCCUUGAACCUGCAUUUUCCCAAUUUUGUGAUUGAUGUUGCUGUGGCUUCCGCUACUAAGGGUGGCCAUGCUCAAGAUCGAAGCUCGUAGGCUUGUUUUAGGAGUUGGGUUUUUUGCAUCUCAAUGAUCCCUCUCUUCCGUAUCUAUCCAUUUCCUAAUAAGAUUUAGGUAUGUUUGAUAAUUGCUUUUGAAAAUAGUUUUCUAUCUUUUAUAAUAAAAAACCGGGAAACAAGUUUGAUAAUUAGAAAACAAAACACAGUUUUAAGAAUACAAACUAUUUUAAAAAAUUAUUUUAAAAAUAAAAUGGUAAAAAUAAAAUUUAUUUUAAGAAUAUAUUUAAAAAUAUAGAAAAUAUAGAAAACAAAUUAAGAACAUUUCAAGUUUUCAAAAAAACUUUUGCUUUAUAAAACGUUUGAAAACCAUUUUUAAAAACUGUUUUGGAAAACCAUUUUUCAGAAUUAUUUUUUAAAACACCUCUUGAAGAAAGCCUUAGUCUUACAAAUUUUUAUUUUGACAUGAAUGUCAAAUUUCUAUUAGGAAUAAACAUAUAUCAAAGCUUUAAUUUUGUGCAACCAAAUUUGACUUAUUCUCUUGCUGCAUGUGGCUAUCACUAUCCAAUUCAUUGAGAUAAAACCAGCCACUAAAUAGAGAUUUUGGGAAUUAUUUUCAAAAUAGGGACAAGUAGAAAUUAAUUCUCCUUGAUAUACUAUAAAUUAGAGAGAUAUUUUAUAAAGUAAUAGAAUACUAAAUUAAAUAGAAGUUAGAUCAAACAAUUGUAAGUCAAGAGAUUAAGUCAAAAUGAUGCAUCAAAGGUCAUACCUACUAUUAAGAAAACCUACUACUGAAAAACAAUUGAAAAACCUAAUACUAGUCGUCUUCAAAAUGUCUUAGCAGUAGGAUGGUAAGGAUUUUGAUUGAAAAACCUACUAUUCCUAGUGUCCGAAAUGCUUGUCUUAUCAGGACAAAUCCACCCUAUGUUGAUAUAUAUAUAUAUAUAUUCUACUUUCCAAUCAAAGUAAAUCACUGAUUAAUGGACUAUCAGCAGAUGAUAAAUGAAUUUAGAGAAAAUUUAAGGCAUCCUAGAUGUCCAUCGAAAAAGAGUAGUUCCACGUGUCGCAUUGGGGAAUAUAAUUGGGGAAUAUAUGGUGACAACCUGUCACAUUGGGGAAAAGUAAAGUCUCACGAACUAGCAUAUACAGUCAAAUACUUUUGGACCCACCCUCUUUCCAUAACAAUCUAUUAAAAAUUCAAACUUAAAAUUAAUUUUCAAAAAUUAGAUUAUCAAUAUUCUACCUAUGUAGAUUUAUCAUAAUAAUAAAUUUUAAUUUAAAUAAUUGAAAUGAAAUAGUGCUAAAAUUAAUGUUUAAAUGAUUAAAAAACAAAUAUAUAACCUAUAAGACAAGUAUAAAAACUAAUUUAAUUAAUUAAUUAAUUAUAAAAAGUAUAAAUAAUAAAGAAAUGUAAAAAAUAAUAAUAAAAUUUGAUAACGAAUUUUUAUUUAUUAUAUAUAUAUAUAUAUUAUUAAUAUGAUGAUUUUUCAUUUUUAUUUUUUGAGUUAGGUUUCUUUUUCGAUAUAUAGUUUUUUUUUUUUUUUUAUGUAUAUAUAUAUAUAUAUAUAUAUAUAUAUAUAUAUAUAUAUAUUAUUAAUAUGAUGAUUAUUAAAAAAUGUUAUUUCAAUUUAAAACCCCAAAACCCUAACUCACCCCUCUUCUUUCUUUCCAUCAUCUAGUGGAAAUUUCCUAAAUCCCCAAAUCAUCAUUUCAUUUUUCAUAUACAUGUUUUUUUUCCACAUAAAUUAUUUAUUUAUUUUUAACAUAUACAUAUUCUUUUUUUUUUUUAACACGUAACAUUUUUUCUUACUGUUUUUUUUUGUUCACACACAUGUUUUUUCUUUCUUUGUUUCUGACAUAAUAAUUUUUUGUUUAUCUUAUUUUAUUUAUAGCUUUAUAAACAAAUAAUUGAAUUGGCAAUAUUUUAAUGUUUUAUAAUUUUAAUUUUUAAUUUUUAAUUUAUCUUAUUUUUAUUUUGAAUCUUACAACUAAAAAUAUUUAACUCAAUAAUAUUUUUUAUUUUUUGUACCCCAAAAUUAUAAAUGUGUACAAUAAUUUUUUUCACUAUGGAUAUUGCACAUAAUAUUGUACCAAUAAAAGUGAAAACUUAGAAAUGAAAACGUUAUCCUAAGAACUUCACAUGGUUCAUAAUUUUUUAUAUUAAUUUUUGAGAACUUACUCAUUAUGAUUAAGGUCACUUGAUAUUGCAUAAAGGGGCUCGUGAUCCCCUUUUGUCUCUACGUAUCCAAAGUUUAUGAGGUUUUUCAUUUUCAGUUGAUAUUGCAUAAAAGAGUUCUUUUUGGUCUAGGCUAAUUAAAAAAUUGAAGCGUAAUAAAGUUAAUUAAUUAAUUAAGAGUCAAAUGAGUUUGAUUAAGGGAUCAAAACCCAAGAUGGACUUAAGUUACUUAAGCCCAUAAGGAAAAUCAUAUAAACCCUCUUAAGGGUGUAAGACUUCACUUUUGCAUCCUUAUCUUCUACACUCCAUAAAAGAAAACCCUAACCUCCCUCUAGAAAAGCUUAUCUUUCUCUUAUGCUAGAGAUCUAAGAAAAGAGAGAUUUAGCGGAAGAUCUUUAGGUAUAUGAGAUCUACGACAUCUAUGGUUUACUUUAUCAAAUUAGACUUGAUCUAGGAACAUCCAGAUUGCAAGUAUAUCACUCAAAAUCUCUAGAUAUUUGUUUAUUAUGGUUUUUAUUGUCAUUUUUUUUUUGUCUUAAAUCUAGAAAAUCCAGGAUAGCUUGCAUGCACCCUAUGAGAUCCAUAGGGAACAAAGUAAUCCCGAUUUCCCUACAAAGAUGACUCCAAAACAAUUGUGUAAUAAGGAGCCCCAAAGUUCAAUGCUCUUGACCAUUCUAUGGUACAUAUGAUCAUAAAGAGAGAUUUUUCUUCUCCCAAGUUCAAUUACCCGCUUAAAUUGCCUAAACACACAAAUUUUGACAAUACUUUAAAAUUCCAAGGCAUAUAUUUCUAAUCUAAAUAAUAAGAAAAAAAACGGAGCAACUAAUAGUUCUGAGAAACAAUUAGCAUUUGCUAAACUAGAAAAUGGGUAUUUUAAUGAAGUUGCCAAAUUAAUAGAAGCAUAAAAUCUAAAAUUAAAAUGAUGUUUCAUGCACUUGAUGUAUUUCUAAGUUAGCGCUUAAUUAUGACAGAUCUUAAGGACACGUUUCAUAGGCUAGAUAUAACAUGAUAGGAUAAAAAAUGGAUGAUGCAUUUUAUCUCAUGUUUGAUUGACAAUGAGAUGAGAUAAGUUAUCCAAUCACUUAUUAUAUCCCAUUUUGACCAAACAUCAAGUAGAAUAAGUAUGGCAGGAUAUAUAAUCCCACCUCUUUUUAUAUUCCUUAUGUAUGAAAUAUAUCAUAAAAUGAUAUUAAAAUGUAUAUUAUUUAAUAUAUACAUGUUGUUUUGUAUAUUUAACAACAUAAUAUAAUAUUUUUUAUUUAUAAAAUUUAAAUAUAGUAAUCAUGAACAUUAUUAACAAAGAAAUAAAAAUUUACUUGUUAAAUUAUAAAUUGUAGAAUGUUUUCAAGUUUAUAUUAAAUAUAUAAGAUAUUUUACACUUUUCUUAAUAGUAGAUAUUGUGACACAAUAUAAUUUUUAUUUUAAACAAAUAUUAAAUAUUGAAAUAUAAUAUAUUUUAUAUUUUAUUCUUUUUACAAACCAAAUAUAAGUAGAGGAAAUGAUGUCUUAAGAUAUACAUAUCUUUAUCCUAUCAUCUCCAAUCGAGUAAACAUAUCCUAAAAAUAUGUUUGAUUAGUUGGAUAUAGUAUGUGAUAAGAUAAGAGAUGAAAUAACUUGUCAUAUUUCAAGUUUUGUUAAUGAUGAGAUAGGAUGAUAAAAAUUUAUUUCUAACAAUUGGUUGAUGCAAAAAUCAUUUAUUUGAAGGUUAUAGAGUUCAUUUAUAAUUCUUUCAAUUCUUAAACAUUAAUCUUAUCAACCAUUAAGAGCUUUAAACACCGCCUUGUGUCCAUUUAUUUUCACAAUUUGUUGAAUUGCAUGAUGAGCCUACCCACUUUCUUCUUUGUAAUUUAUUCCAAGUUAACUCUCGUUACCUUAUAUCAAUUCUAUUUUGUAUCUUUACGAGAGAAGAGUGGGAAAUGUGUAGGAGAACAUUUAAAAAGUUGUAAAGGUCCACUGAAACCUUUAAAUCCAAGUGUAUACGAAUUUGAAUGACUUUGGUUGAGGAACCUCUUAGCAUACUAGAAAAGUCUCCAUGCUUAAGAAAAACCUAGAAACGAAUUUAAGAGGUUGUCAAACUUUGCACCUUGGUAUACUAGAAAAGUCUCCAAGCCUAAGAAGAACUUAGAAGAAGCGAAUUUAAGCGGUUGCCAAACUUUGCAUAACUUCUACUAUUGUGUGAAAAUUGAUCAACACCUAAUUCACUCUAUCCCCCUUCCACUCACCUUAUGACAAACAUAUCAAAUUCAUUACUAAUGAAAGAGUACUUUAUAAAUAGAUCCAUAUUCUUUAUUGGAAAAGAUUAUAGGUUUUGGAAAAUAAGAAUGACUUGGUUUUUAAAACAAGUGAAGUAUGAUUUGUAGAAAGUCAUUUAAAAUAGCUCUCAUGUCCCAACUAAAUUAAAAAAAAUAGAGUUAUUAUUCCAAAACCAUGUCAUGAGAGAGAUAAAUGUGAUAAAAAAAAACUCAAUUAUAUGUUACAAUCAUCUACCAUCUCUAUUACAUCAUUGGUAGAAACGAAAAUAAUAGAGUAUAUCAAUAUAAUUGACUAAAAACAAUAUGAAGAUUAUUCGAACUUAUGAUGAUUAUAUCUCGUGUCACAACUUAGAUUAUUCGAACAUAUAUUAUAAAGUGUGUCAAUAUAUAUUUCAUAUCUCAAUUUAGAAUUAUUAUAUUUGGAAUAUAAAAAAAGAUUGGAUAAAUUUAUCUCCAUCCCAUAUUAUAUAUGAAUUUAUUGAAGUUUAUCAUAAUUCUACUUUGGUAAUCUAUACCAGGUGUCUUAUAGAGGGAAAAUAAGAAGGGAAUAAGAAGAAAAAUAAGGAAGGAAUAAGAAAAAGUUGGUAUACUAGUGAGGAAGGAAAUGCAAAGGAAAUAUAAAAAGAUAAAAAGAUUGAAAAAAUAUGGUAGGUAAUUAAAAUAGCAUAUUCAUGGAAAAUAAAAUAAAGUUGAAUAAUUUUUAUUUUUAUUUUUAUUUUUAAUUUAAGUCUUUAAUGGUUUGUUUGAAAAACAUUUUUACUUAUUUUAUCUCAAUUAAAUAACAUUAAUAAAGUAUUUUAAUUAAAAAUAAAUAAAUUAUUUUUAUUUAUUACUUAAAGUUAUUUUUUACUUUAAAUCAUACUAUUAAAUUAUUUUAUCAAAUAUAUUUGAUUUACAUGAUAAUUUAAAUUAAAUUAUUAAAUUAUUAAAUACUACUUUACUGGCGAAAUUGUACCAUAAAGUCACAUGUAAUGGUACUAUAAGAGUAAAUCUAGAAUAAUGGGUCAAAAUAGCCUUCCGCUGAAACAUAAUGUUCAGAAUGGCCUACUUUUCAAACAAUUGUUCAAAAUAGCCCUUUUGAGUCCACGUCAGCAUACAAAGUAAUUUUUUAUUCUUUUUAUUUUUUACUUUCCUAAACUUCAGCUGCAUUUUUUCUUUCCCAAUCCCAAACUUCCAUCCGAGCUGCUCUCUUCUCCCGUGCUCUACAUGUGGUUUUUUCGUUAAAAACCCUAGCCCCACCAAUGGGCCACUGAAGGAGACGUUGGAGCUACAACUUCCAUCCGAUCUGCUCUCUAUUCCCAGUCCGUGCUCAUUUUUCCUUAAAAAUCCUAGCCCCACCAGUGGGCCACUGAGGGAGACGUUGGAGGUUGAGGUUAGUGUUAAUUUUUUUUCAGAUCUAAGCUUUUUUUUAUCAUGUGUUGUUAGUAUUUUUAUUUUUCCCAUUGGAUGCUGAGAAAAGUGGGAAACGAGAAUGAAAAUAGGAAGAAAAAUAUUCUUGAUUUUUCCCGUUUCUCAGUUUUGAUUUAGGGUUCUUGAAAUUUAAAUCCAAUGGCACAACAGCAAAGAUACCCCUAAAACGGAUCCAGAAAACACAGAGAGCAAAAGAAAAGCAAUUUUUUUGGUUUUCCUUGGGGGUUUUGCAUGGAUUUUCUCGGAAAUCAAACAAGGAUGAAUUUUCCCAGAAAUCGAAUGGGGCCUGGAUUUUAUUGGGAAUCAAAGGGGGGUUGCAAAAAAAAUAAUAAUAACAUGAUUAGAUUAGUACCUGCGAGGAUUGAGAGUGGCAGAGUGAGAGAAGGGCUUUUUUAGGGAUUCUCCCGGCUGGAGGGCAACUUCAGAAAAGGGGUUCUUCAUGCCCGAGUGAGAGAAGUGGGUAGCCUUUUGAUUUUUAGAUUUAAUAGAGUUAAAAAAAAAAAAAAAAAACAAAUCAUGAGAACAAUUUUAUCUCAUCUUAAUAGAAUAUAUUAUAAUUUUUAAUAAAAUUAAAGAUUAAAUAAAAAAGAUAUUAAUAAAAAUAAUUUUAUCAUAUUAUUAUUAUGAAAUUUUCCUGUGGAAUUAUUAUUAUGAGUUUGCUUUGGUAUUGGUACAUCAGCUUAUCACUUUUCCUAUGGAAUUAACUGAAUUUACUAAAUUUAUAUUAAUAUUACUAAAUUUUCCUAUUGAUAUUAAGUAAAUUACUAAAUUUAUAAAAUAUUUAUAUAUUUGAAUAUUUAAAUGAAUAAAUGAAUAUAAGAAUUAAAGUUUGAAGGUGUAGUAGAGUCAUUUUUAUAAAUAUAUCAUAUUUAAAUACUUCACUUUUAAAUAAAUUUUAUAAAAUAUAGUGUUAUUUAUUUUUAUUUUCAUAUUUUCAAUUGCUAAUUUACUUAAUAUCUUGUUUUUGUUAAAAAAAUAUUAUUUAAUUUCAUAACAAGUCAACAUAAUACCACAGUUAUGCGUGAUGUUCAUUAAUCAAUUAUCAAAUUUCAAUUAGAAAAAUUUCUCUUUAUUUAUCAAAAAAAAAAAAGUCAAUUAGAUAAUUGCUGGCUUUUGAAUAAGACAAGGGGACCCAUCCUAGUAAUUGUUAAUUAUUCAAAUCAAAAGGGUAGUUGGUUGGUUUGAAAUUUGAAACUUUGGAAUUGGAAUAGUUGUUUUAUUGUUUGUUUUUUAUAUUGAUCGGAAAAGUCAAAGUAAAUACUUAAUAAUGGAUGAUAAUAAUAUAACUAUUGAAACCUUGGAAUAUCUUGAUUCACUUGAGGUAAGUUAAGUUGCUAACUAGUCAUGGUUUCACUUUUCAUUUAUUUUUCAUCCUGCUUAGAACUCUUUGACAGUGUUAAGUUCAUCAAGAAACUUAUUGUAUCAUCAUGAUCAUUAUGAGUCAUUCAAAAGAUGAAAAUACGUACUUUCAUUAACAUUAAAUUUCAUUAGUGCAGAUUGACACAUCUACUCAGCUAGAUUUACCGCUAGUCAUUCCGAGGGGUAGGCGGGGCUUACGUCGACCUAGAUUGCUACCUCCUCCACCACCUCUAUUUCCAGCUCUAACCCCAUCACAGACAGAUGUUCUUCAUGUGUCACAUGCAGUACCUGCUAUAGUUAGAGAGGGGCGUCCAAAAAGGAAGAGAGUACUAGUUACACAUAGGUUCUCUCCUUGUGGAGGCAUGUGAGAUUAUAUAUGUUUUUUAUUUUCCACUAUAUUAAUGUUUAGUGGAUAUUUUUUGUGACUUUAAUUAAACUAUUAAAAAUUACAUUUUCUAGUAGACUUUUUGUAAUUAAUUUCAUUAACUAAUUUUGUAAAAAAAUCUAUAUAUGACAACUACGGCUUAAGAGUAUGUUAUUAUUUUGUUAAAGAUAAAUUUGUCAUAAUAUAAAUAAAUUAAUAUCUUAAAAAUUAACAAAUUAAAUAUCUUAAAUUAAUAAAUUAUAUAAUUUUAUAUAUUAUUUAUAUGUUAUAUAAAUUUAUUAUUUUAAGAUUAUUAAUUUAUUAAUAAAUCAAAUAUUCAUUUAUAAUAUCUUCUAUUUAUCAAUUUAUGUUUGUUGAAAUAAUACUAGAUUUUUAAGUUUAAAUAUAAAUAAUUUUUUAUUUAAGUAUAUUUUUAAAAUUUCAAUCAUAAAUUGUCAUUUAAUAGUUUUUAAUUAAAUUUGAAAGUAAAAAAAAUAUUAUAAUUGAAAUCUCAGUUAUUAACUAUUAUACUAUUAUUUCGAUAAAGAUAAAUUUAUCAUAAUAUAAAUAAAUUAAUAUCUUAAAAAUUAACAAAUUAAAUAUCUUAAAUUAAUAAAUUAUACAAUUUUAUAUAUUAUUUAUAUGUUAUAUAAAUUUAUUAUUUUAAGAUUAUUAAUUUAUUAAUAAAUAAAACAUUCAUUUAUAAUAUCUUCUAUUUAUUAAUUUAUGUUUGUUGAAGUAAUACUAGAUUUUUAAGUUUAAAUAUAAAUAAUUUUUUAUUUAAGUAUAUUUUUAAAAUUUCAAUCAUAAAUUGUCAUUUAAUAGUUUUUAAUUAAAUUUGAAAGUAAAAAAAAUAUUAUAAUUGAAAUCUCAUUAUUAACUACUAUACUAUUAUUUCGAUAAAGAUAAAUUUAUCAUAAUAUAAAUAAAUUAAUAUCUUAAAAAUUAACAAAUUAAAUAUCUUAAAUUAAUAAAUUAUACAAUUUUAUAUAUUAUUUAUAUGUUAUAUAAAUUUAUUAUUUUAAGAUUAUUAAUUUAUUAAUAAAUAAAACAUUCAUUUAUAAUAUCUUCUAUUUAUCAAUUUAUGUUUGUUGAAGUAAUACUAGAAUUUUAAAUUUAAAUAUAAAUAAUUUAUUAUUUAAGUAUAUUUUUAAAUUUCAUUAAUAAAUUGUAAUUUAAUAAUUUUUUAAUUAAAUUUUAAAUUUAAAUAAAAAUGAACUAAAGCCGCAGUUGCCAACUGCGGCUUUAGUUAAAAAAUGAAGCCGUGUUUGGCAAAUGCGGCUUUAGUAUAAAAAUGAAGCCGCGUUUGCCAACUGCGGCUUUAGUGCAAAAAUGAAACCGAAUUUCCCAACUACGAUUUUAAUACAAAAAUGAAGCCGCGUUUCCCAACUGCAGCUUUAAUGCAAAAAUGAAGUCGCGUUUUCCAACUGCGGCUUUCAUUAUAAUGACGAAAAAAAAUAUUUUUUAAUGAUGUGGCGCCUACGUAGCAUCAAAGAGGUCAUUUUGAACAAUAGUUUCAAAAUGUGUCCGUUUUCAACAUUAAGUUUAAAAAAUGGGUCAUUUUGACCCAAAACUCGUAAAUCUAAAUAAAUGAGACGUGUCACAUGUAUGAUAUUGUGUUAUCUCAGUUUCAAAAGAAAUGAAAAUUAUUUAUCCCACAACUUCAAAACUAAAAAUAUUAUAUAGAUUUGUUAAUUCCUUACAAAAUACAAGUACAGCCAACAUGCAAGCAAUCAGCAGAUGAUAAAGAAAAUUUAAGGCAUCGAGAGAAAGUCUGUUCUCACGAACAAUGUGAAAAGUCCCACUCUUUCUCACGAACUAGCAUAUAUAGUCAAAUACUUCUGGAUCUUUCUCACGAACUAGCAAUACGUCUGGACCCACCCUCUUUCCAUAUCUCCAGCUACACCUGAAAAAGACUUGAAAAGAGCUCCUUAUAUAUAUAUAUUUAGACGUUUAAAAGAUCAAUGGCCAUCAGAAAAGAAACAAUCAAAAAAAUUUUCAUGAUUCAAUUAAUUUUCUUCUUUUUAUUUUUGUAUCAUGAAGUGUACAAACUUCACAUGGUUACAGCACACAUUAAGAGCCAAAGUAAUACACAGAAACGCAUAGAACUUGUCCAUGUUAUUCGUUGAACACAAACUCCAUCAAAAGAUGAAAAAUAGAAUACAGUUACUAAAGCUCAAAUGACCUGCAAAUCAGUUUAUUCAGAUGAAAACCACGACAAUAAACUACGUAUACUUGGAGCUGAUGGCUUGUAAAAAUGUCACUUGUGCAUGGUAGCCUUGACAGCCGGAGCGGUGGCAUGUGCUCUUGCAGGAGAUGCAGGUGGAUGUUUGCAAGGAGGGCCUUCAACGGGGGUUUUCCCACAUGGAUUUUGGCCAGAAGGAGGGACAGGACCACUUUGCUGAACCCUAGCAGCAUUGUGUGGCUGGACACUCAGAAGAAAAACAAGGGCUAUGACAGUAAAAACAACGUUGAGAAACCUCAUGAUAGUCUUGGUGAUGAGGCAAACAGGACAGGAGAUGAACUAAAAAUAAAUUGGAUAUGUAGAUUAUAUGCGUAUGAAGAGGAGAUGGUGUUAGUUGUUAUUUAUAAGCAUGCAUAUCCAAUGUGAUCACUUGAAUUUUUAAUUGUUUUGAUUUGUUUGAAGGGUUUGGAUUCUUGACUAAUAGUUUUUGGCACGAGAUGACUGGAAAUUGAUUGGUCUAAAAGAGAAACUGCCCUUGAAUACCUGAAUGCAUGGCAAAGUUUAAUUUCUNNNNNNNNNNNNNNNNNNNNNNNNNNNNNNNNNNNNNNNNNNNNNNNNNNNNNNNNNNNNNNNNNNNNNNNNNNNNNNNNNNNNNNNNNNNNNNNNNNNNUAGGAAUUUGGGACACUUCCUAACACUCCUAAUAAGAAUUGAUCAAUUCUAUGGACAUGAUUCCACUCAGAUGCACCAGCUUUAAUUUCCAUCAUCAAGACCUAAGCCACAAUGCUUGCCCUUUCAAAAUGGGCCAUCAUCUGGGUGUGUAUCUGCAUAUACAUUCCAUUUUCACACCACCACAAAGCUUGUUUAUGAUUUUGUUUUCUUUUGUUCAAAUCUCUUGAGAAAAUGCAAGAAAAAUGUGUAUAAAACUUUUCUCCCUUUUUCCCCAAAGUCACACGAUACAAGAGAUAAUUAGAUUGGUUGGAUGAUGGGUUUUGAUCAAUAUAUGUAUAUACAUUGACCAAGGGUGAAACUCAUAACACAUCAAACUAGGUCUACUAACAUGCAUGCUAAAUUAUCAAUAAAGUUCAAAAUAUUAAGUUGUAAUAAAUUUAUGCACCAAUGAUGAAUAUCAAGAUGCAUGAUCUAUACUCAUUAUUUUCAACAUACACAUGAAUUUAAAUUUUUUUAUUUUAUAUUAUUUAAAUAAAUAAAAAAAGCAUUCUAGCUAAAAGCUAAUCAUACAACACAAACAAUGCAAUAAGUGAGCAUUAAUUUGGCUCACGUUGUUGUGUUAUACACACACAAAUACCCAUGUUACAAGAUGAUAAGUUUGGCAUUCCUAUUCAAAUAUUCCAAGUUUGAUAUAGGAAACACCAGGUAGAUUUUGUUUGACUUGGAUCAACAAUACGCAUGGUUUACAAAAAUUUCCUAUGCUCCUUGGAUUUUCUACUCAUUUCUUGACUUUUCUUUGAGGACAAAUCAUAGUAACUAGCUUUUUUAAUCUAAACCUCUAAAAAUGAGUAUGAUUCAUAUAGAUUAGCAUGUCUAUUCGACUUGCAUCGGCAAAUAUUUGGUUUAUGAACAUUUGGAGAUGUUAAAAUGUGUAGUAUCUGUUGUGCCAGUGGAAGCUUUAUGCAAAUAAUGUUAGUUCAAGAACAUAAAAAUAAAAGAAUCCUCAGAAGGUUACAUGAGAUUUUAACAGAAUUUGAAUAAUCAUGCAUUGAUCCUUAGCCCCUUGACAUUAAAACUAUCACAUCCUUACAAGGUCAAAAGAUUUGGGUUAGUAUGGGCCUCUCAACAGCCCAAUUGCUUUGAUUUCUUCUUCCCAUAUAUCCAUAAAAUAUAGAAUGAAAACAUAGAAAAAAUAUAUAUGCAAAGACAACAAAAUCUGUUCAACCCAAAAGAAAAAAGAAAAAAAGAAGACCUGCAUGCUUUAAAAUUUGAUUCACAAAUUUGAAAAGUUCAAUUACAGGGCAAAUCUGUUCUAUGAUAAUAUAUUCUACUUUCUAAUAAAAGUAAAUCACUAAUUAAUAGACUGUUGAGUUUCAGCCAUGCAAAAGAUCAUGAAGCAAAAAUUUGUUCAUGAUUCAACUUUCUUCUUUUUAUUUAUAUAUCAUGAAGUGUACAAACUUCACAUUGUUACAACACACAUCAAGAGCGAAAUUAAUACACAGAAUGCAUAGAACUUGUCUACGUUAUUCGUUUAAUAUAAACGUCAUCAAAAGAUGAAAACAGAAUACAGAUACUAAAUCUAAAAUGACCUGCAAAUCAGUUUAUUCAGAUGACAAACACGACAAUGAACUAUGUAUACUUGGAUCUAAUGGCCUGCAAAAAUGUCACUUGUGCAUGGUAACCUUGACAGCCGGAGCGGUGGCAUGUGCUCUUGCAGGAGUUGCAGGCGGGUGUUUGCAAGGAGGGCCUCCAACGGGGGCUUUCUCACAUGGAUUUGGGUUAGAAGGAGUGACCGGUCCCAUCUGCUGAGGACUUUCUGAAAGACCACGUCUUUUCUCUAUCAAGUACUCACGGUUCACUCCUUCAAGAACCCUAGUAUCAUUGUGUGGUUGAACACUCAGAAGAAAUGCAAGUGCUAUGACACUAAAAACAACGUUGAGAAACCUCAUGAUAGUCUUGGUGGUGAGGCAAACAGGCUAGGAGAUGUAAUCGAUUUGAUAUGUGGAUGAUAUGCAUAUGUAGAGGAGAUGGUGUUAUUCAUUAUUUAUAUGCAUGCAUAUCCAAUGGUAUCACUUGGACUUUUCAUUAUUUGAUUUGUUUGAAGGGUUCGAUUCUUGACUAUAAGGUUUUGCCACGAGGGGACCAGAAAUUGAAUGGUCAUAAAGGAGAAACUGUCUUUGAAUUACCUGAAUGGCAAAGUUUAAUUUAUCAUUUCAUUUUACAUUCACACCAAGGAUUUUUCUGGUGGAGAAAACAUAGAAUUUAUUAGUAUCAAUCACUUUUAUUCAUUUAGUUAUUUAUUAUUAUUAUUAUUUAUUUAUUUAUUUAUUAUCUUGCUAUAACUAUUAUUAUUUUAUCAUUCUCUAAUUUUUUUUAUUCAUUUAUUUGAUUUAAUAAUUUGAUAUAUUUUUUUAGGGAAAUCAAUGGAUAAGAAGAGUUGAUUCUUGUAAGACUUUGAGAAGGAAGGAAACUCUUUUGGACGUUAUUGAAGAUCACCGGAAAGUUAAAAUAGGGGUGAAGAAGUUUUUGAACAAGGUGGGACUCCUUGGGUGAUAUGCAUGGAUUGGUUUUUAAAAUUUAAAAAGGAUUUUUCUGGUGGAGAAAACAUAGAAUUUGGACAAAGGAGUCCUCGCAUGGGACAGUUGCCAAAGGCCAAUGAAAAUAGGGCUGGUGUUUUUGGAUAAGGGUGGGAGCCAAGAAGAACUCCCAGCCGACUUGGGGAAGAUCGAACCACCAUUGGAAAGAGGAUCUGCCACUUAAAAAUCUAGAGGACGCAAUUAAAAAGGGGAGGAAUAAGGAGGAAUAAGGAGGAGAGGCUGCCACUAAAACUCUACAGCACGCAUUCACCAUUGGAGGGGCCAGAGUCCAUGCAUUUUAAGAGCUUCCACCACGCACCAUUGGGGGAUCUUUCCUCCAAAGCACAAGCAGCAGAUUUUUGAGAGAUCAAGUGCACCGUUCAGCCAUAAAGAAUACCAUCCAGAUUUUUAUUUUUAUUUAAAAAAAAAAAAAAAGAGAGAGAGAAAAGACCGGCUGGUGGUUUUUUUGGGAGAAGGGAGAACACGCACAGUCCUUCAAGAAACCUAGCAGCAUUGUGUGGUUGGACACUCAGAAGAAAAGCAAGUGCCACGACAGUAAAAACAAUGUUGAGAAACCUCAUGAUAAUCUUGGUGGUGAGGCAAAUAGGCUAGGAGAUGAAAUCAAUACGAUAUGUGAAUCGAUGAUAUGCAUAUGUAGAGGACAUCGUGUUAUUUGUAAUUUAUAUGCAUGCAUUUCCAGCAGUAUCACUUGGAUUUUUCUUUGUUUGAUUUGUUUGAAGGGUUUGGAUUCUUGACUAUUAGGUUUUGCCACAAGAUGACUGGAAAUUGAAUGGUCAUAAAGGAGAAACUGCCCUUGAAUUACCUGAAUGGCAAAGUUUAAUUUCUCAUUUCAUUUUACAUUCACACCAAGGGACGGCAGUUGUUCAAUGGAGGCUUGCGUUUUGAGAUUGCUGUACUGCAGUGGCCCAUCAGGGGAUCAUGGUCUGUACACUAGUGUGUUUUUGCUUAUACUAUAAUUUCUUCCUACGUUGAACGAAUAAUAAAGUUUUGAUAGAGACGUGUUUACUUGAAUUGAGGCUUGAAAUUUUGGGGUUUGGUCAGAGAGUUCUAGAUGUUAAGCUGCUUUUUCUGGUAACAUAUACUCCUAAUUAAGAAUUGAUCAACUUUUUGAAGAUGAUUCCACUCACAUGUACCAACCUUCCCAUUAUCAAGACCUAAGACACGAUGUCCUUAAUUUAAAAAUGGGGCAUCAUCUGGGGAUGUAUACGCAUGUACAUACCACCACUUCCAGACCACCACAAAGCUUGUUUAUGAUCUUGUUUUCUUCUGUUCAAAUCUCUUGAGAAAAUGUUAAAAAAAAUGCAUAUAAUGCUUUUCUUCUGUUUAUCCUGCUAUCCUCCUUGAGCCUGUAAUUAAUUUUCAAAUUGAGUGUUUAGGUUUUGGAAAAUCUUAUGACUAAGAGCAUAACAUUGAGUGACAGUGAAAAAUUUUCUAUUAAAAGAGUUCAUUCAAUUUUGUACUCAUCUCUUUUUCUGAUUCUAUAUUUGUUGGAGUAAAAUCCAAUAUUGUUCUUAAUUAGGCAUCAAGAAGUUAAGAUUGUUCUAAAAAGGUGGUUUCAAAGAGUUUCCAUGUGAAAGUAUGUAGCCGAAGAUUGGGAAGUGUGAAUUGGGAAUGAUAAAAUUAAUUUGCUGAGUCAUCUCCAUACUUAAAAUACACCUAUUGUUCACCCUCAAGGUCAUGGUUGAAAGUAUCAUACGCAAGUACAUGGCUGCUACAACUCUAAGAUAUAUGAGUCAGUGGUGUACAUGCAUUUCAAUAAUAACUAGGUUCCGACUAGAAAAUAAUUGGCCUUACAUAACCAAAUCAUAAGAUAAGUUGGAAUUAGGUCUCCACAACUCGAAGCUAUAAAAAUGGAAGGAAAAAAAACAAAAUAAUCUCUACAUUUUUCAGAGAUUUCCUUAUCAAUCAAGGAAAAAUGUCUCCAUAAUUAGUAACUAGUAAGGACGUUAAAUUGAUUUUUUUUUAAAUUAAUAAUUCACUUGUUAUCCCAAUUAUAAAAAAUUGGUAUUACCCAUAAAAAUAGGUGGGCAUGGUAAUAUUUUAAGAUUUUUUCAAUUUUUAAAAUUAUUAUAAAUUAAUUGAAAAUAACUUCAAAUGUUAUAGAUUUUAUUUUAUUUUUAUUAUUAUGUUGAACUCAUCUAAUUAUAAUUAUUAAAUUUUUCCUCAUUUUUUCAGAUUUUUUUUAACUUUUUUAUUCUCAACUAUUAUAUUGUCUACAUAUUUUUUAAUUAAGAUAAUGUGCAUGCCACGCUAAAUGCUUAAUGAAGCACGCAUCAAAGUCUCAAAAGGCCAAAAUUGAUAAAUCGAACUAACAAGUGUUGAGCAUUCAACAAACCAAAGAGAUCCCAAGAGCUACUAAAAUCAAUGACAGCUCAUCAAAGCAAAAUAUUAAGUAUAAUUCAUCAUCUUCUGAGCAAAAGAUAAUUAUUGUAAAGAAAAUGCUAAGGUAUUGCAUUAAUACCUAUCGAAGUUCACAUUUGGACCAUUGAAUAUGUAUGAUGAAAUUUAAGCUGCUAAAUCAGGGAACAAGUAAAUGAGACUUAACUAUAAGGGUGCAAACAAAUAAGACUAUUACAAAAAAUGAGACUUAUAUAUGUAUAUAUGACUAUGCCUAAUUCAUGGUGCCUUUUUGAUAUCUAACAAAAAAGUAUCAUUUUGUACUGUCGAUGAUCCUUACUAUAAAAGUUUAUUUGACUAUCAUAAGAGUGUUUAGUACCUCAUCCAAAAAUUCUUGGUAGUCCAUUGAAUGAUGGUACAAGUAAAUGAGACCAAAGGAUAAAGAUACAAACAAAUGAAACUAUGUUACAAAUAAUGAGACUUAUGUAUACAUGACACCACCUGAUUAGUGAUACUUUUUCUAUACUUACCGAAUGAAGUAUCAUUCCAUAUUCUCAAUGACCUUUACUAUAAAAGUGGGUUUGACCAUCAUAUCAGAGUAUUCAAUACCUCAUCCACAAAACCUUUGUAGCCUAUAUAGUGAGAGUAUGUAUUUACACCUUGAACUACGAGCCCUCUCGAUCCACUGAGUGUCUCCCAUUCUUUCUCUCAUCCCUAUCCAUCAUGUAUAAUCUUUACAGGCCCAUCUCCAUCUAUAACUUUUUCCCCUUAUAACCUAGAAUAUUUAUAGAGAUAUUCUUUUCCUUAUUCUAUUAGGAAAUCCAAUAUUACAAUAAAAAAUUAAUUUAGGAAAUAUUCUAUACAAUGUUCUAUACAAAAAGGAAUCUAUACAAAUUAAAAAUUUGAAACAUUUUUUAACAAUCUCCGUCUUGGCUCAAAUUCCAUUAAAUCAAUCUUCCAUCUUUCCAUGACACUUUUUGUAUCACAUUUGAUGAAAUAACAAUCGACUUUACCUUCAAUUAAAAUUCUUUGUCAUACUCGUGUGUUUUGUUAUCUUUUACUCUUCUAGAAAUCGUCAUUGUGAGCUCUAGCUAAUACCAGUUGGUCGUGUCAGCGGAAGCUCUAAUGCAAACAAUGUUAGUUGAAAAACACAAAGAUACACAGGGUUUUAAUGUGGUUCGACCAACCACACCCAAUUCAUAGAUGAGAGAAAAGUAUUACACUACAUUAUAGAGAAUAUUACAGAAAAUGUAAACAGAUACACUAUUGGUUUCACGAAAUAUCUCAUGUUUCCCCGCUUCUUAUAUAAAACCUUGAACCAUAGGCUCCUCGCUCCUCUGAAUGCUUUUCAUUGUUCCUCACAUCUCUAUCCACCUCAUAUAGUCUUUACGAGUCCAUCUCCAUUUCAUAACCUUUUCUUCUCAUGACCUAUAAUAUAUAUAGAGAUAUUCUUAAUAACUUUUCUUAUUCUAUAAGGAAAUCUAAUAUUAUAAUAAGAAGUCAAUUUUAAAAAUAUUCUAUAUAAUAAUCUUUACAAAAAGGAAUCUAUAUUAGGAAUUUGGGAUACUUUCCAAAAAAAUAAUUUGAGGACACAAUAAACAAAAAAGAGAACUAGUCUAGUAGUUGUCAUUUGCAUCCCCUUCUAGUGGGAUCUAGUCAUGUUAGCCAUGUAAGAUGGGAUGGAACAAACCACAAAGGUGGACAUAGGUGGGCCCAUACCCAAGGAAAAACAUAGGUUUUCAACUAAAAAGACCAGUAUGAUUCCUAAAAAACUUACUGGUCCGCCAGUUUAGACAAUUCAAUUGACUAUUCACGUGAGUUUGCCCUAAUUCAAUGCCUAGAACAAUCUGCUUUUAAAAAUCAUGCCUUUAAGAUAAAAUUUUGAUAUUCCCAAAAAUCGGAUAACCAAGAGACUUAUAUUUAUUGUAAAUCUGGGUUGGUCUAGGCCUCAUAGUUGUAUCAAAAAACGAGAUGACCCACAACUCUAUUGGGUUGAAUGAAUGAAUUGCUUAUCUUUAAAGCCAAUAGACAAUAAAUUUUUCAUGCAUUUCAUGGUUACAAAUUAUAUAUGUCACAAUUGAUGAUAUUUAUCCUUAAAUUAUAUUGUAUAAAAAUCAUCUUGAUAAUAGAGAUUAUAAACAAUGAGAUAUGAUUUCUAAUUUCUUUAUAAUCUUAAAAUAUGUUUACAACUUAUAAACUUGUAAUGGAUAACAUGCUUAUUAAAAGCUGUCAUGAAUUGUACUCCUAUAUAUGAUAGAGUGAUGGAUCUUAUUCACUAAAGUUGAGGGGCUCUUAAUAAAUUUCAUGGGUGAUUAUAAUGUGAUAAUCACAAAACUGUACCAUUACAAGACAAUUUUUGGAUCUCUUAUUAUUUAUUUGGUUUAAUAUUACAUAAAAUCCUUAGACUUAAGGAUGUUACUAAGUUUUGUACUUGAUUUUGUAUAGCUUUGAUAUUAUCAACUGUUGAUGUCUAAUAAUGGAUUAUAUAUGGAUCUGUUGGGUUUUAUAAAUAAUAUAUAAAAACUAGUGGAUAUUUGAUAAAGGACCCAUUGCUUCUAUAGUAGGAAAGAAUAUUUAAGAUUGUGUCACUUAUAAAAUUUAGAAAGAAUUUUUUUUAGUGUAUAUAUCUAUUUAGUAUGUCAUAUAUUAAGAUUUUCUAAAUUGGUUUCUCUAAAAGGUCCAAUUAUAAGAGGUGACACACUUAUAAGUUUAGGGAAUGACAGGUAUCUUGAUCCGACUUCAAAACUUGUAAGGAAUAUUAGUUAGUGGAAGAAUUAAUGUGUAAGUGGGGAACUUACUAAUCUAUCUCUCUUUUUCUUUUUUUUGGGUGAAAUUGUAAUUGACAAGUUCAUUUGGAAUAAACAUACUAGAGAUGUAGAGAUCCCACGAAGGUCCCAUGCUACAUGUCCUCACCUCGGAUUAUUAACUUAUUGAAAUAUGAAGAGUUCAUAACAUAUGAAUGAGUUUAUUAAUUAUAGACAUUUACUUUAGAAGUUGACAUAUUCUAAUGAAUUGUAAAGUUAGAAAAGGUUGUAAAUAUACAAUGAAUUAAUGCAAUGCCACAAAGAAAGGUAAAGACACUAAUGAAUUGUAAUGUUACAAAAGUUGCAAAGUUACAAUGAAUUGUAAGGUUACAAAAGUUGUAAAGUCACAAUAACUUGCAAGGUUACAAAUAGAAGUUAUAAAGUCACUAGUGAAUUAUCAAGUUAUCAAAUUGUAAAUUUACAAAUAAAUUAUGAUCUUAUAAUAGGUAUAAAGUCAUCAAUAAAAUUUUUAAAGUUACAAAAUUUUGAAAAAUGUCAUGAUUUAUCAUUAUGUCAAUAAAAGGAUGAAAGUGCAUCAUAAUUUCAACACUUUUUUUCAUUUGUUGGAAGAUAGUCUUCCUAUUUUCCCUUUGUCUUUCAAGAGUUCUAAUUUUCUAGCACAAGACUAGAAGGACAUGCAUGUGAGCUUGGAGUUUUGCACUUGUGAAAUCAAAUUGGGUUAAAUAUAUAUAUAUAUAUAUUGUUGGUUAAAAAUAAAGUGUAAGAAGAGUUACACUUUUGAAAAUAAAGUGUAAGAAGGGUUACACUUUUAAUGUGUGAAUUAAACAUAUGAUUUAAUUUUUGAAUGUUACAAAGAUGAAGAGAUUGAGGAAGACAAUGGGUUUUUCUCAUCCUUGUAACCUUUUUUCAACCCUAAGAGUGCUUUAUAUGACUUUUCUUCUUUUUGAAAUCUUAUGCAGAAAAGUGAAAAGGGUUGAUCAAUCCCAAGACUAUUUCCAUUAAGUUCCCUAAAGAUUUCUAGAGGUGGGAGGAAAUAGAGUUUUUGGACAAAGUUCUAAGAACUUGUUUGAGCCUUUCUUGUGUUCUUCUUCUUCUUGUUCUUAUUUUGUAACUUUGAGAGUUUUAUUGUAUCAAAGUGAGUGUUUCUUUUCUCCAUUGUAUCCAAAUUUUUCUAUCCAAAGAUCCAUGUGUAAUUAUUUUUAGGGAUUUAUUUCCUGUUUUCUCUAAAUCUAACCCAAUAACUUAUGCACGAUAGAGAAAAGGUAUUCUUGAAUAUACUCCCUGUCUCUCUCUCCGGUAGAGAGAGUAGUGAAAGUAUUUAACGUCAUCCUUAAAGAGGAAUUAAACAUAUGAAAACUAUUUAAUAUAAGGUUUUAAUUGUUAUAUCUAUUAAAGUUGUUAAUCCAAAUUAUUCGAAGUACGUAUCUCUAUGGACUUGCAUGUUCACAAAUUUUGAAAGGUUUAUACGACAAAUUAUAAGUAUUUAAAAUAAAUGUUGUGAUGUUUGACAAAAUACACUAUUGGGUUUUACAUAUUCAAAUGAUCAAUGAUCACCACAACCAAGGAAAAAUGUGUUCAUAAUUUAAACUUGAUCUUUUUAUUUUUGUAGCAUGAAUUAUUCAGAAUCCACAAGGUCACACGACAUCAAGAGUGAAAAUAAUACACAACAUUCUUGCACAGAAUUAAUUGAUGCAUGUUAUUUAUUUUUUAUUCAUUAUAUAUGUGUACAAAACAUACACAAACAUUACGGAAAGAUGAAAAAAUUACAGAAGCAAACAUGAGCUGCAACUCAGUUUAUUCCCAUGAUUUUAUGACAUAUGACAGUUAUACUUGGUGCAAAUGACUAGUAAGAAUUUCUGAAAUCUGGUGGUGGCCAUGGUGAAGCUUCAUUUGUGCUUAGUAGCCAUGACAACCGGAGAGGUGGCAGGCGGGCUUGGCCGAAGGGGAGGCAGGGCGUGGCUUGCUAAGUUCUUGUUGAUCAUGCAAGGGGGGCCUUUGCCGGGAAUUCGGGUGCAUGGACUUGGGGCAGAAGGAGAAACUGGACCCGCAUGCAGAGACUGCAAGACAAUAUUAAUUCUUUUCUUCUUCCACUCUUUUUUCUCUCCAUUAGGAACCCUACUAGCAUGGUGUGGUUGGACACUCAGAAGAAAAACAACUGAAGUGACAGCUAAAACAAUGGUGAGAGACCUCAUGAUCUUGGUGGGGUUUAAGCUAAGGCACUAGGAGAUAUGGAAUUAAUAUGAUAUCUGGGAUGAUAUGCAUAUGUGGAGGAGAUCAUAUUAAUUGCUAUUUAUAAGCAUGGAUACCCAAUGUUAUAACUUUGAUUUUCCAUUGUUUCAUUUGUUUGAAAGGGUUUUUUUAGCUCUUGAAUACAAGGGUUUUGCCACGGCAUAGACUAGAAAUUGAGAAGGUCAUAAAGAUACUAGGUUUGAAUUACAUACAAUGACAAAAUUUUCAUAGGUCAUUAAUUGUAAGCAUCCGCCAUCCCAAAAAUAAAUUAAUUAAUUAAUUAAAAAAUUUAGCUUCAUGUCUGUGAAUUGUUGCUUCUUCAAAAUACAAUGGAUGAUAUUGAAAUGUUUAAAAGCAUGACUUCAAUAAUUUAGCUUAUUAAUUAACCUGUAACAUCAUACUUUUGCAUGAUGUUGCCCCACCGAAUAAAGUAGCAGCAUGACGGCCACCAAAAUCAUUUCCUAACAAAUAUUUUCCAAAUUAACUUAGAAUUGGUCUCAUGCAAACUGUCGCAUUUAAAAAGUUUCACGGUUUGUAUACCACUUUGUGGGGCUUGAAUGUUGGGAACGGAUUUUUUUAGUGAAUUGGGGCUUGAAUGUUUGUUGGUUUGGUCGUGAUGCUCACAGCCUUUACGUGACAUCCUCCUCAACAAUCAAAUGUUUGAAUAUGACUGAUGACUCUAUUCACAUGCGUCAGCUUUUUUAUGCAGUCACGAUCCAAAUUUCCAAAUUGUGUAUUUGUGUGCAUGCUUGUUAUGAAGUAACCCAAAUUGCCUGUGCAAAGGUAUAUGAAUUCGUACACAUAAUCAGGUGCCACGAAGUUGGAUGAAACGCUUGAGUGGGGUUUCCUAUUCCAUGCAUGCCCCAUGCAUGAAUGCAAAACUAAGAAACAUGAUGAAGAUGGUAAAUCAGCUACCAAAGAUAUGUAUGCCCAUAUGAUUUCCAUCUUAUUCAUUUUUUCUCAUUUAUCUUUGUAGAUAGCGUAAAAACUUAAGAAGGGUACCACAAGUAAAUAGUGAUAAUGAUUAUUUCUUUCUUGUUCUAACAAACACAAACUUUAUCACAAGAAUGAAAAAAUACAGGACCUGCAAAUCAGUUCACUCCAAUGGUCUCACUAGAAUUAAUUAGAAGUAUAUUUUGGUGCUAGAGAAUUGUAAGAAUUUCUGAUUUUGGUGGCUCCCAUGGAGGAGCGAGCUUCAUUCAUCUAUAUAUGUUUACUGUCCAGUAGCCAUGACAACCGCCAGGGGAGGCAUGGCAUGACCUGCAAAUUUAUUCUGUUAUGGCAAGGUGGAGCGCCCUUUUCCGGGAUACAGCUGCAUGAACUGCUUCCAGAAGGAGGCACAGUACCUGAAUUCAGAGACUGUAAAGGGACAAGUCCUAUCUUGAUCCACUCUUCUUUCUCCCCAUCAAGAACCCUACCAGCACUGUGUGGCUGGACGCUCAGAACAAGAACGAAGUGCCGUGACAGCUAAAACAAUGUCCAGAAACCUCAUGAUCUUGGCGGGUUAAGCAAAGAGGAGAUGAUCAAAGAAAUAUUUUUAGCUGGACAAAUUAAUAUGCAUAUAUGAUAAAUGGAAAAGAACCAAUAUCUCAGUUAUUUAUAGGGUUAUUCAAU